UGGCUCAGUCCAAACCAUUAUCAGUACUACCAUCUUUCCGGCGCUCUCUCCUCAACGCUCGACGUCCGGGCUCCUAUGAUCCUUCCCUUGACGACAUGUACGUCCCCAUGUCAACCUUACCUCCUCCCAAAGCUCCACAGUCUGGUGAUGAUCUUCUCAUAAACCGCCUUUACUUGUCACAGCCGAACAGCUCAGUCUACUCCAAUCACUAGCUACCAGCAAGAGUAGCUCCUGCAAGAGGACUAAACUAGAGUCUCUCAGUGCUUUUCUGUGGAAGAUGGUGGCCAAAAGUGCAGUCACGGAAAACGCAAACCAAAAAAUAUGCAGGAUGGGCACCGUGGUGGAUGGAAGAAAGAGACUGAGCAGUGGAGACGAGGUUAAAGCAGCAAUGAUGGCCUCUUACUUCGGAAAUGUACUGUCCAUACCCUUUGGUAAGAAGACAAUAAAUGAACUGAAAGAGAAACCAUUGAGCUGGGUGGCAGAUGCAAUUCAUGAGUACCUGGAAGGAGCAGUAACAAAGGAGCAUUUCCUGGGGCUGAUAGAUUGGGUGGAGGCUCACCGUCCGGAGCCAGCUUUAGCGAAGAUAUACAGCAGUGGCAGUCGCGAUGGACCGGCAUUUGUGGUGUCAUCAGGGCAGAGAUUCCCAGGGUCAAGGGUGGAUUUCGGGUGGGGUAUGCCGGCUCUGGGGUCAUACCAUUUUCCAUGGGGUGGGGAAGCUGGGUACGUGAUGCCAAUGCCGAGUCCUGUCAGAGAUGGAGACUGGGUGGUGUACAUGCACCUCUCCGUGGGGCAGAUAGAGUGGAUUGAGACUGAGGCUGCUCACAUCUUUAGACCCUUAAGUUCUGAAUAUCUCAACUUGAGCAACUCAGAUUAGCUUACAUUUAUCACUUCCUAUUUGUUCACUGUCCCCCACAAUGUUUGUUAUUGUCUCCAUCUCUAUUUGCUGAUUGUCAUCGGCUUGAUGUUUAAUAUCCGUUUACGAAGAAGCCCCGAUUUUUUGUGGCCUGUCUAUUCCAAUUUCCAACCUCGUUAAUUUUCCUCCUCUAUACAAAAUUCUCUAUGAACAUAAAUAAUACAUUAAUUGUGGGAUUAGCUUUGGCAAAUAGGAAGUAGUUGAAAUUCAUGGAGUUAAGUCCGACUGAUGAAAAAGACGUAACCCAAGUGGUAUUUUUAAUACAAAAAAAACCAUUUUAUAAAUAUCUUAAUUUUUUUUUAAAAAUAAAUUGUUAUUAAUAAAAAAUUUACUAAAUCAUAUAGAAUAUAACUAUUUCCAAGUAAUAAGUCUUUUGUACGUGCUUAAAAAAUGAGACAGAUAUGAACCUAAUAAAGUACGAUUUUUUUUUUUAAUAAAUUAAACAGAAUUUUUUAAACAAAGUGAAAAAUUAAAAAUCAAAAAAUCAAAAUGGGAGCAGUCAAUUGGGAAAUAUUGUCCUUUUUCAGACUGCAAAAUGAGUGUAGGCCUCUGCAGUUGCUGCAUUCUAGUUGAUGUGUGAUAAAAGGUUUGUGCCCACGAACCAUUCGGCCACCCCAGGAAGGGAUGAUACCCUUUGGUGCAGAUCCAGACAGCUAUUUACAAAGGGUAGGUCAAAAAACUUAUCAAACCCAUGUGCCAGGGCCAAUAAUCUCACUCUCUAGUCAGAUAUAGUGAGCACUGAGCAGUACAAAAAGUCGGUUUCAUGAGUCUUUUAACUCUUUAUGUCCCAUGUGCAUUCAUUUUUAUAUGCUUAGAGUUUUGUCGAAAUGCUUUGGAGGGUUUUGGCCUUUGAAAUAAUCUAAUUUCUCCUUCCCCAAUUAUUAUUGAUAUUCAAAUUUUCUGGUGGCAGAACUAAUGCUUUUAUAAAUAACAAAUGAGCACUCACUUGGUUCAAUAAAAGAAUUAUAUAUCAUCAUUAAAUAAUACACAUACACAUAAAAAAGCAAAGGUUAGGUAAAAACUUAUCAAACCCAUGUUCCAAUGCCAAUAUAUAAUCUCACAGGGAAUCAAUUUGGUGGGUCUUGAUGGUCCAUGUGCAUUCAUUUUCAUAUGAUUGGAGUUUUGUCUAAAUAUUUUUGGAGGGUCUUGGCCUUCAAAAUAUUCUAAUUUCUCCUUUACCGAUUGUUUUGUAUAUUAAGUUUUUCUGGUGGCAGAAUUAAUUCUUUUAUAAAUAACAAAUGAGCACAUGCAUCAGUUAAUUCAAUAGAAGAAUUAGCAUUAUAAAAUAAAACACAUACUUAUUCAUUGAGUAUUACAAAAUAACGAGGAUAGACAAUAAGAAAAAAAAAAAAAAAAACACAGAAUAAUAACAUAUAGAUUUAUAUGGAAAUCACAAUAGAGGAGAAAAAAUCUAUUAUGUAAAAAAUUGGUACAAAAUGGGGAGAAACGUGAGUGGCUACAACAAAAUCAUAAACAUCAUAGCCCUUCAAAAUUAUACAUCAUCGCAUAUAAAUAAAUAAAUAAAUAUAAAUGGGUUACACUAUUGGAUCAGCGCUACCACCACAAACCCAAAAAAAAUCUCAUAAUUUUGGCUUUAUCACAUAAUGUUGCACCAUGAACUUUUCGGGUUGGACCAAAUAGAAUUCGGGUUAUCAAACUCUAACAUUGAGAAUUUUUUAUAUGUUAUGAUUUGAGUAUAUAUCCUAUAAGUAUGGUUUGAAAUAUCGGUAAAUAUGAAUAUAUCGGUAUUUGAAUUUUAUGAAUAUAUAAAAAAUAUUGAUAGAUAUUUUGACAAAAAUAUCGAUCAUGUGAAAAUUAUUCAAAAUUCAUGAAAAUAUUUAAAAAAACUCUAAAAAAAUAAUAAAAUAAGUAAAAAUACACGUGUUAAAGUUAUUUUAUAAAUAUAAUUGAUAUAAAUAUGGUUAAAGAGAAAAAUAUUAGUAAGGAAUAAUAUAUUGAUCUUAAUAUAAUUUAUUAUAUAUCUUAUCAAAUUAAUUUUAAUUUAGAAAAUAUUAGAACUUCAUUAUUUUUUUAUAUUUUAGUAUUUUUUUUAAUAAAUUUAUAUUUUAAAUAUUUUAAAAUAAAGACAUUCAAAAUUAAAAUGAUAAAUAUAAAAAAUUUAAAAGUGAAAUAAUAGUAAUUUUUUAAAAUAGGAUUAAUGAAAUAAAUGAUGAUACAUUGAAUAUUAAACUAUAAUUUAUUUAAUUCAAAUGCAUUCAAUCAUAUAAUAAAUGAUGAAACAUAUAUGAUUUUUUUAAUAUUUAACUUUUUUAUAUUUAAUUAUCAUAUAAAAGAUAUAAAAAAAGACUUGUUAAGAAAAUUAUAAUAUUGGUUAACUUGGUUUUCAUAUUUUUAUUAAUCAAUUAAAGAAAAUAAUUAUAAUUAUUUUUUUUAAUAUUGAACUUUAGGAUAUUUAAAUUGAACAUAAAUUUACAAAUGUGAAGUUGCCCCAAUGGAAUCCAAGUUUUGGCCCCCGGCAGCAAAAAAUGUUGGUCAACAUCUCUAGGCUGCAACGGCUAAAAAUAUAGGAAGAAUUGUGUUUUGGGCCCAAAAAUUAACAUUUGGUCCAUAUAUUAUACAUAUUUAAACCCAAGACCCAAACAAAGUAUGAAAAUUAAGAUGAAGGAUAUUGUCUUUCAUUAAUCCCUAAAAUACCCUUAACCCUUACAUAGGCACAAGUGAGUGUGAAUUUCAAUUUUUUUUUUGUGUUUUUUUUCCCUUUUUCUAUUCCCUAUUAAGUAUUACUCAUUUCUAACUCUUUUUUUUUCUUUUUCUUCCAAUCUAUAUUUCUAUUUUAUGUCAAAUAAAAAGCAAUAAUAUUUUUUUGUUUUUCAUUUUUAAAGAUAUUGAAUCUUUUUGCUCUUAUUAUAAACAAUGAUAAAAAUUUUGGGAUUUUUCAUCCAAAUAUUUUUUUUAUCUUUUCGUAUUUAUCUUUUAGUUUAAUUUUCAUUUUUUAUUUUAAAUUUAUAUUACCCUUUCAUUUAUAUUUUUCUCUUAUUUUUAAUUAUUUUUUAUAUUUUCUAUAUUAACCAUAUUUUAAAAAAUUUAAAAAUUGACUCAUUUCAAUUUAUUAUAUAUAUAUAUAUAUAUAUAUAUAUCCUUUUAGCUUUUUAAUUUUUAAUGUUUUUAUUUUAAAAUUUUUAAAAAGAUAAAUUUAUUGAAAAAAAUAACUAAGAUAUGAAGUUCUAAUAUUAUAUUAAUAAUUUUUCUUGUCUAGAUAGACUAAUGCAAAUUAUUUUGACUCACAACAAGAAAAUUGUCAAUACAAUUUUUUAGUUAAACUUUAGAAAUUAAAUUUUAAAUAAAAUAUAUUAUAUACAAUUUUAUCUAAAAAUUAUUGAAAGUGGUAUUUAAUUUUUUUUUUUAUUGACUUUCAAACUUAUCUAAUUUUUUACUUGAAAGGUAAUAGAACAUGUUUACAAAAAAAAAAUAAAAUUAGUUUUUCAUUUUUUUUAAAUAAAUGAGUAUAAAUAUAUUAAAAGAAUUAAAGAUAAUCUUAGUAAAAAAUUUGAUAAAUAUGAUUAUAAUUUUAAAUAUAGAUUCAUUUGGAUAAAAUUUCAGAAAAAAAAAAAUAUAGUGGAAAGAAAGAACAUUGUUAAAACUACAAAAACAAAAUAUGCAAUUACAAAAUUUUGAUGAUGAAAUUUAAAAAUAAAAUUUCAAAACAAUUCAUGAGUGAGAGCAUUUGUGCAGGGAAAAAAUCUUUGAGUGGAAAAAAAUGAGAAAGUUUUUCAAAAUCACUUGAAAUCUUCAACAAAAAGUAGUCUUGUACACCCUUGUACAAUUAGUAAAUUUGUCUUGUACAGUUAGUGUAAUACCUUUGUACAAUAACUCAAAUUUCAUACAUCAUCUCAUGAAUACCUGACAAUAGGUCGGUUAACCAUGUUUGCAUUGAUUUGGUUUUAAAAAAGAAGAAAAAUUGUUAUAUAAUUUUGUUUUACAAUCAUCAUAAGUGAGGUACCUAUUCAAAUGACCAUAUACAAGUUAAAUAAAGUGCAUGAGAUGAAUGUAUGCUUAACUAAUGUGUGUAAGGAAUGUCAUUUAUCCUCAGUUAGGGGAAAUAAACAAAUAAGUUUUUCAGAAUCACUUAAAAUCCUUCACAAAUAAUAGUCUUGUACACCCUUGUAUAGUUAGUAUAUUUGUCAUGUACACUUAGUGUAAAUACCUUGUAUAGUGACUCAAAUUCUAUAUACCCCCUACUCAAUGUGUAACCAUAGGUAGGUUAACCAUGUUUUCAUUGGUUUGUUUCAAAAAAUAGUGGAAGAUGGAAAAACAAAAUUUUCUUUCAAACAUCAUUAGUGGGAUAAGUAUUCGAAUUAUCAUGUGCGAGUUAAAUAAAGCGCAUAAGAUGAGUGUGUAAUAGAUGAAUGUGUACCUUAAGAGUGUGCAAUCCUUAGAUGACAAGACCAAAAAAAAAAGUUGUCCCAAAUUGAUUAAAAUCUUUCACAAAUGAUAGCCUUGUAUACUCUUUGUAUAAUUAGAACAUUUGUCUUGUACAGUUAGAACAUUUGCCUUAUCCAAUUGAAUAUUUACCUUGUACAGUUAGUAUAACACCCUUAUACAAUGGUGCAAAUUUCAUCCAUAUGCAUAUAUUAUGUGUCACAUAUGAUGUGUAAACCUUGUUUCCAAUGGUUUGAUUUAAAAAAUGAUAUAAAACGUAAAAAAAAAAUUUUCUCUAAACGUCAUUAUUAAUGUAAGUAUUUGAAUUGUUAUAUGCGAGUUAAAUAAAGUACAUGAAAUAAAAGAAUUUGUGGUAGGAGAACAUAUAAUCCUUAGAAUGACAAGAAAAAAAAAAAGUUGUUCAAAAUGUACAGUUUUAUACACCCCUUGUACAAUUAGUGUAAUAACCUUGUAUAAUGGUAUAAAUUUCAUAUAUAUGUAUAAAUUAUAUCCACAUGAGUGUGUAAACUAUGUUCCCAAUAGUUUGACAUUUAAAAUAAUUAAAACAAAUAAAACAUUAUUUUAUUUUAUUUUCAAUGCAAAAUGUAAUUAAAAAUAAAACAAAGAAAUUACUUAAAAACUAUUAUUUAAGCCAAGUUUAUUUAUUUAUUUCCUUUUAUUUUUGGAAAUAAAGAAAAAAGAAUAAAAAAUAAUAGAUUAAAAUGUGCACAUUUUAUUUAUUACUUUGUUAAUUAUGGAUAUAUUAAAAUUUUCUAUUAGACAAAAAAUAAAUAAAGAAAAUAAAAUUAAAAAGAGUAAUAAAUAUAUAUAAUUUAGUUAUUUAAUUAUUUUUCAUGUAAAAGAUAGUCCCACAAAAAACACAUAAUUGAUCAAUGUCUUUGUUUAAUUGUAAACAUACUGAUUUGUGCCCAAUUGGUGUCUCAACUAAUUUGUGUCCAGCUGGUGCUCCUUGAUUGAGGGAGUAAUCAACAAAAUUUAUAACCUAUAACACCAUAUACUAGGGUAGCAAAGAAAAAGCUACUAUAGUAUAGUGGCUCUAGGAUCGUCCACUGGGAAAGAUUAACAAGCUCUCAAUGAUACCAAUUCCAAGUGAAUUGGUUUUGUUUCAUUUCAUGGUUAGCUUAAGAAGUAAAACACAAACUUUGAUUGGUAAAGGUUUAGACUUAAACUAACUAACAUAACAGAAGUUUGGAAUAAUUUAGGAAGAAAAGCAUUCCCUGGAGAGUUAGGUUCACUGGGGUGGUUCCUCAUGCAAAAGACAUAGCUCCGGUCAGAUGGUUCAUUUCCUCGUGUUAGAGAUUCAACAUAUAGUCAAUUCUUUAACCGGUGUUGUACAGAGACUCCUUCAAUUAGAUUUCACUUUAAUUCUCUCACUGAUGCAACUUGCAAUGGUUUAAGCCUCUCACUAAGCCUUAACCAUUCAAGGUGAUCUUUAACAUUGGAUUACCCGUCAAAAGCUCGCAAGAGAUAACUAAUGGAUGUCUCCUUGGAGUCCAAAAGCUUAUCAAGUGUUGGCUAUUAUAGAAAAUCCUACCUUGAAGUCACCUCCCAGAGGCUCGCAAGGGGUAAACUAGUGCACUUCCAUGGUUGGAAAUCACUUGCCUUACCAAGUGUUGGCCCAGGUGACUCUAAGGUGUUUUAAGUUAACUAAAAACAUAGAAAUCAUUAAAGGAUUUCACUUCCUCUUCAUUAAUAGCUAAAACCACAGAGCUUUGCAUUCUUGCACUUGGAACCUUCCCCGGCAACCUUAGCUCCAAGGAACUAGAGGUUUAGUUACUCAUUCUCUGGGGAAAACUCCUCAAAGAGUUCAUAACUUAGUAAGAAAAUGAAAAUACAAAGUGAGAAGGUAAGGUAGUAGAAAGAAAAUAAACUUUACUUGCUUACCCAAACUUUUUCAGAAGGAACUCCUCUCUGAGAACAGGCUCCCGAGAGGUCUAUAUAUGUACAUAAUAUAAAACUAAUUAUUACAUAGAUAUUUAGUCUUUUUACUAACUUAAAAGCUAAGGAAUCAUGUAAUUGGUGGUUUACAAGGAGUAUUUUGGGAUUUAGACAACAAAAAUCUAAUGGAAAAUAUCUCCCAAUGUCGAUAGCAAAUAUCGGGAGGCUUUAGGAACCAUUUCGCAGGAGAAAAAUGGUGUCUGCGAGAUUUCGCAGACACUUAAGAGGACUGCGAAAUAAUUUCGCAACACCAAGCUAUCUUCACAGGGCUGCGAAGAUGGCUUCCACCUUGAGGUUCCCAGCUUCCUUCUCGUGGCAUAAAUCGGGCAUCGUCAGAAGGAGAAACAUUACACUGUUCAAAAAGGCUGCGAAAUCACUUCGCAACAAAAGGGUGAUUUCGCAACACUUUGCAAAAUGCUUCCUUCAGCUCGGAGUGAUUGGCUUGUAAUGGUUGCAACUUCUUCGUUUCAACUCCGAAUUGCACACCGUUUGAAGCAUUGGAUUUUUGACUUCCUGAGCUUUGAAAUGGUAUAUAGAAUGCAUCAUUUGGACUUCAAAAAGUGCUCCAAAAGUGGCUGCUACGACUGUCAUCAAGAAUAUGCUUUAUGGCAGAUUCUCUUUGCUUUUUCUCCUUGCAAUCCGGAUUUACUCUUGGCAAAUGACUUCUAAGCUUUGCCCAAGAUUCCUCAUAGCUCUCCUCAGUCUUGACUUGCUUUGGUGAUCAAAAUACUAACAAAAACACCAAAACUUACACAAAGUGAUCAAAAUUGCUUUCAAGGGUCCUUAACAUGCCAAUUGAGUUAAAAGGCCUAAACUACAACUCAAAAGUGUUUAAAAGGAUUUAUUAUAGGAUCAAAUAGCACUUUUUGAGUAGUAAUCACUCCCCCCAACUGACAUAUUGCUAGUCCCUUAGCAAUAUAAGAGAGAAAAAUUGAAAAUAAAAAGCAAACUAAUCUAAAAUUUACAACAUCAUGCUGAUCAAAAUCAAUUCUCAAGUGGCAUGAUGAUCUAAUUCUCACAUGAAGCAUUAAAGAAAUACAAACCCAAAUCUCAACAAGAGUCAUAACAAACUAUGCUAAACACUGUCAAUCAAGGGAGUGCAUUAUGCAAACUGAAGUUUUAAAAUCAUUUCCACUUUCUAAGAACCAAACUUUAAUCUUCCACAAAAAUCUAUGUGUAUUGGUUCCUUAGCUUCCGAGAAUAAUAUGCUAAACUAAUCUCUCCCCCCAACCUAUCUCUUUUCAACACUUAGCAAACUGACCAAAAUCAAUAAGAAAAGAACACACCUUCUCUCUUUUUUCUUUUUUUUAGUAAGGUAGCUUUAUGGGGUACUCUUUCUGACUUGUCCAUGUAAUGGGGGUCCAUCGAUGACUCCCAACCAAUUAAGGUUUAGGGCACCAAGCUUUAAGGAUCUUUCAACCACUAACUCCUCGGAUUUUUCCCCGGACUUUUAAGAAUGAAUUUCUAAUACCCAAGCAUCUACCAUAUGCUAACUCUACCUAUUCACCCUUUUAACGAGCAUUGAGGUUGGUGACUCCCAACCAAUUAAGGCUUAGGGCACCAGGCUUUAAAGGCUUUCACCAUAUACCCCUCAGACCUUGCUCGGGUUUCAAGGCAAGCAAACAACUUUCUUUAUUUCAAAGGCUCAUUGGCCUUUUGCAGGGUGUUUCAAUUUUAUCAAAUGAGGUCAAAUGUACCAAGUCCCAAAAUUAUCCCAAGUCAAGAGGGAAAUAGCUUUUCAUCUUAUAAUCGGAAUCUAAUGUGCACAGUGUGUGAAUAGCUUAAAGUGGAAGAACUAAAUUCAAUUUCACUAGAAGCUUCAAUAAUUGAACCACUUUAGUGAGCAUAAUCCAUACUCUAAGUUAAGUGAAAAACAACAGUUCAAUUUCUCUUGGUUUAAUUUGAAAUUUUUUCCUCAAAAUUCAUGGAGAAUAGAGUAACAAGAGUAAAAAGUAAAAACUACAACUAAUUAACCAAUAUAAUUGCAAUACCAAAAAGAUUUAGCACUUCCUUCCUCAUUCCCCCCCAACCGAACUGAGCAUUGUCCUCAAUGUGAUAUGAGUGACUGUAUUUAAAGAGAUGAAGUGGUACCUCCUUGCUGAUAUCAAAUUCGAAUAUUGAUUGGGGAAAACCACAUGUUUAAAAAAGAAUAGAAUAUGUGAGAAAAGGAAAUAAGAAUAACUUAAUGCUAACUGUUAACAAGAAAUAUUCCACUUGUAUUACUUUCAAUUCAUUCGAGUACAAUGUAAAAGACAAGUAACACAAGGAAUCCCAAAUAUAGUACCAAAAUACUAGGAUUUCUUUUCAACUAAAAAAAAAACAAAUACAUAAAAAUAUUAGAUAUAUAUAAUAGUCUGAUGAGUGGGGUAGUGGUGCUAGGCAGAUGGGUCUGCCUUUUCAGUAGGUGCAUCAGCUGGGGCUUGGGGCUCUGGAGGAUGAGACUCUGAAGGAUGAGAGUGUGGCUCUACUGGUGUAUCAGUGGAGAGCUCUACAGCUUGUGGCAGAUCGAAAUGGACUUGGAGCUGCCUUAAGAUGGCAGCUUGUUGAGCCUGAGUGGCCAACAUCUGCUCUUGGCAUGCUCUGAUGGCUGCCAUCUCCUGAGCAAGACUGCUCUGAGAAGCUGUAAGAGGCUCCAAUGCACGGCACAACUCUCUAUAUUCAGAUAUAGGAAUGGCCAUCCUCGGCUCAGCUGAUGUGGAUGGCUGAGAUGAAGCUGAUGUAGCUGGUGGAGCUCUAGGAAUGGCAGGAGCAGCAACUGUUAUACCCUCAGGUAUAUGUCUUGGGGAUGCUCUCCUUGCAGCUGGCUGAGGCUGCUCAGGCUGAUCAACUUUGUAGGCCAUCAUAUUGUUCCAUUUAUCAAGAGUGAAUGGCUCACGGCAAAUUCGCUUUUUCUCCAACUGAGGCUUAGAAGGGUAUCCCAGAUGCUCCAAAAUUUGGCAUAGCAGCCUUGGAAAGAGGAGUGGAAUGCAAUCAGCUCUCUGAAGCUUCUUUUUGUGAACCUUCUCUUCAAAAUAGAGAAGGGCUGCCAUGAUCAGAUGAUGAGGCCCAAAGAAAAAUCCUUCUGACAUCUUGUAAAGAGCUUCCAGGAGGACUCCCCUUCUUUGGGUCCAAUGCUGCAAUGGAUAGAUAUUAUGACGCAAAAAGGCAUCAAUCAAAAACAUAACUGAAGGAAGCUCCCCCUUAAGCAGAUGUGAUCGAUUUACAGCUCCUCUGGAAAGGGUGCGCACCAUCUCCAGCUCAGUAGGAUUUGCCCAAGCUCUAAAAUUAUCGAAUUGGGUUGGCUCAAAGGGAAUUUGCAGGGCUUCAGCAAUAUGUCGUGCUCCCAAUAUGCCAUGUCUCCCAUCGAUAGUGAAAUGAAUCAAGGUUGGAUUCCUAACCUCUUUGGUUGUCAUGGAUUGAUAGAAAUCUGUGGCUAUCCGGGGAUAGAAAAAGUCUCUUGGAGUCAGCAAGUGCUCCAUGUGAUACCUCCUCAGCAGUUGGAAUGAUUGGGCAAGCUCCGACCUCACUCUGAAUGCCGGUAAGUUGAAGCAUAACUCGGAAUGGAAUGGCCGUGUUCUACAAUCCAAGUUUCCCUCAAUUGGGGGCUGAGGUAGCAUUAGCCUCCGGAUUACUUCUUCCAGAGCUGUUUCGGAUGGAAUUUGGGGUUCAGGAAGUGGCGUUGGAGGCUCCUGAGAUUUUUCUUGCAGCGCCGGAGAUGGUACCGGCGACGGAACUGGCAUGAGAAUCGGCGAGGGAACUGGAGACGACACUGGAGUUGGAACCGGUGAUGGAAUUGGUGAAGGCUCUGGAGAUUGCUCAGUCAAAUCGAUGGGUUCUGAGCUCUCCACCCUGGGCUUCUUUUGCAGCGGCCGACCUCCUGACCUGGUAAGGUAUCGUUUUGCCGGAGGCUUUGGCGGCGCUGACUUCACCGGGGGAGGAAUUGCUUUCGGCUGCGAAGGCUCUGGAGCAGAAUCUGGAACUGGCUCCUUUCGCAGACUCUUCUUGCGAUUCGAAGGAGAUGAAGAUUUAGCCCCUCGUGUUCUCGCCAUUUCGGGAUACCAAACUUUGGCCGACGUUGCUAAUCAGAGGAGAUGACCGGAGGCUUGGACAGCGUGGCUCACUGAAGAAGACGAACAACUUACGAGAAUGGCGCUCUGAUUUUUGAAACCCUUUUCGCAGUUCAAAUGACCGGUAUAAAUAGGAAAAACGGAAGCCUAAGGGUCAGUUUAAGUUUCGCAACAAAACGCCAAUUUCGCAGCAAAAUGCCAUUUUCGCAGCAACUUCGCAGUGCGUUUCGCAGCUGCGAAAUGAGAGUUCUUAUGCUGCGAAGUGGCACUCGUGUGCCAAAACCACUUUCGCAAUUGCGAAAUACCCUGCGGAAUGGGACUUUUGGUGCGAAAUCACGCUUUUCCACUUCGCAAUGCGUUUCGCAGCUGCCAAAUGGAUGCUACUGUACUGCGAAGUGGCACUCGUGUGCCAAAUUUGCUUUCGCAGCUGCGAAAUACCCUUGCAGAGACUUCUACAGUGUUGCGGAAUGGUUUGGCAACAAAAUGCUCAUUUCGCAGAAGCUUUCUUUAGCCUGUGAAAUUUCGCAGAGCUCUGUUUUUCCCCUGUUUUUGCUCUGUUUUGGCUCCGAUUUCGAUCCGAUUUUUUUUCUUUCAAUCUCCUUGAAAUUACUUCCACAUGGGAUCAUUUAAAACGAUUAAAACACACCUAAAAACAUGAUUUAAGAUCAAAAACUAAGAUCAAAAGUAUGGAAACAACUUGAAAAUUUACAAAAUUUACAAAAAUUUUGGAUUGUGGUAAACCACGUCCAACAAACCCUUUUUUGCUUAGGCUUUUUAAGGCUCAAGGAGGUUGAUCUCCUCCUUUUCUGGUUUGAAUGGCUCCAUGAAUGGCUUGAGACGAUACCCAUUGACUUUGAAGCUAUCAUUGCCAUUGGAAUUCAAUAAUUCCACCACUCCAUUGGAAUAUACUCGGUGAAUAAUAAACGGGCCUAUCCACCUUGACUUGAGCUUCCCAGGAAAGAUAUGGAGUCUUGUGUCAUACAGUAAAACUCUUUGCCCUUCCUGAAAUUCCUUGUUGGAGAUGAGUUGAUCAUGCCACUUCUUCAUCCUCUGUUUUGCAACUUUGGAAUUGAUAUAAGCAUUGUUUCUUAAUUCCUCCAUCUCAUUAAGGUCUAGAAAUCUCUUUUCUCCGGCCUUGAUCAAGUCCAUAUUCAGCUUCUUUAUUGCCCACCAAGCUUUGUAUUCAACUUCCACAGGGAGAUGGCAUGCUUUGCCAUAGACAAGACGAUAGGGAGACAUCCCAAGAAUAGUCUUAUAAGCUGUUCUAUAUGCCCACAAUGAAUCAUGAAGCCUAAUAGACCAAUCCUUUCUGUUGGAAUUCACCACUUUCAUCAAGAUGUUCUUUAUUUCCCUGUUAGCUAGCUCAACUUGCCUGGAAGUUUGAGGAUGAUAAGGUGUAGCCACCUUAUGCUUCACUCCAUACUUGGAUAACAGAGCUUCAAAAGGUUUGUUGCAAAAAUGAGCACCUCCAUCACUGAUUAUGGCUUUGGGCACCCCAAAUCUUGAGAAUAUAUUCUCUUUAAGAAACUUGAGAACCACCCUAUGAUCAUUUUGUUUACAGGGGAUUGCCUCAACCCACUUAGAAACAUAAUCCACCCCCACCAAGAUGUAAGAAUUACCAAAAGACAUUGGGAAAGGUCCCAUGAAGUCAAUGCCCCAAACAUCAAAUAACUCAACUAUUAGAAUGGGGUUCAUAGGCAUUUGAUUUCUUUUUGUUAGCUUUCCAAGCCUUUGGCAUCUGUCACAACUCCUACACAUGAUGUGGGCAUCCUUAAAAAGAGAUGGCCAAGUAAACCCUGAUUGCAAUACCUUCAUGGCUGUUUUCUGAGAGGCAAAGUGGCCUCCACAUGCAUGCUCAUGACAAUGAGAUAGAAUCCCUUACUGCUCAUCUUCAGGGACACACUUCCUAAUAAUCUGAUCUGAACAAUACUUAAAGAGAAAGGGCUCUUCCCAAUAAUAAGAAUGAAUUUUGGCAAAGAAGUGCUUCCUGUCCUAUGCAUUCCACUCACUUGGAAUUUCUCCAGUUACUAAAUAAUUGGCAAUAUGAGCAUACCAAGGAGUUUUCACUAGGAACAUGAGUGAUUCUUCAGGAAAAUCAUCAUUGAUAGGCAAGAGAUGGGAAUUAUGUGCUAUAACUAAUCUUGACAAGUGGUCAGCUACCACAUUCUCCACUCCUUUCUUAUCUUUGAUUUGGAGAUCGAACUCUUGUAACAAAAGAAUCCAUCUAAUCAACCUUGCUUUUGCAUCUUGCUUUGUCAAUAAAUACUUCAAGGCUGAAUGGUUAGUAAAGACAAUAAUGAAAGACCCCACUAAAUAAGCUCGAAAUUUGUCCAAAGCAAAUACCACAUCUAACAAUUAUUUCUCUGUAGUUGUGUAGUUCCUUUGAGCUUCAUUUAGUGUUUUACUUGCAUAGUAAAUCACAUAGGGCUUCCCAUCUUCUCUUUGGCCAAGCACAGCUCCUAUAGCAAAGUCACUGGCAUCACACAUCAGUUCAAAAGGUAAUUGCCAGUUAGGGGCUCUCACUAUUAGAGUUGUUGUUAAAAAUUUCUUCAGUUGAUCAAAGCUAUGCUGACACCUUUCAUCCCAUAUGAACUUAGCAUCCUUAGCUAACAACUCACAAAGAGGUUUUGAAAGACUUGAAAAACCUUUUAUAAACCGCCUAUAGAAACCUGCAUGGCCAAGGAACUGCCUUACUCCUUUUACAGUUGUUGGAGAUGGUAAUUUGACAAUAAGCUCCACCUUUGCUUUAUCAACUUCAAUGCCUUUUUCAGAGAUGAUAUGGCCAAGGACAAUUCCUUGACGUACCAUAAAAUGGCAUUUCUCCCAGUUGAGCACCAGAUCUUUUUCAAUGCAUCUAUGAAGAACUGCUUCCAAAUUAACCAAGCAUUCCUCAAAUGUACCUCCAUAUACGGUGAUGUCAUCCAUGAAAACCUCCAUAAUUCGCUCCACCAUAUCACUGAAAAUACUCAACAUACAUCUUUGAAAUGUAGCAGGUGCAUUGCAUAAACCAAAAGGCAUUCUCCUGUAAGCAUAUGUUCCAAAUGGACAUGUAAAAGUGGUCUUUUCCUGAUCUGCCAAAUCAAUUUCAAUUUGAAAAUACCCUGAAUACCCAUCCAAGAAACAAUAAAAUGGAUGUCCAAAGACUCUCUCCAGCACUUGGUCAAUAAAUGGCAAUGGAAAAUGAUCUUUCCUGGUUACAGCAUUCAGCUUUCUAUAAUCAAUACACACCCUCCAACCUGAAGUAAGGCGUGUAGUAAUUUCAUCCCCUUUUUCAUUUUGAACCACUGUGAUCCCUGACUUCUUUGGUACCACUUGAGUAGGACUCACCCAAGGGCUAUCAGAUAUAGGGUAAAUGAUUCCUGCUUGAAGUAGCUUCAGCACUUCAGCUCGCACCACCUCUUGUAGAUGAGGAUUCAACCUUCUUUGAAAUUGACGAAUUGACUUUGCUUCCUCCUCCAUAUAUAUAUGAUGAGUACAAACUAAAGGACUAAUGCCUUUCAAGUCAGAUAUUUGCCAUCCUAUUGCCUUCUUACACCUCUUGAGAACUUCCAUUAAACAAUUCUCUUGAUGACUGGUCAGAGAUGAAGAUAUCACAACAGGACAUUGAUUAUUUUCUUCAAGAUAUAUAUAUUUCAGCUCCUCAGGUAAAGGCUUCAGAUUGAGUUUUGGAAUUUCUUUUUCAACAGCUGCCUCUUCUUUAUUGAACAAAGGUAGAAUUUCUUCUAUCUUUCUCCAACUUUGUAGAGUAGCAAGCCCAAUAGGAGAUUCAGACAAACCUUCCUCAAAAUUCACAAGACUUUUAUUCAACUUGUCUUGCAUAUUUUGAUUACAGUGUUCCUCCACCAAAGUAUCAAUAAUGCACAGCUCUUCUGGACCCUCUUCUUCUUUCGGAGUGAUUUGCUUUUUAGACAUAUAGAAAAUAUUGAGAUCCAGUGUCAUGUUACCAAAAGUGAGUUGCAUAAGCCCAUUCUUGCAGUUGAUGAUUGCAUUUGAAGUAGCAAGAAAUGACAUUCCAAGGAUGAUAGGAACUAAAUUAGCUUCCUUUACGGUAGGAUCUGUAUCAAGAACAAUAAAAUCUACUGGAUAGUAGAAAUUAUCCACUUGAACCAAUACAUCCUCAAUUACCCCUCUUGGAAUUUUCACUGAUCUAUCUGCUAGAGAUAGAGUGAUUGUUGUUGGCUUCAACUCUCCAAGUCCCAAUUGCUUGUAGACGGAAUAUGGAAGCAAAUUCACACUUGCUCCCAAAUCUAGCAAGGCUUUCUCCACUACCUUUCCUCCAAUCAUGACUGAAAUGGUAGGACUUCCAGGGUCUUUGUACUUCAAAGGGGACUUAUAUUGUAAGAUUGCACUUACUUGCUCAGUCAAGAAGGCUUUCUUGUUUACAGUCAACCUUCUCUUGAUAGUACACAAGUCCUUUAGGAAUUUUGCAUACGUUGGAACUUGUUUGAUCAUAUCCAACAGUGGAAUAUUGACUUUUACUUGUCUCAAUACUUCAAGGAUUUCAACUGCAUUUCUCACCCCCUUUUCCCCAUGUAAUGCUUGAGGAAAAGGUGGAGAGGUUGAUUUCUUCAGCAUUUCUUCCUUCAUAAGUUCCUUCUUUGGAAUUGCAUUCAUUGUUGAAUCAGAGUCCUUCUUUUCUUCACUGAUCUCACUGUCUUUAUCUUCCAUUUCCUUCCCUUUCUUUAUCUCUUCUUCUUUCUCAACAUGUGGCUUGGGUGUUGGCUGCUCAAUUUUUUUACCACUCCUUAGAGUGAUCAAGGCUUUGACAUCUUUCAUCUGUGAUGAUUCUCCCUCUUGGCUUUCCACUUCAUGGACACCUUUGGGAUUUUGGUGAGGUUGAGAAGGAAAUCUUCCCUUUUCUUGCAGUGUAUUCAAAUUUGUAAGCCUUGAAAUUGAAUAUUGGAUGUUAUCAAACUUUUGGUUCAUAUCAUUUUGCAUUCCAUCCAUCCUUUUAUUCAACAUACUCUCCAUUCUAUCCAUUCUUUGAUCGACUCGAGCAUUGGUGGCUUCUUGCUUUCCAACAAAAUCUCCCACUACCUUAGUGAGAUUGGCUACUGCUUGUUCAAUACUUGAAGAUUGUUGAGAUGGUGGAUCCGGUUGUUGGUAUUGAGUUGCUCUGGCCUUCCAUGAGAAAUUUGGAUGAUUCCUCCAACUUGAGUUGUAGGUAUUUCCAUAAGGCGCAUUGUUAUUGGGCCUGAAUUGUCCAACAACAUUUGCUUGAUCUCUAUACAUUUCCCUUUCAGCUGAAAUUGUAGGGCAUUUCUCCACCAAAUGUUCAUAUGAUUGACAAUUGGGACACAGCUUCACUUGCACUGGUGCUUCAGCAACAGCUUGCACUUCAUGUAUUCUUUUCAGCUCCAGCUCCUCCAAUCUUCUUGUCAUAGCUGCCAACUUUGCUUUCAUAUCAUCAUCUUCUUUUAAGGUAUACAUCCCAGCCUUUGCAUUGUAAGCAUUCAACUGAGACUUCAUCUUUCCCACUUCUCCUUUAGUUGGUUCAUCCCAUCCCCUUGAAACAUCAGCUACAUAGUUCAAGAAAUCCAUAGCUUCCUCUGGAUUUUUGCUCAUGAAAUCUCCUCCACACAUUGUCUCGAGGAGUUGCUUCAUUGAGGAGGACAUACCAUCAUAAAAAUAGCUCACCAAUAGCCAUGUAUCAAAGCCAUGGUGAGGGCAAGCAUUUAUAGCUUCCAUGUAUCUUUCCCAACACUCAUAGAAUUUCUCAUUCUCUUUAGCUGAGAAGUUUGAAAUUUGCCUUUUCAAGCCAUUUGUUCUAUGAGUAGGAAAAAAUUUCUUGAGGAAUUCAGCUUGUAAGUCAGUCCAAGAGCGGAUCCUUCUUGGCCUUAAAGAAUUAAGCCAAAUUUUGGCUUUAUCCUUUAAAGUAAAAGGAAAAAACUUAAGCCUCAUCAAAUCAAUUGAAGCUCCUCCCUCUUGAAAUGUAUUACAAACAUCUUCAAAUUCCUUGAUGUGUGCAUACGGAUUCUCACUUUCCAUCCCAUGGAAAGUUGGUAGAAGUGGAACAAGAUACGGUCUGAUCACUAGCUGCUCUGUAGGGGGCACUAUACAUGAUGGUGCACUCAUACAAGGUGGAUGCAUGCGGUCCCUCAUUGAUCUGAAUUCAUUAAGAUUAUCUUGACGACCUUGGUGACUAUGCUGAUCUUCAGGUGUAGCUUCCAUGAUAUUCAAGAUCACUUCGAAUUCUUUUCUCUAAGGUGUAUCACACUUAACAAGCCUUCCUCUACUGUCUCGUAUCCACUUUGGCAUACACAACUAGUAUCUAUCUGCAACAAAAAAUGAAAACAGAGGACAACAAGAGAAACAGGGCUACAACAACAAAAUUAAACUAGGCUAAAUUUUAAAAGAUAAACUUAGAUUAUGAAUAAAUAAAGAAAGAAUGAAAAUUAGUAAAGUGAAAGAAACUUUACCAACUUGUGAUGAAAAUCCCAAGUGCUCAAAAAAUGGUAUCACUGUAAACUUGACUCAUUCCCCGGCAACGGCGCCAUUUGAUUCGUGCCCAAUUGGUGUCUCAGCUGAUUUGUGUCCAGCUAGUGCUCCUUGAUUGAGGGAGUAAUCAACAAAAUUUAUAACCUAUAACACCAUAUACUAGGGUAGCAAAGAAAAAGCUACUAUAGUAUAGUGGCUCUAGGAUCGUCCACUGGGAAAGAUUAACAAGCUCUCAAUGAUACCAAUUCCAAGUGAAUUGGUUUUGUUUCAUUUCAUGGUUAGCUUAAGAAGUAAAACACAAACUUUGAUUGGUAAAGGUUUAGACUUAAACUAACUAACAUAACAGAAGUUUGGAAUAAUUUAGGAAGAAAAACAUUACCUGGAGAGUUAGGUUCACUGGGGUGGUUCCUCAUGCAAAAGACAUAGCUCCGAUCAGAUGGUUCAUUUCCUCGUGUUAGAGAUUCAACAUAUAGUCAAUUCUCUAACCGGUGUUGUACAGAGACUCCUUCAAUUAGAUUUCACUUUAAUUCUCUCACUGAUGCAACUUGCAAUGGUUUAAGCCUCUCACUAAGCCUUAACCAUUCAAGGUGAUCUUUAACCUUGGAUUACCCGUUAAAAGCUCGCAAGAGAUAACUAAUGGAUGUCUCCUUAGAGUCCAAAAGCUUAUCAAGUGUUGGCUAUUCUAGAAAAUCCUACCUUGAAGUCACCUCCUAGAGGCUCGCAAGGGGUAAACUAGUGCACUUCCAUGGUUGGAAAUCACUUGCCUUACCAAGUGUUGGCCCAGGUGACUCUAAGGUGUUUUAAGUUAACUAAAAACAUAGAAAUCAUUAAAGGAUUUCACUUCCUCUUCAUUAAUAGCUAAAACCACAGAGCUUUGCAUUCUUGCACUUGGAACCUUCCCCGGCAACCUUAGCUCCAAGGAACUAGAGGUUUAGUUACUCAUUCUCUGAGGAAAACUCCUCAGAGAGUUCAUAACUUAGUAAGAAAAUGAAAAUACAAAGUGAGAAGGUAAGGUAGUAGAAAGAAAAUAAACUUUACUUGCUUACCCAAACUUUUUCAGAAGGAACUCCUCUCUGAGAACAGGCUCCCGAGAGGUCUAUAUAUGUACAUAAUAUAAAACUAAUUAUUACAUAGAUAUUUAGUCUUUUUACUAACUUAAAAGCUAAGGAAUCAUGUAAUUGGUGGUUUACAAGGAGUAUUUUGGGAUUUAGACAACAAAAAUCUAAUGGAAAAUAUCUCCCAAUAUCGGUAGCAAAUAUCGGGAGGCUUCAGGAACCAUUUCGCAGGAGAAAAAUGGUGUCUGCGAGAUUUCGCAGACACUCAAGAGGGUUGCGAAAUAAUUUCGCAACACCAAGCUAUCUUCACAAGGCUGCGAAGAUGGCUUCCACCUUGAGGUUCCCAGCUUCCUUCUCACGGCAUAAAUCGGGCAUCGUCAGAAGGAGAAACAUUACACUGUUCAAAAAGGCUGCGAAAUCACUUCGCAACAAAAGGGUGAUUUCGCAACACUUUGCAAAAUGCUUCCUUUAGCUCGGAGUGAUUGGCUUGUAAUGGCUGCAACUUCUUCGUUUCAACUCUGAAUUGCACACCGUUUGAAGCAUUGGAUUGUUGACUUCCUGAGCUUUGAAAUGGUAUAUAGAAUGCAUCAUUUGGACUUCAGAAAGUGUUCCAAAAGUGGCUGCUACGACUGUCAUCAAGAAUAUGCUGUAUGGCAGAUUCUCUUUGCUUUUUCUCCUUGCAAUCCGGAUUUACUCUUGGCAAAUGACUUCUAAGCUUUGCCCAAGAUUCCUCAUAGCUCUCCUCAGUCUUGACUUGCUUUGGUGAUCAAAAUACUAACAAAAACACCAAAACUUACACAAAGUGAUCAAAAUUGCUUUCAAGGGUCCUUAACAUGCCAAUUGAGUUAAAAGGCCUAAACUACUACUCAAAAGUGUUUAAAAGGAUUUAUUAUAGGCUAUCAAAUAGCACUUUUUGAGUAGUAAUCACAUACUAUAUUUUAUUUUAUUUUAUUAUUAAAAUAACUAAUGGAAAUAAAUAAAAAUGGAUAAUCAAUGAAUGAAAUUUAAUUCUUUUUAUUAUUUUCAUAUAAAAAAUAGUAUUAAACAAGGUUUUCAAUUUUUAUUUUUAAAAAUAGUUUUCAUUUAAUAAUUAAAUGUUUUUUCAAAAAGAAAAUAUAAAAAAUAUAAAUCAUAUUACAAGUUUUUUAGAAAGUAAUUUUUAAAAUAGUUUUUGAACAGAAUUUUUUUUUAUUUAUAAUUUAAAAUAGAAAAUAAUGCCAAUUCUCAAUAAUUUAUAAAAAAAUUAAAAACAAUAAAUAUUCCAAAUUGUUAAAAUAAAAUUAUUAUGGUUGCAUGAAUAGUGGUGCAAUAAAGACAAAAAAAAAAAACUUAUGUGAAAGGUCAUUGGGUAUUUUAAUCCAUUACUAUUUUAUAUCCUUAAAAGGUAAUAUAUAGAAAUUUAAAGGAUAUAUUGGUUUUUUAACAUCUUAUAUCCUUUCCAUCAAUUAUGAAAGUUAUAUAGACCAAAUGUUAAUUUUUGGACCUAAUUGGACUCAAAACACAAUUCUUCAAAAAAUGUAAGCGUUGACAAGAUGGCUUCAGCUUGACCCGCAUUGACCAUGCACCGAAAAAUCGGGAAAAAUGCCGAUAAAUAAUAUUCCACAAAAAUCCCAUCUCCGAUAGGCGAAAUAAGUAUAUUAUUUCUUGGGGUAAGGAAAAUUUUUAAUUUAAUUUAUGACAAAUAAAAUAUUUUUUAACUAUCGGAGCUGGAACCAAUAGUGACUUAUCGGCUAUCUCCAUGUUUGAGUGUAUGAUUAAAGCCCAUCUGUUCAGACCGGAGAGCCGACAUAUGGAAAAGAUGGGAUGAUUCUCAAUCUGCCAGCAUAAAAAUUGGUGCGUAAGCCAACCUAAUGACUAACGGGGUUGCUACCACCUAAGCCCCAUUGGCUUGGUUUACUUGUUCCAAAUCAUCAUCAGUGGACUUGAAGGGACCAGUACCACUAACACAGAAGAAUAGAUAACCUUAACUCUGCGCAACUUCUACUGCGGGAAAGUAAUGUGUUUAACAAAAGAUGGCAGUGUAACCAGAAAUUAAAUAUCAAAUCAUUUCUCUGCAAUGAAGACAACACAGUGACACAUAGACACAGUCACUGUCGCUACCAUAAUCACACUUGUUGUGGGGUUACUUUCUUUUGUCAAUAGGGACGAAAGAUAUACUAGCCACUCGCAUAAAUAAAUAUCUAUAGAAGGAUGGGAAAAACUGAAUGAACUAGCUCUUAGGUUGCCUUAGCAAUGGCUUGGCAACCUCAUUCUCAUUCCUAAUGCUUUUCAAUGCAUCAGAAGGGAUUAGUUGAGUGAGAUGAACAAGUGGAUGAUAAAAAAUUAAGAAAUAACUGAGAGAAUUCAUCCAGGAAUAACUUUAUAUGCAUACAUACCUUGUUGAUUGAGUUAAAAUACUAUUUUGAGUAUCAGAAAAAAGAAGGAUUGCAAGAGGAACUUUCUCAAAAUUUUAAUCUAAAUGGGGGCAAAUAUAAGAAGGUUAUAUCAAUGUUUUCAGAAUCGGACCGAUCAUUGAAUCGGAAAAGCUUUUAGUUAAUGGUUCACUUGUCGGACUGAUGGUCGAACCGCAGUUGAACCAAUGACGUCAUAAAUAUAUGUUAUAUUAUUUUAUAUAUUUUUAAAAUUUGAAAAAUUAAUAAAUUCUAUCUAAAUUUUAAUAGCAUCUACUUUGUUUGUUGAGUUUUUUUACAAAAUUUUUUACUUGUAGAAUUCAUCAAUCAUCAUAUAUGAUAUCUAUAACAUAAUAUAAGAUGUUAUAACUAUUUUAUAUAAAAGAAAUAUAUAUAAUAUAUCAAAUUGUUUAAUGAAACAUAAAAAAUAAUAAUAAAUUUUUUUUAAUUUAAUUCAUUAAAGAAAUGAAAGAUAUGUUAGGAUAGAAAGAAAAAUUUAAUAUUUAAUCUCAAUAAAAUUUAAAUUUGUUUAAAUAACUAAUAUAAGUGAGUGAUGAAUAUUUUUGUUUAAUAAUUAUUUAUAAUCUAAUAAUUAAGUGUUUUAAAAAAUAUGUUUGUAAAAAAAGAAAUAAUGAAUAAUAAAUAUUAAAUAGAUUUUAUUUAUUUUCUCACAACAUAAUCAAAUAUAAUUUAAAAUACUUCAAAUUUGUUAUUUAAAAAAAAAAACUGAUUUUUGGGAGAGUUGCAAACAGAGCCUAAUUGUCCUCCGUCUAGUUCUAAAUCCAAAAUCCGAAAAACGCUCCAUUGAUGAUCUCCUACCAAAAUCAAACUUAUACAUAUCAUAAAUAAACCAGACUCCAUGGUUGGGAUUGAUAAACAAUAUUGGUGAAUUAUGGGUGGCGAAAACCAAGUUUUUGAGUAGGUGCUGGUUAUGUUCCCAGAUGAGAUGUCAGAUCGCUGGCAGAUGGUCACCAAUCAUGUGAACGAAAGACAGUUGAAUCGUUGUAAGGUCUUCAAUCUUGAGAACGGAAGGGAGCUGUGCCAAUUGAAUUUGCAGGUUUUGUGGUCGUUGAUAAUGUCACGGUCUACGGUUAGGCUUCAUUGGCCUCCAACGAUGUUUGAGACCAUAACUCCGGGCCGCAGGGUUCAGAGGAAAAAACAGACUCCUAGGAAUCGCCGUCGGGUUCAGAUGAAGAAGCAAAAGUUGGAGAUCGUCACAGGGGAGUUGAAUGCACAAUUUGAGAGGUUUAUUGUUUUACAAGGGGUACCCAGCCACAAGGGAGGGAGGGGGGCGGGGAGGUUUCCAACGCUGGCGAGAGCUGUCUAGGUGUCGAGGGCUGCGACAUGUCAGUGGUGGGCGGAGCGGCAGACCGACAUUUGCUGUGGGGGGAUGAGGGAGGGUUUGUGAUAGGAUUUCAUGGUUAAGAACUAUAAAUGGGGGGUUGAAAAGACCUGUUUAUAUAUAUAUCUCUCUUUGGAUAAUCUCAGGACCAGAUGAUGAACACUUGUAAAUUCUUGUACUAAGAAAUAUACAGAGCUUUUGCUCUGCCUUUCCUUCUCAUUUUUGUUUUCACUUUUCUUGCUAGCCAAACAACCUUUGAGGAUGAUUUCUCAGGGGAUGAGUGGCUAGGUUUUACGUUUCUUGGAGUGAUGGAAGUUAGGUGAAGGACUUGAAUGCAAAGGUGGGAGUUGUCCUUACUUUAAACGAAAGUAGUUGUUCACCAUUAAUGGUUUUUAUUUCAAGGUUUAGCUUUAAAUCCCUUAAAAUCACCUUGAAUGGCCAAUACUUGGUAAACUUUUCGGAUUCUAUGGAUGCUUAUUGCUAGAUCUAUGGAUGUCUAUUAGUUAUCAUUUACGAGCCAUUGGAAAGUGGUUCAAGGUGAGGGUCUUUACUGUUUGAAGCCAUUAAUGGGAAGCAAUUACCAUUUUUCAUGAAUCCUUUGGAUCAAAUCUUAAUUGCUAAAUACAAAACCGGUUUGGGAGAUAACCAUCCUUUAUGUUAUUGUCCCCAACGUGAGGAGAAGAUCCAGAAUCUCCCCCUUUGCCUAAGGAACCCGAUCCUAGUGACCUAAAGCUCCAAGAGACCUUUUCUUUGUAGUUAACUUCACUUAUUGUUUUUGCUUAACUUAAAAUCAAUCUUUGCAACUACAAUUCCAUUUUCUUUAAAAACUAACUUUCAUAAGAAAAAACACCAUUUUAUUUCUUUCACUAAGUCAACUGUACGAUGAAAACCCAUUCUUGUGGAUGAUCCUAGAGCCACUAUACUAUGUUAGCUAUGCUACCCUAGUGUGAGGUGAUUUAGGUUUUAUAAAUUUUUUUGAUAACACCCAUUUGAGCCAGAAUCAAAUGGCAUGACUACAAUGGGGACGAAUCAAAUGGCGUUGUUGCCGAGGAUCAAACCUAGGUCACCCGCGUGAGAGAAGGGUAUACUCACCACUAUCAUUGGUUGAUUACAAGUAGAAAAUAGUAAAUUACACAAAAUAUCUGGAGAUAAAAAUCUAAUGGAGUCGGUGCAUAGGAAGAUUUCGCAUACCAUGCAAAAUUUCGCAUAGUGUGUGAAAUUCUUUGGCUGUUUUUUGUGGCUUCGCAUGGUGUGCGAAAUUUCUUCCUCUAGUUUUCUUCCUUGCAUUUCUCUAAUUGGUUUGACAAAAGACUAUGAAGUGCUCCAAAGCUUGGAUUCUUCAUGUAUUUGAGCUUCAACUUGCAUUGCCAUUGAUUUCACAAAAUUCUCCAUUUUCUUGGCUUGUUUCAAUGAUAAAAAAGCUACCAAAAACACCAAAACUUGCCAAAAACUAAUUAGUAACCCUCAAUAGGUUCCCUAAUGUGCCAAUUGAGUUAAAAGGUAUUAACUACUACUCAAAAGUGUUUAAAACAAUUAGUUUCAAGCUAUAAAAUAGUACUUUUUAAGUAGUAAUCAGUUUGGAGGUUAUAGCUUUGAUUUUCUUAUAUACACUCCAAAACGACGUCAUUUUGAUGCUAUUUUCUUUAAAAAUUAAUUUAAUUGAACCGGCUGGUUUAGAGGGAACCGAUCGGUUCAUACGACUCAUCGGUUGGACUGUCUGUUCAAGUGGUCCGACCCCAGUUUAAUGCAAUUCCAGUCCAAUUAACCGAACCGGACUGGAACCGUGACCGACUGAUGGUCAGACCAAUUGGUCGGGUCUGAUUUUUAAAACCAUGGGUUAUACAUCAAGAGCAUGGUAAUGGUUUGUAACCUAUAAAUCAUCAGAAAAAUAUAUACAAUUAAGUAAACUCAAAAAAUUAAUAAAAUAAAUAUGUCUCACAUUUAACAUUAUUUAAAUAGUUAUAAAAGUAUUCGCUCAAAGUUAUUUAUGAUAAUGAUAAUAAAAGAAAAUUAUUUUAUUUCAAAUAUAAUAACAUUUUUACUAACAAAUACAAUAAUCAAUUCCAUGUUGAAUGACGAGGGGGUUCAAAAUCAUCAUCAUCACUCCUACGACGAGUAUACAAAUUAGGAUGGUAAUUCUUGUAGUGAGGAUAUGGUUGAAAGAGUUGUUCAUAACUCGAAUAUGUUGGUUGAGAUGAUUGGCUUGAUGAUCCGUAAUUAGGAAAAUAUGGUUUCAAAGGCUAUUCGGGAUCAACACCAUAUUGAUAGUAUCCAAUACCUCAAUAGGCAAUGCUAUUGCUACUAGAAGAUUGAUCAUAUCCAUAGGAAUCACUAGCUCGUGUUCCAAUAUUUGAAUAUCCCUCUAGAUGCAUCAUUGGAAAUCGAUCAAAAUCAUUUCUACUAAAAGUACUGAAAGAGCUAUCACGGUCUCUAAAGUUGUGAUAUGAUCUAUCAUCUACUCCUCUUAAAUACGACCUUGUCCUAUACCCAAAUUCUAUAAGUGCUCAUCAAUACGGUGAUAAUUUGAUCUAUGACAACAUGCCCACUAGAAUAAUCAUCAUUGUUGGGAAAUGUAGUUAGUCUUUCCAAAUGCUUUCGUUGUUCCCAUAUCCUUGGUCAAUAUGCAUGAUUUGUAUCUUGUGUGGUAUAGUAAUUUUCAUCUCUUUGUGCCCAUGACAUGCCAUGAUCUAAUUGACUAACAUAACCGCCACUAGUGCUACCAUCUCCUCCAAUACCCUCACUAGUGCCACCAACUCCUCUACUGUCCCUACUAGUGCCACCACCCUGCUUACUACUCCCAUUAUCACCAUCAUCACUACUAGAACUUGAAAAAUUGUUCUAAGAGUCUUACCUUUAUGAUGGGAAUCAAUAUCUCUUUCUUGUGUAGCAUUACUUAUACGCCUACAAACUCUGCGAUUUAGGGUACUAUCAUCUUCAUGAAUUGUUCCUCUACCUUCUUCAUUAGGGGUAAGACCUUUAUCCAACCAAUCCAAAUUAUCAGAUGAAAAAAUAGGCUAUUUUCCUUCUCGUAUUCACUCAUCUAAUAUAUCAUCAUCAUUAAAGAUAUGAUUCAGAUAAAUUGGAUUGUAUAAAUCUUCAUUGUUUCGCUCUUGCAUCAAAUUCUUAACUCAAAGUCUCAUAUUGUAGUGCACAUAAACUAACUUAUGCAACUUUUUCAUUGCCGAACGGUUGCACAGCUUUGUGUGAAUCAAUGACCAUGUGAUCUAAUUUAUUUAACAACCUAAUGAAGAACAAGUUUGGCUUAAAAUUGUAACAGUAAUCUUUUGUAGAUGUGGACUUUCGUCGUCAUAGUUGUUCCACCAUUCGGCUAUAAUAAAGAAAAUGCAUACUUAUUAAUCACUAUGAUAUAUUUAACAAAAAAUGAUGAUAAUUUCUUAUUUGUAAUAGACAUAAAUGUAUUGAGUACUUGGAAGAGAAUGAUUUAUUGCUUUCUUUGUAAGUGCACUUCCAAAUUCUCCUUGGCAGUCAACAAAUAAUUUCACCUACAUCAUUAACAUUUUUUUUUUGUUAAUGCACAUUACAUAUACAAAAUGUAUUAUAUAAAGGUCACAAAUUAUUAUUAUACCUCGUUAAUAGCUUUUGCUUGUCUAUCCCAAUCUAGCUAUAAUCUUUUGAUAACCUCCUUUAAUCCAAUUUUAAUUUAUGGAUGGUUGGAGAAAUACUUUGAAUAUUGGAAGAUUGGAUUUAAAAAAUAUGCUACCAUAAGUUAAAUAAUGAUCAGUUUAUAAUAAUUUGUACUUUAAAAAAAUAAUAAAAAAUAUAUAAAGAUUUUUUUAUAUUACCUGUAGCAUGCAAAUGUCUGUGCAAUUGACCUUCCCAUCUUCUAUCAAUGACUUCCCAAUACUUUUCCCAUUGCUUGACCGAUGCCUUUAUAGCCAAUUUAGUUCUAUCCAUUGUUUCACAAAUGAUUGAUAGUAUGGGCUUUUUAUCUUGAUCAACCAAUUUCAAUACUUUGACGAAAGGUUCCAUGAUGGUUUGAACUUCCCCCGUCUUCUUCCAAAAUUGAUCAGUUAAGAUAAGAUUGGAUACCUUAUCUCUUAGACUUUUUUUGCUCCUAUCUUUAUUUAAUUCACUCCACUCAUUUGUUGUGCACAUUCUCUUCAAAUCAACCUCAUAAUGUAUAAGACUCUUAAGUGAAAUGAAUUCAGUGGCAAAACAAGUUAUUCCUAACCUUAACAAAUCUCUAUCCUUGGUGAACACUUUCAUCAAAUUCACUACUUUCAAGCUAUUAUAAAUAAAUCCUAUGAUCAUCUUUACUUGAUCUAAUGUCUCCUUAAUCUACUUCAUGCUUGCAAUAUUUUCAAGCAUUAAAUCAAUACAGUGGGUUGCACAAGGAGACCAAAACAAAUGUUUUGACUUCUCUAUCAACAACAUACUAGCUGCUUUAAAACUUGCCUCAUUAUCAGUGACUACUUAAACAACAUUUUCCUCCCCAACCUCCUCUACAACUUUAUCCAUAAGGGAGAUGUAGUUUGUUGUCUUAGGUAUGUUGGUAGUGUCAACUGAAGAAUGGUAUAUCAUACUUCUAUCACAAUAAAUCAUGAAAUUGAUGAUAAGCUUUCUAGUCCUAGAACUCCAACCAUCACAUGUGAUUGUGCACCCAUAUAUAGGUCAUUUAGCCUUCAAUGUUGUUAUAUACACCUCAAGCUCUUAUACCUCCUCUUCCAAAUAUGUAUUUCCAAUUUGGUAUCCCGUGAGACCCUUGAUGCCUGGACCUGCUUCUGCUAUGGUACCAAUCAUUGAUUGAUAGUAAGGUUCACUAUCAGCUACAUUAAAGAGUAUUGUAUUAAAGAGAAAGAAUUUAGAAAUAGUUUUACCCACUUUUUUCACGCCUUUGGUAGAAAACAAGCUUUCUAUUGAUUUCUGCUUUGAUGGGAAGGGAUCAAUUCCUUUUGGAGGUAUGCUAGCUCCUUCUCUUACACUGAAGCUACGUUUUGGUCCGCACUUAAUCCUAGUAUUUGUAUUUGUUACAUCCAUGCCUUCCUAAUCAUUUUCAAAAGAUCACCUUUUUUAUAUAAUAUAGAAAUAUUUGAUUAAAAAGGAUUAAAUAAUUUGUAAAUUGUGAAUUUAACCCUUCUCAUGUUUUUUCUUAAAAAAGUAACUCAAUUUUAACAUAAAUGUCAUUUAUUAUUUAAAGUAUUUACAUAUAGGUUUUUAAGGAGAUGAUUAUUUUUACAAGAAAUUAAUGAGAGCAUUUGUCCAAAUGAGGCCAAAAAAUGGUGGAAGGUCAAAUUUCAAAAAUUGGGUAUUCAAAAACUCUUUUAAUCAAAUAACCUUAUAAUAUAUUACCAAAGACUAACAAAACAGUUUUUUCCCGUUAAUUUCAAUCCAUUAAUUGACCUUUUUUUAUAAAAGAAAAAAAGAAUAAGAAAAAGAAAACACUUCUAAUGAAAUCGUUGCUAACAAAAGUGCUAUAAAUAAAAAAGUUUUAUGGUAUUUGUUUGACAACAAAUUUUAUGAGAAUAAUUUUUUCGUAGUAAAAUAUAUUUGACCAAAAAUUUUAUUUUAUUGUAAGAGGGCGAGCUUCCACCAUAAAUUUUAUUUUGGCAAAAAGUUAUUUUUUGAUAUGUCGCCAUAAAUUGUAUUUUGUGGUGAAAAGUAACUUGUUGUCACAAAUUUUAUUUUGUAGAGAAAUUAUUUAUUUUAUUAUGAAAUUAAAUUCCAUGGUUAAAAAUAAUUGUUUAUGAACUUACAACAAUAAAUUUGCACCAAAUAAUUUUUUGUGGAAAAAAAUCUUUUACUAUAUAUAGAACAUUUUUUUAAUCACAAAUUAAUUUAUGGCAAAAUCCCAUAUUUCACUUUCAAUGAUCUAGUUUAGGAAUUCCAUGGAUAUCACUUUAAUCGUUUAGCACUUUCUAACUAAGGAAGUUGAAGCCAUUUAGAAAUUGGUUGUUUUAGUAACAAAUUUUAGGUAUUUAAAAUUAUGUUGUUAAAAAGUAUUCUAAAAACUAAUUAAAAAUAUGAUAAGAUAAAAAUAAAAAAAAAUAAAAAAUUGUUUUUUGUUUGAUAAAAACCAUUUAAAAAAAAAACUAUGAACAGAAAUAAUUAUGUAGUAGUUAGAUUUUAUUUUACCCUAUUAGGGGCUACUCCCGAAAUCCACUUUUUGUUUUAUUUUAUAACGUGUGGUAGAAUAUGGAAGAGAUUCAAAUUUAGUAGGUGUUUAUUUUCUAAUCAUUUAAAUUUAUUAAACAAUUUUUUUAUUUAUUUAAUAAAAAAAGUUAUUAAUUAGUAUCAAACAUGAGUCAUUCCUACACUAGUAGUACAUGAGAGUCUCCUUGUAGUGGAAGAGUUAUUAAGUUCAUAUCCUAUUAAGGCAAUUUGAGAGAAACAUGAAGCCAAUUACCAAUGGGAAGUAGGUUCCUUCACUCUACAGACAUGUUCAUAUGCAAAUGUAAGAAUGAGAGACUAUGCCAAUAGCUAAAAUUGAAGGUUCUUGAGAGGGAUUUGGUUGAAAGAUUUGAGCACUGAAACACUCAUGAUCUGAUUUGAAUGAGAAAACAAUCAAAUGGUAAAUACAUAAAAAGUCAAUUUGACAUGAUAAAGCCACUCAAACCUCAAUCUUGGUGGUGAUGUUUAUCGUGGUGUGCAUGCGUGUUAAUGUUUAGUGAUAUUAAUUCAUGUAACUUUAUAUUUUCCAUGAAUUAAUAUUGGAUUGUUUAAAAUUGAAAAAAAAAUGGAAAAUUUUAAAAGUUAAUAACAGAAAAACUAAAAGAACAAUUGAGAAAUAAUAGAUUUAUAUAACUGUUUUCUAAACGCACAUGCGUGUUAAGGUUUUGGGAAUGAAAGCACACCUCGGUGCAGAGUGCAUGGAAUUGCCAAUAUUUUUGGCAUCAACGCAGACUUCUUGAUUUUCCCAAAGUUGGGGCUUGAAACUCCUAAUAUUUUGGGAUCAACGGCCCAUAACCAAGUUUUCCUAAAAAAUAUUGAUAGAUAUUUUGACAAAAAUAUUGAUAGAUAUUUUGACAAAAAUAUCGGUCAUGUGAUAAUUAUUCAAAAUUCAUGAAAAUAUUUGAAAAAAAAAAUUUUGAGGAUAGUACACUGGUUUAAAAACAAGUGGCCAAAACCAACUAUAUUAGAAUUUAGACCUUUUUUUCUUUUUAAAUGAUUUUAUUUCAAGGAUUAUAUAAUGGGCCGAAACUCCCGGCUCAUUCAAAAGUCUUUCUGUAGCACAAAUAUCUUUUAGGAAGAAGGUUAGAUUUUGGGAGAAUUGUGUUUUGGGCCCAGCUGGGCCAAAAAAUUAACAAAUGGUCCAUCUAAUUGACCUAAUUAAUGAUAAGGAUAUCAAAUGUUAAUAGACGAAAAUGCCCUUUACAUUUCCAAUUCAAAUUGUUGUAAAUUAAUGGGUUUCACAGCUGGUAAACGUGAAAUGCCAUGUCACCAGAGUGAUAAAGCCACUCAAACCUCAAUCUUGGUGGUGAUGUUUAUCGUGGUGUGCAUGCGUGUUAAUGUUUAGUGAUAUUAAUUCAUGUAACUUUAUAUUUUACAUGAAUUAAUAUUGGAUUGUUUAAAAUUGAAAAAAAAAAUGGAAAAUUUUAAAAGUUAAUAACAGAAAAACUAAAAGAACAAUUGAGAAAUAAUAGAUUCAUAUAACUGUUUUCUAAACGCACAUUAGAAUUUAGACCUUUUUUUUCUUUUUAAAUGAUUUUAUUUCAAGGAUUAUAUAAUAGGCCGAAACUCCCGGCUCAUUCAAAAGUCUUUCUGUAGCACAAAUAUCUUUUAGGAAGAAGGUUAGAUUUUCACGUUUGUCAGUGUUCCCCCACCAACCAUACAGGAUGUGACAAUCCUCCAUGUAAUAGUCAUGGGCCCAAGCCCCAUGUCUGUCUAAUAAUUGCAUUAGAAUGUGAAUCUCCAACAUCAGAUCCCUGGAAUCACCGGCAAAACCCAUAGUGGAUGUGGCUCUACCUCUCCAACAAAAGAUUUGAAUAGAUUUGAACCCUAAAAAAUAUGUAUAAAAUACCACUUCAUGAAUAAUAUUUUUUCAAAAAGUAUCGAAAAAGUACACUUUAAUAUUAGACUCAAAUCUUAAUAUAGCAGUUGUCACAAUGACCUUGUUUGGGCUAAAACUAAUGAAGAAGGCAAUAUUUGUGUAAUAUUGGUUUUGUGUUGAAUAUGAAGUAACAUCAUAUUGGUUUUGUGUUAAAAUGUCCAAUCACUUGAUUUUCAAUAAUGUUGAAAUGUAAACUUUAGUAUCUUUUAACAUUUUUCAUAAGCCAAAUCAAAAACUAUAUAUAUGGUUGAUGGUAUAAUUUUUUAUUUUUUAUUUUUUUGGAGAACUAUGCAAUUACACCAACUUAAAAAAAAAAAUUCAGAAAUUAGAAGUUUAAAUUUUACUUUUUAAUUUAAGUGUACUAUCCAUUCAUGUAUUCAAGUAUAAGCCAUAUUUAGGAAUUCCAUGGAUAUCACUUUAAUCGUUUAGCACUUUCUAACUAAGGAAGUUGAAGCUAUGUAUGGGAAUGAUAAUUGACAAAGAGUAAUAUGUACUAUAAAAGCCCACACAAGUGCAAGCUUUCUUCCAUUGCAUCAUUCACCACAUUUUUUUCCUCGAAUUUUGUAUUGUCACAAAUGAAUGACUCAAUUCCAAGCCUCUCCAACGGUCCGGGCCGGGCCGCCCGGCCUGGAGGAGUCAGUCCCGUGGCCCAGCCCGGGCCGGGCCACUGAGCCCGUUGACUGGUCAACGGGCUGGGUCGGGCCGGGCCUUGGUAUAUCUAAGCCAAUGGGCCCUCAAGCUGGGCGGGCUUGGCGGGCUGGGCUGGCGGGUUGGGCUGCGGGGUGGGGAAAAAAUUUAAAUAAUUUUCAGUUUUGAAGAGAAGGGGAUUUGAACCCCUUCCCUUAUGGAACCACAAGGGAGCUAGCCACCAACUGAGCUGGGCCUUUUUUUGUGUAACUAUUUUGCAUUAGUUAUAUAUAUAUAUUAGAAAUGUUGUAUGAUUUUUUUAAAAAAUAAAAGUGAGUUGGCGGGCCUACAAGCGGGCCAGCCUGUCGGGCCGCGGGCUUUUUGGAGAGGCUUAGAGUCAAUUCAUUGAAGGAGCUAGCAUCUUUUGGUCCUUCAACCUUUAUAUGUAAUGGUGGUUGCAUGGUAAAGUUGAUAAUUCUAUUUGAUAGGUUUCUGAAUCUAGACGCUUUGUUUAACGUACAAAUUUGGAAUUUGAUUUGACCAACUUCAUGUAAUUUUUGUAAAAAAAUAAUUAAAAAUUCAUGAUGAUUUAAUGCAGAGGGUGGAAGUCAGCAUGGGAAUAGUGUACAUUUUGAAACUUUACUUUUGACUUUUCAAGUUUAUUAAUUUUGUAUGUUAAAAAUAAUAUCUGAGGAGUGAGGACAAUGAUUUUAGAUUAAAAUCAAAAUUUGACAAAAUGUCAGUGGGGACUUGGGACAAAUAGUGCCCUGUGCUAUAAAAUCCAUGUUUCUUGCUGCUAUUUUUCACUCAGACGCACGCUUACAAGUCUGCUUCUCUUCCAUCCCUCACUCUGGCAUACAAAGACACUUAGAAUUAGUUAGCAUUCAUGGGUGGUGGAGAUUUCACAAUAAUAGUGAGCAGGAAGGAAGUAGUGGCAGCUGUACUGCCUGUGCAGAAGUACUGGCUACCGCUAUCUAACCUGGACUUGUUUUUGCCUCCAGUAGAUGUGGGUGUGUUUUUCUGUUACAAGAAGCCACAUGAUUUAACAUUUGGGUCCAUGAUUGGCGUUCUAAAGGAGGCCUUGGCCCAAGCACUGGUGUCCUAUUAUCCAUUUGGAGGAGAAGUUUUGAGUAACUCAGCAGGUGAGCCCGAGCUCCUUUGCAACAACCGUGGGGUUGAUUUCAUGGAAGCUUAUGCGGAUGUACAACUACAAAACCUCAACUUGUAUAACCCUGAUGAAAGCAUUGAAAGCAAGCUUGUCCCUAAGAAGAAACAUGGCGUUCUGUCAGUCCAGGUAACUCUCUCUCUUUCUCUAUGAUAUGCUAAUCCUAAUUAGUUGUAAUCAUGACAUGCUUAUUGUUAUGUAAAUGAACUAAUGACAGGUGACUGAGCUCAAAUGUGGCGGAGUUGUGGUGGCCUGUACAUUCGAUCAUAGGAUAGCAGACGCAUAUUCUGCCAAUAUGUUUCUAGUUUCAUGGGCUGAAAUGGCUCAGUCCAAACCAUUAUCAAUACUAUCAUCUUUCCGGCGUUCUCUCCACAACGCUCGAAGUCCGGGCUCCUAUGAUCCUUUCCUUGACGACAUGUACGUCCCCAUGUCAGCCUUACGUCCUCCCAAAGCUCCACAGUCUGGUGAUGAUCUUCUCAUAAACCGCCUUUACUAUGUCACAGCCGAACAACUCAGUCUACUCCAAUCACUAGCUACCAGCAAGAGUAGCCCCUGCAAGAGGACUAAACUAGAGUCUCUCAGUGCUUUUCUAUGGAAGAUGGUGGCCAAAAGUGCAAUCACGGAAGACGCAAACCAAAAAAUAUGCAGGAUGGGCACCGUGGUGGAUGGAAGAAAGAGACUGAGCAAUGGAGAUGAGGUUAAAGCAGCAAUAAUGGCCUCUUACUUCGGAAAUGUGUUGUCCACCCCCUUUGGUAAGAAGACAAUAAAUGAACUGAAAGAGAAACCAUUGAGCUAGGUGGCAGAUGCAAUUCAUCAGUACCUGGAAGGAGCAGUAACAAAGGAGCAUUUCCUGGAGCUGAUAGAUCGGGUGGAGGCUCACCGUCCGGAGCCAGCUUUAGCAAAGAUAUACAGUAGUGGCAGUCGCGAUGGACUGGCAUUUGUGGUGUCAUCAGGGCAGAGAUUCCCAACGUCAAGGGUGAAUUUCGGGUGGGGUAUGCCGGCUCUAGGGUCAUACCAUUUUCCACGGGGUGGGGAAGCUGGGUACGUGAUGCCAAUGCCGAGUCCUGUCAGAGAUGGAGACUGGGUGGUGUACAUACACCUCUUCGUGGGGCAGAUAGAGUGGAUUGAGACUGAGGCUACUCACAUCUUUAGACCCUUAAGUUCUGAAUAUCUCAACUUGAGCAACUCAGAUUAGCUUACAUUUAUCACUUCCUAUUUGUUCACUGUCCCUCACAAUGUUUGUUAUUGUCUCCAUCUCUAUUUACUGAUUGUCAUCGGCUUAAUGUUAAAUAUCCGUUUAAGAAGAAGCCCGCCUGAUUUAGAAGCCCCGAUUUUUUGUGGCUUGUCUAUUCCAAUUUCCAACCUCGUUAAUUUUCCUCCUCUAUUCAAAAUUCUCUAUGAACAUAAAUAAUACAUUAAUUGUGGGAUUAGUUUUGGCAAAUAGGAAGUAGUUGAAAUUUAUGGAGUUAGGUUCGACUAAUGAAAAAGACGUAACCCAAGUGGUAUUUUUAAUUCAAAAAAACAUUUUAUAAAUAUUUUAAUUUUUUUUUAAAAAAUAAAUUGUUAUUAAUAAAAAAUUUACUAAAUCAUAAAGAAUAUAACUAUUUCCAAGUAAUAAGUCUUUUGUACGUGCUUAAAAAAUGAGAUAGAUAUGAACCUAAUGAAGUACGAUUUUUUUAAACAAAGUGAAAAAUUUAAAAUCAAAAAAUCAAAAUGGGAGCAGUCAAUUGGGAAAAUUUGUCCUUUUCUAGACUGCAAAAUGAGUGUAGGCUUCUACAGUUGCUGCAUUCUAGUUGAUGUGUGAUGAAAGGUUUGUGCCCACAAUGGUGCAGAUCCAAACAGCUAUUUACAAAGGGUAGUGUUGAGGCCUUGCGUCUCGAUGAUCCACGUAGCUGCCAAAUGGACGCACACUUUCAACCAAGAUAGAUUUCUGGUUCAGUCGUCCCUGCAAAAGAUGUCCGGACACACCCUCCGAUGGUUUUGUCAGCCAUGUCUAGAGAGAUUAAGCAGUUGACCUUUUACUAGGUAUAGCAAGCUUACCUUUUUCCUUGUGUGAAGGUUCCUUUAUAUAGUGUCAGAAGCUCGUCCUCCCUCUUUAAUGAUGGGAGGACUUUUUGGCUCGUCAUGAUGACUCCAAGGUGGUGGCAGGGCCAUCAUCACCCUGUGGGCGGCUGUCAGAGAUCGUGGGAGGUGACUUGCCAUCAUUCCUGUCCUUUCGCUCUGCAGGCGGAGGAUCGUGGGAGGUGACCUGCCACCACUCCUAUCCUUUCGCUCUGCAGGCGGCAGAACGUGGGUUGUGGCAGGCUGUCGGAAUGAUGUAGCAAGACUUGCUCACCUCAGUCAAUGAUCCGGAUAGGAUAUGUUACCAUCCGGGCGUGACAUUCGCGAGUGAUGUGUGCUUCUCCCUGAGGGAGUCCGGAUAGGGGAACGCGCCACAUGUCCUCUUGGAGAGUCCGGAUGGAGUUUGAUCCGGAUAGCAAUGCGUGCCACAUGUCCCACUUUGGAGAGUCCGGAUGGAGUUGCUUCGGAUAGCGAAGCGCGCCACGUGUCAUCAGGGGGAGGGGUCCCUACAAUGCCCCCCUUUUAACCUAUCGAUUUAUCCCGGGCAGAAUGGGCGGGUUAAAAAUGAUUGUUUUUGAAACUGCGGUUACCUUUUGCACUCAUUGGGCCACGUGGUGCACGGGGGCGAAAAGGAAAAUAGGGUAUUUAUGACGAGCCGCCGUCUCUGGGAUUUCCUAGGCAGCAUGUCUUUUCAGCAACGGCGCGGCUGGACGUUUGGGAUACCAAGGGGCUGUCUCACUAUAAAUAACAAACUGAGCCCUUCACUCUUGCAUUUUUUUCUUCUGCAUUUUUUACUGGUAGUGCUUUCUCUUCAGCCUUCUGCAUACCUUCGUUUGUGAGCGAGGUUCUAGGGUUUCUAUUACCAACAUUCGUGCCGUGACGGUGACUACAUCGCGGACUUUAUCUCCAUUUUCCCAGUUUACGCUCGGUACGUUCUCUAUCCCUGCCUUCUUCUUACUGUGUUUGUUUUUGCGGUUGCUUUUGGCUUGUUGGGCAAGUUUCUUGCGACUGGGAGUCAGUAUUGGUUUCUAGGGCUUUUUCGGGGGGUUUUGAUCGUGUUUUGGGUGCGUUAGGGUUUCUAUUGCCCCCUUGCACCUUUUGUGGGCUGCCGAUCCUUCUUUGGGGUAGAGUCAAGGGUUAGGAUGGAGAUGCUGGUUAUGUUAGGUUUUCUGAGCGUCUUCACUGCUAAGGUUAUUUUUUUAUUGUUGGCAUUCUAUCAUGCAGGUUUCGUUUUAGUCCCACUCUAAAAAAUGUCGGCGAACAAGGGUGCUGCUUCGUCUAGCGAGGCUGAGCAGAGCGGCAAAGAUGCGUCCGGAGAGGUCCACGCGGAAAAAUCCGUGGACAAGUUGAACGUGAGGGAGUUCUAUGAACACUUCUGCAUCCCAAACGGCAUGUCCAUUCAGCUUAUGGACGGGGAGGCCGUGUCCACGGAGAAAUCUGCGAACAACGCUAUCUUCUUCAACAAGGAGCAAUUCAAUGCUGGGCUCCGGUUCCCCCUCCCAUUGUUGUUCAAAGAAUUUCUCCACGUCACCUGGAUCCCAACAUGGUCCGGGUGCUGAUGGGGUGUAGCAUUCUGAGCAUGCUGUUCAACCUGGACCUCUCACUACUGGAGGUUCUUUUUAUCUACUCGAUUAAUAAGAGGAAGAAUGAUAUCUAUAGCUUUGUCGCCAGCCUUCCAUCCCUUCAGUUGGUGACCAGCCUUCCUGACUCGACCAAGGGGGUCGCCAGAGGACACGUGAUGGUCAAGGGCGUAUGGGCGGGUUUGACGGAGCAUCCGGACAGGCAGUUUGCUCCAAACCAGUCAUUGAAGGCCCCAGGUAUGAAUAAGUUGCUUCCUGUCCUCCCGUGGUUGCGAGUUAGGUCAACAUUAUUAGGUGGCUGACAUGCUUUGUUCUCUUGGGUGCAGACAAGGAUAGAAGGGGGAAGUUGGUAGAUUGGGUGGAAAAAGCUUCGUUCGACCGGUUGAACAGGGUAUUUGAGAUUGCGGCGGACGAGAGGAGCUGUGAAACGCUUCUCUCCGCGCAGAAUCUCUGCUUGGUUACCCAAGAGCCCCAGCCAUUCGUACUCAACAUACUUCCAAGGCGGCUUCCCAAAAAUGUGGUGGCUGGGGAGCAUUUCAUUCUCAAAGAUCUCCCAUUCUACACGGCGGUGCGAAAGGCAGAUGCCCAAGCACGCAAAGCACUUCUCAACGAACGGGAGGAGAAAAGACAAGAGGGGACUUUGCGGAAGGCCCCUAGUGAUAAACGCUCCGCGCCCUCUCCUCCUGUUGGCGCUCCAGCGGGAAAGAAGAAGAAAGUUCCCACUAAGGGAAAAACAAUAAAACCUCCAACUCCCACAAAGGAAGUAGUAAUAAAAUCGCCAACUCCCACAAAGGGAAUAAUAAUAAGACCUACAGCUUCUUCCGGCUUGCCCUCUGUUUCAAGCGGUUCCGGACAUAUCGCGUGUCUAAAAGGAUCGGGGCCUUCAAUGCCAGCGGCUGAACAGAUGGCUCUUCUGGCUGAGGAAGCAACCUCAGUGUAUCAGCCGGGCUUUUCCCCUCCGGACGCGGAUGUAGACGGGGCCUCUUGUGCUGAAACGUUGCCUCCUAUGGCGCCUCUAAUGGAAGAAACGGGGGCUGAGAGGCAGGGUUUGCCCCCUUGCGAGUCAAGCUCCCUUGCCCUUGUACCGGUGAAGGGGCCAGCUACGAGGAGGUCUCGUCCAGCCCGCGAUUUAAAGUCUGGCAUCAGUGGGCGGCUUCAGGGUCGUCUUCUGGAAACCAUCGAAGUCAGCUGCUCAUCCGCCCAGGAAGAUCAUCCAAAGGAGUGUGAGCCGGAGAUGGCGGAAGAGAACCCAACCGACCCGAUGCUGGUCCCGGAUGAGAGUUCGCCCGAAGAAACUCAGCUGACCGUGAAUGAUGGGGGCCCAGAUCCAAGGGAGGAGUCACACCAUAACGCCUCAUCAGAAGGGAGUCCCGUUGAUGAUGCGACUUGCACCUCCGCUAGCCCUUCCAACUAUGCGGAGUUGGAAGAAAUGUUGAAAUGGAUUCCACCCGGCUCAAAAUGUUGCUCUACCUUCAGCAAAAAUGUUUGAGGCGACGGAAAUGGUAUAGUUUACUCCUCUUUAUUUUCUUGUCAUACUAGUCUGCUUGUCACAUGGUUUGUAAUUGAACUUCUUGUUGUGGGUUUUUCUGCAGCUGGUGAGCGGUAUUCGCGGCAUGGUUCAGCAACGCGAUCUUUUUUCAGACCUGCUGUGGAUUUUCGACCACAUGAAGGCCUUCGUCUCCCAGCACAUGAGUGGUGAAGAAGAAUUGCGCUCGAGAUUGGAGCAGGCCAAAGCCAGCUUAUCCGCUGCCCAGAGAGCCUCUGAAGAAAGUGCCGAAGCGUUGAAGAAGUCGUAGGACGAAAGCGAGGCUCUCCGGAUAAAGCUAGCAGAGGAAAAGAGACGGGAGGAAGCUACGGAAGCUCGUCUGCACGAGGCGGAGGACGAGGCGGCCCAGCUGAGGGGGGAGGUCAGACAACUCCGGACAGAGGUGUCAAUUGAGAAAAAAUAGAAAGAGGAAUCGCAGUUGCGUUUAUCAGCACAAAAAGAAGAGCUGGAGGCUGAGUUUGCUGCGCAAAGGGAGGAACUCGAGGCGGAAUACCAGAAACAGGUAGAUGAGAUGUAUCUCUUUGGCUACCGUUGCUGCAUGAAGAAGCAUGGUAUCAAGCGAGACGUCCCUUCGAUUCCUCCUAGCGAGGAAGAAAAGUUGCGCGGCAAGCCUUCCCAAUAAGAGCUUUUCUUUUUGUAACCUUUAGUGCUAUUUCUCUUUGUAUUUGUAGUCCAGAGGACCUUUUUGUAUACAUUUUUCACAAGUAUUAAUAAAACAUACUUAUUCACAUUGUGCUUCUAUCUUUCUUUCAUUGGUAAUACUGCUUUAAAUUGGAUACAUUCCAUGGUCGGAGCAAUGGGGUUCUGUCUAGCUUCUAUAGAUGAUAAGCUCCACUUUCACUUGUCUUGGACACUAUAUAGGGGCCUUCCCAAUUGGCUUGAAACUUUCCUACUCUUGUCUCAGCAGUGUUUUUGAAGACCUUUCUAAGAACCAACAUUCCACUUUUGAAACUCCUGGGCCUUGCCUUGCGAUUGUAGUGAGUUGCUGCCUUUUGUUGAUAGUCGGCCAUCCGAAUGGAUGCAGUCUCUCUUACUUCAUCUGCCCAGACUUCUUCCAAAUUCUGCAUUUGCAUCAUCCUGGAAUCCUGCCUCAGUCCGGAUAGUGGGUAGCCCUAAUUCUAUAGGAAGGAAUGCGUCUAUACCAUAUGCGAGGGCGAAGGGAGUGUUUCUUGUUGGUCGUCCGGGUAUGGUUCGAUAAGCCCACAGGACGCCGGGUAGCUCCUCCACCCAUUUCCCUUUGGCUUGCUCGAGCCUCUUUUUUAAGGCAGUUAUUAGGGUCUUGUUUGUAGUCUCUGCUUGUCCAUUGCUUUGAGGAUAACGCGGUGUGGAGUAUGAAUUCCAGAUGUUUAGUUUCGAAUAGAAAUUCCAGAAAGCUAUGCUAUCAAACUGUGGACCAUUGUCAGCUAUAAUGGUUUAGGGGAUUCCAAAGCGGCAGAUGAUGUUCUUCCAUACGAACUUGGUGACAUCUUUCUCUUUGAUGCUAGCAUAUGCUUUAGCUUCCACCCAUUUACUGAAGUAAUUUGUGGCGACGAGCAGGAAUUUUUUCUGGGCGGCUGUGACUGGUAGGGGACCUACUAUGUCCAUGCCCCACUGCGCGAAGGGCCAGGGGCCUGAAAUUGGUUUCAACGUCUCUGACAGCAUAUGUGGUAUGGGGGCAUGCCUUUGACACUUGUCACAUUUUUUGACAUAAGCUGCCGCAUCCUUUUUCAUCGUGGGCCAGUAAUACCCUUGCGAAUGGACCCUGUGCCCCAGAGAUCGACCUCCGGAAUGGUUCCCACAUACUUCCUCAUGCAACUCAGCUAAUACAUACAGGGCCUCUGAGUGGUUUAGGCACUUGAGAUAGGGACCUGUAAAGGACUGUUUGUACAAGUGCCCCCCGAUCAGGGUGAAAUGGGCGGCUUGCAUCCGGAUCUUGUGUGCCUGCUUGGGCUCUUCGGGCAAAAUUCUUGUCUGGAGGUACCUUAUAAUGUCUUCCGUCCACUCUUGGUCGUCUGCUUGGUUUGCCUCAAUAGUAUUGCAAGUGGAGGUUUCCGCGACGGAAAGGUUGGCUUGCACAUGUAUAGACAAUAAUAUGGCUUCUUUGAUGGAGAGAGAAGCAGUUAUGCCUGCUAGGGCGUCAGCACGUCCAUUUUCAGUCCGUUUAAUUUUUUCGAUCGUCCAUUUGGUGAACCGUUGUAAGGUGUUCCUUACUUUAGCCAGGUAUCGCGCCAUGCGCUCAUCCUUAGCUUUGUAUUCCUUCUGGACGUGCUUUACCACAAGUUGAGAAUCACUAUAGACUCGGAGCCUGGAAACGAAUAGAGCCAGGGCGAGGUCCAAUCCGGCUAGGAUGGUCUCAUACUCUGCUUCAUUGUUAAAGGGGGGGAACCCCAGUCGGAUGGCUUGUUCCAGAUGUUCUCCUGUUAGGGAUUACAGCAGAAGCCCUACUCCGGAUCCUUAUGACCGGGAGGCUCCAUCAACCCACAAAGUCCACCACUCUUUUUCACUUGGUUCCUUGCGCUAGAUAGGCCUUCGGGAGUAUUCCAGCACGAAGUCAGCCAUCACUUGGCCUUUCAUGGAUAACCUGGGUUGGAACUCGAUUCCAAAUUCGCUCAACUCUAUGGCCCAUUGAAGCAUUCUUCCGGUUAAGUCCGGCUUGUGCAGGAUGUUGCGAAGGGGCUGGUCAGUUAGCACGACCACCGGGUGAGCUUGGAAGUAAGGGCGGAGUUUCUGGGCGACACUUCGAAGAGCCAAGGCCGUUAGCUCCAUCUUUGAAUACCUUGUUUCUACGUCCGCCAACACUCUGCUGACGUAGUAAAUAGGUUUCUGCUCCUUGGGCGAGGGGCAGCGGAAUAGAACAGCGCUGAUUGCCCACUCUGAUACAGCCAGGUACAUAUACAAUUUUUCUCUAGGGAGGGUAGAAUGGGCGGUUGCAUGAGGCAAUGUUUAAUUUUUUCGAAAGCGCUUUGACAGCUGUCCGUCCAUCCGCUCGUUCCAGCUUUUCGUAUUGCCAAAAAGAAGGGUCGCAGCUUAUCAGUGAAACGGGCUAUAAAGCAUCCUAGCGCGACGAGCUUGUCUGUGAGGCGCUGUAAUUCUUUUUUGCUCCUAGGGGGUGGCGUUUCCAUGACUGCCUUAACUUGAUCCGGGCUAACCUCUAUCCCCCUUUGGCUUACCAUAAAUCCCAGGAAUUUGCCAGCACUUACGCCAAAGGCGCAUUUAGAAGGAUUCAGCUUCAUGCCAUAGUUCCUUAAGAGGUGGAAGACUUCUUGCAAGUGGAAGGUAUGUUCCUCUCGGGUUUUGCUUUUCACCACGAUAUCGUCAAUAUAUACCUCCACUGUGCGUCCGACCAGAGGUUUGAAGAUCUUCGUCAUCAGUCUCUGAUAAGUGGCGCCAGCGUUUUUAAGUCUGAACGACAUGACUUUGUAGCAAUAAAGACCGUGUGGCGUUAUGAAGGCUGUCUUCUCUUCGUCGGCUGGGGACAUGGGGAUUUGGUGGUAUUUGGAGAAGGCGUCUAAGAAGGAGAGCAUCCCUUGCCCAGCAGUAGAGUCCAUAAUUUGGUCUAUCCGUGGCAGAGGGAAAUUGUCUUUUGGGCAUGCAUUAUUGAGGUUGGUGUAAUCGACGCAUACAUUUGCCUUCCUUUUUGGGUACCACUACUACAUUUGCCAACCAGUCCGGAUACUCCACUUCUCUAAUGAAUCCGGCUGCCAGCAAUUUGUCAAUCUCAUCCCUGAUAAAUUUUUGCCUGUCCGGGUGAAAGCGUCUAACUCUCUGCCAGACGAGUCUUGAUGUUGGCAAGACGUUAAGUCUAUGAGAGACGAUGGAAGGGUGAAUUCCCUUCAUAUCAGUAUGCGUCCAUGCGAAGACGUCAUGGCUUUGUCAGAGGGCGUCUUGGAUGUUCCGAGUCUCUUCAGGCGCCAAGAGGGAACUGAUAUAUGUAAGGUGAGUACCUUCUUCUGAAAUUUGGAUCGUCUGCAAGGGAUCUGCUGCCGGGGGAUCUUUGUCCAUCAGGCUUAGUAAUUGUUAUUGGUCAAGUACAUGGGUGGACUCAAGGAGGGGUUUAUCCUCUUGACUAGUUCCUAUCUCUCGUGCUAUCUGGUAGCACUGGCGAGUGGCUAGCUAGCUGCCAUAUAGAUCGAUUUGACCAUCCUUAGUAAGAAAGCUUACCACUUGAUGAUAUGUAGAGGGAAUGACUUUCAUGUAGUGCGGUCAUGUGCGCCCCAAGAUGACAUUGAAGGGUGAUAAAUCUUGUACCACCGAAAAUUGUACGUUGAGAGUGACUGGGCCAGCUUGGACCGGCAGCACAAUAUCUCCCAAGGAGGUAGUUGACGCUCUGUUGAAUCCGGACAAAAUUCACCCAGGGUUUUCGAGGCCUGUUAGAUUGCGCCCUAUGUGGCUAAUGACCGAUGCUUGUACAAGAUCGGCCGAGCUGCCCAGAUCAACUAGGAUGUGUCUUACGUCGAAGUCUCCUAUCCCUAGGGACAGGAUGAGGGCGUCGCGGUGCGGCUGCAAUAUCCGUGUGGGGUCUACUGGUGGGAAAAUGAUUGUCCCAUCUAUGGGGCUAGGGCCCCCCCCAGUUAUCCCAGGCCAUAUGGAGUUGAUGCGCUCACGCACCGAUGUAGCCUGCAACAGCCUCUGUUUCUUUCGUUUGGAGUCGUACUCCUCGUCCAUUGGUCAUCCGUUGAUAUAGUUUAUAAUGGAUUUGGGGGCGAUUGGAACCCUAGGGACUCCAGAGUUGGGAUUUCAGGAAGCGUCCCUACCUCUGACAUCCGAGCGAAGGUAUUGCUUCAAAUGUCCCGCCCUUAUGAGCCUCUCGACCAAAUAAUGGAGGCUUCUGCACAUCUUCGUUGUGUGACCAUGCUCCUUAUGAUAGGCGCAUUUUUUACUAUGAUCCCUUUUGGAUGGGUCCGCUGUGAGGGGUCUGGAUCACCUGAAGUCGGACAUGUCUUGGAUCAUAGGGAGAAGUUUCUCAUAGGAUAUGGAAAGGGGUGUGAGGGGCGGCUGUUCUGGGCGGCGUUGUUCUUCCUGCCUUCGACCAGACGGCCUUAGCCGGUCCGGAAUUUUGGCACUUCUCUCCGCACCACUCCUGGAUGCCUGUCCGACAACCAAGACUUGCUGAGUGGCUGCUCGCACGUCAUCUUCAAGCAUUGAGUAUUUGCUUGCGCGUCGGAACAAGUCGUCCAUCGUCAUAGGAGGCUUUUUAGCCAGCGAUUCGAAGAAUGGGGUGCCUGGACGAUGCUUCGCUUGAAGAUCUGUAGGACAACAUCUAUGCUGUAAGCUUCUACUUGUAAGACGGCCUAACCAAACUGCUUCACGAAUUCUCUCAACGACUCGUUCUCCUGCAUUUUUAUGUUUUGCAGAGUGCUGAUGUUCUGUUUUUGCCAAGCGGAGCAUAAGUAUUGUCCCAUGAAAGCCUCCGACAGGUCCCUCAAAUUAUCAACAGAAUUGAGAGGUAGGCGGUGAAACCAUGAGAGGGCCUGCCCUUGUAGGCUGGCGGGGAAUACUUUGCAUAGCAGCUCGUCAUUUCCUCUAUCUAGAGUCAUGAGUUGUCGAUAAUGCAUGAUAUGGUCGAAGGGGUCGCUAGACCCAUCGUACGUAGAGAAUUUAGGUACGAGAAAUCCCCUUGGGGGAUCGUAAUGAAUAAUAUGAGAGCAAAAAGGUAUGGAGAGCAUGUCGUCCAGCCUUUUGCUGAUGGAGCCACUGGGUGGCUCGUUUGGGAGGUUUCUCCCAGCUUGUCGUACCGCUUGGUGCGGGGGAACGUUUUGCACCAUAGGGGUGACCAUGGGGUCAGGGCGUGCUCUGUGCCAGUCAGGGGCAUCACAGAGUGGCCUCCCAGGCUCCUGUGGGCCUAGUCUCGCGUGCAUGGUGCCAGACAACUGGGAUCUUUUGUCACGUCGUCUCUUUGAUGAGAGAUGAGUAGAGUUCGAGCUUUCCUCUUGGGGAGUUUGGUGUAGGGGCAUGUGUUGCUCUUGUGGCUUAACGUUGCUUGUUUUUGGGAUGGCUCCUGUUGUCCCAGGGUAUAUUGACUCUAGGUCAGGCCUUGAGUUUGCUACCUGGCCUCUCGAGCGCUGACCACGAGGAGGCCUCGCCGAUGAAGCCUAGAUGCGCAACACAACGUUUUCUUCUCUCAAUCUCGCUGUCUCCUGGAGGAGAGCCUGCAUUUGUCGCUCGCUUGCCAACUGUCUUCUCUCGAUGGCUCGACGCCAUUCGAUAUUAUCUUCCUCUUCCCUAGCAGACAAGCGGCUUCUGGAAGGUGCAGACAUCUUUACCGGCGACUGAAUCAGCGAUUUUCCCACAGACGGCGCCAAUGUUGAGGCCUUGCGUCCCGAUGAUCCACGUAGCUACCAAAUGGACGUACGCUUUCAACCAAGAUAGAUUUCUAGUUCAGUCAUCCCUGCAAAAGAUGUCCGAACAAGGUGUCCGGACACACCCUCCGAUGGUUUUGUCAGCCAUGUCUAGAGAGAUUAAGCAGUUGGCCUUUUACUAGGUAUAACAAACUUACCUUCUUCCUUGUGUGAAGGUUCCUUUAUAUAGUGUCAGAAGCUCGUCCUCCCUCUUUAAUGAUGGGAGGACUUUUUGGCUCAUCAUGAUGACUCCAAGGUGGUGGCAGGGCCAUCAUCACCCUGUGGGCGGCUGUCAGAGAUCGUGGGAGGUGACUUGCCAUCAUUCCUGUCCUUUCGCUCGGCAGGCGGAGGAUCGUGGGAGGUGACCUGCCACCACUCCUGUCCUUUUACUCUGCAGGCGGCGGAACGUGGGUUAUGGCAGACUGUCGGAAUGAUGUAGCAAGACUUGCUCACCUCAGUCAAUGAUCAGGAUAGGAUAUGUUACCGUCCAGUGUGACAUUUGCGAGUGAUGUGUGCUUCUCCCUGAGGGAGUCCGGAUAGGGGAACGCGCCACAUGUCCUCUUGGAGAGUCUAGAUGGAGUUUGAUCCGGAUAGCAAUGCAUGCCACAUGUCCCACUUUGGGGAGUCAGGAUGGAGUUGCUCCGGAUAGCGAAGCGCGCCAUGUGUCAUCAAGGGGAGGGGUCCCUACAGGUAGGUUAGAAAACUUAUCAAACCCAUGUGCCUGCAGGGCCAAUAAUCUCACUCUCUUGUGAAAUAUAGUGAGCACUGAGCAGUACAAAAAGUCAAUUUCAUGAGUCUUUUAACUCUUUAUGCCCCAUGUGUAUUCAUUUUUAUAUGUUUAGAGUUUUGUCGAAAUGCUUUGGAGGGUUUUGGCCUUUGAAAUAAUCUAAUUUCUCCUUCCCUAAUUAUUAUUGAUAUUCAAAUUUUCUGGUGGCAAAACUAAUGCUUUUAUAAAUAACAAAUGAGCACUCACUCGGUUCAAUAAAAGAAUUAUAUAUCAUCAUUAAAUAAUACACAUGAUAGGAUAAAUAUGGACAGACAUCAUAUUAUAACCAUUGUUCAGGAUUUAGUUAUCUAUUUAUAUACGAUUUCUAUUUGAUCUAGAGUAUGGACCAUCUAAUGUGUAGAGUCCAAUGCCAUCACGAGCCUUAGAUGAUGGGCCUAAAACUCGUGAGGCCCAAUAGCCAAUGGGUAUGGUCCCUAAGGUAAGAGGGUAUAAAAUAAGGUGAGGCUUUUGUUUGUUCCAUUAUGUUAUCACACCUUUUGAAAUAAAGAGGAACCUGUUCUCUCCCGCUCCCAUCGUCAGAGAGAAUUCAGAAAGAGGUGGUGCCCUCCAAAGUCUUAGAAGAUCCAUAUAUCUUCAACAAAACAAAAGGAAAAUGGACUCAGGUAUGUUCCAAAAUCAAAAGCAAAAGGCAUGUUUGAAUGAUAGAUAUAAAUUUAUCCUACUUGUGUUUGGUGCUAACGGAGAAUAUAGAAACUUUAACAAUUGGUUUCAGAGCCUAUAUACCCAUUUUCACCAUAACCCGCAUUCUGUUUCUUCCUUUUCUCAUUGGGAAUCAAACUAAUUAUAUAUAUAUAUAUAUUUGUAAAACGAAUGGGUAUUAAUACCUGCAAUCAGAUUUGGGAAUUAAUGGAGGAAGGCCAUUCGACGCCGGUGAGAGGUGCCGUUUCAGGCGCGCUUCAGGCUCCAUUUUAGGUGUCGUUUCAGGCGCGCUUUAGGUGCCAUUUCAGGCGCAUUCCAAGUGCCAUUUUUCAAGAGCUCCAGAAGCGCCAUUUCAGGCAAUCCAGACGGCGUGCAGACGCUGUUCCUCAGGCGUUUCAGAAGCCAGUGAGAAGCGCUAAUUUGGGCGCUGUUGCAGGCGUUUUAGAUGCCAUCUAGGCGCCGUUUUUGGAGCCAUAGGUGGGGCUGCUUCCUAGUGACGCCGUUACAGCAUCAUUCCGGUGGUGGCGCCGUCGUUUGGCGAUGGGAAAUCACUAUUCCGAUGAUGGCGGCGGCGUUUUGCCGCCGGUUACCAUUGAUGAUGCCACUGCAGGAGAUGGUUGCUUUGGGAUGCAGUGAACAAAAUAAAUAAAACAAUUUGGUAUCUAGAUACUUGAUUGUGCCAAAUAGAUUGUUAUAUGCAUACUAGAUACUUGAUUGGCUGAGACACUAUUGGUAAUAUCAUGACCACCUUGUACAGUUGUACUUAGUUACCAAAGAUGUUGGAUUUUGGUUAUUUUAUGAUUUGUUUUUUAUGAUUAUACUUGUUUUAAAAUAAAUAAAUAAAUAAAAUAAAAUAAAAAAAUGAAGGAAAUGGUUUUGUCAUAUAGCCUAAACCAUUAGACCAAAGCUUUUAUAUAUGUUUUAUGCUUCAAUUGUUAUAUAUACAUGAGAUUAUGCAUAAAUAAAUAAAUAAAUAAAUAAUUUUGAUUGAAUUAUUUCUUGUUGUAUUUAUGUUUAAUGUUUUAAAAUAAAUGAAUUAUAUAUAUUUGUUGCCAAAGUAACAUAUGGUAUAUAAUUUAUUUAUUUUAUAAUAUGUAAACAUGUUAUUUUUAUUAUUAUUUAAAAUAAUCAGCCCAAAGGAAGAUUAUUUUAAUAUGAUAAUAAAUAAAGUAAUCAUAAAUAUGUGACAUGUAAAGUUUAUCUUGUAUUCGAUAUGUUAGUCCAAAGAUAGGCAUAUUGUUUUCGGUUUUAUUGUCAAUAUUUAUGAAUUAAUUUUGUAUAAGGAUGCCAAUUACAACUUGAUAUUUUCAUCCAAAGACUGAAUAUUGAUGUUUGUGCUAGGUAUCUUGUUAUAUGUCCACAUGCAUAUAUAUAUAUAUAUGUUAAAUUUUUAUUUAUUCAUGUAUGUGUGAUGAUUAUAUGACUGAUUGUGAGCUUUAUUAUUAUAAAUUCAGCCUCUUCUAUAUCUGCAAAUGUCAAUAACAUUCCUAUGUUUAAUGGCACAAACUUCAAGAAAUGGAAAGAGCAUAUUAUAAUCGUGCUCGGGUGCAUGGAUUUAGACUAUGCAUUAAGAGAUGAUCGCCCUCUAAAUCUUACUAAUGCCAACAUUGUUGAGCAAAGGUCUACUAUGGAAAAAUGGGAGCGAUCCAAUCGCAUGAGUCUAAUAAUAAUGAAGCACUCAAUUCCAAAAGCUAUAAGGGGUGCAAUACCUAAGGAAACCAGAGCCAAGGCAUUCUCGGACUAGAUAGCAAACCGAUUCGCUGCAAACGAAACGGUUGAGACAAACACUAUUCUUAGUAAGCUUGUCUCCAUGCGGUACAAAGGGAAAGAGAAUAUAAGGGAGUACAUUAUGGAAAUGUCUAAUCUUGUGACUAGACUCAAGGUACUAAAGUUAGAGUUGUCAGAAGACAUACUCGUGCACUUGGUCUUGAUCUCUCUGCCUACACAAUUCAGUCCAUUCAAAAUUAGUUACAAUACACAAAAGGAAAAAUGGGUUUUGAAUGGGCUUAUUAAUACCCGAGUGGUCAUACCAUAUUUCCGGAUAUAAUUGUUAAUAUUUAAAGAAAUGUCUCUAACUUUUUAACUCACAACACAAUCAAGCAAAUUUUGUUGAUUUUCUUAACUUCAUAAUUAUGUAUGUUAUAAUUUUUCUUUUUUAACUUGAUGAGAGCAUUUGCAACCACACAUCACCAUAAGCAUCUCACUUAAUCCAACCUUCUCUAAUUAUAAAUUUAUAAUUAUACACCCGCAUACUCUUCAUUAUCAAGAAACACUCGAUCAAACACAAUAAGAAUGCGUUUGGUAAUGAUUUUAAAAAGUAUUUGUAGUUUUUCUCAUAUUUGAAAGAUAAAAAUUUUUAAGUAUUAAAAAUGUUAAAAAUAUUUUUUAAAAUCAUUAUCAAACAUACUCUAAGAAUGCGUUUAAAAGUGAUUCUAUAAAGCGUUUAUAACAUUUCUAAUAUUUAAAUGAUAAAAAUUUUCAAGUAUUUAAAAUAUUAAAAAUGCUUUCUAAAAUCACUAUUAAACGGACUCUAAUAAAUUUCCUUACACUUUCACCAUUCCCAUAAUCUCAACCCUCUCUAGUUACAUUGAAAUUACACCCUCAAACCUCCGUAUAUUCUCUCAAUUAUCUUCUCAACCAAACAUUUACUAUGAUUGAUCCUUGACAAAUUUCAAAAGAAAUGUGCAACGACAUAAUUGAGUCUCGCAUCGCUAAAUGAAGGCUUAGUGGUUCAGCUUAUACAUACUUAAACACUCUCCCUUCAUUAUCUGGUUUUCAAGGGUGAGUUCCACCCAUUACGUACAUAAUAAUUGGUAUUAGAGGAGACACCUAGUGAGAAGACCCUCAUCACGAAAAGGGCUACUACCUAAUUGUGUGUGGAAUUCGCAAAGUCGCCUAGCCACCCAUAUAAAAGCAUUGUUGAUGUUGGUUUCGAAAAGCACGGUGAAUUGUAACAACCUAGUUCAAUUCCGCAUUGCUAAGUUACAACUUGGUGAUUAAGCUUUUAAGCACUUGGACACCCACCCCUUAAUAGCCAAUUUUCAAAACUGAAUUCCAUACUAUUCAUGCAUAACAAAAUGCAAGGAAAAGAAACUAAAAAGAAAAAAAAAAGAUUUAUAAUAAAUAAAUUAUUUUUAUAUAAUAUUUUAAACUCAUUUCACUUUUUUUUUUCCUUUUUAUGUAAAGAUUAAAUAAUUUAAUCCAAUUGGAAUGUUUGUUACUUUGUACAUAAACAAAGUAUUCAAAAUUGUGCAAACUUUUUAUAUUUCCACACAUCCAUUCCAAUAAAAUUAUUUCAAUAAAUAGCAUGAUCAUGGAUAGGGAACUAUACUAGCGACCCACCUAAUUUAUUAUAGAAAUUUUCGAGAUCAAUGAUCGGAUCAUGCAAACUAGAAAUAUCUUUUAUUGGAUAAAAGAACAGAUUGUUCAAUCCAUUUCCAUACUGCUUAUGAUGUAUAUAAUAAUUCGGACAUAACUUUCUAACUAAUUUUAAUUAUAUUUGAUUUUCUAUUGUAUUUUCUAGAAUGAUACUAAACAUGAGAAAAUCAUUUUUAUUAAAUUUUUUUUUUCUUUCCUUAAUAUUUUUGGGAAUCAAACUUAGCCUUAAUCUUCCGAUCUCAACAACACCAGACCAGCAAAACAAAAAUAAUUCCUAUCAAGUGACAAUUCAGAGCUAAAAUAAAUGUAAGAUAUAUCAUGAAUCCCUAUUAUCCCUUAGGAUUGAUCUUUUGCUUGUUUCAUUUCCUCUCUAAAUUCUUAUUAACUUGCUCAAUGAUUACUACUCAAAAAGUGCUAUUUCAUAGCUUGUAAUUAACCCUUUUAAACACUUUUGAGUAGUAGUUAUUGCCUUUUAACCCAAUUAACAUGUUAAGGACCCUUGCAAUCAUUUCUAAUCAAAUUGUGUAAGUUUUGGUGUUUUUGUUAGUAAUUUGAUCACCAAAACAAUCCAAGAUUGAGGAGAGUUAUUUGGAAUCCAUGGAAAAGCAAUGAACAGCUCAAAUUCAUGAAGAACCAAGCUUUGGAGCUCCAUAGCCCUUUGCCAAAGUCGUUCAAAGUAUGCAAGGAGAGAAACACGGAGAGAGGAAAAACAGAGUGAAGAAAACAAGGGACAGCAGCUGCAGUCUUCUUGUGCACUUUUGGAGCACUUUCCGAAGUCAAUUUUAUACAUGAUAUAUACCAUUUCAAAGCUCAGGAAGUCAAGAAUCCAACGCUUCAAACCGUGUACGAUUUGGAGCUGAAAUGAGGAAGUUACAGCCUUUGGAAGAUGACUGCUCCAAGCUGAAGGAAGGAUUCAGCAAAGUGUUGCGAAAUCACCCUUUUGUUGCGGAAUGAUUUCGCAGCCUUUUUGCACAGUGCUUUGGAUUUCCCUUGAAGUUUCACGCCGUGAUGGAAGCCAAACACCACAAGAUGAAAGCCAACUUCGCAGCCCUGCGAGAAUAACUUGUUGUUGCGAAUUGAUUUCGCAGCCCUUCUUGAGUGCCUGCGAAAUCUCGCAGACACCAUUUUCUCUUGCGAAAUGGUUCCUGAAGCCUCCCGAUAUUUGCGACCGACACUUUUGGAUAUUUUUCUUCAGAUAUUUUUGUAUAAAUUUCCAUUUUCUCCUUGUAUUCAGCCACUCAUGUAAUUCCUUAGCUAGGAAGUAUCCAAGGAAGGGUAAAUUACCUUCCUAUAUAAACUCUCUGUAAACACUAAAAAGAGGACUCUCAGAGAGAAAUGUAAUCCAUCGAUCAAUAUAUAGAUAUAUCAUAUAUAGAAUCAGAGAACAGAGCACUUGCUCUGUUUUUCAUAUAUAUUCUUGUUUUCUCGUUAGUUUUCUUUUUAGUCAACCAAACUCUGAGGAUUUUUCCUCAGAGGAUGAGAGGCUAGGCUCUUUGUCUCUUGGAGUAAGGAAAGCCGGGUAAGUUUCCGUAUGCAUAAAUUGGAAGUUUUGUUGUUUUAGUUUUUAAUGAAGAGAAAGUGUGACCCGUUAAUGGUUUUUAUCUUUUUAGUUAACUUAAAACGCCUUUAAAUCACCUGGGCCAACACUUGGUAAGGCAAGUGAUCUCCGUCCAUGGAGAUGCACUAGUUUACCCCUUGCGAGCCUUUGGGAGGUGACUUGAAGGUAAGAUUUUCUAGAAUAGCCAACACAUGGUAAGCUUUUGGACUCCAAGGAGACAUCCAUUAGUUAUCUCUUGCGAGCUUUUGACGGGUAAUCCAAGGUUAAAGAUCACCUUGAAUGGCAAGUGCUAGGUGAGAGGUAUGAGCCAUUGCAAGGUGCAUCAAUGAGAGGGAUUUAGUGUCUAAACCCAUUAAUGGGAAGCAUCUGUACAACACCGGUUGGAAAAGGAACUAUAUGUUAAUUCUCUAAUGCGAGGAAAAGAAACAAGUGACCGGAACUCCCUUUUUGUAUGAGGAAUCUGAGCCUAGUGAUCUGAACUCCAAGAAACACUUUUCUUUGUAAGUAAAAUCAGUUACUAUUUGUGGUUAGUUUAAAACCAAACCUUUUUCAUUCAAACAUGUUUAUGUUUUCUUUUAAAGCUAACCUUGAAAUGAAAAUGCACCAAUUCAACUUUGAAUUAAUAUCAUUUGUGAAGUGAAAACCCAUCCCAGUGAACGAUCCUAGAGCCACUAUGCUAUAGUAGCUUUGUCUUUGCUACCCUAGUAUAUGGUGUAAUAGGUUAUAAAUUUUGUUGAUUACUCCCUCAAUCAAGGAGCACCAGCUGGACACGAAUCAGCUGAGACACCAAUUGGGCACGAAUCACUCAAAUUCAAAGACUAGGAUAAAUAAUUGGUGUAUGCAUCAUGGUGACCUCCAAAAGACUACAAUGCAAUUCAACAAUGAAUUAAGAACACCACAAAAAAGGAACCAGAAGAUAUCCUUUCCUUAUGGUUCAAAACAAUCAUAAUUAAUCACUCUUUUCGCUCUUUUCAUUAUACCUUCAACAUCGUUCUCUCAAUUAAUAGUUGGUAAAACACAAUAAUAGAUUCAAACAAAUAAAUGCCAAAAAACUAUGAGGAAGAUAGAGUAGUAAAGGGUUAGAAAGCCCAUGAGAAUUGAAUGGUUGGUUGGUAGACUUUCAAAUAGAUCGGUAUAAUAACAAGGAGGAUUGUGUUCUAUAGUCUAUGGAUAUUAGCUAACAAAAUAAACUUGGUUCAAAUGCCAUUGAUAACAUUUCCGUGGGGCAAAAUGUAACAAAAUCAAAUAAUAUUCUUGUUUUAGACGAUAUCAGUCAAUCAUAUGCUUAGAUAGUCAAAAUCCUUGCAGCAAAAUGCCCUCCAUACCUAAGGAAAACUGGGUCUGAGGAGUUGCUGACAGGAUGGAAGCACAUGCUGCUUCUGAACUCUAUUGUGACUACUGUUAACAAAUUUUCCAGUGCUUUCUCUUGUGCCCUUUCUUGCAGCAAUGUCAGCUUUUGUUGCUGAUAAGAAUGAAGUGGAAAGGAGGCCCAGCUAGAUUUCCAGAUCCUAAGGGGCUGAAAAUGUUCUAGUUGCUGCAAUCUCUGCUGCCGCUUCUGCACACUUGCAUUUUUUCAACUCUGGGAGAGUUAGUUCAUGAAUGAAAAUAAGACCUGAAGAUGAGUUUUACAUCAAUUAUAUAUGCAUAUAAGGAGAAUUGCAAGUUUCAUUUCAAAUAAUACCAGUAUUAUCAUGCUCUAAAUACAAAAAUGGUGAAUUUUUUCAAGAAACAUUUCUUGGAUCAACACUGAACACAACCUGAAUGAAAAUGUAUACUAUGUUGGAAAGAAAGCAAAAGAAUUUUCCAUUCUUAUGCCUUCACAGUGGAAAUGGUACAACCUUACGAGUACAAGGGGUACUCAAUAGACUAAAGAGAACUUGUUACUAGAAAAUUAAUAUAUAACUCAUGACAUUGAAUGAUUUGAACCAAUGAUAGGUGUUGAAAGAGGAUAUAUUUCAUUGAUUAAAAAAAAAGACGUGUUACAACUAGUAUAUAUAAAGAAAAUAGUGAAUCUCAGAAAUCUCAUAGAAACUAAUUUAAGAAACAUAAUCAGUAUCAAGACUAAUCUACCCUUCUAUAGUAGAGAUGCUAAAUACUAAUUUCAACAAUAGGAAACCCCAUAAAUUUCCAGAACCCCCCUUUACUAAAAUCAUGAGUGACUCAUUAGGCAAUGGCACAUGCAGAAUGGCCUUCUGGUUUGAAAUGCCAUCCUAUGAGACAACAAAUGAGCAUGCCCUUAUGCUAAAUUUGAGCUUUCAAAGAGUGUUUACACAUUCUUAUUAUGAGACAAAUAGAACAUUUAAAAUGCUGUUUAGUCUUUAUUUAACGACAGCCCAUGCAUGGCUAGGUAGCUACAAAAUUCAAUAACUGUGUUCUUAAUUUGAAAUAAGUAUCACAUAAUGCAGCUCAUAAUUCAAUACACCAUGCAAAAUCCCUGAAAACCCCAAAAUCCAUGCAUAACAUGUAAAGUGUGAUACAUGUACUUCAAGGAGAACCAAAAUGCAGAGAGGUGAAACAUGGCACUUGCAGUCAGUGGUGGAGCUAGGAAUGUGCUCUAGGAGGGGCACAAAUAGAACAAUUAUUUCAAGGGGGACGAUAAAUGGAGAGAGUGGUAUUUAGUGUAAUGGAAAGCAUACUUUUCCCAUAAGCAUGAGGUCAAGGGGUCAAAGCCCCUGCUAUGGUUUUUUUUUCUUUUUUUGGCCUCCUGGACUUAGCUAGCUCCGCCAGUGCUUGCAGCCAUCUCUUCCUCUCUGAGAUGCAUCAAAAUUUGAACCAACUUCUGUCCUUCUGGUUCAACUUCGUUCUCAUUAAAUUUUAGCAAGAUAGGAUUUCAUUUUGAUUUCAAACAUGAAAGGAAUCAUCUGUGAUACCUGGCUAGUUCCUCAUUUUCCAGCAAUCAGAAUGCAAAUGCUCUCUUAUAAAUGAAUGAAAGAAGUAUUCCAGGAUGGAUAGCCAAGCUCAAAAAAAUAGAUACAAUGAACAGAAAUAAAGUGGCUGUUCAAGUUUUGUAGUUAUUUGGUCAAGUCAUCAGUACUAAAUGACAUUAAACUAGUUCUAGCUUACCAAAUUCUACUUGGACCUUAACAAACUCUGAUGACAUAAUUCAACUCAAAUCAUGAUGAGUUGUGAAAUCAAAUUGGUAAUACCCCUCAAACAUUGUCAAAAAUUGCAAAUAAAAGCCUCAUAAAAGCAAAGUAAAAGAAUAAAGGAGAUAAAUAAAACAUAUGACAGAACAAAAACAUCAAAUACUUGGUGAACAUCACAUACCAGCAGCAUGUAGGAGCAAAACUAGGGACUUCAAAAUGAACGUGAAGCUUUUAUCUGUGCAUGAACAAAUGAUGUAUCACAAAAUCUUUAGCAGUCUAUCAAUUGAAGAAAUUUACAAUAAGAGAAGAUAAGCAGGAGUUAAGAAAUAAAAAAACUCACAUUCUAGAUCAUAAUUUCAACAGGAAUAACAUAGUCAGCUUUAUCUGCAGUCCAACGGGCAUUGUAGUCCUUACAAAACACCAUGAUAUUGACAUGUUUGGAGAGCAGCACUGGCUCAACAACUGAAGGGAGAGUCCUCUUAUAAUUCCUCAACAAUCAAGCAGACAGAAAUUUGAAUGGAUGCGUUACCACCUAGUUUGGUGGGGCCAUAUGAUGACUGUGAGAGACCUUGGAAUUCAAAAAAGUAAUGAGGAUAUUUUCCCAUGAAGAAAUUGGAGAGAAAUGUUAGGUAUUAAAGGCAAGUUCGGGUGAUGAUGCUGAGGGGAACUUCACGUUCUUCGGAAGGAGAUAAUGAUAAGAGAGAUAGUUGGACAGUCGAUUUUGGAUUCAAAAUGAACUGGGACACAAAGUUUGACCUUAAAUAAUAAAGGAUAGUUGGAAUUCUAGUUUCAAUAAAUGUUGGAAAGUCAAUCUUCCUAAAUCUUCCAUAUUAAGAAUAGAUGAUCUGUAUAUGUUAGUUUUCCUAUUGUAAUUCCUGACUUAUAGUUGGAUAGUCUAGAAUAUGGUAAGCUGAUUCCUGACUUGUAGAAAAAGAUCUCAAACCUCCUUGUAUAAAUACACACUUCAACAUCAAUAAUAUUAAUUCAGCCAAUUCUUCUUCUUUUCAUGGUAUCAGAGCAGGACUAAAAUCCUGAUUCAUUGUUGCACUCUAAUCUCUCGUGUAGCAUCUCUUUUCUUCAAUCAUCAUGGCAAAAUCAGAGAUUCCUAUGGAUUUCUUAAAGGCAGAUCUCUCCAAUCCCUAUUUCACUCACCAUUCAGAUCACCCAGGUUUGGUUUUGAUUUCCAAAUCUUUGAAUGGAGACAAUUAUUCGGCUUGGAAAAGGGCUAUGAUUCUAGCUUUAAAUUCCAAGAACAAUUUGGGUUUUGUUAAUGGCUCGAUCAAGGCUCCUUCAGAAGAAAUUGAUCCUGAAGGUUAUGCGACUUGGUCACGGUGUAACGACAUGGUUCACUCCUGGAUCGUCAAUACUUUCAAUCCAGAAAUUGUGGAUAAUGUAAUCUAUUAUUCUACUGCUCAUGAAGUUUGGGAAGAUCUCUGUGAGCGAUUCUCUCAGAGCAAUGCGCCUCGCAUAUUUGAAAUUCAGCGAGAUAUUGCUUGUCUUCGACAAAAGCAACUCUCUGUCUCUGCCUAUUACACAAAAUUGUAAGGCCUGUGGGAUGAACUGGCUUCCUACAACGCUGUAGCACAUGGGGCACAACAAGAUCAACAAAAAUUGAUGCAAUUUAUGAUGGGUUUGAAUGAAUCUUAUAGUGCUAUUCGCGGGCAAAUCCUCCUGAUGAAUCCUCUCCCUUCUGUCCGCCAAGCAUACUCCUCUGUCUCUCAAGAAGAAAAGCAACGCCUCCUCACUUCGACGAACGCAGCAGCAGAAUCUACCGCAAGUGCUGCUAUGGCCGUGCGCAGCAACGACAAGUCUUCGGCAACUUGGAAGGACGGAAUAGAUCGAUCAAACACAGGAAGGAUGGAACCGACUGAUCACCCCUCUAGUUCUCAAAAUUUCUGGGUGAAUUGGUCUUCUCAAGGACAAGAUGGCAGACCAUUUUUUGAUCAAGAUCGGCGCCGCAUGGGUUCUGGAAGAGGACGCCCCCAGUGCUCGUAUUGUGGAGAUAUGGGUCAUUGGGUCCAAAAGUGUUUUCAACUACAUGGAUACCCACCAGACCAUCCUAAAGCAAGAAUGAACUUAGGCUCAAACUCAAAUUGGAAUAAAAGAUUUUCUGCGGCUAACCAAGUUUCUGAGGCAGAUGAAGGGAAACCUGCAGUUGCAUUGUCAGAAGCCCAACUCAAGCAACUUUUUUCACUUCUUAAUAACCAAGAUGAAAACUCUAGUUCCAAAGUGAAUGCGGUAACAAAGCCAAGUUUGUCCAAAGUCGCUUCCCGCAAUUGGAUUAUUGAUAGUGGGGCGACGGAUCAUAUUACUUCAUCCUCUAAGUUAUUGCAUAGAGAUAAAAAUUGCUCGUUACCGCCCGUAUUGUUGCCUAGUGGAGAAAAAGCGAAUAUUGUUACGAAAGAGACUUUGCCUCUAAAUUCCGUCUAUUAUCUGCAUGAUGUCUUAUCUAUGCCUACAUUCAAAUUUGAUUUAAUAUCAGUUAGUCGUUUGACAUGAGGUCUAAAUUGUUCAGUGACGUUUUUCCCUUAUUGGUGUAUUUUGCAGGAUUUGGCUACGAGGAGGACGAUUGGUUUGGGUAAACAACGUGACGGACUAUACUAUUUGGUAGCACUAGCGACGGAGAAAUCUUUAACCAACCAUUCCUCAUCCACAAACCAACCAACCUGCAAUCUCGCCAUCUCUUCCACCGAUCUCUGGCACAGUCGCUUAGGCUAUGUAUCACCUUCUCGUUUGAGUUUCAUUGCCAAGAAUUUUUUGAAUUUUUCUGUUCAGUCCAAUAAUGCUUGCCCUAUAUGUCCUUUGGCUAAGCAAAGUCGUUUACCUUUUGGUACUAGUGCUAUUUCUUCUAAAAAACCUUUUGAGAUUAUUCAUUGUGACAUUUGGGGUCGUUAUCGACACCCUUUUCUGUUUGGUGCCCAUUACUUUCUCACUAUUGUCGAUGAUUAUACACGUUUCACUUGGAUAUUUUUAAUGCGACAUAAAGAUGAAGCACAAUCACUUUUAAAACGUUUGUUCAGCUAUGUGUUCACACAAUUUGAAUCUCGCAUUAAAACUUUUCGAAGUGACAAUGGUAUAGAAUUUACCUCACUUCGUUCCUUUUUUCAAGAUAAUGGUGUCAUCUUUCAGCAUUCUUGUGUUUACACGCCUCAACAAAAUGAGGUUGUGGAACGCAAACAUCGUCAUAUUUUACAAGUAGCCCGAGCUUUGAAAUUCCAUGCUCAAGUUCCCACUCAAUUUUGGGGGGAGUGUGCUCUCACUGCCGUACACAUCAUCAAUCGGUUACCUUCACCAGUAUUGUCUUUCAAAACUCCUUUUGAAUUGCUUUACUCAAAACCACCUUCUUACUCCCAUCUCCGUGUUUUCGGAUGUUUAGCCUAUGCCACCAAUGUUCACACCUCUCACAAAUUUGAUUACCGUUCCAUGCCAUCCAUCUUCAUCGGUUAUCUUGUUGGUCAGAAAGCAUACAAAUUAUUUGAUUUAUCAACCAAAAAGGUCUUUACUAGCCGAGAUGUCAAAUUUCAUGAAGAUAUUUUUCCUUAUGUCUCUCUCAAGCCCAACUUUACUCUCCCUUCGUUGACCCAUAAUUCUGGUCCAAUCCCCUUGGUGGCCCACGACAUCUCUUCCUCCCUUGACUCUACUUCUCACGCACUUUCCCCUAUUCUUUCCAACCACACAAGCACACCGUCUCCCACCAUAGAAAAUGACGACUUUUCCUCUCCUUCUCGACCUUCCGAACUCAUUAUCGAACCUUCUUCUCAGAUUGAUCCAAACCCUUCACCACCGCCUUCUACAACUCUAGUAUCGCCUUCUCCGGUGCCACCGUUUGCAUCCAUCCCAUCCACUCCUCUAGCCAAGACACCCAUCUUUUCACCAGAAACACACUCACCCAAACCAACCACUCCGCUCCGUCGCUCCAGCCGCCAUAUCGUCCCACCAAUCAAGCUCCACGAUUAUGUUUGCUCCCACAUUUCCUCCAAUCAAUCGUCUUCCUUGAUUCCAGGUCCAACUAAAGGUACACAAUAUCCACUGGCCAAUUAUGUUUCUUAUCAUAGAUAUAAGCCUACAUAUAGAUCUUUUGUUGCUCAACAUAGUGCUGUCACAGAACCUAGGUCUUAUUCGGAAGCAGCCGCUCAUCUUGAGUGGCAGGAGGCAAUGCGUUCUAAAUUGCAGGCUCUCCAAGCUAAUGACACUUAGUCUCUCACUCCACUUUCGACCGGCAAGACAUCGAUUAGCUGUCGAUGGGUGUAUAAAAUUAAACACCGUUCAGAUGGGUCUAUUGAGCGUUACAAAGCACGAUUGGCAGCGAAAGGCUUUACUCAAUUAGAAGGUGUCGAUUAUCAGGAUACCUUUUCCCCCACCGCCAAGAUCAUAUCUUCCGCUGCUUGCUUGCAUUGGCCGCAGCCCGUGGCUGGUCUCUUCAUCAAAUGGAUGUUAACAACGCUUUUCUUCAUGGCGACUUACAUGAGGAAAUAUAUAUGUCUCCGCCGCUAGGGCUUCGGCGACAGGAGGAGGAAAACUUGGUAUGUCGUCUUCAUAAAUCACUCUACGGUCUAAAACAAGCUUCUUGCCAGUGGUUUGCCAAGUUCUCAGAAGCUAUUCAAUCCACCGGUUAUGCACAAUCUCGAGCCGAUUAUUCUUUGUUCACCAGAAAACAAGGCAAGUCCUUUACUGCCCUCUUGAUAUAUGUUGAUGAUAUUCUGAUUACUGGAAAUGAUCCUGUGAGCAUUGCUACAACAAAAAAAUUUCUGCAUAGUCAUUUUCAUCUCAAAGAUCUGGGUGAUUUAAAAUACUUUCUUGGCAUUGAGGUUUCUACUUCUAAAAAUGGGAUUUUUAUUUCCCAACGUAAGUAUGCAUUAGAGAUUAUUGAGGAUGCAGGAUUGUUGGGCACUGCCCCUAUUGAUACACCUAUGGAGCGAGGAUUGAAAUUGUCUGAUAAGAGCGAUUUGCUCUAAGAGCGAUUUGCUCAAGGAUCAAGGUCGUUAUAGGAGAUUGGUUGGAAGGUUAAUAUAUCUAACUGUGUCGAGGCCAGAUAUCACUUAUGCAGUUCAUGUGUUAAGCCGGUUUAUGCAUCAACCGAGAAAGGCUCAUAUGGAAGCAGCGUUCAGAGUUGUACGUUAUCUCAAGAAUGCACAUGGUUAGGGUCUGUUCUUCUCUUCGAAUAAUGAUUUCAGAUUGAGAGCCUACUGUGAUUCUGAUUGGGCAGGUUGUUCACUUACUAGAAGGUCCACUACAGGCUACUGUGUAUUCCUUGGACCUUCACUGAUUUCUUGGAGAUCAAAGUGACAGAAAAUAGUGUCACUCUCUUCAGCUGAAGCAAAGUAUCGUGCAAUGACAGGAGCUUGUUGUGAGUUGACAUGGCUUCGGUACCUUUUGAAAGAUUUGGGUGUUUUACAUCAAGAACCUGCCUUGCUGUAUUGUGACAACAAGGCAGCGUUGCAUAUUGCAGCCAACCCUGUUUUCCAUGAGCGUACUAGACACAUUGAGAUGGAUUGUCACUAUAUUAGGGACAAGAUCCAAGAUGGUUCCAUUAUUACAAGACAUGUGAGCUCAGCGCACCAACUUGCAGACAUUCUGACUAAACCAUUGGGAAAGGAGAUUUUUGCUCCUAUGAUUCGCAAGUUGGGAGUGCAGGAUAUCCACUCUCCAACUUGAGGGGGAGUGUUGGAAAGUCAAUCUUCCUAAAUCUUCCAUAUUAAGAAUAGAUGAUCUGUAUAUGUUAGUUUUCCUAUUGUAAUUCCUGACUUAUAGCUGGAUAGUCUAGAAUAUGGUAAGUUGAUUCUUGACUUGUAGAAAAAGAUCUCAAACCUCCUUGUAUAAAUACACACUUCAACAUCAAUAAUAUUAAUUCAGCCAAUUCUUCUUCUUUUCAAUAAAACUCAGUAGUUCCAUAAUGCAACUCAUACUUUUUCACAAAUAGUAUAAAUUUGCAUGCUCCUAUACAAGGUUAUUGAGCCAAAAAAAGAAAAAGAAAAGAAAAACAGAAAAGAAGGGAUGUGAGCAUAAAAAACAUCAUUGUCUUGAAACUCAAACAGUAAAUCCAUUUUAUAUAUUAGUUAAAAGAACACUACAAGGAGAAGAACUAAGAGAAUCACAAAGCAUAGAUUUGCAAUUCAAUAAACAAGUAAUUAACUAGAGAAAAAAAGAUUGAAGAAAAAAUUACCUGGAAGUCUACAUUGAUAUAUCAGAAAGAUGCGGUGCACACACAAUUGCUCCCUCUUCAAAGGAACCUUCUUUAUAAGCAUGGAGAAGAAAACUGAGGAAACAUAACUUUCGUUCAUAAUUCAUUUGGUUAACCCCAUUAAGAUUCCGGCUAAGCUUAGCUUCAUCUAUCAUGAGUUCAGAAAAACUUUUCUUAUCAGGUAACUUAGGAAAUAGAAGCAAAUGGUCACCAUGGAUUUCAUUCAAGUAGUAACUCAGCAUAUGAGAUGUCCUUGAUACAAAUCCUUCAAAUGAGAUAUUAUGAUUAUUCAGUGAUAUAUCACAACUGCCAUUUUUGAGUUUGUAAAUGAAUCACCAUUUGCCACAUCUCUGCUAUAUUUUUCCUCACAAGGACGAGUAUUUCCCAGACUAGAGGAUACUUUAUCAAAACCCAACCGGACACUAACCCAUGGAGGUGGAAUAGGAACUCUUAAAGCUCGCAUGGAAGGAGGAUGAAGUUUUUCCUUUUCAUUAGAUGUUGCUUCAGUUGCCAUAAAAGAUGAGUAUGCAUCAGUAUCAGGGAAAUCUAAAGGAAAAUACGGCAAUUCGACCUGCAGAAGAAUGAAAGUUUAGAAGGAAAAUCUUGAGAACAGAAUUCCAUAAGAAAAUUAUGAUAACCUUGGACUCAAAGUACAAAAUUGAGGUGCACAUACUUCACAUGCAAUCCAGUGCUUCUCUCUCAAGCCUAUGACAUGAGUGCCACUAUUGAGAAGAGGAAUCUAAAAGGCCUUGACCCAACUUAAUGGAAGUAUAAUGGACCAUUUGAAAGAUAAUUAAUUAAACAUUGUUAUUAGAGGCUUUAAAAAAAAUUCUAGGAAUUUUAUUCCAUGUGUCAAGAAAGUGCAUCGCUCGAAAUUGUAUACAAAACAGAAUAUAGACACAAAAUUAAGGAAACAAAGUCAAUCUCAUAUACUUGUUGUGGGUUAAAGCAAACUAGAAAAGGGGAAGAAUUGUUCUCAACAAAAAAUUGCAUGACAGAGACCUUAUGGUUCUUCUGAAGCCUGUACUAAAAUUCAUGUUCUUCUGACCUUAUGGUUUGAUCACAAACAAGAUGCACAACAAAUACAAUGAAUUGGGUUUAUGAUUGGUGUUGAGAGAGAGAGAAAGAAGAAAAACCUUAAUUCUCAUUCAUGUAAAAUCUACUUACAAUUGAGAAAUAUAUAUAUAUACAAGGCUAGGAGUCCUAACUACCAUACAUGUGACCUAUAUUAACAAGGAAAGAUUAUACACUGUAAAUACAUUAUAUUCAACACUCCCCCUCAAGCUGUAGCAUAUACGUCAUAUGCACCAAGCUUGUUACAAAUAUAUUUAAUCCUAGGACCUCUGAGAGAUUUAGUGAAGAUGUCUGCUAGUUGAUCAUUUGAAUUAACAAAACUUGUAGCAACACAUCCUGAUGCGAUCUUCUUUCUAAUGAAAUGACAGUCAACUUCAAUAUGCUUGGUCCUUUCUUGAAAGACUGGAUUGGAUGCAAUAUGUAAUGCAGCUUGGUUAUCACAGAUGAGUUUCAUCUGUUCAUCCUUUCCAAAUCUCAACUCUCGAAGAAGAUGUCUCAACCAUAUGAGUUCACAUGUUGCCAAAGCCACAGCUCGAUACUCGGCUUCAGCGCUAGAUCUGGCCACUACAUCUUGUUUCUUACUCUUCCAAGAUAUUAGAUUACCUCCAAUAAAAACACAGUACCCUGAAGUGGAACGUCUAUCUGUGGGUGAGCCAGCCCAAUUUGCAUUUGUGUAACCAACAACCUGAGUAUGACCUCUGUUCUCGUACAACACACCUUGGCCUGGUGUACUUUUGAUAUAUCGAAGAAUGCGAAUUACGGCAUCCCAAUGGCUAUCACAUGGUGAUUGUAGGAAUUGACUAACAACACUCACAGGAAAAGAAAUGUCUAGACGAGUAAUGGUGAGAUAGUUCAAUUUACCUACGAGCCGUCGAUAUCUCCCGGGGUCUCCUAAAGGCUCCCCCUGUCCUGGUUCAAGUUUGACAUUCGGAUCCAUAGGUGUGUCUACUGGUUUCUUCCAGGAUGUCUAAAGCAUACUUCCUUUGGGAAAGGACCACACCAGAGCUAGAUUGAGCUAUCUCAAUUCCCAAGAAAUACUUGAGUUUCCCCAAGUCUUUGGUUUGAAAGUGGGUAAAAAGAUGUUGCUUUAGUUUCUUAAUACCAUCCUGAUCACUGCCUGUAAUGACGAUGUCGUCCACAUAAACAACCCGAUAAAUACACUGCCCCAAGGAGUUAUGAUGAUAGAAAAUUGAAUGGUCUGCUGUACUGCGAAGCAUGCCAAACUAUUGAACAACAGAACUAAAAUGGCCAAACCAUGCUUGAGGAGAUUUUUUCAAGCUAUAUAGAGAACGACGUAACCUGCACACUAAACCAGACUCCCCCUGAGCAACAAAACCAGGAGGUUGCUCCAUAUAAACUUCCUCGACAAGAUGACCAUGAAGGAAGGCAUUAUCCAACUGAUAAAGAGGCCAAGAACACAGCAUCCAUGGAGAGAAGUAGACGGGCAGAAGCAAACUUGGCAACAAGGGAGAAUGUGUCACCAUAAUCAGAACCAUAAACCUGAGUAUAGCCUUUAGCAACUAAGUGGGCCUUAAGGUGAUCAACCUGACCGUCAGGACCAGCCUUAACUGCGUAGACCCAAUGACAGCCAACGGUAGAUUUACCAGAGGGUAAAACAACAAGAUCCCAAGUGCCAUUAGAGUGUAGAGCAGCCAUUUCAUCCACCAUUGCCUGUCGCCAACCUGGAUGAGAAAGAGCUUCAUGGGUGCUCUUUGGAAGAGAAACAGAGGAUAUAGCAGAAACAAAAGUAGAAUAGGGUGAAGAUAAUCGAUGAUAACUCAAAAAAUUGUAAAUAGGAUGAGGAUUACGAGUAGAGCGAGUACCUUUCCGAACAGCAAUGGGUAAGUCAUUAGAAGAAGGUAGAGCCUGGGCAGGUGAAGCCGAAGGGAUAGGAAGUGAGUUAGCAGGUGCCUCAGCAAAAGGGAGAGGAGCAACGACACGAGGGCAACGAUGAUAAACUUGAAGUGGUCGAGGAGGCAUAGCAUCAGGUGGGGAGACAAUGGGAAUGGGCAAAACUUCAGAAACAGGAAGAGACUCAGAAGUGGUGGAAAAGAAUGGUGAGUCCUCAAAGAAGGUGACAUCAGCGGAGAUAAAGUAUCGAUGAGUCUCAAGGGAAUAACAACGAUAACCCUUCUGAAGUUUGGAAUAUCCCAAGAAGAGGCACUUCAUGGCUUUGGCGGAAAGCUUGUCCUGUCUAGGAGUGAGAAUAUGAACAAAGCAAGUACAACCAAAGACACGAGGAGGAAGGAAAUAAAGUGGUUGGCCAGUCACAAAUUUAUCAGAAAAGGUAAUAGAGCAAUUAAGAGUACGAGUGAUUUUGCUAAUGGAAAUAAGAUUAAAAGGACAUUCAGGAGUAUAAAGGACAGAAGUGAGAGGUAGAGAAGGCAGAGGAAGGGUCAAACCAAUACCUUUAGCUACAGUUUGAGAACCAUUAGCUAAGGUAACAGUAGGUAAAGCAGAGGUAGUAGUAAUAGAGGAGAAAAGAUCCUUAUUACCAGAUAGGUGAUUAGAAGCUCCAGAAUCUAGAAUCCAAGGUCCAAGAGAAGAUGUGUGGGUAAGGUAGGCAGAAGCAUUACCAGGCUAGGCAAUAGAGGCAACAGAAGCCUGAGAUGCCUGAGAUGCGGAGGAGCUCGGAGGCUGAGGCAGCUAAGAAUCAGAGGACUGGGCCACAUGGGCAGUGCGAGGAGGCCAUCCAUGUAACUGAUAGCAACGAUCGCGAGUGUGGCCAAGUUUAUUGCAAUAGGUGCAAUGAGGACGUUGGCCUCUACCUCGGUUACCACUGCAUCCGCCUCGAGAGGUAGUGUGAGAAAUUAACACAGAAGAAUUUGAAAUGCUAUCAGAUGGCAAAGUCUGAGUGGACGAUAUACGAAGGAGGCGAGCAAACACAUCAUCCAAGGACGGAACUGAUGAACUACCAAGAAUUUGAUCGCGGACAGGCUCAAGAUCCGAACGGAGGCCAAUAAGAGUAAGGACCAUGAAGAACUUAUCAAGCUAUGUUUGUUGAGCCCCAACAUUAGGAGUAAGAGGCAUCACAGUCAAGAACUCCUCCUUAAGAGAGGCAAUCUGGCCAAUAUAAGUAGAUAGAUCCAAGUCCUGUUGGCUGAUAUGGACAAUAGCAGAAGCCACCUUAUAAAGACGCUGGAUAUCAUUCGUGUAUAAUCCUUUGGCAUGAGUCCAAAAUUUAAAAUAAGUUUUGUAGGCCCGAAGAUGAAGAAGAAUCUUAGGAUCAACCGAUUGCCAUAAUACACUACAUAACUGUGCCUCUAUCUUCCUCCACUGUACGCGAUCAACCUCAGGGAUAUCUGCCUCCUGUUUAAUCAAGUGAUCCUCAUAUCCUUGACCCAUAAACCAAAGUUCAACAGAGGCAGACCAGGAAAGAUAAUUGUCACUGCCAACCAAUUUCUCCGAAGUAAUCAUAGGAGAUCCAGAUAUAACAGAGGAAAAAAUGGAAGUUUUAGUAGCCAUAUCUACUUAUUUGGAGAAUGAAGUAUAUUUGGAUCGAAGAGAGCCCUAAUACGGCUGUAGAUCGCAGCGUGGCACCAAUGGAAAGGGAGACGGCUUCAGAUCGCGGCGUGACACCACCGGAAAGGUAGAAGAACACUUCCUUAGGCACGUGCAGGGAUUAGGAUGGAGAAAAAGUAGCCGAAGCUCACCGGAAAAACUGUUUGGAGGGUUGGCGGAGGCAAAAAACCUCAAAAAAGGUACGUGCAGAUCUCAGAUAGCAGAACCAGGGAUGAAGAAAGGCUAGUCGGCGUCAAGCGAGGCUGGAGGAGGAGGCGCGUGGCCGGGAAAGUCCUCACGCACCCUCACGCGCCUGCGCGUGAGAUUCAGUCGCUGGAUGGAAAAUUGUGCGUGGCCGGCGCGUGGAUGAUCUUUUGGUUUCGGUGCCUUCACAAAAGUUGGAGAUCUCCUCCAAGCGAUCCUUCUGGUAUGGUCGGUGUCGGAAAAAGACGUCGCCGGAAAGUUCUCCAGAAAAGUUUGUCGGCGGUGAGUGUUUUCUAACGACGAUCCGACUGAUCGGAAAGUAUUGGGAGAUGGGGAUGGUGACCGAAAUGAAACACGGUCACUGGAAAGUUUCCCGGAGUUGAUGACACGGGAAACUAGAAAGAAUUAGGUUUUCUCCCUUGGCUCUGAUACCAUGUUGAGAGAGAAAGAAAGAAGAAAAACCUUAAUUCUCAUUCAUGUAAAAUCUACUUACAAUUGAGAAAUAUAUAUAUACAAGGCUAGGAGUCCUAACUACCAUACAUGUGACCUAUAUUAACAAGGAAAUAUUAUACACUAUAAAUACAUUAUAUUCAACAAUUGGUAAUGAGUUCCACCAUGAGGUACGGAACACUUGAUGGCAUUCAUUGGUUUUUAACUAUAGUAAGAUAAUAUCAUUAUAAACAACUGCCAGGAUCAAUAGGCUUCCUUCAUGCCAGACAAGAUAGCUCAAAAUUUUGGCCAAAAUUCCCAGUAAAUGGUGUUAUUAUUUUCCAUGAAAUAUGCAUGGGUUUAUGAUUGGUAAUGAGUUCCACCAUGAGGUACGGAACACUUGAUGGCAUUCAUUGGUUUUUAACUAUAGUAAGAUAAUAUCAUUAUAAACAACUACCUGUAGGGAAUUAAACCGAAUUCCCAACCCGUGAGAAACAAAAAAUUAGAGAAAACACACACCAAAGAAAAAACAAUCACACGCACAAGACAGUAUUUACGUGGUUCGGCAAUUUGCCUACAUCCAUGGAGUUGCAGGGAUAUCACUAUUAUUAAGGAAGAAUACAGAGUGCAACAUAGCGGCUACAAUAUUCUCUCUAUAUAUAUAACAUGGCAACCCCACCAUACUAAAAAAACCCUAAUUACAAAAGGUGGUUCCACAAUGGGCUAAACCGGCCCAACAGGUCUCAAUAAAUCUCCCAUUAAAAAGUCAUGCAAUAUUAUUCGGGUCGGGUCAUCAAACCGGAUCAAACAAAACUAGGCUCCACAAAGCCCAACAAAUCUCCCACUUGGAGACUAGUCCAAUCACCAACAUCAAACCGCUAUCCUCUAAGAAACAAUCCCUCAUCCCUACAACUCAUCCUCCUGUCCUCAAGCUAGAAGAUCAAUUGAAGCUGCGCACAGCUUCAACUUCUUAAUAGUGACACCCUUAGUUAACAUGUCUGCAGGGUUCUUAGAUCCACAAACCUUCUCAAGUAUUACCAGUUUAUCCUCAACAAGAUAACAGAUAAAAUGGUAUUUUGUUUGUAUAUGUUUUGACUUUGAAUGAAAAGCCGAAUUUUUUGCAAGAAAAAUUGCACUCUGAUUGUCACUGUGUAGAAUGCACAUCUCCUGCUUCUUACCCAAUUCAUCUAAGAAACCAUGUAGCCAAAUAAUCUCCUUUCCAGCUUCAGUUGCUACAACAUACUCAACAUCUAUAGUAGACAAAGUAACAAUCUUCUGUAGAUUUGAAGUCCAUGAUAUAGCUGUACCACCUAGAGUAAAAACAAACCCAGUAGUACUCUUUCUACUAUCAAUAUCACCAGCAAAAUCAGCAUCUACAUAACCCUGCAGUUUCAAACUUGCACCUGUGAAGCAAAGACAUGUAUCUAAUGAACCCUUCAGAUAUCUUAAAAUCCACUUGACUGCCUCCUAAUGCUGCUUUCCAGGCCUACUCAUGAAUCUGCUCACAACUCCCACUGCAUGUGCAAUGUCUGGCCUUGUACCCACCAUAGCAUACAUCAAGCUGCUAAUAGCUGAGGCAUAGGGCACCUUGCUCAUAUGAUCCCUUUCUUCUUCUGUCUUUGGUGACUGUUCUUUGCUUAGUUUGAAAUGACUACCCAAGGGUGUGCUCAUUGGUUUAGUUUCAUUCAUGUUGAACCUACUGAGAACUUUCUUCACAUACUCUGACUAUGAAAGCUUCAAUAUACCAUUAGCCUUGUCUCUAAUGAUUCUCAUACCAAGGAUUUGCUUUGCAGCUCCCAAAUCCUUCAUUGCAAACUAUUUGGACAAUUGCUUCUUCAGAUUAUUAAUCUUCUCAAUGUCAGACCCUGCAAUAAGCAUAUCAUCCACAUACAACAGUAAUAUGAUGUAAGAAUUGUCAAAGGACUUAACAUAGCAACAGUGAUCAGCUUCACAUCUCUUGAAUCCAAUUCUAUGCAUAAAAUUGUCAAACUUCUUGUACCACUGUCUAGGAGCUUGUUUAAGGCCAUACAAGCUCUUUCUUAGUUUGCAGACUAGAUUCUCUUGUCUCUGAACAAUGAACCCUUCUGGCCGAAUCAUGUAAAGGUCUUCCUCCAAGUCACCAUGAAGGAAUGCUGUCUUCACAUGUAAGUGCUCAAGAUGUAAGUUUUCUGCAGUCACCAUUCCAAGUACAAGUCUAAUUGUUGACAUCUUCACAACUGGAGAAAAUAUCUCUGUGUAAUCAAUGCCUUCCUUCUACUGGAACCCUUUAACAACUAAUCUGGCCUUGUAACGUUUGCUACCAUCAUGCUCAUUCUUUAAUCUGUAUACCCACUUGUUGUGCAAAGCCUUCUUUCCUACUGGCAAUUCAGUCAGUUCCCAUGUCUGAUUCCCCAAUAGGGAAUCCAUCUCAUCCUUCAUGGCUAACUCCCACUUGCUUGAAUUCUCAUCUUGCAAGGCUUCAUCAUAACACUCUGGCUCACCACCAUCAGUCAACAGGAGAUAAUUUAAAAUAGGUGAAUAACGCUGUGGAGGUCUAAUUUUCCUGGAAGAUCUGCAAACUUUAGCUACAGGUGUACUCAAAUCUACCUGUGAAUUUACAUUCUCCUUAUCUUCUCACCCCCUUUUUGAACAGAACUUUCAGUCAAUUCAUCUAAGUUGACAAACUCAGAUUUCUUUUGAUCUAUCUCUAUAACAUCUGACACUACAGUUGAGCUGUCCUUGUACAUAACCUAUUCAUUAAAUAUCACAUUUCUACUUCUGUUGAUUUUCCUGUUUUGUUCAUCCCAAAACCUAUAGCCAAAAUUUUCAUCACCAUAGCCAAUGAAAAAACAUAUUUUUGACUUUGCAUCAAGUUUACUACGAGCAUCAAAAUCAAUAUGAACAUAAGAAACACAACCAAAAACUUUUAAAUGUGAAAACUUCACCUCUUUACCGCUCCAAAUCUCCUCAGGAAGUCUGAACUCCAUGGGAACUGAUGGUCCUCAGUUUAUCAGGUAAGCUGCAGUGCUAACAGCAUCAGCCCAAAAAGUUUUUGGUAGUCCAGCAUGCAACCUCAUACUUCUAGCAUGCUCCUUGAGAGUUCUAUUCAUGCACUCAGCCACACCAUUCUACUCUGGUGUCCUAGGAAUAGUCUUCUCCAUCCUAAUUCCCUGUGCAGCACAAUACUCACUGAACACUCCAUCUAUGUACUCUCUUCCAUUAUCUAACCUCAAACAUUUUACUUUCAAACCUGUUUCUGUCUCAACCAUGGCCUUCCACUUCUUAAAAGUUUCAAAUACAUCAGAUUUAUUUUUCAAAAAAUAAACCUAAAUCUUUCUGCUUGAGUCAUCAAUAAAAGUGAUGUAGUACCUUGAACCUCCAAGGGAUGCAACCGGAGAAGGCCCCCACAAAUCAGUGUGUACUAGUUCUAAUUUUUCAGCCUUCGGUGUCCUGCCAGUUUUCAAGAAGCUCACCUUUUUUUGCUUUCAUAAGAUGCAACUUUCACACAUGUCAAAAUCAAUGGACUUCAAUUCUGGUAGUUUUCCUUUUGACAACAACAUUUUCAUCCCUUUCUCACUCAUGUGACCAAGUCUAUGGUGCCAUAGGCUUGUAUCAGUACUUGCAUCAGUAACUACAAUUGUGUCUCUUGGACAUGAGGUCAUAUAUAGGGUACCAGUCUUCUUUCCACGAGCCAAUACCCUAGCUCCCUUUGUAACCUUCCAAGUACCACCAACAAAUAGUAUUGCAUGUCCUUCAUCAUCAAGUUGUCCAACAAAAAUCAGAUUCCUCCUCAGGUCAGGAAUAUGUCGAACCUUCUCCAGUAACCAAACAGACCCAUUGGGCAACAUUAUCCAGAUGUCUCCCAGACCCACAACAUCCAAGGCUGAACCAUCAGCCAAAUACACCUUACCAAAAUCACCUACAACAUAAUUUUGUAUGAGUUCUCGGUGUGGAGUGGUAUGAAACAAAGCUCCUGAAUCCAAAACCCAAUCAUCAAGUGGAAUGUCUACUGCAAGCAGUAAUGCAUCCUAUAGCUCUUCUAUUACAGUAUUAGCAUAAUCAUCUUCAUUCUUCUUCUUAGGGCUUUUGCAUUGCCUUUUAAAGUGACCUGUUUUCCCAUAAUUCCAGCAUUGUACUUGUUGGCUUGAAUAAGAUUUGUUUCUGUUCUGAUUAGAAUUUCUGGAAUUUGAUCUACCCCGAUUUGAAUUUCUGUCAUUACCUUUGCCUCCUGUCUCAAGGUUUAGAGCAGAACCAGAUCCUGAGGUUUCACUUGCAUCUCUUCGGCGAAUCUCCUCAGCUAGAAUUAAAUCUCGUAUAUCAUUGUACUUGAGCUUUUCCUUUCCCGUAGAAUUGCUUACUACCAUCCUCAUUGCCUCCCAACUGUUUGGCAAAGAAGCCAAGAUGAUCAGAGCACGAAUCUCAUCAUCAAAAUCAAUUUCUACAGACGACAAUUAAUUUGUGAUUGUAUUAAAUUCAUUCAGAUGUUGUGCUACUGAUGCAUUCUCUGUCAUCUUCAAAUUGAACAAUUUCUUCAUCCGAUGCACCUUAUUGUUUGCGGACGGCUUUUCAUGCAUACCGGACAAAGUCUUCAUCAAAUCUGUUGUGGUCUUCUCCUUUACAACAUUAUGUGCAACAGACCUGGACAGAGUUAACCUAAUAACUCCUAGAACCUGUCUAUCAAGAAGCGUCCAUUCCUCAACCUUCAUACUCUCAGGUUUUGUCCCCAAAAGAGGCAGAUGCAAUUUCCUCCCAUAGAGAUAAUCUUCAAUUUGCAUCCUCCAAUACGCAAAGUCUGUGCCAUCAAACUUUUCUAUUUCAGACGCCUUUCCUGCUUCCUCUGCCAUUGCUCCCACUCAAACCUAACCCUAGGCUCUGAUACCAGUUGUAGGGAAUUAAACUGAAUUCCCAACCCGUGAGAAACAAAAAUUAGAGAAAACACACGCCAAAGAAAAAACAAUCACACGCACAAGACAAUAUUUACGUGGUUCGGCAAUUUGCCUACAUCCACGGAGUUGCAGGGAUAUCACUAUUAUCAGGGAAGAAUACAGAGUGCAACAUAGCGGCUACAAUAUUCUCUAUAUAUAUAUAACACAGCAACCCCACCAUACUAAAAAAAAACCCUAAUUACAAAAGGUGGUUCCACAAUGGGCUAAAUGGGCCCAACAGGCCUCAAUAAAUCUCCCAUUAAAAAGCCAUGCAAUAUUAUUCGGGUCAGGUCGUCAAACCGGAUCAAACAAAACUAGGCCCCACAAAGCCCAACAUUGCCAAGAUCAAUAGGCUUCCUUCAUGCCAGACAAGAUAGCUCAAAAUUUUGGCCAAAAUUCCUAGUAAAUGGUGUUAUUAUUUUCCAUGAAAUAUGCAUGGGUUUAUGAUUGGUAAUGAGUUCCACCAUGAGGUACGGAACACUUGAUGGCAUUCAUUGGUUUUUAACUAUAGUAAGAUAAUAUCAUUAUAAACAAUUGCUAGGAUCAAUAGGCUUCCUUCAUGCCAAACAAGAUAGCUCAAAAUUUUUGCCAAAAUUCCUAAUAAAUGGUGUUAUUAUUUUCCAUGAAAUAUGCUUUUUUAAGAUGUGAAGGUUAUUUGAAACUUAAAAAAUAUAUAAAUAAAAUUAAAUAAAAACAACAUCAUUGCAAUAAAAGAAUAGCCAUUUUUUUUGUUUAUUAGUAAAUGAGAUUUGUAUUAAAAAGCGCCAAAAAGGGCACACCAAAGUACAUACAAUGUAUACAAUGGCAGCCAAGAAGUGCCAAAAAAAGAAAGAGAAAACAAAAAGCUACUCCCUCCCUCAAAUCGACACCAACCAAUCAAUGAAAUCUACUAUGGACAUUAAUCUUUCACCUAUAAACAGUUUGAUUCAAGUUAACAAAUUAUACAAAAACAAGUAUUUUAGCCUUUGGAUUGAGAGUUCCACAUUCUCAAAAGAUCUUCUACUUCUCUCUUUCCAAAUAGUUUAGAAGAGGCAUAAAGGUGUCACCCUCCAAACUUUUUUCCCCUUUCUUCCAACAAAGGAACCAUGUCAGCCUAGCAGAGCUUCUCUAACUGUGGACUACAUCACCCAAUAAACUCUAAAGAGAGAUAAUAAUAGCUCCCAUAACACCCUUGCCUUGUCACAAUGCAAAAGGAUGUGGUUAAUUGACUCCUCAUGAGACAAACAUAGGAAAUAACAAUUGGCCAAAGACCACCCCCUCGUUUGAAGCUGGUCAAGAGUCAAAGUUUUUUCCCAAGUUGCCUCCCAUGAAAAAAAGCUCACCUUAGGAGAAACCCACGCAUUCCACACAACACUAGAACGGAAUUGCACUACCCUUCCUAUCUCUAGGCUAGCAUAAAGUGGUUAAUAGAGAAAGUUCCACUCUUCGUUUCAACCCAACACACUUUAUCCUCUUUACCCUCUUCUACCACUUUAUCUUGAAGUCUUCCAAAAAGUGUUCCACAAAAACAAUCUCCCAAUCAUUUAGAGGCCUCGAGAAGUUACGAUUAUAGCCAUCCCUCUCAUUAGAAUGCUACCACAGCUCUGCCACCCAAGCAUCUUUAGAGUUAGAAAUGGCAAAUAAAGAGGGAAAAGAAACAUUUAACAACUCAUCCCCGCACCAUUUAUCUUUCCAAAACUUUAUCCUUUUUCCCAUUGCCCACAAAAAAGGACAAUUUACAAUUGACUAAAUCCCACAACUUCCUUAUGUUCUUCCAUAACCCAACACCAUAGCCACCCCUCGCUACCUUAGAGCACCAACCUCCUUCCAAAUCCCCAUAUUUACCACAAAUGCUUUAUCUCCAAAAGGCCUCCCUUUCUGAAGCAAAGCACCAAUUCCACUUACAAAGGAGGCCUUAUUAAGCGAGUGAAGGCACCUAGCACCUAGGGCCCCCCUCCUUCUGUCAGAGCAAACGGUAUCCCAUUUCACCAGAUAAGGCUUACUAUCUAAGCUCCCACCUCCCCAAAGAAAGUCCCUUUGAAUUUUUUCCAACCUUAACCGCACAAUCCCUGACAUCCGGAAAAGAGACAAAAAGUAGAUUGACAAACUAGAAAACGUACUUCUAAUCAAUGUUAGUCUCCCCCCUUUAGAAAUAUAUUGUCUUUUCCAUAACGCCAAUCUUUUGCGGAAUCUUUCUUUCACCCCAUCCCAAGCCACCAAUGAAUUAUAAGGGGUGCCUAGUGGGAGCUCCAAAUAAGUGGUCGGGAGCAUUCCCACUUUACAACCUAAUACAAGGGCCAACUCUUCUGGGUUUUCUACUCUCCCCAUCGAAAGAAUAGCCAUAAUGCACUUAGAUGAAUUCUUCUAUACUUGUUAGAGAUCACACUGCCUGGUACACAAGAAGACCAAUUGCAAAAGAGAAGAUCUAGCAUUUGGAGAAAAACAUCAUAGCCAUGAAAUCUUAAGUGACCUUGUACACAAGGAAAAUGAGGACCAAGUAUUAGAAGCAUGAAAUUCAACAAUUAAUUUGAUCCUUGUUAAUUACAAGUGGAGAAAAAGAUAAGAAAUAAAUAAAGAACUACUUACCCAAUCAUGCCCUUUUGAUUAUUAUUUUUUAAAAGCAGAAUUGGGCAUGAUCCAUGCUGCACAUCACUAGAAGUAUUCAAUAUGCCAGACUGUGACUCACUGAGACAGAAGAAUCCCAGAUGCCGGUGAUGCUUUUCCAUGCAAAGCACAUUCUCUUCCAUUGGAGGACUGAGCCCAUUACUAGCAUCCCACAAAUCCAUGUCCUGAUUUCCUACUAAAGAAGUGGUUUCCAUAGCUUCAUUCUUUGAUGCAUCGCCAAGUACUUUGUUAGAAGCCACUUCUGGAACAACUGUAGUCUUUUUCUCAGGCAAAUUGCAUGGAUCAUUAACUGUAAGAGAUAGAAUUGCACAAGAAGGAAUCUGCUCUUCAUGCUCAAGGCUAGAGCACUUAGUCAGUUGCGAGGAUUUCAAAAUUUUACUAACAACCAAACAACACAUUUAGAUAUGUUCAUUGCUUUGUUUAAAAUGAACAGGUUCUACUUUUGGUUUUGGAGGACUUACCAAGUAAUAGGAUGCAGUAUCUUUUGAAGAAGUCCAAAUGCCUUUGAUCCUAUUACUUCCAAUUUAGCAAGUUGGCCCUCAAGUGAAAAACAAUUAAUCAAGAUGCCAGUUUCAUCCAUCUAAAAGAUAAAAAGAGAUGGAGACAAAGUAAAUAACACGGGGCAAGCAUAUGAUCUCUAUCCUGCUAGGUCUUAUCUUUGUUGACAUAAUGCUUUACAAAUUUAAAUUUUAUUCCAAGGAAACAUGUAAACCCAGCGUUAUAUAAGACAAGGAUAUAUAUUUAUGAGCAUUACAUAUGCACACUAAACAGUACAAGGGGAUACUAUUGAUAAGUAUUCACUUUUUCGAACUAUCACAUAGGAACAGUUUGUUCACAAGCUACUCUUCAUAACAAAUAAGCACAUUAGAGUCUUCAAAAGGGGAAAAAAUAGAUCAAAGAUAAAUAAUCUCUAUGGUUUACCAGUUCUUGACAAGCAAAUUUCAAAGCAUCAUAUCCUUCAUUGAAAGCUGAGGCAUGCAUCCACACCCAUAGCUGGCGGAAGGAAGAACAACACUCAUUUGUCUGUGUGCUGUUAACAGAAUCAACAUUAUGGUGUUCUACUCCAAUACCUAUAUCCUUUUUUUGUAAGGGUCUCCACAUAUAGGUUACAGGGGCAAUUGAUUUAGAACCAGGUUCUCCAACAUGAUGAAGCUGCAAAACAAAACAAGGAGAGUCUAUCCAUAUGUUUGUUUCAUCAUUCUUGAAGUGGAGAAGGUGCAAUGGAAUAACUUACCAUAGCACUUCCAUAGACAACACCAGAAAACAAAACGGAGAAUAUCCUCAGAGUGAGCUGAUGGAGAAGGCACCAAUACCAUGCUUAGAAUUGAAAAUAAUGAAUCCUGGAAGCAUAUAACAUGAUAAACUAAAUUUCCUUAUGCAAAUGAAACAGAAAAACCAAAAGCAUUGAGAUACCACUUCCAGGUCUAUUAGCACCUAAAAUAAAAAUUCUUCUGAAGUAAUGAAUUAAGAGAAAAAUCCACAAUUGAAAUGGUUUGCAAUUACAAAGAAAUGAAAUGCAUACCUCCGGACCCUCCAAUUGCAGGGCAAUGUGGUAACAAGCAUCAUGUACAAGAGCUCCAUGUCUGAACUACUUCAAGAGAGCCCUUGAACCCCUUCCUCUACAUCAUUUUAGAGAAAAAUUGCCCAAAUUAAUUCUUUCUCAUAUACUCAAAUAACAAAUAGAAGUUGAAAUAAAAAUACGGAAAGGGUAACCCAAAUUGGUUCUUUAUCUAAGAGACUUCUCCAUGAAAAAGAGCUCCCAAUGGAUGUUUGGAAAGUAAUUCCACUGCAAACCCAAAUCUAAACGUAUUAAUGCUCCAUUUCAAACUUGAAGUUUGAGGUAAAGUACCCUUUGAACCUCAGAAACAAAAAGGAGAAAAUCAUGAAAAAUGAAAAAAAAGUUUAAACUAAAUAAAAAUUUUCAUGUUUAUUAUUAAUGUAUCAAAUUUUACAUAGUUUUCGAAGUUGGAAUUUCUUCCUAAAUUUUUUUCCCUUUUCAGUACCAAAUGGCCUAAGAAGAAUCUCCAAUAAAAAAACCUAGAAUGAAUUACCUGCCUUGCAAGCCCAGAGGUAGGUAGAAACCCCAAAGCUUCGUCAUUGUGAAGCGCUUUGCAUGCCAAACAUGGGUUCUUAGCCUCUUGGUACCGUCCCCAGAAGUAGAGUAACCAUGUUCAGGGUUUCUUCUCAGUUCAACUCGCCGACGAAUACGACGAGGAACUGUCUUCUCAUCUUUCUCCAAAGCCCCAACAUUGCCUUUAUCAACCACCCCUAUUCUCUCCCUCUUUCUAAAUCUCUUGUUUGCAUCUCUGUUAUCAUACCCCGUGGUCCUUCUUCUCUUGUUUCUCUGAGACCGGAAAUUGUUGUUCACUCGAUUUGCUACAAUUGAGUGAAGAGCCUCAAGUUCAGAAGCUCAGGAUUCUGCAAAUUUCUCAACAUUAAGACUUCGAGGAGGUGGGGCUAUCGAUGAUCGUUUGAAACCAUCAGUAACCAUUACUGGGAAUAACACCCAAACUGAAGAUCAGGAAUGGCGACGGCGGUAUGGCCGGAACGGUGAUUGCCGCCGGUGUUAUUGGAUGGAGAUGCGUUUGUGUUGAUGGGGCUGAGUGAAGGUGGCGGCGAUUAGGAUGACAGCUGAGCAGCACCGUCUAGUGUUCUACAACCCUGGGUUUUUGGCGGCAGGCCUGUCGAGCAGGAAACCAUUCUUUGUUCUAUUCUAACUAAACUCCGGAAUAAGGAGAGAAUUGUUACAGAGAUUAAACUCUCCUGCACCCACUUAGUAAAAUACUACUUUUUUUUUUUUUAAAUAUUACAAAGUUAAAUAAAAAAAAAUUAGAAUAUCAAAGAUCAAAUAAAAAAAAUUUAGAAUAUCAUGUUUGCACUUGAACAUGAUAAAUGAAUUUUCAACCUUUUAAUAUUUUCUUAUUUCAAUUAAUUAAUUAAUAAUAAAUUUAUAUUCAUGUAAUUUAAAUAAUUUUUCUAUAACUCGUUUAAAUCACUAACUCGUUUAAAUUAAAUUAUAAACUAAAACUAAAUUAAUCCGGAAUUAAAAAAAUAAACUUUAUCUCAUAGAUUUCUUAAACUAAGGAAUUAAAAUCACUAACUCAUUUAGACUAAAAGAUAGAUUAAAACUAGACUAAUUGAGAAUUAAAAUACGAACUUUAUCUAACAUGUUUAAUUAAACUAAACAUAGAAGAUAGAUUAAAAUUGAACUAAAUUGAAAUUAAAAAUAAGAACUUUUCUAAUAUAACAAUUAAACUAACGAAUUAAAACAACAAACACUAAACAUAAACGGUAGAUUAAAAGUGAACUAAAUCAAAAUUAAAAACAAAAACUUUUCUAAUAAAAAUAAUUAAACUAACGAAUUAAUAUUACAAACACAUCUAAACAUAAAAGAUAUAUUAAAAUUGAACUAAAUCAAAAUUAAAAAUAAGGACUUUCAUAAUAGAAACAAUUAAAUUAAAGAAAACUACAAACACAUCUAAACAUAAAAGAUAAAUUAAAACUAAAUCGAAUUGGAAUUAAAAAAAAGGGAACUUUAUCUAAUGGGAUAAAUUAAACUAAAAAAUUAAAACUACAAACACAUCCAAACUAAAAAAGAAAAAAUAAAUUAAAACUAAAUCGAAAUUAAAACAAGAAAUUUAUUAUAUAGGAUUAAUUAAAUCAAAGAACUAAAAUCAUUAAAACACUUAAAACUAAAAUGAUGGAUCAAAACGAAAUCAAAAAUAAAUUUGAAAACAUACACUUACCUAUAAACCGUUGUUUGUGGAGAUUUUGUGGGCUGCUCCCCCCUUUUUAUGGUUAUGUGUCGGCUCCUCAAAGUUCUUCGUGCGUCCUAUCAAAAGAAUUGCUCUCAUGUCCUCUCUGCCUCUUUAAAAAAUCCCCGUGCCUGUUAUUUAUCUAGCAGCCCAUUUCCAUGGAAUCUUUUAUUUCCUUUCUUAAUGCACGUGGAUAUAGGAAAGUGCAUGCCUGUGGCUCACAUUGGGGACUUCCCUAAUAUGCAGCCCGCGUCUCAUUUGGUAAGUGAUCAGAUCCUCAACGGUCCCAAAGUGGUAAGUUCCUUCGGAUCCCAUGUUGCUAUUCUGCAUCUCUUUGUGUUUUGGCAUCAUCCCUCUUAAUUAAUUCACCAUCCGGCUUCUCAAAUUCCUCGAGUCCUUUCUUUGUUCUUGUGGAAACAUUAGGAUCUCUAGUACUUGGCCAUCUCAAAUCCAUUCUUGCUAUAGUGAUAGUCCUUAAUAGUUUGUUCAAUUUCUUUCUGUGUUCAUGAUAAAAGGCCCCUACUGGACCACAGGUUCGUUCAGAGGCUGCCCUCCAAUGAGCACAAAUCUCAGCGGUUUGGAUGACUUGUUCCACGUGCUCAGGCCGUCACCAGGGCCUAAAACCAAGACAUGGUGAGCGGUCACUAGAGAUGAGUUCACUACCCCGAAUACUCCUUCCCCUUCAACUUUGUACACAAAGGAGUUCCAUGAUUCUGAAAUGCUUUAAUGCAUUUGGGCCCUUGGUUUUAGAGUAAAAUCAAGGUACAUUGUUGGAGUUCUGGUGUAAAUAGGGGACCAGAGUCCCAUUGAUUCUCUUGCUAUGACCCGGACUUCAACGCCAUCUUUCUCUGCUCUUUUGAUGUUGUAAGAAAACAGAGUAGAACAGAGUGUUUUGGAAAUCUAGAAAUCUGGUGUAUAUUCCAUUUUACAACUUACAGGGAAGAAGAUGCAUAUAUACAAAGUAUUGGUUAGCCUAUUCUAGGAAUGUAUGAGCAAACAUAUCAGUUACAAUCAAUCAAAAUAAUCUUCUAUAUACAAUCAAAUAUCAUCCUCAAAUUACGGGAUCCUUGAUUCCUUUCCCAUAAUACUCCCCCUUAAGUUGGAGUGUGUAUGUCAAGAACGCCAAACUUGUUGAGAAGGGAAUGAAAAAUUGAUGAAUUGAGUGGCUUAGUGAACAAAUCAGCAAGCUGGCAAGAUGAUGGAACAUGAGCAGUUACUAUGGCACCUAAUUGAAUUCGUUCUCGAACAACAUGACAAUCGAUUUCUAUAUGCUUGGUACUGUGGACCCGCAUUUUUCACGUGCGCCCCCACUCGAUCGGCGAGACUCGCUUUUUAUUUGUGAAAAAUUAAUUUUUGGAAAAAAGUUGGAGCCGCCACUUAUUUUAUUUUUAUUUUAAAGGGAAAAUAAAACAAGAAAGAAAAACCCUAAAAUGUGACUCCAUAAUUUUUGGAAAAAGCAUGUCUUUGAAAAACCCGAGUCUAAGUCCGGGGAUCAGGUUACUUAUUGGGAAGGUACCUUUAAAAGGUAGCACCCCUUUAAGCCCUAUAAAGGUCUCUAUUGACUAAGUUGACGGAAAUAUGGCAAUUAAUCGAUUGAUCAUAGAUACCUAAGUAGACUAGGUGAUUUUAAAGUGUGGCAUGUCAAACACAAUCAAAUUGCAACAAAUGAGAGUUAAGGCGCGUACCUGAAUCGCUUCUCAAGCGCUAUCAUAAAACAUCGAUGGUUAAUUUAAACAAUAUAUCAUCCAGCAUGUAUUUUAUUAGAAAUAAUCAAACAAUGAAACAUGUAUAUCAGAACACUCAAGCAUUAUUAGACAUAAGCAUUAUUUCACUAUUCACAGAAUUCAGAAAGUAGGUGAUAGAGGACAUACCUGGAUAGCAUAGAUAAUUUGUAACGUGCUUCCUCAAGUUAUAAGGGGUUAGAUAACAAAUAAUAAAAUAUAGAAAUCCUAGCAUGCUCGUUAUCUAAUUAGCAUAGCAAAAGUGAUUAAAGUAUACAGAAUCAUCAAUUAUCACAUACAUCUUGUAUAUAAUUCCUAAAAAAAUAGAUAGACAUGAUUCCAACAAGUGUCAAAUAUGGCAACAAAAAUAAAUUUUGAAAAGAUUUUCUUAUGUAGGGGAUUCACCAAUUCCCCAAUCGAUAUACACGAAUUUAGCUUAGAAUUAUCCCAUUUAUUUGGGACCACAAGCUUUGAUUUGUGUUUUAUUCAAAACUGUAAUUUUAUUUGAAAGAUGUGAACCAAUCAAAACAUGGUUGCACAUUAUUUUAAAAAAUGAGAUUUUGAUUCUAAGAACUCUAAAUGAAUUUUUGAAAUGGAUUGUUAAGGGGAUCUUUUGACUCUAAGAAACUCUAAAUGAAUUUUUGAAAUGGAUUUUUAAGGAAAAUGAGAUUUUGAGAAUAGUGUUGUAUUUUAAAAAGAAAUUAAUUUGAAAGCAAUAAAGUGUAUGAAUCAAAAUACCAAGCAAAACAAAAGAGAACAAAAUCACAAAGUAGAAUUUUUGACAACCAAGAAAAUUGAAGGUGAGAAUGGAGGCUAAUCUUCAUGAGUUUCCAAAAGCCUCAGAAAAAGAAAUCAAAUUAAGUGAAGGAUCACUAAAACAACAAGCAAAGCAUUCUAGAUUAGACGAACUAACAAGGUAUCGAUUCAUGAACUAACCGCUAGGAUUUUAAAAGCAUAUAAAUUUAGAUAAGGGUGAUCAGGAUCUAACAUUAAUGAUUUUGAAACAAAAACUAAAAAUGGAUCAAUUCAGGUAAGGAACUAAAAUUAUAGAAGUACCUAAACUAAUUAAAACGAGUUUGACUAAAUUAAACCAACAACAUGAACUUUCAAGCAUAGAAUUAAUUUUAUUGAUGAACCAAAAUUUAUAAAAGUGUCUAAACUAAAUAGAUGAAUUAAAUUAAAUCAAAGUACGCUAAAAACAUGAACUUUUAAAUAAAGAAUCAAUUUUAUCAAUAAAUAAAUAAAACUAUAAAAACACAUAAACUAAUUAAAAGGAACCAAAUUAACAAAUAGAUUAAUACUAAAUUAUAUUAGGACUAAAAAAAUCCACUUCAUCUAAUAAAAUUGAUUAAGCUAUCAAAUUGGAAUUAAAAAGAAUACAUUUUUAAAAUAAAACAAAUUAAUAAUUUAGUGACUCGAAACUGAAAUAAUCGAAAUUAGAAAUAAGAUGCAAUCUUUCUAAAGGUUUAAUCAAACAAUUGAAUUAAAAUUAUGAAUAUAAUAAAUUAAUAAACCAAAUCGAAACCUCAACCCCAUCUAAGAAAAUUAAUUAAUUAAGCGAAUAGAUCAAAAUCAACAACGAAACUAAACUAAGGAGUAAAUUAAGACAAAACCAAUUAAAUUAAAAUCACAAAUACGUCUAAACUAUCAUAUGGAUUAAAACACAUUAGCAUGGACUUAUGAAUUACGAACCCAUAGAAAAAGACAUCUAAUAAAAGAAUGAAAACUCUUUCAAAAACGAACCUGUGUUAUGGGAGAAAAAUUCGUCUUUGAUGGGUUGAAGUGGCUGCUCUAUUAAAAUUUGAAAGCCUCUGUUACUUCCCUUUGUCCAGAAAAUCCUCUUCCCUUUACGUGUUCUCUCUCUGCCCCCAAAAAAAUAAUCCUCUCUUCCCCUUUCAAUUUAUAUGGCAGCACUUUCCUUUAUGAAAUACUUUAUUUCUUUUUCCGAAACGCGCAUGGAUAUGGGAAGUAUGGCUCACUUGGAGAUUCUUCUAAGGGUGCGGCGUGGCGACAUCCCUCUCAAAACGUGGACUGUGCGCCUCCUCCAAAGGCAGCUGCGCGUGAAUGCCACCAUCUCAACUGUGCGGUUGCUCUUAAAAAAAAGGAUUGUGCGCGAGUGGUGAUUCUCCACUAUGGAAAAUGGAUUGCAAGACUCACAACCGCACUGCAUCAAGCACUAAAAUGCGCCAUGAACGACUAGUGCUCCUACCUGAUAUGCAUCCCGAGGACUGUUUGGAUUGGAUGACCAUGGCUGGAUGGGUAUCAUUGAAGCUUAAAGUUGCAGGAACCUUUCUUCAACAAAUAGAUCAACAAACGAUAGAGUCUUCGGGGAAGAACGGGAUGCCGCAAUUAGAUGAACUUGAUGAGAAGAUCUUUGCGAAAUCGGAGAGGGAAUAAGAUGAUGAAUGAAUGUCGGUGGUGGGGACAGCAGUCGAAGAGAUGUCUGCGUGUUCGUUGAUGGAGGCAGCGUAGGAGCAGUGCUCGCCGGAAGAGGAGCGUUGCUCAUCUGUUCCGGUGGAACUUGACUUUUUCUUCACAAAGACCCUUUUCUUGAACCUCUGAAUGUGGUAACGUCGGAAUCAGAAGUCACAGUAAUGGAGAUCGUGUUGGCGGAGCCAUCCUCGAAGGAGGGAUCAAUUCGAAAGCAGAUUCGACGCGUUGGAUUUUAUGUUGAAGAGAUCAUAUUUGUUUGGCCUCGAGCUGAAAUUCCCUUCAUAACGGUUGGUGGUGGCGUUGGCGAUGGCAUCCUCGUGGCGAUGAGAAAGCUUUUGGAACAGGCGGCCAUCUCCACUUGGGUCUUUCCACCGAAAAAAAAGAAUUUCCUCCUACAAUCAAAAGAGAGCCCCUCCCUUUCCUUCAUCUCUCACGUAUAUGUAUAUAUAUCCGCCUUUCCCUAAAACCUAAAUCUCCCUAAAAAAGUUGAAAUCUCCUAUUUUCUCUCUUCUUUUCUCCUUAUCCUUUUUUAAAUCUUCCAAUUCAAAAGCAAUCUUCCCAAUUUCAAAUUCCUCUCCAAAACCUUCCAAGGAGAGUCCCGCCUUCCUUAAACUCCAAUAGUAAGUUUCCUUGCAAAAACAUGAAAUUUUUGAAGUUAAAUAAUUGAAUGAAUAGAUAAGCAAGUAAAUAAAUUAGGAAACGGUAAAAAUAAAUUAAUAAACAAACAAAAAUAAAUAAUAAAUAAAUAAAUAAGUUAAGGAAAAUAAUAUAAAGAGGAAAAUAACCAAUAAAAAGUGAAUGAGAAUCAUAAAACUAAAACUAAAAAAAUAAAAUAAAAUAAAAUAAAAAUAAACCAAUAAAUAAAAGUCGAGCCCAAAAGCCAUGUAGCCAUGCAAGUCAUACAAGUCACACUAAAAAUGUCCAAAUGGGGCAAGUGUAUCUAAAAGCUAUCCUAAAAAAAAAAAAAAAAAGCCUAAGUCUAAGUUAGGGCUGCCAGGGGUCACAAUAAGGGAUCAAAUAAUCCCUUAACCAAAGUCUCCGAGGUGACUCAGAAAAGAGUAAGUCAUACGAGUAGUAAUGGGCCACCAAGGAACUAUCGUGGAGCACUGGAAGUGAAUUUAAAUACAUGUGCUAAAAGGGCAAAAUUGAGGGUCUACAGGUACGUUCAUGGUAAACUGGAUUAGCAGCAAUAUGGAGUGCUGCUUUACUAUCACAGAAUAGAUUGGCAGGUUGCGAGUGUUCUAUCUUCAAGUCAUCCAACAAAUACUUGAGUCAUGUAAGUUCACAUGUAAUGGAAGCCAUUGCUCGAUAUUCUGAUUCAAUUGAUGACCUUGACACUGUUGUCUGUUUCUUGGUUUUCCAUGAAAUGAGAGCUCCUCUAAGAAAAUACAAUAUCCAGUCAUAGAUCGUCUUGUGAUCGAACAUCAAGCCCAAUUUGCAUCACAAAAUCCUCUUAGUAGCAAAUUUCCCUUUACAGGAAAAUAUAAUCCUUGUCCAGGUGCACCUUUAAGAUAUCGUAGAAGAUGAUGAAUAGCAUGCAAAUGAGGCUUUCUUGGUUCUUGCAUAAACUGGCUUAAAAUGUGAACUGAAUAACUUAUCUCUGGCUUUGUAAUGGUAAGAUAAAUGAGUUGUCCGACCAAUCUUUUGUAGGUGGAUGGAUUCUUCAAUAAAUCUUCUACUGUGGGUAGGAGUUUAUUAUUUUCUUCCAUAGGUGUCAACAAUGGUUUGGCCCCAAGCAAUCCUGCUUCAUCUAAAAUAUCAAGAGUGUAUUUUCAUUGGGAUAUUGAAAUACCAUCAGUAGAACGAGCAACUUCAAUACCAAGGAAAUAUCGUAAUUGACCGAGGUCCUUGAUGCGAAAUUUGGUGUGGAGAGACUCCUUAAGAGCUGCAAUUACAUUCUCAUCAUUGCCGGUGAUGAUCAUGUCAUCUACAUAGAUGAGCACAGCUGUGAAAGAAUUGCUAGAGAUCUUUGUGAAAAGUGAAUAAUCAGCCCUUGAUUGAUGGAAACCAUCUUGUUGAAUGGUGGCAGAAAAUUUCUGAAACCAGCUACGGGAGGCUUGUUUAAGUCCAUAUAAUGACUUGUUGAGUUGACAUACCAUUGGUGUCUCCCCCUGUCGACGAAAACUGGGCGGCAAUUGCAUAUAAACUUCUUCAAGCAAAUCACCAUGGAGAAAGGCAUUUUGAACAUUCAUUUGGUGAAGUGAUCAAUGUCGGACAGCAGCUAUAGCAAGUAAACAUCGAACUAUAGUUAACUUAGCCAUAGGAGAAAAGGUCUCCUUAUAGUCAAUCCCUUCGCGUUGAGUGAAGCCUUUUGCCACCAACCGAGUUUUGUAUCGCUCAACUGUGCCAUCAGAGUUAUAUUUGAUCUUAUACACCCAUUUGCACCCAAUUGGACGAUGAUCGGAAGGGAGAGGUGUGAGUGUCCAAGUGUGAUUUUGUUCAAGAGCAUGGAGUUCUGCAGCCAUAGCUUCCUGCCAUUUUGGAUCCAAUACUGCCUGUUCAUAAGUUGUAGGUUCCAUAAGAGUGGUGAUGGCACAAAAAAAAUUCCGAUAUUUUGGUGAGAGUUGUGCAUAGGAAAUAUACCGAGUCAAAGGGUGAUGCGUACUUGACAAGGAAGAAGAUUGGCUGGAAGCAACCUUGGCGGGGUGGUAGAGAUGAAAAUUCUAAAGUUGGACAUUUGGUUGCUUGAUGCGGUCAGAACGACGAGUAGCAGGAGGUGGAGGUGACACAAUGGUGUCAAGAUCAAGUGUACGUUCAUUAGAGGUAGACUCAAGAGAUGAAAGCAAGGGUGGUGGCUGAUCAUCAGCUUGUGGUUUGGUUGUCUCUAUGGUUAUGGGUUCAUAUGAGGUUUGUGGUAAAGGAAGAACGACCACAUCAUGUUGUUCUUCUUGUGGAUUAGUGUGGAACGGAAAUAUAUGUUCAUGAAAGACAACAUCUCGGGAAGAAAAGAAUUUAUUAGUUUCAAGAUCAUAAACCCGAUAACCCUUUUGACCAAGAGGAUAACCAACAAAUAUGCAACGACGAGCUCUUUGAUCAAAUUUAUGUGUGGGUAAGAGAUUGGUGGCAUAACAAAGACAUCCAAAAGUUCGUAGAUGAUGAUAUGAAGGUAGCUUGUUAUAGAGAAGUUGGUAUGGAGAUUUGUGAGAAAGAAGGGGUGUAGGUAAGCGAUUGAUUAAAUAGCAAGCCGUUUGAAUACUUCCCCCCAAAAUUUUAACGGCAAGUUUGCUUGAAAACGAAGAGUUCUUCCCACAUUUAAAAGAUGACGAUGUUUCCUCUCAACCACCCCAUUUUGUUGGGGGGUGUAAGCACAUGAAUGAUGGUAAUUGAUCCCCUUAGUAUCCAAAUACUGUUUCAUAGAGGAAAUUUCAGUCCCAUUAUCGGUUCGAAGGGUUUUAAUGCAACGAUUAAAUUGGGUUUCCACCUAAGAAAUGAAUGAUUGCAAUAUCCCUUGUGUUUCAGAUUUAAAACUCAUGAGAUGCAUCCAAGUAUAUCGAGUAUGAUCAUCAACAAUUGUUAGGAAAUAACGAGCCCCAGAGUGAAAAUUUAUUCAAUGUGGUCCCCAAAUAUCACAAUGUAUCAAAUCAAAAGGUGCGUGAGAAGAAAUGAAACUAGAUGGAAAGGACAAACGAGUUUGUUUGGCUAAAGGGCAAAUAUCACAAACAUGCUUGGAAUCAAAAUAAAUUUCAGAAUUAACUUUAGCAAGAACUUGAAGAGGACCGGAUGAUGGGUGCCUAAGACGUUGAUGCCAAAGAUCAGAAUGUUUGUGAAUGGCGUAAGCCAAGGCUGGAUUUUGGUGCGAGGUAGUAGAGGCCAUUAUGUUGCUUGCCCAGGCCAAUCAUCUUCCUCUUAGUAGCGUCUUGCACAACACAAAAAUCGGAAAAGAACAUCACUAUACAUUGUAAUGCCCGCAUUAGUUUACUAAUUGAUAGUAAAUUAACUUGAAAUUGUGGAACUUUGAGUACGUUAUCAAGUUUAAUGUGGGCGGUAACAUGCAAUGAACCAAUUGACUCAAUAUGUGCUUGACCACCAUCUGGCAAACUAAUGGUAGUGGUUUUGGGCAAAAUUUUCAGAUCUAAUAAUUCAACUGAGGAAGUCACAUGAUUCGUGGCUCCACUAUCAAUAAUCCAACACAUUUUUUAGUAUGGGCAAUUCAGAAUAAUUUUGGAUGAUGGCAUAUUUAUACCUGUGGCAUUUGCAAAAUGUUGUGAAUUACCACCAUUGUUUUUCCGAAUCAUAGCCAUUAAUUGGUUAUAUUCCUCAGUUGUGAGCCUUGGUCCAUCAUUUGUUGGAAGAAGUUUUGCUUCUGUCUCUACAGCCUUAUUUGUUUCCACUUUCACAUUGUUUGCAUUUGAGUGACGUUGAUUGGGAGGCUUCACGUUCUUCCCAUGGAGCUUGUGGCCAAUCGGAAAGCCAUGUAGGUAGUAACACUUCUCAAUGCUGUGAUAAUCACGGUCACAAUAAGAUCAGUGCAGUGGCGUCUUUUGCUUUUGAACCUGGUGUGCUGAAGUCGCCUUAUUGUCCCGAUCUGCAAGCAUGGCAUAAUGGUUCUUGUUCCCAUUAUUGAGAGAAACUUCAACUUGUUUUUCUUGUUGAAGGACAAGUGAGUAAACUCGGCGUGUAUCGGGUAGAGGUUGCAUCAAUAAGAUUUGUUCACGAAUGGCAGCAUAACUAUCAUUCAAUCCCAUGAGAAAUUGCAUAACUCUCUCUUUUUCAUCCAUUUCCUUAAGUUUCUCUAAUCCUCCACAAGAGCAGGAUAACACUUCAUGAUAGGAUGAAAGUUCAUCCCAAAAAGCUUUAAGCUUUGUGUAAUAAACUGAAAUUGAUUGCUGCCCCUGCCUAUGUUCCACAAUGUCUCGCUUGAUCUGAUAAAUUCUUGAAUCAUUUCCUUGCGAAAAACAUUCUCGCAGAUCUGCCCAGAUUUCUAAUGUUGUUUCGGCAUAAAUCACACUACUGGCUAUGUCUGGAUGAAUGGAAUUCAAUAGCCAUGAGAUCACCAUAUCAUUGCAACGUUGCCAAGAAGGAAAACUAUCAUCAGUCGAAGAGGGUGGCUUAAUGGAACCUGUGACGAAUCCAAUUUUUUCUUUAGCACUCAAACUGAUCCUCAUAGCCCGACUCCAUGUGCUGUAGUUAUCUCCUUCAAGUACUUUGGAGACAAGUACCAUACCCGGGUGGUCCGAGUGAUGUAGAGAGAAGGGAUCUAAAGCUUCUGUGGUGGCCUUAGAUGAUGUCAAUCCCAUUUUGUUGAUGUCCAUGGCAGCAGCUGUAACGAGGAAAUAAGUUGUAGAAGCGCUUGGAAGAAUUCAGAGUCACUAGGUUUGGUGCUCUGAUACCAUGUAAGAAAACAGAGUAGAACAGAGUGUUUUGGAAAUCUGGAAAUCUGGUGUAUAUUCCAUUUUACAACUUACAGGGAAGAAGAUGCAUAUAUGCAAAGUAUUGGUUAGUCUAUUCUAGGAAUCUAUGAGCAAACAUAUCAGUUAUAAUCAAUCAAAAUAAUCUUCUAUAUACAAUCAAAUAUCAUCCUCAAAUUACGGGAUCCUUGAUUCCUUUCCCAUAAUAGAUGUCCUCACUCGGCUAUUCUUGGUAAUUUGGUUCAAUCAUUUUGUCUUUGGAUGCUAGAUUGAUCCAAAGUUGCAAUCCCUUUUGGGUUCCUUCACCUGCGGGCAUUUCAGAGUGGAUUAUGCCUCUGCCUGCAAUCAUCCACUACACAUCCUUGUUCGGAUUGUGCCCUUAUGCCCUGCAAAAUCUUGAUGAGUGAAAGCUCCUGUAGACCCUCAAUUUUGUCCCUUUAGCACAUGUCUUUAAAUUCGUUUUCAGUGCUCCACAAUAGUUCCUUGGUGGCCCAUUGCUACUCAUACUACUUACCUUUUUUUUUAGCCACCUCGGAGAUUUUGGUCGAGGGAUUAUCUAACCCCUUAUUAUGACCCUUGGCAGCCCUAUUUUAGACUUAGGCUUUUCAUUCAUUUUUAGGAUAGCUUUUAGGGUAGCUCAUUUAGGCACCCUAGGCCCACUUAGGCACCCUAGGCCCACUUAGGCACUUAGGCCCAUUUAGGCACCCUAGAUCCACUUAGGCACUUAGGCCCAUUAGGUCCACCUUGGCCCACUUAGUCUCAUCAUAGGUCCGUUUAGACACACUUGGCCCAUUUGGACAUUUUUAGCGUGACUUGUAUGACUUGCAUGGUUACAUGGCUUUUGGGCUCGGCUUUUGUUUAUUGGUUUAUUUUUAUUUUAUUUUAUUUUAUUUUUUUAUUUUAUUUUAUUUUUUUAUUUUAUUUUAUUUUAUUCUAUUUUUUUAGUUUUAGUUUUAUAAUUAUCAUUCACUUUUUAUUGGUUAUCUUCCUCUUUAUAUUAUUUUCCUUAACUUAUUUAUUAUUUAUUUUUAUUUAUUUAUUUAUUUAUUUAUUUUUACCGUUUCCUAAUUUAUUUACUUGCUUAUCUGUUCAUUCAAUUAUUUAACUUAAAAAAAUUUCAUGUUUUUGCAAGGAAACUUACCAUUGGAGUUUAAGGAAGGUGGGACUCUCCUUGGAAGGUUUUGGGAGGGGAAUUUGAAAUUGGGAAGAUUGCUUUUGAAUUGGAAUAUUUAAAAAAGGAUAAGGAGAAAAGAAGAGAGAAAAUAGGAGAUUUUGCCUUUUUUAGGGAGAUUUAGGUUUUAGGGAAAGAGUAAUAUAUAUAGGUGAGAAAAGGAAAAAGAUAGGGUAGCACGCAUAGGAGGAUUUCAGAGGGAAGAAGGAAGGAGUGACCGGGGCAAAAGAGGAUUUUUAUAUGAGAAAUCGUCUUCAGAGGUGAGAGGGAAGAUAGCCGGAAGCCAAGCCAUUGCGGCCAUUGCGGCCAAGACUGCCCAGAAUUUAAAAUCCAUUGGGUCUGGAGGAGAGGCACAGAGGAGAGAGGACUUUCAGCAUGCAUUAAGAACGAAGUGGAAUUAGAAAAGAUAAGCAAUCUCUGCUUCUUCAGAAAAGUUCUAAGGUAAGUUUACUGAUGUUUUGUUUUGGCUCAUACUCCCAAUCUAUGUUCCUCAUUUUUAUUUAUUUAGUUAUUUAUUCUUUUGUGACCUAGGACGCUGUUUGCUUGUUGGGUUGGAGAUGGCAUAAACUCCAUGUGAAUCUUGCUGAUUUCUCAUAUAUUAUUACGGAUAUUGUUUCAUUCCCUGCUUUUUUUUUUCUUUUAUCAUUUGAACUCAAUGAGACUCUGUUUUAUGGUAUAUAUUAUUUCAAGAUUUUGGUUGCCCAGAUUCUCUUUACUCCUCCCACCAACCUAAUCUCGUGGAUCGAAAUAUGAAACACGACUUUCUCUAGAUCAUUCUAUUUUCAUCCUCUAUGCUUUCUUUUCUUGGUUGCCUUCUUUUGUUCUUGUGUGUAUUUUCAAGAGAGAGACUGGCAGCAUCCAUGGGGGAAAGAGGGAGAUACGUGACUAUUUGUUAAUUCACUGGAAAUUCACCCGCGUUCGGGAAGGCGCGUAAAGACUGACCUUGUUGAAUCUUGAAGGAGCAGUAGUCGCAACAUUCUGAAGAUGGAGGACCGCAUCAUCCUUAGCGUGAAAAAGGCUGUUUGAAGGGAUAAAAAAAAAAUAGAGUUUUGAGAGUGUAAGAGAGGUGCAAGGUGCAGCCGCACCCUUUAGGAAUUCUUCUGGAACAGCCACAUCUUUGAGGAACUUUCAGCAUCACCCACACCUUUGAGAGAACUUUUGGAACAGCCACAUCUUUGAGGAAGAACGACCAGCCGCACCAUACUUGGGACGCUUUCAGCACGCAUAAGAGAGUCUGACGCCUUUGAAGAAGCAAGAACAACCAGCUGCACCAUUCUUGGGACGCUUUCAGCAUACAUCAGAAGAGAGGGUGACACCAAACGGGAAGAGGAUCAGCAGCCGCACUAAGGGGAAUCCGGGUGAGAGGAGCGAGAUUAUUUUCUGGAAUGUGAGAGGGUGCAGCCGCACCAUUGAGAGGAGGAUUUCCGGAACAGCCGCACCAUUGAGAGGACGAUUUCUGAAUCAGCCGCACCGAGGUUGAGAGGACUUCCGGAGCAGCUGCACUAUAGGAAGAAAGGAAACAUUCAGUCAUGCUCCUAGGCUUCAAAGACCACCAAGAAGAAGUCUUCAGCUACAGUGCAUGGGCAGCCACCACACCAUGGAUCCUUGGUAAUGAUUCUUUUAAAAUAAAAUAAAAAAAAAAAUAGAAAUCCUACUAGUGGAAAGUGACCUACACGUUUCGGAAAAGGUGAAUUUAUCCUUCCUAUUUCAAUUUUGAUUCAUGAAAUAUUCAGUUCAAUACAUAAUUGUUUUAGAGAUUUAUCUAUUUAGUUUAAUUAUUUCCUGAUGAAAAUUUAUUAGUUUUAAAAUUAUUCCCAUUCAAUCUUUGUAUUUUAAAUUUUUAUUGUAAAUUCAUGUUUAGCUUAGAUGUUAAUCUUUAAUUUAUUUUUAAAAUUUUCCAUAUCUAAAUAAAUUAAUUAUUAUUGAUUCAUUAUUCUAGCUUGAAGAUUAUGAUUUUUGUUUAAUGUAGUUACAAUUUAUUAUUCUUAGUUUGACAAAUUAGAUUUUUUUUUUUAAAUAUUGGUUUAGGCAAUUUUUGUUGAUAAUGGAAAGGUUAGGAUUUUUUUUAAGAGUUUGGGCAAUUCAUUAUGAUGGUUUAAAAUUUAGAAAUUUGAUUAACAUUAUUAAAUAUUGGUUUAAGCAAUUCUUGUUGAUAAUGGAAAGGUUAGGAUUUUUAAGAGUUUGGGCAAUUCAUGAUGAUGGUUUAAAAUUUAGAAUUUUGAUUAGCAUUAUUACUAUUAUUAUUUUUUUCUCAAUUAGGAAAUUCAUAAUUUCUUUUAGUUUGGUUUUAAUUUAUCUUUUAGUUUAGAUGUUAUUAAAAUUCAGUUUAUUAGUUCAAUUGAUUCCAUGUCACAUCUUUCCAUAUCUAAAGGUUGUUAAAUUUAAUUCAUGAUUCAUUCUUUUAGUUUAUUAAUUUUAGAAUUUAAGUUGGUUAAUUUAUUUCAUUCCACGUUGAUAUAUUCAUGUUUUAAAAUAAAUAAAGAAAAAAAAUUAUUAUUUUAGUUUUGAUUGAUCCUGCUUUAGUUGAUAUUCUUUAGAGUUUUAAUUAAUUCGAUUGGUUUCAUAUUGUUUAGUUUAUGUUAAGAUUUUUUUAAUUCCAUUUUUCUAUUAAUUCUAUGCUUGAAAGUACAUAUCUUUAGUUUGCUUUGAUUUAGUUUGGCUCAUUUUAAUUAGUUUAAGCAUUUUUAUAAUUGUAGUUCAUUAGUAAAAUUAAUUCUAUGUUUGAAAGUUCACAUUUUUAGUUUAAUUUAGUCAAACUCGUUUUAAUUAGUUUAGGUACUUCUAUAAUUUUAGUUCCUUACCUGAAUUGAUCCAUUUUUAGUUUUUGUUUCAAAAUCAUUAAUGUUAGAUCCUGAUCACCCUUAUCUAAAUUUAUAUGCUUUUAAAAUCCUAGCGGUUAGUUCAUGAAUCGAUACCUUGUUAGCUUGUCUAAUCUAGAAUGCUUUGCUUGUUGCUUUAGUGAUCCUUCAUUUAAUUUGAUUUCUUUUUCUGAGGCUUUUGGAAACUCAUGAAGAUUAGCCUCCAUUCUCACCUUCAAUUUUCUUGAUUGUCAAAAAUUCUACUUUGUGAUUUUGUUCUCUUUUGUUUUGCUUGAUAUUUUGAUUCAUACACUUUAUUGCUUUCAAAUUAAUUUCUUUUUAUUUUUAAAAUAUAACACUAUUCUCAAAAUCUCAUUUUCCUUAAAAAUUCAAUUCAAAAAUUCAUUUAGAGUUUCUUAGAGUCAAAAGAUCCCCUUAACAAUCCAUUUCAAAAAUUCAUUUAGAGUUCUUAGAAUCAAAAUCUCAUUUUUUAAAAUAAUGUGCAACCAUGUUUUGAUCGGUUCACAUCUUUCAAAUAAAAUUACAGUUUUGAAUAAAACACGAAUCAAAGCUUGUGGUCCCAAAUAAAUGGGAUAAUUCUAAGCUAAAUUCGUGUAUAUUAAUUUGGGGAAUUGGUGAAACCCCUACAUAAGAAAAUCUUUUCAAAAUUUAUUUUUGUUGCCACAUUUGACACUUGUUGAAAUCAUGUUUAUCUAUUUUUUUAGGAAUUAUAUACAAGAUGUAUGUGAUAAUUGAUGAUUCUGUAUACUUUGAUCACUUUUGCUAUGCUAAUUAGAUAACGAGCAUGCUAGGAUUUCUAUAUUUUAUUAUUUGUUAUCUAACCCCUUACAACUUGAGGAAGCACGUUACAAAUUAUCUAUGCUAUCCAGGUAUGUCCUCUAUCACCCACUUUCUGAAUCCUAUGAAUAUGCUUGUCAUUGUGAAAUAAUGCUUAUGUCUAAUAAUGCUUGAGUGUUCUGAUAUACAUGUUUCAUUGUUUGAUUAUUUCUAAUAAAAUACAUGCUGGAUGAUAUAUUGUUUAAAUUAACCAUCAAUGUUUUAUGAUAGCGCUUGAGAAGCGGUCCGAGUACGCAUCCUGACCUUCCUUUAUUAUGAUUUGAUCUUGUUUGGCAUGCUAUUUUUUGGAACCACCUAGCCUACUUAGGUAUCCAUAAUUAAACCGAUUAAUUGCCACAUUCCCCUUAACUUAGUUAGUAGAGACCUUUAGAGGGCUCAGAGGGGUGCUACCUUUUAAAGGUACCUUCCCAAUAGGUAACCUGAUCCCCGGACUUAGACUCGGGUUUUUCAAAGACAUGCUUUUUCCAAAAAUUAUGGAGUCACAUUUUAGGAUUUUUCUUUCUUGUUUUAUUUUCCCUUUAAAAUAAAAAUAAAAUAAAUGGCGGCUCCAACCUUUUUCCAAAAAUUAAUUUUUCACAAAUAAAAAAAAAAAACGAGUCUCGCUGAUUGAGUGGGGACACACAUGAAAAAUGCGAGUCCACAGCUCCCUGCAGCAUGUAUGUAACAGUCUCAAAGCCUCAGUAUGGAUGAUUUGGAAAAUUAGUAGGCGGUGCAACUGUGAACUCAUCCAACUUGAGAAAAGGAUCCUGGUUUUUCAAUUCACUCCUUCCAAUGCUCCGCCUAACAACAGCACCCUCACCCUCACAUUGAGGCUUGGCCAAGACCUUCUUGACCACCAACCUUGGCUGAUCAAAACCAGAGGAAUGAUCUGAUCCAGACAUGAUUUUUCUCAUGAAACAAGAAACUCUGCUUGGUUGGUAUUGAUUCAAUAACAGUAACCCAUAGUUACAGCUCUCAUACAAGUGUAUUCCUUGUGUUUCUUUUUUGUAGAUGGCUUUCUCAGAUCCCCCUUGCUGCAUGUAUGUCUUUGCCUUGCUCAUAAUCUUCCCAAAGAAAUCCUAUGCAAUUUUUCUCCUCAUGCAAGAACAGAAUAACAUAAAGUUAAUAAAGGUAAAAGAAAAGAGAAGAAACUAAUGAAAAAUUUUGAGAUUGGUAAUAAAACGAAAUACGAUUUUAAAAGAAAAGAAAGAGAAAAGAAAGAGAAACCAGGUUAUAUAAUUCCACCAUUCAAUCAAGGGUUAUUUUCACAUUUUGGAGUCUAAACAAUUCGAGCAAUUUCCUAUUAGAUGAGUGAAUAAAUAAAAUAAAAAUAAAAAUAAAAAUAAAAAUAGUAAUAAUAAUAAUAAUGACAAUGAUAAUGAUAAACAAAUAAAGAGUAAAAAAAUGAAAAUGAAUAAACAAAAUAAAUAUAAUUAUCGAAUGCAUGCAAUAAUAAUAAUAAUACUAAUAAAAGUUAUAUAUAUAUAUAUAUAUAUAUAUAUAUAUAUAUAUAUAUAUAUAAGUUAAGCCCGAUGAAGUGUUUAAACGGGCCUAAGUGGGUGCCUAAUGAGCCAAGUGUCAUAAAGUGAUCGGGAUAUUGUCUACGUGACCUAAACAUGCCUUAGAACUAUCCUAAAAAGGAAUGAAAAGCUUAAGUCUAAAUCAAAACUGCCAAGAGUCACAAUAUGGGGUUAGGCAAUCCCUCAACCAAAGUCUCCGAUGUGGCUCAAGAAAGGUAAGUGGUGUGAGUAGCUAUGGGCCACCAAGGAACUGCUGUAAAGUAUCGAAUAAGUAUCUAAUAGGACAUGUGCUAGGAGGACAAAAUUGAGGGUCUACACUUUCCUUGCCUAUUCUAGUCUCAUGAGGCAACUAAGACCCAUUCAUCCCUCUUGAUGGUCCUAUAAAUUUGAAGAAUCCAACUUGGAUCUCUCUAGAAAUGUAUGGAGCCUGUAGAGUCUAUCUGGAAGGGCAACAAGUGUUCAGUCUUGAGGUGCUUGAUUUGACAGAGGAAGGUCUCAUGAAGAUGUUUGUUGUUGGGGUCUCCCAAUUUACCCCGCUCUCAUUAGCUAUCUUAUACCCAACCCCAAUAUUCACAUUCUAGGCUCACUUGCAUGAUUUUGGUUUGCAUGGCCACCUCUCUAGGCCCAUUUUCAUAGCCCAUACCUGAAUGCAUGUCUCCAAAACCGAUUUUUGAAAAAUCCAAUUUUCACAUGAUUUAAUUCACAACUCUUCAUACAUCUCUAGAGUUUUCAGGAUCACCCAAAAGUCCCAAUUUAAUAAAAUUUGUUGCCAUCUUUCUUUCUGGCAAGCAAUUUUCACAUCUCCUUUGAUUUUUAAAAAUGUUUUAAAAUAAAUGUGAAUUAAAUUUCGUAAUUCCAAGUGAUGGGAUUUAUGGAAUUGAUUGAUGCAAAAAUAAAAUGGGCUUUGGUGGGGGCCCAACAUCAAUGAAUGUUUACUUUGAAAAUGAAAUUGAGUGAAGUGCGAUAUCUGAUGAUUUAUUAUCUUGUUUAGCGAUGCAUGUGACAUAUUUUAUGCUCAUUAUUGUGCACUAAUCCCAUUUCUUGAUAGCGUAUUAUGGUUCGCUACUAAGGUAUGCAAUCACUCUCAAUUUGAUCUUUUUCCAUGCAUGUUUUGGCUUUUAGUGUGUGAUCAUGUUGAUAUCCAUUGAUUUCCUCACCAAUUGCCAUGAUUGCUUCAUCUUAUUAGUAGAGACCUGUUUUUAAGGACUUAGAGGGGUGCUACUAUCUUUACCGUACCUUCCUGAUAAGUAAUCUAACCCCCGAACCCCGAUUUGGUUUUUUAUGGACCAUCUUUUCCGAAUAAGGAGUCACACUUAGGGUUUUCUUUUUUAUUUUUUUUUUGCCAUUUAAAAAUAAAACAAAAAUAAGUGGCGACUCUAAGUCAUUUUAAAAAAAAUAAAAUAUUUUUCAAAUAAAAAACGAGCUCGCCAUCGAAUGGAAGUGCAUGAGCCGAAAUACGAGGUCCAUAGUAUGUAUUCUAUAUAUAUUAUUUUUAUCAUUAUAAAAUUAUUUACAAAAACAUUAAAUCAAAUAAAUUUAAAUUGACUCACUAAUUACCUUUCCAAACAUUAUAUAUCUCCAUCUAUUAUUUUUAUAUAUCAACAAUCACUUGCCUACGUACACCUUCACACAUGGUUUUAAAAACCGGACCGGACCGGCCGAUCACGGUUUCGGUCCGAUCCGAUCAAGUAGCCCGGAAAAAGGUUGAACCAAAAUUGGACCGGUUGAACCAGUGGUUUGACCAACGAAUUGGACGAACCAAUCGGUUCAAUCCCUCCUCCUCCCUUCAGCAACCUUUUUGGGAGCUGGCCACUGUCAUCGGCACGGAGCUACCACUAUCGUCGGCACAAAGCUCCCCUAUCGGCAUGAAGUUGCCACUGAAAUGCCCCCCACCCCAUCCUCUUGCAAUGUUGUGAAGCCCUCCACUGGCGGCCGUCCUUCCAAAAACCUCUCUAGGAGUUGGCCACUGUCGGCGACACGGAGUUACCAUUGUUGUUGGCAUGGAGCUCCCUCGUCGGCAUAGAGGUGCCACUAAAACGCCCCUACCCCACCCUCUUGCAGUGCUGUGAAGCCCUCCCCCAGCAGCACCCGCUGUAAACCCCACCCCCCCCGGUUGACACUGACUAUAAAUCCCUCUCUCCCUCACCCCGCGUGUUAAAAGUUAAAACCCCCCCUCCUCCUACUACAGCCUGCAACACCCACCCCCACCCCCACCCCUAGCCCCCCAUCCCCUAUGCUCAAUGUGUUGGGAUUUAUUUCAAAAAAUAAUUUAUAUAUAUAUAAAUUACAUAAUUUUUUUUCAUUUUUAAUAUGUCUUUAUUCUUAAAUAGUUAAAUACAAUUUCUUUUAUCAUUUUCAAUAUAUUUUCAUAUUUAAAUAUUAUAUAUAUUUUGUUUAAUAACAUCAUAAAUAUUAUUAAUUUUGAAUUAUAUAUUUUAAAUUAUAUAUUUAUGACAUCACCGGUUCGACUAGUGAACCAUAAAUCGAUAAAUUUUUCGAUUCAAUAUCCGAUCCAAUUUUGAAACAUUGUCUUCACAUGCAUCUUAUGUGUUUUCUACUAGUGUGUAUAUGUACAAAAUGGGUCGCCCAUUUUGUGGGCUUGGCCAUUUUGAAUUUUUUUUUUGCCCUUUUUCUGUGUGAGCUGACGUCAUCACCCCCCUCCUUUUUUUUUCCUCCCCCUUUACAAGGACUCCCUCUCCCCCAACCCCCACAUCUUUUCUUUUUCAUUUUGCUCGCCCCCCAUCCCAGCUGCUCCCUCUCUCCCCGACUCUUUUUGGACCUCGAUUUCAGUAUAUAAUUAUUUUAUUUUUCAUUAAUUAUUUUUUUAAUUAAAAAUUUUCAUUUUUUUUAAUAAGGAAACUUGAAAUACAGUCAUAUUCCUAUUAAUUUAAUAUUUUUUUCAUUUACUUAACGUGACAUUACAUUUAAUUCGUUAUAAUCUAAAUUAGUUCUCAUUUUAAAAACUUCAAACAGUUGAAGUAACAAUAUUAUUUGACCUUAUUACAAUAAAAUGUAAUCUUCAAAAAAUAUAAGGUUUUUUUUAAAAAAAAAAAACUUAGAACAACUCAAUUCCCAAUUUUCCAAUCAAAAUCCCAAUGGAUUUGACAGCUAAAAUUCAUUCCAAAUUCAAUUUCCAGAAUUUUCCUUGUUUUCCUUUAAUCUAAUCUCCACUUUGUAAUUAAUUAAACUCCAACUUAAUACCAUUCCCAACCUUAUUCAAUAAUUAAUCAACUGUGUAAAAUUAAUCGCCCCUAUCAUGCCUCAUUUCUCCUAUUUUGAACUUUCCUCGUCUUCUCUUGGUCUUUUAAUAGUUCCGGUCACCAUGUUGAGCAUACUGCUGCAGUUGACCAAUAUUAAAAAUUGGUAAGAACAGUAGGUAGAUCCAAUUUCCUGGUAGUGGUAGUCACCAAUCUUCCAAUAUUAGUCUCCUUCCUUCUUUUCCUAUACUUGAUCUUUCAAUACCCACAAAGAAUCUCUGAACAUUAUUUUUCUCCCUUUUGCAUCAGAAUUGUUGUGAAACAAUAUCGGUAACGUGUGUUCCAUCUCAAUCUCCAUAGACAAUAUGAUCUCUGGCUGCUGGGCGGCUACAGGUGGUCAAGCAACUUAUGUUUGUGAAUUCGAAGAAAAGUUUGAUGCUGUGAAGCUGGCAUUAGAAGAUUUAAAAGAUUUCAGAAAUGACAUGAAGAGAAAGAUUGACACGUUUGAGGAACAACGAUUGGAACAACUUGACCAAGUGCGGAGGUGGUUUUCGAGGGUGGAAGAUGUGGAAACUGAAGCCAGUCAACUGAUAAAAGAUGGUACUACUGAAAUUCAGAAGCUUUGUCUGGGAGGUUAUUGCUUCAGAAAUUGCAUAUCUAGUUACAGAUUGGGGAAGAAACUAGCCAAGAAGGUUGAAGACUUAAACAAUCUAAGAAGCACAAGGCUUUUUGACAUGGUAGCAGACAGAUUACCUCCAGCUUCAGUGGAUGAAAGACCCAGUGAGCCAACCGUGGGCAUGAUGUCCAUCUUCAAUAAGGUUUGGAGUUGCCUUGGAGAAGAGCAAGUGGGAAUCAUUGGUUUAUAUGGGUUGGGUGGCGUUGGGAAGACAACCCUUUUGACCCAAAUCAACAAUGAGUUCCUCAAAACAACUCAUGAUUUUGCUGUUGUGAUCUGGGCUGUGGUGUCACGAGAUCCAGACUUUCCCAAUGUUCAAGAUGAAAUUGGGAAAAAGGUUGGGUUUUGUGAUGGUAUAUGGAGAAAUAAAAGCAAGGAUGAAAAAGCCAUAGACGUCUUUAGAGCCUUGCGCAAAAAGAGGUUUGUGUUGUUGUUAGAUGACAUAUGGGAGCCGGUAAAUCUAUCAGUCUUGGGAGUUCCAGUUCCAAAUGAAGAAAAUAAGUCCAAGCUAGUAUUCACAACCCGAUCCGAGGAUGUAUGCCGACAAAUGGAAGCUGAAAAGAAUAUCAAAGUGGAGUGCUUGGCAUGGCAGGAAUCCUGGGAUUUGUUUCAGAAGAAGGUUGGACAAGACACUCUUGACUCCCAUGCAGAAAUCCCCAUGCUAGCUGAAAUAGUUGCCAAAGAAUGUUGCGGAUUGCCACUGGCACUGGUUAUCAUAGGCCGGGCCAUGGCUUGCAAGAAGACAACCGAGGAAUGGAAUUAUGCAAUUAAAGUGUUACAAGGAGCGGCUUCAAUUUUUCCAGGUAUGGGGGACAGGGUGUUUCCUAUUCUAAAAUUCAGUUUCGAUAGUUUACCAAGCGAUGCAAUUAAAUCUUGCUUCUUAUAUUGUUCCUUAUUCCCUGAAGACUUCAACAUUCAAAAGAAAAUUUGAUAGCUUAUUGGAUUGGCGAGGGAUUUCUACAUGAAUUUGAUGACAUAGAUGAAGCUAGGAACCAGGGACACAACAUUAUUGGUAUUCUUCUUAAUGCAUGUUUAUUGGAGAAGAGCUCCCGAGAUAUUAUAAGAAUGCAUGACGUGGUUCGUGACAUGGCAUUGUGGAUAGCUUGUGAGCAUGGGAAGGUGAAAGAUGAGUUUUUUUGUGAGAACGCGUGUUGGGUUAAUAGAAGCACCUGAGUUUACCAGAUGGGUGAGUGCCAAAAGGAUAUCAUUGAUGGAAAACCGAAUUGAGAAGUUGACCAGAGCUCCUCCAUGCCCGAAUCUCUUGACUUUGUUUCUGGAUCGUAAUAAUUUGAGAAGGAUAACCAAUGGUUUUUUCCAAUUUAUGCCUGAUCUAAGAGUUUUAAGCUUGUCAAGAAACAGAAGGUUGACUGAGAUACCAUUGGAAAUUUGCAAUUUGGUUUCAUUACAGUAUCUUGAUUUAUCACAUACAAACAUAAGGCUUCUACCAAUUGAGCUUAAGAACCUGCAGAAUUUGAAGUGCUUGAACUUGAAUUUUACGCAAAUACUUAAUGUAAUCCCAAGACAUCUAAUAUCAAGUUUUUCCUUGUUGCGAGUGCUGAGAAUGUACAGCUGCGAUUUUUCUGAUGAAUUGACCAAUUGUAGUGUUCUCUCUGGUGGUAAUGAAGACUUGUUAGAGGAGUUGGAGAGUCUAAAGCAGUUGCAUGAUUUAAGUAUCACACUAGAAAGUGCAACUGCUCUCUUACGAAUCUGUGACUCCAAGUUACAAAGCUGCACUCGAGAUGUAUACCUCAAGAUUUUGUAUGGAGUGACAUCUCUCAAGAUAUCAUCUCCAGAGAAUAUGAAGCGCCUUGAAAAGCUUUGCAUCAGUAAUUGCAGUACUUUGGAAAGUUUGGAGAUUGAUUAUGUUGGAGAAGAAAAGAAGUUAUUAGCAUCUUACAAUCUCCACAACUCAAUGGUGAGAAGCCACAAAUGUUUUAACAGCCUUAAGCAUGUUCGAAUAGAUUCCUGCCCGAUUUUGAAGGACCUAACAUGGCUUAUUUUUGCUCCAAACCUUAUUCAUCUUGGGGUUGUGUUCUGCCCCAAAAUGGAAAAAGUACUAAUGCCUUUAGGGGAAGGGGAAAAUGGGAGCCCAUUUGCAAAACUUGAAUUGCUAAUUUUAAUUGAUCUGCCAGAGCUGAAGAGCAUCUACUGGAAAGCUUUGAGGGUCUCUCACCUGAAGGAAAUCCGUGUACGUUCAUGCCCACAGUUGAAGAAGCUGCCACUCAAUUCAAAUAGUACCGCUGGAUGUGGCACUGUGAUUUAUGGAGAAAAAUAUUGGGCAAAUGAGUUAGAAUGGGAGGAUGAAGGAUCACGACAUGCUUUUCUUCCUUGUUUCAUAUCUUGGUGAUAGGUGGGAGUAAUGUAAUGGAAUAGGCUUGGAUUUGAUCAUCACAGAUGAGGCUAGCUAUCAUUUCAUCCCCUUCAGCAAGGUAACAUUUACUUCUCAUGGUUUCGAGACUUUUUCGAGAACAAUGAUAUGAAAUUUAGUACUAAGUUUUUCUAUUUUUUUUUCCCUAUUAUUUUUGUAGCACUUAAGAAGUCUUGCCAAUGCAUCCAUGUAUACAGGGAGAUAAAUUAAGCCGGUGACUUUAUACCUGCCUACUUCCAUCCUUCUAAUAACAGAGACAUAUACACUAAAGGAGAAUUUCCCCGCUUGUACCAUCGUUUAUGUCUGAGAUGGAUAAUAAAAACAUCAAAUUUACUAAAAGAAAAAAAUCGGAUGCAUGUUGUCCAUAACGAACGAGAUUACAAAUAAACAAAAUUACAUGAAUAUUAUGUGCCCACAUACAGAUUUCAGAUUCAUUCUUAUUCUUUUUUCUUUUUCUAUUCUUAUUUUUAUUUAUUUAUUUAUUUGUGCUUUUCUUCUGGUGUUUUUUCAGGGUCCUAAGACAAACAGAUUGAUAACAUUGUCCCUUCCCCCCAUCCCCCCUUUGGCAAGAGUGACGAUGUCAGAUAGAUUUUCUCAAUCUGCAACCCUAAAGUUCUAGAUGAUUCACCAAGCUUUCUCACCAAGCGUGGUGCCACUGGACCCUGACCUAUUACCCAGCAAGCUUGGACGUGAAGUGUAAACUAUGUUAAGGCAGGGGAACAGGGUGAAAUAAGCAGGCAAAAAGGAGUCAAGCCCAGGCUGUUCAUUACUUGGACUGCUCAUUUUCCAAAUCUUGGCAGUUGCAUUAGGUGUUUUUAUCCUACCCCUCAAAGAAAAAGAUAGAUUUCUCUGUCAUUAGGUGCAAUUGAACUUGGUCUAAACUCUUUUUUUUUUUCCCCUUAAUCCUCUUAUCGAGCUCCAUAACCCAUAACCCAAGUGGCCAAACCCCUCAAGACUGUUGCAGCAUCUGUAUCAUAAAUGAAGUGGAGGUAUUAUAGGUUUCUAAGCUUGGGAUCCAAAAAUAGCAAAAGGUAGCCUCGAUCGGUUGAGCUAGGGGUCGAUCGGUUCACUAGCAGUUGGAGCAUUAAAUGCUUUGGUAGGUUACCUUUGCCUCGAUCGGAGGUUGAUCGAACCUCAACCGGGAAGGGGUGAACCUCAACCGAGAAGAGGAAGCUACUGGAAGAGAGAUAGUGUUUUUUACACUCCUCGACCAGACCUCAAUCGGACAAGGGUAACAGGUCAACCAAUUCCUUAUCCAGUUGAGCCGGUUGGCCAGAGCCUCGACCGGUUCAGUCUUUUGGCCCCAAAAACCUAUCUUUUUCAAUUCCUUUCUUUUCUAACACUUAGGCAAGACCUUUAGGUGAAUUAAUAUGCCAAUUUUAAAAUGUUUUGCCUAAGGUACAUUUGAUAAAACUUGGGUUUUAAUGAAAUCGAAAUUUUAAAGAAUAAACAGAGUUUUCAAAGAUGUAUGAAACAGUAUGAAAAACCUAAGUGCACCCAUGCAUUCAUUUUACAUUUGUUUCCUAUGAUCAAAAGUCUUCAAAAAGUCUCGAUCUUGUAUCAAUUUGGUCCUUCAAUGAAUUUCUGAAUUUAUACAUGAGAUUCUUUACCAUUCAAAUCAAUUAGUCACUUAACCAUGGUUUGUUAUAAUCAAAACCCGAUUAGGAGAACCCUUGGGCUAACAACCUCUAUCGAUGGUGGUGAUGAUGCAACAAGUGGUACUAUAGGUGGGGUGGAUGACACCUCCAUAGGUAUAAUAGGAGUCUCCUCAACAAGUGGCAAGCUAAUGUCAGUCGAUGGUGCAUCUUUAAGAACAGAUGUAUGCCUAGUCCCUCUUAUAUGAGCUCCUCCCUCUUUAGUUCGUACAUCUCCUAAUCGAGUAAUGGAUGAUAUCAACUGAUGAUAAGGUGGUGGACUAAUGUCAAUCGAUGGUCACACUCGGGCAACAACUAAUGUAUGCCUAAUCUCCCUCGUACGAGGCCCUCAUCGUGUAGGUCAUACAUCUCCUGAUCGAGGUUGGAGCUACGUAGUAGCAUCAACACUAAAUGGAGCAUCUAAGCGAUCCAUCUCAUGUAUGACCUCUAAUACGUACAUAGUCAGCGAAUGCAAAAAUCAUCUAAACAUGCAAUUUCAUAUAUCUGGUGUAUGCUGGUAGUCUAUAAGUCAAAUAAGAGUUAAAUUAAAUUCUUAUAAAAAUAAAAUAAAGUUUAAUAAAAAGAUAAAACAUGAAAAUUAUUAGUAGCUCAUGGAAGGACCCAGUCUGAGUAAGAAUCCCAUUUUGCCCCAUGAAAUUGAAUUUGCCACCGCUGGUAGCAUUUCCUAGUGAAGAAUCCCAUUUUACCCUCAUUGAAUCUGCCAUUCUCAAUCCUCGCAGGUACUAAUAUAAUCAUGUUAUUUUUUUAUUUUUUUUGCAACACCUGUUUGAUUCCUAAGAAAAUCCAUCCCCAUUUGAUUUCCAGGAAGAUUCAUCCUCAUUUGAUUUCCAAGAAAAUCCAUGCAAAACCCCUAAUGAAAACCAAAAAAAAAAAAAAAAAAACCUUUUUCUGGAUCUAUUCUAGGGGUCUCUUUGCUUUUGUGCCAUUGAAUUUAAAUUUCAUGAACCUUAAAUCCACGAUUUUUGAGCCAGGCUGAAAAACACAACCUUUCCUUGCAAAUCAUGAUCAGGUUACCAAAUACCAUCUUAUGUUUUUUUUAUAAAAAAAAAUGGACAAAUUUUGUAUCCUGUGCACGGGCUAGACCGGUAAGAAAUAUUAGGAAAUUUCCCAAAAAUUACCGAAAUUUCCUUUGAUCAAUAAUUGGUGAUGAAUAUUGUGUCGAAGUCGGUCGAUAAAAAAAUGAAAACAAAAUUUUCAACUUUCCCACACUUUCUUGGCAACCAAAUACAAUCACAACAAGUCGAACCACAAAAAAAAAAUGAAAACUUUCUCCAUAAUUUUUAGUCUACUCGGUUUCAUUGUAAAAAAAAAUGAAAACUUUAUUUUUUUUCAACUUUCCCACACUUUCUCGGUGACCAAACACAACCAGACCACCAAAUAUAACCACAAACUUACAGAAAACACCGAGGGCAAUGGUCUCUCAGAUCUGUACUUCACUUCCUUCCUAUUGGUGUUGAGGCAAGGAUUUCCACUCCAUGAUCAGCGUGAGGGAAAAUUGAUUUUCGGGUAUAGGACAAAAUGAGUUUUGAGGCAGAGAAGAAAACGGGUUGGGGGGAAAUGGGUUUCCAUUUCUUUUUAAAUAUAAAAUGCUAUUUUUUUCCACUCUCAUCCUACAUGUUAAAAAGUGUCGUGGAAUUGGAAUUAUUUUCCAAUCUACAACAUUUUACAAAUUACUUUCCCCAAUAGCCAUACAUUUAUCAAAAUCCCAACUCCACCACCUCUUUUUCUUUUUGGCAAAACAACCCACAUUUCCCUUAGCCUAGUGUCUACUCCUAUGAUGGAGUUUUCUUAGCAAAAUAGCCUAAGAAAUUCUGCAAUGAGCCCUAUGGCCCAACCUAACAUCCAAUUAAUUUGUAAGGGAUGGAAAGAGGUUUAUAAAUCUAUUUAUGCUUCCUCUCACUCCCGAUGUGCGAUCAACGUGAAGAAAUUUAAGGAAAACCUCAACUUUUUUUAUUGCAAGAAGGAGAGCUUGAACCAUAGACCUCAAGAUUCCCAAUACAAUAUUAUCCACUUUGCUACAACCAUCCUUUCACUGAAAUUUAACAAGGAAAAACUAUAUAGGUUAUUUUAAAAAAUAAUUAUAAAUAUAAAUACAAAUAUAUAUAUAAAAUUACACAAUACAAUUUUUUUUUUUUCAUUUUCAAUAUGUUUAAUAUUUAAAUAUGAUUUUUACCAUUUUCUUUUCAUAUUUAAAUAUUGUAUAUAUUUUGUUUAAUAAAUUAAAAAUGUUAAUACAUUUAUAUAAAAAUGAAUAAAUAAUAUUACAAAUAUUAUUAAUUUUUAAUUAUAUGUAUUUAAAAUUAUUUUUAAUUUAAAUAAAAUAUAAAUUAUAUAUUUAUGACGUCAUUAGUUCGACCACCGGUCUGACCAGUGAACCCUGUAUCAAUAACUUUUCUAGUUUAAUAUCCAGUCGGGUAUUGAAAACACUAACAUUAACAUGUUUCAAGAAAAAAAAAACUUAAAGAGAAAUUCUAUACUGAAGUUUGAUGAUAAGAUCAUUUUGUUCAUCUUUUAUCAUCAUUGACAAGUAUAAAUAUCCUUUGAAAAAUUAUGUUGAUAUCUUUAAUAAGUAUAAAUGUCCUUAGGAAAAUUAUGUUGGUAUUAGCUUGUACAUCGAGGAUGUUUCAAUAUUGUCAAUUAAAGAAACCUCAAGGUCAGGCUUUUUGCUAUUACUAUCCAAAUAGCAUAUAAGUUUAAGUCACAAAAAAAAAAAAAAAAAAACUAAAAGGGAAAGGAAAAAAAAGAAAAACAAAAAAACAAAAACCAAUCACAUUGGGUAGCAAUAUCAAUAAAUAAAGGCCUUUGACAACUAGUCGCUAUACUUAUUUCCAUGCAACCAUGAAAUAUAUGUUUGUUUUUCUUUGAGCAACAAAAUAAUGGAAGUUGUCAACAUAACAUAGGUUUGAUUAGUAGUCAACUUUCCUUUAAAUUUUUUAUUCUUCUUCCUAUCAUCCUUGGAAUCUCUCACAUACUAAUAGAAAAUGCAUGCUCAGACCCAAUCUCAACUAACAACAUCAUUGGACACUAUCGUUGCUACACUAUCAUCCAAGAAAAUUAUAUAAGCUUGAAGAAAACCAAUAAGAUUUGAGAAGUACUAUUGCAUGUGCUUGCUAAGUCAUAUAUGUGGAAGUCAAGUUAUAUGCAAAAAGACCAAGUCUUGCUUGUUUUGUUUGAAUGGUUCUUUUGUUUUGAAGAUGUUAUUUUUGUUAUUAAAGGUGAGAAUGUGUAAGUCAUUGCCUUUAUUUCUUUGCUAGAUUGUUCCUUAUUUGUGAGGAACUUAAUAUUAGAAUUAUGGAUAUUUAAGUGUUUAUCUCAAUGGAAUAAGACGUGAACUUUAUAUCUUAUCAAUUUUUUAGUUGUAUUAGUAGGGGUUGACCCCUCAAGUGUUAACAAAUUUCUUUAUAUCUUUUAAUUUUCUUAUCUUUUUCUUAACCCACUUAUGAGCAUAUCAAUUAUACAAAAGAAUAAGCAAGUAGAGGAAUCAUUUAAAAAGGAAGAUGGUUCUAGUUGGAUCUUAGAGGGUCUAGGGUUUAGGCUUUUGUUAGUAACAUUUCUACCAGAAUCUUUUAUAAAACACAAUUAAUGUUUAAAUAUAAAAAUAAAAGAAUUAUUUUUUAUAGUAUCUUUUGUCAUGUGUUAUUACACAUUAUGAUAACACAAUUAAUGUUUGAAUACGAAUUAAAAGAAUUAAAAUUGGUUAGAAUUUUUGGGCUUAAUAUUGGGCCUCCAUUAUGAAUUGGUUUUCCUAAUUUGCCUAAGCCUUGUUGUCUAGGAUAAGGUUGAAAAAAUACAAAAUAAAAUAUUUGGAUCAAGAUGAACAUUCAAACAUCCUUAGACAUUUAAAUGUUGGGACUUUCAAAUUAGUUUCCUUCUUUUUUUCUAACUAAAAAAUCUCAAUUUUGAAAUGUUUUAAAAUUAAGAAACUCUCUAUAAUUGUUUGUUAAGGUUUUUCUAACGUAAAGUAGUUUGUUUUAUUGAAAUUUUGUGAACUCCCAAAAACUCUAGAGAAUAUAAUCAUUCUUAAAGUUUGUAACUCCAUCUUUUGAACCUUAUAAGAUAUUUCUUGAAAGAACCUCUUGUCUAUAAUAAAGGUUAAAGACUCAUACAACAAAACUUCAAUAAGGGCCUUAAGAGAUCUACUAAAGAGCACAGGGAAUAUUGCAUCAAGAAUUUGGAAGGCAUGUAAGUACUAUUGGUAUAAGACCCUAUAGAAUAGGUAAUCAAGUAAAAAUAUUAUAUAUAUAUAUAUAUAUAUAUAUAUAUAUAUAUAUAUAUGUAUUGUUUUCUCAUAUUUAGUAGGUUAUUUAACGGUUGAGAGACCAUACUCGCAAUUUUUUACAUUUAGGCCACAGGUUGGUUUUUCCAUAUUAUAUCCUGUGUUUAUUAUGUGAUUGGGAAUCCAUGGGAUUCAUUAAAUUUUUAAGGUAUUCAACAAUUAAUUUUUUUAAUUAAUUUAGAGAUAUCCUAAAAUUAUACAAAAAUUCACACAACUAUCUUAAUAUGUCUAUUUUAAAUAAAUAAAAAUAAUAACAGAGCAAUAUCACAUUUAUAACAUAUUUAAAAAUAAACAAACAUCUAUCAACUCUAGAAGAAUACUUGUGUAGUGGGUGUAAAAAAAACCAAAAAUCAUAUCUCUCAUUUCAUAAAUCAUUUCUUAAUAUUUAAUGCUUCAAAAAUUACAUAUAGGAAGUAUGGAUUAAGAAAAAAAUGUUCAAAGAAAUUAAAGAAAUCGUUUAAUAAUUUAAUUUUUCAAAACAAAACUAAAUGUCAAAAACAGAGUGAAAAUUGAACCUUCUCAAAUAUUGAUUUAUAUCUUCUAAUUAGAAAAUUAUUUUUGACUCAAACAAAAUUCUAAAAUCAAAUUCAAGAAGUUUACAACACCGUGGAAUAAUUAGAAAAAAUUUAAAGAGUUUAUAAAUAGUCAUAUUCCCAUUUACCAAUUCAAAAGUACAAUCAGUUGUCAAAAAUGUCAAUAAAGAUCCAUGUUUUAGAAAAUUUUGUAUGUAAGGAUCUAUUAAACCCCAUUUUAAUUUCCAUGAAUUCAUCCAUAAAGACUCCAUUGAUUGGAGCUAUGAAUUUUAAUUCAUAUGUAUUCAAAACCAAAAUUCAUUUUAAAAUCUUUUCAAAGUUGCAUACAAAACAAAAUAGGCAGCAUUAUCAUUUUGGAAAAUUGAAGUUUCAUACUUAAAGGGACUAAGAUGAAUUUUAAAUAUAAGUUUAAGGAUUGAUUUUGUUAUGAAAGAAAUAUAAAAAUAAUUUUCUAAAAAUAUUAAUUCAUACAAAUUUUUAAACUUGGAUCACAAAAAAAUGUAAGAGUGCAUGUGUGAAUCACUUAGAAAAAAAAAAAGAAAAAAAGGAUAAAUCAAGUUUUCAUGAAUCAAAAUCAAAAGAAUUUAUUCAAAGUCAGUUAUCAUGUAAUUAUCCAAUAGCUUAUUUAGAUGAAAAAUAAAAUAAAAUAAAUCGAAGAAAAAAAUUAAUUCAAUCCCAAUCAUAAUUUAUCACGCAAUCAACAUUCAAUUAUACAACUUCCUAGGUGUCAAUUCUAACAACACUCAUGGUCCACACCCAACCUAAACUAAUACAUACCUAAGAAUCAUCAAAAUGACAAGAAGUGAAUAGAAGAAAAUAUUGAUAAUAAAAAUUAGAGUUAGGGAAUUGAAUAUUUCACUUCAAACUAAAACAUCAACACUAAUCAUAUUUAAAAAUAAAAAAUAAAAUAAAUAAAUAAAAGUCAUUAUAUUACAUUUCAACAAGGCACCAAUCAAUGUCUUAUCCUCCAUUUUAAAGAUCAAUAAAAUCAUUUCUACAAGUAGUUGGAUGUAUCAAUGUCUCAAUAAAAAAAAAAUAAAAAAAAUAAAAAAAAAAUCGAGCAUGACAUCAUUUCACUCAUGGCUAAUUAUGAACAUUUAUUUUAUUUAAAAUUUAAUCACUAGAUUAUGCAUUUGUGAACAACAUAUAUUCUCUAAUCUAGAUUUCAAGCAUGUGGACCAAUAUCUUUUAAUCCUAUAGAACCAAAAUCUAAUGUUUUAUAUUAACAUGGAAAUUUCAAGUGAGUCAUUAAUCAAAUGCAUGUAAUAAUUAGAUUAUCUUAAUAUAAUAAAACAAAGGAAUCCAAAUUUUGAAUUCUCUAAAAUACUAAGGUCAAUUUAUGACAUUUAAAAUUGAAAGGGAAGAAUGCAAUCUCAUUUAUAUUAAAUCAAUCAAAUAUGUCAUUAAAAUAAAAUUAAGACAAAAUAAUGAUUUUAAAUUCUGGAAGAAUAUUUUAAUAUUAUAGUUUAUAAGAAUUUGAAGAAAAUUAUUAAAGUAAAGAUUUAGAUCAACUAAGUUCAUUCAAAGUCAUGGAAUAAGAAAUGUUGAUACAUUGAAUUAAAUCAGAUGUAUGAAAAUUUUAAAUAAAUCACUAAUCAAAUACUGGAAAUGAUAAUAUUGAUAUUACCUUGGCAAUUUCUAAAUGAAAAAUCUAUAUCUAAAAAAUUACUUAGAUUCAUAAUAAUUGACACAUAAAAUGAUCUUUAAUCUCAUGAUUGCCUAUUAUGAAUUCACUAAACAAAUAUCUAAAAAAAUGACAUUAAUUCAUAUUUUAAUAAAUCUAAUCCAAUAUUCAUAGAAAAAUAGAGGAAAAGGCUAAAUCUAAUAUUUCAAAAUCGAUCACAACCUCUAAUCAUGCAACAACUUAUUUAGUGUUAAUUAAAUAAAAAUUCUCAUGAAACAUCAAUUUUUUAUCAUAAUCCAAAUAUUUUAAACAUUUACAGAGGAGAAGUCUUAGAACUGAAAUUUCUCGAGCUAUUACAAACAAACUAUAACAAAAACGAUACAGAAACUAUGUAAAAUGUAGAGAUCACGAAAAUCUAUUCCAAUAAUUUUGAAAUAAUCAAAUCAACUAGAAAACAAGAUUUAAUCAUCAAUUCCAAAAUAACUUGAUUCAAACCAAAUGAAAUAUAAAAUCAAAUGAUUAUAAUUUGGAUAUUCACAAAUAUACAAAAUAAUUAAAGAAGUAGAACCUAAAGGACGAGAUGCACCAAAUCAAACAACCAAAAAAUAUAUUUACUCUCUGACUCCCGUCAGAAACCCUUCCCGAUAAUCUUCCUCAGCACUCUUUCUCUCCUUCUUCUCAAACUCUCUAACUCACUAUCAACAAAGAUCAAAAAUCAUAACCAAGAAAAAAUCUCUCUUCCUUAUCUCUUUAACUCUCUCUUAACUUAGAUCCAGAGUUCUCUUACCGAAAAAUCUCUCUCCCUCUCUAACCUUCUGUCAACAAAGAUCCCCCGAAUGGCCAAAGAUCGUUCACUCCCCAACAGAAGACGUUUCCCGAAUUUUAUAUCAUCUCCCGGAGACUCUAAAACCCUCUCUCUUCUCACGUGACCUAACCCUCUCUCCCUAAUACAAACAUCCUGAACUUCAAAAUCGUUCCUUCUUUUCCCAACCAAAUAGACCUUGGUUGAAAACUAAUUUUCCCACCCCUUUUAUGUCUAAAAAUUUAGAAUACCAACUCAAAAAAUACAAAGGAUAAAACUCAAAAAUAAUGAUAAUAAUACAAAAUCAAAUAAGUAAAAAAAAGAAAAGGUACCGUGAGCACAACAUGCAUGGCCUGCAAGAUCAACGAGAACAUCGUAAUAGUGUGUGAAGAUCAGCAACAGGCCUGGACGCCACGACCAGAGAAUGGCAAAGAAAUCAUCGAAAACCAAGAAGUUCAGCUCCGACCACCAAAAUGGUCCAGCAGAUAAUGACCCAGAUAAACUUGGUUUGGCGUCGCCCGACCUGAUCCUUUGUUCGUAACAGCAUAAGUGAAGAUCGCGAAGCUGCUUAUAGCAGCAUUGAUGAAAAACGUAGCCCAAAGAGAAAACCAUACGAGGAAGAUCCUCAGGUGACAAGUCCUGGCGAAGCCGACGAGAGAAAUGGCCACGAUGUCUGUUCCGAUGAUGAUCAAUGGCCACGGUAGAAACCCCAUACAGCCGGUGUUGUCUGUGAAGAGGUUUACGGGAAAGGGGUUUGCAGGGAUGGGUUCAGCUGCAACAAGGGCUUUAAGAUGGGAUUGAGAAACUUGGUGGUCUGAUGAAACUGUACGGAGAUAAAUAAAAAAAUGGCUUCGGUGUGUAUUUUUCCAAAGGCCGAUUGUGAGAGUCGUAUAUUAGGUUAUGGCAACUUAGGAUGAGCUGUUUUCUUGCUUAAGUUAUGCGUUAGCAGAGGGCUAUUAGGGACAGCUGAGGAGAUGGUUUGCAGAUUGUAAGGUAUGGUUUGUGGAGAUAGAUGAGCUAGCAGGUAGGUUGGUGCGACUUUGGGCAUGGAACUGUUGGGUGAUGGCCUGGGAGAUUGGAUGGCUAAUAAGGGAUAAGUUGAGAUGCCUUGGACAGCUAGAAAAGUGAGUAUGGCUUGUGACAGCUAGAAAAGUGAGUGUGGCUAGCACAAUUGAUGGAUGUGUCUUGUGGUGGUCGUGGGCACCCAAAAUUGGGUUGUGGCGACAACAUUGAUGGGGCUGUAGCGGAUGACUGGGGCAUGAAUUAGGAAAAAGGCUUCACUAUUAAUUAUAGAAUAAUUUUAACUUAUAUUUUAAAAUCUGAAUUAGAUAGUAGUAACAAAAUUCAAUUUUAAUAUUACUAUUUAUUUUUAUUAUUAUUAUUAUUAUUAUUAUGUAUUUGGUCAUGAAUUAUUAAAAAAAUAAAUAAGUAAAUGAGUAGUUUUUUCAUGCUUAUUGUUUAAGGAGAUAAUUUAUUUUAUUACAUUUUAAAAUAAUAUUUUAAUAUUUUUAUUUUAGUUUAUAAUUAAUAUAAAUUCAAUCAAUCAAGAAACUUUAAGUUACAAACUUAAAGGUUUAAGUGAUCAUAUCAAAAUUUCAUAAUUUAUCUUUCAAGAAACUUUCGAAGAAGAAUCAGAGACUACAAAUUGAUAAUUUACAGUAAUUUACCGGAGUAUAACUCAUGGGUCUCCACAAGAAUGUAGUUCCCAUUUUAUGAACAUAGAAUGCUUCAAAAGAUGCAAAAAGCAUUUUCCUCGUAAUCGCGAUGUGCAUGUGGGAAAACUAUGUUGGCUUAUCUGUGAUGACAUCAUCACUAUCCUUGUUUCACAACAUUGAUGGGGACAAAACUGAUUAGAUCUUGUGUUAAGGAAGAGAAUCUUGAUGUUCCACCAGGGUUUGAGUCACUAACAUCUUAAUUGUUUCUCUCCAACAUAUGGAACAGUGUGGAAUACAUUUUAUAACUAUGGGUUGUUUCAGUUUAUCCCGGCCCAUUCUAUAUGUUAAUUACUGUGCAAGUUUUUUAAUAUCUGGAUAUUACUUUGAAAGAUGGAAAAGUUUCAAAAUUGUAAGAAAAGUAUGAUCGAUAUUUAUGUGUUUAAGAAAAUAAUUACCUAUCAUUUUUUAAUACAUUCUACUGAACUCUAUGCCUAAAGUAAAGAUAGUCAAUCUUAUUUACCUGUUAUUUAAUAAUGAAAAUAUCGGUAAUAAUGGAUAUAUUGAUAUCUCGAUUUUAUGAAUAUAACAUAUAUAUCGAAAAUAUAUAUACUGAUAUUUUGAUACAAAAUAUAAAUAUCAGUGAUUUAAAAAUUAAUAAAAAUUCUAAAAAUAUUUAAAAAAUUCUAAAAAAAAUUAUAUAAGAAGUAAAAAUAGAUAUUUUAAAGUUAUUUUUUAAUAUAUAUAUAUAAAUUUUCAUAUUUGAUAAAAAUAUUAUUAUGAUAAUAUGUCUAAUUUUAAAAUAUAUUUAAUAUUAAAAUUAUGAUUCAUUCUAAUUUAAAUAUAUUCAAUGAUAUCAAAUAAAUAAUAAAAUAUUUAUAAUUUUUUUAAUAUUUAUAUUUAUUAUAUUGGUUGAAACACCAAAAGAUCGAAAAAUUGGUAAAAUAUCCAAAAAUAUCGGUUGAUGGAUAUUGGAUAUACCAUGGAUAUAUUGGAAUAUUAACGAGUGGAACUAGAGAAAUUCAAUAUCCAGCACCUCUUCUAGAGCUAUGGAUGAGAAGUAUCCAACUCCCCCAUGAUUAGCCCUCUGGUGAGAGUUAAUUAAUCACUGUUUUUUGAGAUUAUCUGUUUUGCAUAGGAUAUAGAUAAAGCAAUACAUUCUGUGCUGUGUAGGAAGGAACUCCCCACCGUAGCCACCAGAACCCUCACCAUCAGACAGAGUUCAUCAUCAAGGUCCAGCAGGAUUUGUAAGCUACUCUGCUAAACCUUUUAGUUUAACGUCUUAAAGGAAAAAACAUAUUAGUCUGUCUCAUAAAUUGUUUGAAUAUGAAGCCUUUUGAAGAUUGUCUCAGUGGAGUUGGUUCCCCAUCACUGGGAGUUUCCAUAGAGAAGCAAAGAGGCACGAAUCAUGACAACAAUGAAUCACAAUUUGAAAUCCUCACCGCCUCACUAAGAACUAAGCUUAUAAAUGAGCAAGGACAACUGAGGCUAUCCUUACACCUAGGAAUUCUGGUAUGCUAAAGAGAAAAGAACAUUGUGAAAUACAUUUUAUAACUAGAAAUAUUUGUGCUUUUAUUUAUUUUUUCAUCUAGCAAUUAAAUGUUUUACUUUUAAUUAAGAAGAGAUCCAAUAUUCUCUUAAUUAAUCUUUUCUUGUUCAUACAUGUAGGCUAAAUCUAUCAAUGGAAAUUUGAGGGAUGCAACUUCAGAUGCAAUCAGAGAGUGCCAUUAUUUUUAUCUUUUCAAGAAGGGCUUGAAACAAAUGAUUAUUACCAGCAAAAUUCCCAGUACAAAGAGAUCUAUGGAAUGCUUCUUGUUCCGAGUCAAGGCUCUUCUCCACACUACCUCAAGUGAAUGCACUUUCUGGAUGGGUAUGUAAUGGUUUCUUCCAUUAAAUUCUUUGAAUAUUCGUAACUUAACAAGUCCUGGAUAACACCUUGAGUUCUCAUUGUGAUCUUAUUUGUCAUUCAACUAUUAGUACUUGGCCUGUUGAUUACUAGAACUCCCUGGCUAUUCCAAAUCAGUCUGAAAUGACUGCAAUUGCUCUUUUAUCUACCCUUAAUGAGAUGCAUUGGUUCCUUCACUCUGUUUUACUUUUAUUUUCUUUUUGCUGGGUUUAUGUCCCAAAAAGCUUGCAUGGUUGGCAUUUGAACUCCAUUAGAAGCAUCACAUAACAAUCAUAAGGAAUGUUUCAUUACCAAAAGCUCUUGUCAUCCAGAACUAUCCUCACAUGCAUACAUCUUUUAUUUUAGCAGGCAAUCUGAAACACAAAGAUUUGAUGGGUCAAGUGGUGAGCUCCCAAGCAUAAAGAGCCUACCGUCGAGGAGCAAUGUGCAAGUGAUGCUAAUGAAGAGGAUAGAGAAUUAGAAUGAAGAGUGCUUCAUCUAUCACAAAGCUUCAAACACAUUCAUUGCAGGAAAAAUACACAUGCAAUCAAUUGUCUACCUACCUGUUCUUGACCAAAAAGCUCUUAUUUCUUUCGUAGUGCAUUAAAUCAUUACUUACAUAUCCUUUAGUGCACCUUUUUGAGUCAUCCUAGCUUUUUUUUUUUGCAUUUGAGCUAUCUUUAAGUUAGGUUGAGGGAUUCAUUCUUGUAAAAACUAAGUGUUAAAGCCUUCAAGAGGUUUGAAUCUUGAAGAGAUUGUGUAAGAGCCCAUUGGAGCUAGAAUCCAAGUGUAAGAAGAUUGGAAGUUUGGUUGAAGCUUCAAGUUAGUGGAACCCUCACUCGGUUAGGAGAUUGAGGAGAGUGGAAGUAGGCAAGGAAGUGCUGAACUACUAUAAAACUCGAGUUUGAAUUCUCUAACUCAAUUUAUUUAUUUAUUUUUAUAUUGUGCUUGAACUUAUUGUGUUUGAAAAGAUUUUAAAAAACCCAAUUCACCCCCCCCCUCCCUCUUUGGGUGUUUUUCUUAAUUAAGCAUAACCUUUAUUUUCUCAAAGGCUACAUUGGUUGAUGAGGAGUUAGUUCAUAUAGAAAAUGAUGAUCAGCAAGGACAAAAGAAUGAUCGUGGUCGAGGACGUGGUCGUGGAACUCAUGGAGGGUUACAUGUUAGCCCCAUAGAGCCAAUAGUGGAGCAUGCAUAUCAUGGACAUCCACAACGGAAGAGGAAGGCUCCUUUGUGCGGUACACAUUGAGGAUGUUACUACAUAUGACUUGUAUUUUGGAUACUGUUAGUAUUUUACAUAUCAUUAUUUUGGACAAAUACUCAAGAUGUAUAUUUAUACUUGAUAUAUUUUGGAUUAACUAACUUUUUAUUAACAUAAGUUCUAUGGUAUUCUAUCUAUUUAGUAUUGUUACUAUUUUGGAAAUGUGCUAACUUAAUUGACAUUUGGUUUACUUGUUUUUAUUGGAUUUGGAUUGAAUGUCAAAAUAUUAAUUAUAAUGUAUACAGGUGAUAAACUUUAAACAUUUGGUUGUAUAGCAGGUAAUACUAAUUAAGAGAUAGAAUUUUUUUUCUUUUGUGGAAGAUGUCUCUUGAAAAGGGUUCAACAUAAAUUCGAAAUUUUCCACUGUGUAUGGUAAUUGUGGAAAGUCACUCGAAGAGACACUUUCAAUAUAAACCCAAUUUUUUAAAAAUUAUGGAAAGUGUCUCCUCAAGAUCCGCCUUUAGUAUAAUUCCAUUUUUUGGUAAUUAUGGAAGGUGUCUCUUCAAAAUUUGAAAUUUUCCACCGUGUAUGGAAAUUGUGGAAAGUGUCUUUUGAAGAGACACUUUCAGUAUAAACCUAAUUUUUCAAAAAAUUAUGGAAUGUGUCUCUUUAAGAGACACCUUUAAUAUAAUUCCCUUUUUUGGGAAUUGUGGACUAUGUCUCUUCAAAAUUUGAAAUUUUCCAUUGUGUAUGGAAAUUGUGGAAAGGUGUCUCUUGAAUAGACACUUUCAGUAUAAACCCAAGUUUAUUUUUUUUUAAAUUAUGAAAGGUGUUUGAGUAUAAUUCCAUUUUUUUGGGAAUUGUGGAAGGUGUCUCUUCAAGAGACACCUUCAGCAUAAAUUCGAAUUUUUCUAUUAUUUCAAGAGACACCUUCCACAAUUCCUAAAAAACUGAAUUAUAUUAAAGGUGUUUCUUGAAGAGACACUUUCCAUAAUUUUAAAAAAAAUUGGGUUUAUACUGAAAGUGUCUCUUCACGACACUUUCCACAAUUUCCAUACAAAUAGUGGAAAUUUUCAAAUUUAUACUAAAGGUGUCUCUUCAAGAGACAUCUUUAGUUUUAAAAACAUUUGCACAAUUUUUAAUACAUAUUAAAUUUUAUGGAAUUGUGGAAAGUGUCUUUUCAAGAGACACUUUUAGUAUAAAUCUAGUUUUCAGGAAUUGUAAAAGUUGUCUUUUGAAGAAACACUUUUAGUAUAUAUUGGAAUUUAUGGAAUUGUGGAAAGUGUCUCUUCAAGUGACACAUUUUGUAUAAAUUAAAAUUUGUUGGAAUUGUAAAAGUGUCUUUUCAAGAGACACCUUUAAUAUAAAUCAAAUUUUUUGGAAUUGUAGAAGGUGUCUCUUGAGAGGUGUCUCUUCAAGAGACACCUUUAGCUUAAAUUCAAUUCUUUUAAAUAUGUAUCAUGAUUUUGAACAAUUAUGGAAGGUGUUUCUUCAAAAGACCCCUUCCAUAUGGCAAAAACUGUCGUAGAUCUAUCAAUAUUUUCCCAACUACCAUUUUUUAAUAAUUAUUUUUUAAAAUUGCUACAAAAGUUAAAAAAAAGCCCGAUGGAGUUAACCCAUGUAGUUCUUAAAGAACUGUCUAGGCCAGAAUGCCCUCUGAGCGGCGAUCGGAUAAGAUGUUAUUAAUUAAAUAAUUCCUUAAACAUGUUAGUGUUCCUAAUUAAAUAAUAAACUUUUCUUAUGGAUUUAUUUUUCCUUGGUUUUUGUAAUAUUUUGCAUUAUUAAGGUUUUGUUUGGAUACUCUUCUCUAUUUUUUUUUUCAAAAAUAGAAAGUAGCAUAAUUUCUAUAUAAAAAUUAGAGAAUUUUGUGCAAAAAGUACAUUCUUUGUGUCCAUUUGAAUAUAUUUCGUGUUUUCUAUUUUUAAAAAUAAAAAAUAGUAUUAUCUUUUAUAUAAAAUAUAAAGACUUUAAAGACUUGCAUUAAGAUUGUAAUGGUCUUUUAAAAUUGAUUUAAAAAAUUAAGAUAUUAAAAUUUCUCUAUUACCUCAAAUUUAAAAAUUUUUAAAAAUAAUUUUUAAAGGGAUAAGGUAAGUUUUAUAUGAGAGUUUACGCAUUUUUAUGUAGAAGUUUCUAUUUUGAAAACAAAAACUAGAAAGUGUAUCCAAAGGUCUAGGUUGUAUGUUUAAAAAUUUAAAAUGUGAGAAAUUAAAACUUUUUAAUAUCUCAGUUUUUUCAAAUACUUUUUAAAAAUUAUUAGCUUUUUCAAUCUUAUUUUAUUAGAAUUAAAAAUAAUUUUAAAUACAUAUAAUUAAAAUUUAAUAAUAUUUGUAAUAUUAUUUAUUCAUUUUUAUGUAAGUUUAUUAACAUUUUUAAUUUAUUAAACAAAAUAUAUGCAAUAUUUAAAUAUGAAAAGAAAAUGGUAAAAAUCGUAUUUAAAUAUUAAACAUAUUGAAAAUGAAAAAAAUUGUUUUAUGUAAUUAUAUAUAUAUAUAUUUAUUUAUUUAUUUAUUUAUUUUUAAAUAUAUUUAUAUUAUUUUUUAAAAUAACCUAUAUGGUUUUUCCUUGUUAAAUUUCAAAUUUCAAUGUAAUCAUUGUUGUAGCAGAGUGGAUAAUAUUGUAUUGGGAACCUUGAGGUCUAUGGUUCAAGCUCUUCUACUUGCAACAUAAAAAAUUCAGUUUUUUAAAUUUAUUCACGUUGAUCCCACAUUGGAAGUGAGAGGAAGCAUAAAUAGAUUUAUAAACCUCUUCCCAUCCCUUGCAGGUUUAUUGGCUGUUGGGUCGGGCCACAGGGCUCAUUGCAUAAUUUCUUGGGCCAUUUUGCCAAGAGGACUCCAUCAUAGGAGUAGAGACUAGGCCAAGGGAAAUGUGGGCUGUUUUGCCAAAAAGAAAAAGAGGUGGUGGAGUUCACCCGGCUCCACAUCACUAGUCCAACCGUCGGUUUAAUGGCCAUAGAGCUCAUUGCAUAAGAAAAAGAGGUGGUUGUUUUGCCAUAGGGCUCAUUGCAUAAGUUUUAUAUGAGAGUUUUUGCAUUUUUAUGUAGAAGUUUCAAUUUUGAAAACAAAAACUAGAAAGUGCAUCCAAAGGUUUAGGUUGUAUGUUUAAAAAUUUAAAAUUUGAGAAAUUAAAAUUUUUUAAUAUCUCAGUUCUUUCAAAUAGUUUGUAAAAAUUAUUAUACAUUUAUUUUUCCCUCUAAUUUCAAACUUGAGAUAGCAAAAGUGGAGUGAAAUGGAAAGCCAAAAAACCAAAAGCAUAACUGAGACUUAAAUUGAGUGUAAUAUUUUUUUUUUUGUUAUCAACUUGAUAAUUUUGCAAAGCAUAGAUUUAAUUGAUACCAAAGCAUAGGAUCAUAUUUUAUUUUCUCAUCGUAAUUGGAUUUGGAACUUCAAGUAAACAUGUCAAAAAAAUAAAAAUAAAUUUCUAGAGAGAAGUAUAAGGCAAAACUAGAGAUUACCCUUGUACCAAGAUUAAGCAUGGCAAAAACUUGAAACUAUAAUCUCAAUCAAUUCCAUAAAUAUUAAUCAGCCAAAAAAAAAAAAAAAAGUCCUGAAAAAAUGGAAUUUAAAUCCACAACGAACACCCAGACAUUUGCAAUUAUAUUUGGUUGAUUUUAAUUGGAAUCAUACCUAAGCCCCUUGUUCUUAUAUUGCUUUGAAACUGGGAAGGAAAGUUGUUAGAGUAGCUUCAUCCUCCCAUUCUAACUCAUUCCACCACUCUUGCUUUCCUACCAUCACAACUCUACCUUGAUUGGCACUGUUGGAGUUGAGUGGCAGCUUCUUCAGCUUUGGACAUCCGAUUACUUCAAUUCUGUCAAGGUAAAGAAAGGGCAAGGGAUUCCGGUACACAUUCUUCAGUUGGGGUAAACCAUUUAACUCCAGUUGUAUGAGUUUUGUGAAUGGGCUCAGAUUUCCUCCAUCCUCUGCACCUUUACCUAUCACUUCUUCCAUUUCAUCACAUUGUCCUAUUUUAAGAUAUAGGAGGUUUGGGGCAAAAAUAAGCCAUGUCAAAUUCUUCAACAUCUGGCAUCUAUUGAUGGCCACUUCGCGAAGGCCAUGGAAGCAUUUGACCUUCGGGUUGAGACUGCUAUAGCCCAUUGUUUCCUUUCCUUUCCCUGCCCAAUCAAACUUAAUCUCUCUCAAACUAUCCAAAUCUUUCAUUGUAAGCGCAUAGAGAUGCUUCAUAUUUUCGAGAGAUGAUAGGUUGAGUGAGCUUGAACCCUUGAACAUCUCGAGGCAGAUUCCUACAGUGCAACUCGGUAACUUUCUGGAACUUAAAAAUCUCUUAAGCACAGAGGCACUUGCUAUGGUGACAGUUAAAUGCGUCAAGUAUUUCAAACUCUCCAAUUCCUCUACCAAGGACUCCUUACCAUAUGAUUCAACGCCUCCUUCAGCUACUUGAUCAUAAAGUCCACAAUUGUACAUGCCAACCGCUUGCAACAUUAAAAGACUUGAUAUUAGUCCUCGUGGAAUUGAAGAGACUUUAGAUGUACACAAUAUCAAAAUCUUCAAUUGUACGAGAUUCUUCAUCUCAAUUGGCAACUUCUUUAUCUCUGUACCAGAUAAAUCAAGAUAUUGCAAUGAAACCAAAUUAGAAAUAUCUGAUGGUAACUCAACUAUUUUGGUGUUUGAUAAGCUCAACACUCUUAGAUUGGGCAUAAAUUGGAAAAAACCAUUGCUUAUCAUCUGCAAAUCACUAUUCAAAUCUAGACGAAGUGUCGAGAGAUUGGGACAUGUGGGUGAUCCUGUUAACUUCUCAAUUUGGUUGUCCAUCAGUGAAAUCCUUUCCGUCGCCUUCCAUUUGACAAAGUCAGGUGCUUGGGUCAAACCGGCACUUGUUUGUACCAAAAACUUGCCCUUCAUCUCCCCCAUUUCACUGGUUAUCCACAAGGCCAUAUCACGUACAACAUCAUGAAAUUUUACAAAUCUAGUAUUUGAAGAUUCCUCAAGUAGACAUGCAUGAACGAGAGUACUGAUAAUAUUGAAUCCCUGAUUUUUGGCUCCAUCCGUGUCAUCAAAUUCAUCUAAAAAUCCCUCACAAAUCCAUUGAUAUAUCAAAAGUUCCUUAAUUAUGAAAAAAUCUUCUGGGAAUAAAGAACAAUAUAAGAAGCAAGAUUGAACUAUUUUGGAGGGCAAACUAUCAUAGCUGUAUUUCAAAAGUGGGUACACUCGGAGCCCCAUACCUGGAAAAUUUGAAGCACACGUUUGUAGUACUCUAAUUGCAUGCUUCCAAUCUUGGGGUGUCACUUUAGAAGCCAUGGCUCGCCCUACGGUAAUUAUCGCCAGUGGCAAACCGCAACACUCUUUUGCAACCAUUUCAGCCAGCUCAGAUAUUUCUGGAUCAGAAUUAAGGGCAUCCUUUCCCACAUAUUUUUUAAACAAAUCCCACGAAUCCUUCCAUGCCAAAGAUUUCACUUGGAUCUUCUUGUGAGCUCCCAUUUGCCCGCACAAGUCCUGAGAUCGAGUGGUGAAUAUCAGCUUGGACUUAUUUUGUUGGUCAGGAGGUGGAUUUCCCACUUCUAACAGAUCCAUUUGCUCCCACAUGUCAUCCAACAACAUCGCAAACCUCUUUUUGCUCAAGGCUCUCCAGAUGUUGUUGGCUUUCUCAUGGCGGCUUUUGCUUUUCCAUUUAUCAUCACAGAAUCCCACCUUCUCCCAAAUCUCGUUUUGAACCCGCUCUAGAUUUGGAGUUUUUGAAACCACUACCCAAAUUACGACAUCAAAAUUGUGGGAUGUUCUAAGGAAAUGAUUGUUGAUUUGUGCCAAGAGGGUGGUCUUCCCAACGCCCCCCAACCCAUAUAAGCCGAUCAUCCCUACAUGUUCUUCUUCGAGACUCCUCCAAACUUUGUCAAAUGUUGAUUCCAAGCCCACAGUGGGACGGCCGGGUAUUUCCUCCACAGGAGCUGGAGGUACAAUAUCAGCCACCACCUCAAAAUUACGUCCUUCGCUCAUUAGAGUAGCCGUAUCUUGUAGCUUCCUGGCCACUUUUUUUCCCAAUGUGUAGCUGGAGAUGCAAUGCUUGGGAUGGCAACAACCACGUAAUCGUUUCUCCUCAAUGGUCUCCGCACCAUCUCCAAUCAGUUGACCGACUUCAGUUUCCAUGGCUUCCACCCUGGAAAGCCAGCCUUGUACUUGAUCCAGACGCUUCAUCUGUUGUCUCUCAGCCACAUCCACCUUCCUAUUCACAUCGUUCUUCAGCUCCCUUAAUUUUUGAAGCUCUGUUCUCAAAGUAACCCGAUUUUCUGCAAGCUUAAAUAUGUAAUUUGCUCGAGCAACAGUGCAAUCACAACAACCAGCGAUGUCGUUGGUAGAGAUUGAGACUGAGAACACAUUUCCCAUUGAUGUAUGAAAAACUCCAAGGAGAAGGUAAGAAAGAGGAAUGACAAAUUCGAAGCAGAAAAGGAAUGCCUUUUAUUUGCAGAUAUUGGGAAAGUGAUGAGGAGAAACAAAGGAAAAAGGUGAUGGGCACCAAGUCGAGGGUGAUGGGGCACACAUGGGCCCCUUGGCAAAGCUAAGUUCUCUGCGGUUUUCUUUCCUUUUUUUUUUUUAAUUUUUUAAUUUUUUGAAAAAAAAAUUAUUAAAGUGAAUCAGUCAAUGGUAUAUCACUGUGAGUUUUGAAAUUUUAAAAUUAAAAUAUAAGAACUAAAAUAAGACAAAGUUGUUGAGAAGUUGAGUGUUCGAUGCGGACUAGAGGUACUCUUGCAAAGGCUUCAAUAAUAAUUUAAGAAGGUGGCUUGUGACCAUGAUCUCCUUGGCCCACGGCCCCACGCCUAGAGGAAAACGCCAUCCCAAGUUCCCAACGGCCGCGUGCACACACAUGAAUUCAUACAUGCAUAUGGGGAUUAGGGUGGGAGUGAGCAGCCUGGUUUGCAGCGGAAUUCAAACUCAUCACGAGUCUUUUGACAGUGACCAUAAUGAUUUCUUUGAAAGCUGCUAUCUCCAUAAUCACCUAAAACCCUGAAAAAAAAAUUUGAUAACAUGGUGAAAUUGAAAAUUACUUGACAAAUCAUUUGAUUAUUAAUAGAAUAUAUUGGGUGUCUUUGUUGUUCUAAGCUCGUUGAUGUGGUAUUAUAAUGCUUACUAAUGUGGUAUAAUAAUUUAUCAAUAUUUUGGAUCUUAUUGAGAAUUAAUUAAUUAAAAAUAAAUAAAAUGAUAAUUAAGUGUAGACCCCAAAAUUUGUCCUAAUUUUUAUUUUUAUAUUAAUUUUGAACCCAAUUUUAUCUUCGGACUUUCAAUCCCGAUUACAUGUGAUAUUUUUUGCAUUCUUAUUUUUUAUUAUUUUGUAAAUUGUUUUAUUUUUAUUUCUAUUUGUUAUUAUUAUUAUUAUUAUUAUUAUUAUUAUUAUAUAAUAUUAUAUUAUAUAUUUUUUAUUAUUUCCUCUCUCCUCUCUCUUCUCUUCCUCCACCUACCCUCACCUACCCCUCAUGCUCUCCCACGUCCAAAAGCUUCCACUCUCCGCUCUCCAUGAUGGCUCUUUUUCCUUUUUUAUUUAUUUAUUUUUUUCUCUCCCUCCAAUAGCUUUUUUGGCCAGCUCCCCCCAAAUUUCCCCCCCAAUUUGAUUUUCCUCCCACUUUUCCCUUCUAAGAGAAAAGUAUAAAUGAAAGGGUAAUAUAAAUUUAAAAUAAAAAAUAAAAAUUAAACUAAAAAAUAAAUACAAAAAAAUAAAAAUAUUUGGAUGAAAAAUCCCAAAAUUUUUAUCUGUACUUAUAAUAAGAAUAAAAAGAUUCAAUAUCUUUAAAAAUGAAAAAAAGAAAAAGAAAAACAUUAUUGUUUUUUAUUUGACAUAAAAUAGAAAUAUAGAUUGGAAGAAAAAGAAAAAAACAAGUUUGAAAUGAGUAAUACUUAAUAGGGAAUAGAAAAGAGAAAAAAAAAAACAAAAAAUUGAAAUUCACACUCACUAUGUGCCUAUGUAAAGGUUAAGGGUAUUUUAGGGAUUAAUGAAAGAUAAUAUCCUUCUUCUCAAUUUUCAGACUUUCUUUGAGUGUUGGGCUUAAUUAUGCAAGAUAUAUGGACCAGAUCUUAAUUUUGUAGCCCAAUUGGGCCCAAAACAUAAUUCACCCAAAAGGAAAGGCGACUUUGUAAAAAACAAUGCAUGCAAGUUGGAUUCUAGAAAUUUAAACGUAAGACUUGGUUAUAAACUAUUGCAAGUCAUCCUCCAAAAACAAAUAUGAUGAUUUCUAUUGGUUGUUGUGAAUUGAUUUUAUUUUCAUUGAGGGUGGCCUUGGUCAUGUUUGAUCCGUUCUUCUCCAAAACUCCUUGAUUGACAUAAAACCUUAGGAAUCGAUUCUUUAAUCUCUUCAAUUAAUUUAAUAAAAAAAUAGAUAAAACUUCAUAACCAGUCAAUGUAUGUUGCUAAGUUUUUAUAUCAUUGGUGUUCUUUCAUGUUGAAUUCUUUGGUUGACCAUACCUUAGAGUGUAUUAUUUUAAGGGGAUAGGAUUCAACACCAUGCUAUAUAUAUAAGUAUCAAGUGGCUGUCGAUCGUCAUAUUUUCUGUUGAUUCUAAGACCAACAAUUAAUUAGAUAAGGAUUAACGGUUAAUGUAGAAAAUAUAAAAAAUAAUUAAAAAAAAAAAGAGAAAAGCAUAAAUGAAAGGGUAAUAUAAAUUUAAAAUAAAAAAUGAAAAUUAAACUAAAAAAUAAAUACAAAAAGAUAAAAAAUACUUGGAUGAAAAAUCCCAAAAUUGUUAUCCUUACUUAUAAUAAGAGUAAAAAGAUUCAGUAUCUUUAAAAAUGAAAAAAAGAAAAAGAAAAACAUUAUUGCUUUUUAUUUUACAUAAAAUAAAAAUAUAGAUUGGAAGAAAAAGAAAAAAAAAAGUUAGAAAUGAGUAAUACUUAAUAGGGAAUAGAAAAGAGAAAAAAAAAACACAAAAAAUUUGAAAUUCACACUCACUAUGUGCCUAUGUAAAGGUUAAGGUUAUUUUAGGGAUUAAUGAAGGAUAAUAUCCUUCUUCUCAAUUUUCAGACUUUCUUUGGGUGUUGGGUUUAAUUAUGUAAGAUAUAUGGACCAAAUCUUAAUUUUUUAGCCCAGCUGGGCCCAAAACAUAAUUCUCCCAAAACGAAAGGCGACUUCGUAAAAAACAAUGCAUGCAAGUUGGAUUCUAGAAAUUUAAACAUAAGACUUGGUUAUAAACUAUUGCAAGUCAUCCUCCAAAAAAAAAAUGUUGAUUUCUAUUGGUUGCUGUGAAUUGAUUUUAUUUUCAUUGAGGGUGGCCUUUGUCAUGUUUGAUCGGUUCUUCUCCAAAACUCCUUGAUUAACAUAAAACCUUAGCAGUCAACUCUUUAAUCUCUUCAAUUACUUUAAUAAAAAAAAAUAGAAAAAACUUCAUAACCAUUCAAUGUAUGUUGCUAAGUUUUUAUAUCAUUGGUGUUCUUUCAUGUUCAAUUCUUUGGUUGACCAUACCUUAGAGUGCAUUUUUUUUAAGGGGAUAGGAUUCAACACCAUGCUAUAUAUAUAAGGAUCAAGUGGCUGCCGAUCGUCAUAUUUUCUGUUGAUUCCAAGACCAACAAUUAAUUAGAUAAGGAUUAAUGGUUAAUGUAGAAAAUAUAAAAAAUAAUUAAAAAUAAGAGAAAAGUAUAAAUGAAAGGGUAAUGUAAAUUUAAAAUAAAAAAUGAAAAUUAAACUAAAUAAUAAAUACAAAAAGAUAAAAAAUAUUUAGAUGAAAAUCCAAAAAUUUUUAUCCUUACUUAUAAUAAGAGUAAAAAGAUUCAGUAUCUUUAAAAAUGAAAAAAAGAAAAAUAAAAACAUUAUUCCUUUUUAUUUGACAUAAAAUAAAAAUAUAGAUUGGAAGAAAAAGAAAAAAAAAAGUUAGAAAUGAGUAAUACUUAAUAGGGAAUAGAAAAGAGAAAAAAAAAACACAAAAAAAUUCACACUCACUAUGUGCGUAUGUAAAGGUUAAGGGUAUUUUAGGGAUUAAUGAAGGAUAAUAUCAUUCUUCUCAAUUUUAAGACUUUCUUUGGGUGUUGGGUUUAAUUAUGAAAGAUAUAUGGACCAAAUCUUAAUUUUUUAGCCGAGCUGGGCCCAAAACAUAAUUCUCCCAAAAGGAAAGGCGACUUUGUAAAAAACAAUGCAUGCAAGUUGGAUUCUAGAAAUUUAAACGUAAGACUUGGUUAUAAACUAUUGCAAGUCAUCCUCCAAAAACAAAUAUGCUGAUUUCUAUUGGUUGUCGUGAAUUGAUUUUAUUUUCAUUGAGGGUGGCCUUCGUCAUGUUUGAUCGGUUCUUCUCCAAAACUACUUGACUGACAUAAAACCUUAGCAGUUGAUUCUUUAAUCUCUUCAAUUAAUUUAAUAAAAAAAAAAGAUAAAACUUCAUAACCAUUCAAUGUAUGUUGCUAAGUUUUUAUAUCAUUGGUGUUCUUUCAUGUUGAAUUCUUUGGUUGACCAUACCUUAGAGUGUAUUAUUUUAAGGGGAUAGGAUUCAACACCAUGCUAUAUAUAUAAGGAUCAAGUGGCUGUCGAUCGUCAUAUUUUCUGUUGAUUCCAAGACCAACAAUUAAUUAGAUAAGGAUUAACGGUUAAUGUAGAAAAUAUAAAAAAUAAUUAAAAAUAAGAGAAAAGUAUAAAUGAAAGGGUCAUAUAAAUUUAAAAUAAAAAAUGAAAAUUAAACUAAAAAGUAAAUACAAAAAGAUAAAAAAUAUUUGGAUGAAAAAUCCCAAAAUUUUUAUCCCUACUUAUAAUAAAAGUAAAAAGAUUCGGUAUCUUUAAAAAUGAAAAAAAGAAAAAGAAAAACAUUAUUGCUUUUUAUUUGACAUAAAAUAAAAAUAUAGAUUGGAAGAAAAAGAAAAAAAGAAGUAGAAAUGAGUAAUACUUAAUAGGGAAUAGAAAAGAGAAAAAAGAAACACAAAAAAUUUGAAAUUCACACUCACUAUGUGCCUAUGUAAAGGUUAAGGGUAUUUUAGGGAUUAAUGAAGGAUAAUAUCCUUCUUCUCAAUUUUCAGACUUUCUUUGGGUGUUGGGUUUAAUUAUGUAAGAUAUAUGGACCAAAUUUUAAUUUUUUAGCCUAACUGGGCCCAAAACAUAAUUCUCCCAAAAGGAAAGGCGACUUCGUAAAACACAAUGCAUGCAAGUUGGAUUCUAGAAAUUUAAACAUAAGACUUGGUUAUAAACUAUUGCAAGUCAUCCUCCAAAAACAAAUAUGCUGAUUUCUAUUGGUUGUUGUGAAUAAGGAUCAAGUGGCUACCGGUUAUGAUAUUUUCUGUUGAUUCCAAGACAAACAAUUAAUUAGAUAAGGAUUAAUGGUUAAUGUAGAAAAUAUAAAAAAUAAUUAAAAAUAAGAAAAAAGUAUAAAUGAAAGGGUAAUAUAAAUUUCAAAUAAAAAAUGAAAAUUAAAAUAAUGAAUGAAUAUGAAAAGAUAUAAAAUAUUUGGAUGAAAAAUCCCAAAAUUUUUAUCCUUACUUAUAAUAAGAGUAAAAAGAUUCAGUAUCUUUAAAAAUGAAAAAAAGAAAAAGAAAAACAUUAUUGCUUUUUAUUUCACAUAAAAUAAAAAUAUAGAUUGGAAGAAAAAGAAAAAAAAAAGUUAGAAAUGAGUAAUACUUAAUAGGGAAUAGAAAAGAGAAAAAAAAACACAAAAAAUUGAAAUUCACACUCUCUAUGUGCCUAUGUAAAGGUUAAGGGUAUUUUAGGGAAUAAUAAAGGAUAAUAUCCUUCUUUUCAAUUUUCAGACUUUCUUUGGGUGUUGGGCUUAAUUAUGUAAGAUAUAUGGACUAGAUCUUAAUUUUUUAGCCGAGCUGGGCCUAAAACAUAAUUCUCCCAAAAGGAAAGUCAAUUUCGUAAAAAACAAUGCAUGCAAGUUGGAUUCUAGAAAUUUAAACGUAAGACUUGGUUAUAAACUAUUGCAAGUCAUCCUCCAAAAACAAAUAUGUUGAUUUCUAUUGGUUGUUGUGAAUUGAUUCUAUUUUCAUUGAGGGUGGCCUUCGUCAUGUUUGAUAGGUUCUUCUCCAAAACUCCUUGAUUCUCAUAAAACCUUAGCAGUCGAUUCUUGAAUGUCUUCAAUUAAUUUACGCAAAAAAUAGAUAAAACUUCAUCACCAUUCAAUGUAUGUUGCUAAGUUUUUAUAUCAUUGGUGUUCUUUCAUGUUGAAAUCUGUGAUUGACCAUACCUUAGAGUGCAUUAUUUCAAGGGGAUUGGAUUCAACACAAUACUAUCUAUAUAAGGAUCAAGUGGCCGCCGGCCGUCAUAUUUUCUGUUGAUUCCAAGACCAACAAUUAAUUAGAUAAGGAUUAAAGGGUUGGUCAUCCAAAGAACAAAUCGCACAGAUGUAAAUGUCAAGUAGGAUUCAGGAUUUCUGCCUAGUGCCUAUGAAUCAAGACUGAAUCAUUGUGUUGUUGGAAAGUAAACUUUGAGUUUAUAAAGUUUUUUAAAAAUUAGAUUUUGAUUUGAUUUUUAAAAAUUAAUUAGAAUAUUUUCAAGCAUUUUAAACUUGAGCGAAAAAUUUAGCAUUUGUUUCAAUACAUUUUCUGUUUUUUAUUUUUUAAAAUCCGAAAAUAACAUUAACUUCCGCAUAAGAUACAAAUACUCUUAAAGACUCGUAUGAAAAAUGUAAUAAUUUUAUAAAUUGUUUAAAAUAAUUGAUAUAUAUAAAAAAAAAAUUAUACUUUUUGUAAAAGAUGCUCUUUUUUUAUUAAAGUUUUUGGUUUUAAAAAAUAGAAAAUAGGCAGUGUGAAAUGAACAAUUAAGCUCUAUUUGGUAAUUGUUUAAAAAAAAUAAUUUUUUAGUUUUUAGAACAAAAAAAUAAAGAAACUCUUUAGGUAACCAUGAAACAAAAAAACGGUUGUGUUAUUAAAAUAAAAAGUAUGAUGUUUUUUGAAAAUAUCCUUUUGUUAUUUUGACUUGAUUUCUGUGUGUUAUUUUUAAAAAAUAAUUAUACAAAAAUGAAGAAUGAUAAAAAGUAAAACAUUACGUAUAAAAAUUAUUUUAAAAAUAUUUUUAAAAAUAUAGAAAACAAGUUAAAAAUAUUUUAGAAUUUCAAACACAUUUUUGUUUUAUAAAAUAUUAUAGAAUGAUUAAAUAUCAUGUAACUAUCAUAAAAAACUAUUAGUAGUUUUUUCUUUCUUUGGAUAAGCAAGUCAUAUAUAAAGGAAUUAUGUAGCAGCCGAAUAAGACUAUGGGAAGUGUUAAAAUAUAAAAUAGGAAGUGUGAAAUGAACCAUGAAGCUCUAUUUGGUAAUUUUUUUUUAAAAAUAGUUUUCUUUUUUUGAGAACAAAAAAAUAAAGAAACACUUUAGGUAACCAUGAAACGAAAAACGGUUUUGUGUUAUUAAAACAAAAGAUAUGAUGUUUUCUGAAAAUAUAUUUUAGUUAUUUUCAUUUGAUUUUUAUUUGUUAUUUUAAAAAAUAAUUAUACAAAUAUGAAGAAUGCCAAAAAGUAAAACACUACGUAUAAAAAUUAUUUUAAAAAGAUUUUUAAAAGUAUUUUAGAAUUUCAAACACAUUUUUAUUUUAUAAAAUAUUAUAGAAUGGUUAAAUAUCAUGUAACUAUUAUAAAAAACUACUAGUGGUUUUUUCUUUGUUUGUAUAAGCAUGUCAUAUAUAAAGGAAUUAUAUAGAAGCCUAAUAAGACUAUGGGAAGUGUGAAAAUAGAAAAUAGGAAGUGUGAAAUGAACAAUUAAGCUCUAUUUGGUAAUUGUUUUAAAAAAUAGUUUUCUAUUUUUCGAAACAAAAAAAUAAAGAAAUAUUUUAGGUAAUCAUGAAACAAAAAAUGAUUGUGUUAUUAAAACAAAAAAUAUGAUUUUUUCUAAAAAUAUCUUUUAGUUAUUUUCACUUGAUUUCAAUGUGCUAUUUUUAAAAAAUAAUUAUAUAAGUAUGAAGAAUGAUAAAAAGUAAAACACUACCUAUAAAAAUUAUUUUAAAAAUAUAGAAAACAAGUUAAAAAAAUUUUAUUUUAUAAAAUAUUAUAGAACGGUUCCGGAUGUCAAUCGAAUUUUUAUUUUAUAAAAUAUCAUGUAACUAUUAUAAAAAACUAUUUGUAGUUUUUUCUUUGUUUGAAUAAGCAUGUCAUAUAUAAAGGAAUUAUGUAGCAGCCCAAUAAGACUAUGGGAAGCGUGGCACCAUGCAUUCCUCUUAGUUUGCUAGAUACGCUAAUUGUUUACGUGUGAAUUGUGAUUGGCCCUCUCCAGACUCCAUAUUUCUUUCUCUUCCCUCUGAAUUGUUGAUGUGCGAUUAGCCCACUCCAGAGCAUCUCCAUUUUUCCUUUUCUUCUCUCUCCCACUCAAUCGCAGGCACUCACAACCUGGUGAUUAACAACUAGAAACCAUGAGUAGUAGUGGAGGAGAAUUCAUGGUAACAGUGAGGAGGAAAGAAGUAGUGGCAGCUAUGCUACCAAUGCAGAAGCACUGGCUACCACUCUCUAACCUGGACUUGCUUUUACCCCCCAUUAAUGUUGGGGUGUUUUUCUGUUAUAAGAAGCCACGUGGAAGUGCCAGCGGAGGUGAUGACUUCACAUUUGGGUCCAUGGUUAGGGUUCUGAAAGAGGCCAUGGCCCAAGCCCUGGUGCCCUAUUAUGCCUUUGCUGGAGAAGUCUUGUCUAACUCAUUGGGGGAAGCUGAGCUUCUUUGCAACAACCGUGGGGUGGAUUUCUUGGAGGCUUAUGCGGAUGUAAAACUACAAGACCUCAACUUGUAUAACCCUGACGAAAGCAUUGAAGGCAAGCUUGCCCCUACGAGGAAGCAUGGCGUCCUCUCAGUCCAGGUCUUCCUCUUUCUGUGCGCUUAAUUUCAUAUGCUAAUCCUAAUUAGUUGUAAUCCUAACAGGCUAGUUGUGAUAAAAAUGAACUAAUAACAGGUAACUGAGCUCAAAUGUGGCGGAAUUGUGGUGGCCUGUACAUUUGAUCACCGGAUAGCAGACGCAUAUUCUACCAAUAUGUUCCUAGUUUCAUGGGCUGAGAUGGCUCAGUCCAAGCCCUUAUCUGUAAUACCAUCUUUCCGGCGUUCUCUCCUCAACCCUCGACAUCCAGGCUCCUAUGCUCCGUCCCUUGACCACAUGUACGUUCCCAUCUCAGCCUUACCUCCGCCCAAAGUUCCACAACCUGGUGCUGAUCCUCUCAUAAGCCGUCUGUACUAUGUCACUGCCGAGAAGCUCAGUCUACUCCAAACACUAGCCACCAGCAAGAGUAGCUCCUACAAGAGGACCAAACUAGAGUCUCUUAGUGCCUUUUUGUGGAAGAUGGUGGCCAAAAGUGCUCACAUGGAAAAUGCAAACCAAAAAAUAUGCAAGAUGAGUGUCGUGGUGGAUGGAAGAAAGAGGUUAAGCAGUGGAGAUGAGGAUAGGACAACAGCGAUGGCCUCAUACUUUGGAAAUGUGCUGUCCUUCCCCUUUGGUGAGAAGACAGUAAAUGACCUCAAAGAAAAACCACUGAGUUGGGUGGGAGAUGAAGUUCAUGAUUUCCUGGAAGCGGCUAUGACAAAGGAACAUUUCUUGGGGCUGAUAGACUGGGUGGAGGCUCAUCGCCCAGAGCCGGCUGCACUGAAUAUGUGCUGCAGUGGCAAUAGCGACGGGCCAGGAUUUAUGGUGUCAUCAGGGCAGAGGUUCCCGGUGACAAAGGUGGAUUUCGGGUGGGGUAAGCCGGCCCUAGGGUCAUAUCAUUUUCCAUGGGGUGCGGAAGUUGGGUACGUGAUGCCAAUGCCAAGCCCCACUGUAGAUGAUGACUGGGUGGUGUACAUGCACCUCUUGAAAGCCCAGAUUGAGUUGAUUGAGACUGAGGCUGCUCAUAUCUUUAGACCCUUAACAGCCGACCAUCUCAAUUUAUUUGAUUAGCUAGCUUUCGUCCACCAUCUCAUAUUCAGAAAUUUAGAAGUAACUCCCUCGCAUGUUGUUUCAAAUGUUAGAAUUCCUUUUCCUUUUCUUUAUAUCAGAAAUUAAUUACUUUGUAGUAAAAAGAAGUGAAAAACGAAAAUUUUGGAAUGACUUGUACAAGCAUAAAUGCCUCCUAGCUCUAUCUUAAUUACUAUCAUAAGACUAGUAUAAGGAUUAGUAAGGACUUCAAAAUUAAAUCCUAGCUAGGGUUCACUUUUGUAACUUGAAAAAUGAUCAUGUAUACGAAAAUCUUUUCUAUGUUUAGAUCUAGUUUAGAAGGGGGAAUAAAAAAAAAAAAAAAAAAAAAAAGAGAGGCUGGGGGUGGAAAUUAAAGAUGUUGGAUGUGUAACUACAAUAAAUUGAAAAAUAAUAUUUAAUUAUUUUUAGAUUGUCAUUUGGCCAUUAAAAAAUAAUUAAUAUUAUAAUAUGAUUUAUAUAUUUAAAUUACAAAAUAAAAUAUUUUUUUUUGAUAAGAAAUAAUAAAAACCUUUUUUCCUUACAAGUUUUUUUUAUUAGUACUACUUUUUAUAAAUAUUUAUUUUAAAUUUAUUGUAAAAUAACAAAUAAUAAUAAGAAAAAAAUGAUUGGCUUUCAUUUGCUUUGUUCAAGUAUCAAUAGAGAUGAAUAUCAAGAUGUUUCCACUUUCUAGAGCCUCACACACUCGUUACAUUUUGACCCACUUCUCAUAUUCUCUCUCCUUUGUAUUAUCUCCACUUCAAAUACAAUAGAAAGGGGAUUUCUAAUUUCUCCUCUCUCUCUCUAGAAACUAAUAUGCUUUUCAUUGUUUCUCUCUCUUCCUAGGAAUUUUUGUGGAUCCAUGGAAGAGCAAAGCUCAGUCUCUGCAGCUUCAACUCCGAGAUUGCUUCCGAAUUGCUAUGAGUUUCAUCUUCUAAAAUAAUUAUUUAUUUGGUCUAAUGAUUUGAAUUAUAUGAUUUAGUAGUUCGUGAAGAACAUUAAAGACUUGGACUAGAGUUUCUCAUUCGGUAGUGACAAACCUAAGGCUCCUCAUCAUCGCCACCAAAGUUGUGUUCCUUUGAAGUUGAAAACGACCUGGUAAAAAUUCGAGGGAUUUUGCGUUGGGAUAAAAAGGAAUUGUAAAGUAUUCACCUACACAAGUUAAAAGAUUUCCUACAAUGUUAACAACCUCUCAACAGCCGCAACCUAACAAGAAAAGGCAAUUAUAUUAUCUAAAAACAUCCAACCAAAAUUACACCAAAUAUAGCACGGAAAAACCCUCCUAACCGAGGUAAAAAACCAUGGGAAAAAUUUCCUUCACUUUAAUAAAAAUAUGAAUGCAAAUAAAUCCUCACUACUUUCUUCACCUUGAUAAAUAAUGGAAACAUAUAUCAAUGUCUAAGGAGGGAAUCUAUCAUCCUAGAAAACAAAAAAUAGAAGGAGAUUAGGUAGAGAUCAUACCACAAGAACUCCCCUAAAAGGUUGAUGAAAGAACAUAUACCCUUCACCCUUGAACCCUAGAACAAUGCCAAAAAAACAACCUUAUUUUCCUCUUCCUCUUUCUCUACCAUUUUUCACCAACAUACUAAAGCCUUAACGUUAUUUACAUUUGGGCUUAAAGAAUUCCCAUAAAAAAAAAAGCCCAAUACAUGGUGAAGACUUUGUAAACUUUACUAGCCUCACUGGUAGAAGCGACACCCCCUCGUGUUGACAUACUAAAGUGGUAGGCCGAGUAAGACCUGCACGACACAACGACCAGAUGUUAGAAAGUAGUCACCUGACCCCUGCUGCUUGUAAGCAACACUUCAGCUAAGCAAGGGCUAGCCUACACUGGCUCAAAGCCCAUAUUCGGACAGAGCCCUAGCUCAACCUGUAAGGCAGACCCCAUCCAAGGGUCUCCCCUAUUAACCAUACCCCACAAAGGUCUUGACCCAUCUAGAAACCAAACUACAAAAUUCUUGGUCUUAUUAAGACCUCACCAAACCUAUCACCGGCAACGGCUGCCCUACCCACAAAACAACCAAAAGCGUUCUACAUUCUAUACACCACAGCUAAGCAACAAGUCCAAACUCUAAACAGUGAAAAUACAUAAUCGGUAUGGGGAAUGAAGGCUUACCAAAGUUCAGAAGGAACACUGCUAAUUGAAGCUUAGCCCUCCUAAGCCCAAAAAUGGGGAAACUAGUAGGGUCACCAGAAAGAUGAACAGCCACCGAAGUUGCAGUGGUGUAGAAUGCAAGAGUCGUCAAAGAAAAUGAAUAGUAGAGCAGCGCAACGAUGGUAGCUGUAGAUUGCAGAAUGUAGAGAGAUAAUGACGAGAGAAAAAAAAAAGCCUUGGAGACAAGAAACAUCCAAAUGAAUCCUAAAAGGUCUGGGAUCCCAUAUUUAUAAGGGACCAAAACCCUAGAGAUCCUAAAAGCCAGCCGUCAUGGGACACAUCCUAAAGCGACACGCCGCCUGACAGAAUGCCUUGAUGGAAGUAGCCCUCCUGUAAGUGUCUAACACAUGUCUCACCAGCAUUAGGGGACUCUAGGGGAUUUCAGCUCAUCCACCCCUACCCAGACAUAUACGCACAUGCUGAAGGGAACAUUAUGGGGACCUUAUCCCAUUUGUACACCCACAAGCACUUCCAUGUGUUUAUCCACGUGGCAUCACCCUAAUCGGGCCACGUGUCAGAUCUUCAUCACUACCCGGACAACCUCCAAGGUAUUCGAAGACAUCUUGCCUGGACCAUUUGCCCUGCUGAAAUGGCCCACAUCCCCUUGAUAGCCUCAAAUCCUCUUUGAUAAGCGAGGCCCUCGUUAGCUGACACCUGAUCAAACUCAUGGGAUAUUUUCUAUCCCCACAUCCAAUUUAGUAGACAAGCAUGUCAAAACUCAGGUCAACAGCAAGGUUGAAAGAAUGGCAAGCUAUGACGCGCCAUCUGACACAACCCCUAACUAUCCUGCAGGUAUGAUGAUUGCCCUGCCACUACUGCACAAUCAUCACUACCCGGCCAACUCAGCACUACGAAGCCCCACUCAUCUUUGAACACUAUAAAAACCCUACGAUAAUAUAACAAAAGGGGAUAGUGAGUUCUCAAAUCCACUCUCUAUCUUUCUCUCUCUCUCUAAAGGUUUCCAUUCUUCCUAAUGUCUGACUUGGGCUUUGGAGGGUGUGUCCGGACAACCCAUCCGGACACCUUUGUGUAGGGAAGCAUAAAUCCAAGAUUUCGGUACCAGAGCGGGAGCUUUCUCCACCACGUCUAAGGAAUGAAUCUAUCCUCAGUUGACCAGGUAUCAACACUACCUAGCUCAAUGGUUUCUCUUUCAGUUCAUUUAUUGUCUUCUUACCAAAUGGGAUGGACAACACAUUUUCGAAGUAAGAGGCUAUCAUUGUUUCUUUAACCUUGUCUUCAUUGCUCAAUCACUUUCUUUCAUCCACCACGGUGCCCAUCUUGCAUAUAUUUUGGUUUUCGUCUUCCAUGACUGCAAUUUUGGCCACCAUCUUCCACAGAAAAGCAUUGAGAGACUCUAGUUUGGUCCUCUUGCAGGAGCUACCCUUGCUGGUGGCUAGUGAUUGGAGUAUACUGAGAGUUGUUCGGUUGUGACAUAGUAAAAGCGGUUUAUGAGAAGAUCAUCACCAGGCUGUGGAGCUUUGGGAGGAGGUAAGGCUGACAUGGGGAUGUACAUGUCAUCAAGGGAUAGAUCAUAGGAUCCCGGACAUCGAGGGUUGAGGAGAGAGCGCCGGAAAGAUGGUAGUACGGAUAAUGGCUUGGACUGUGCCAUUUCAGCCCAUGAAACUAGAAACAUAUUGGCAGAAUAUGUGUCUACUUUCCUAUGAUCGAAUGUACAUGCCACCAAAACUCCGCCACAUUUGAGUUGAGUCACUUGUCAUUAGUUCAUUUACAUAACAAUAAGCAUGUCACGAUUACAACUAAUUAGGAUUAGCAUAUCACAGAGAAAGAGAGAGAGUUACCUGGACUGACAGAACGUCAUGUUUCUUCUUAGGGACAAGCUUGCUUUCAAUGCUUUCAUCAGGUUUAUAUAAGUUGAGGUUUUGUAGUUGUCCAUCCGCAUAAGCUUCCAUGAAAUCAACCCCACGGUUGUUGCAAAUGAGCUCGAGAUCACCCGCUGAGUUACUCAAAACUUCCCCUGCAAAUGGAUAAUAGGACACCAGUGCUUGGGCCAAGGCCUCACUCAGAACGCCAAUCAUGGACCCAAAUGAUAAAUCAUGGGGCUUUCUGUAAUAGAAAAACACGCCCACAUCUACUGGAGGCAAAAGCAAGUCCAGGUCAGACGGUGGCAGCCAGUACUCCUGCACAGGCAGUACAACUACCACUACUUCCUUCCUGCUCACUGUUACUGUGAAAUCUCCACCACCCAUGAAUCCUAAUUAAUUCUAAGUGUCUUUGUAUGCCAGAGUGAGUAAUGGAAGAGAAGCAAACUUGUAAGCGUGCGUCUGAGUAAAAAAAUAGCAGCAAGAAACAUGGAUUUUAUAGCACAGGACAGUACUUGUCUCAAGUCCCCACUGACAUUUCAUCAAAUUUUGAUGAGAAAAUUUGAAUGAUGGAUAUGAGAAUGACUACAAAGACCAAGAGUGGUACGAAGGAAUGAAAAUAUUUGUCUUAAUUUUGUUGUAGAUGAGAAAUAAUGAAUUGAUACAGGUUGUAUAUAUUGUUACAUAAACCCCAAGGGGGACUCCUUGAAAUGGAAAAAUAAAUAAAUAGAAGGCUGUAGAAAAUAUCUGAGAUACAUUAAUUUUCAAGCCAAACCCUAGGUUUCCUCCAAGAUCACCAAAUGAGAUGAGUUCAAUGAUCCUUGGAAAAGAAGCUAAUAAAUUUGUGGCUUCUCUUUGGUCAUGAGAGGUUAGAUGUCUUCUAAUUGUGGUACAUAUUUUGGUUGGAUAGCUCAUCAAUUCAGUGACAAUAAACUGAAUGAAAGUGAAAUUUCAAAGCCAUGUCAUUUUUCAGUUGUCUUAAUUUCCUGAAAAUGAUUGAUGGGUUAUUUUAGAAGUUGGGAAUUUCCUUGGAAAUAUCUAUAGAAAAUUAUUUGAUCAAUCAAAUGGUACAUAAUUGAUAACUUCAACACCAUUGCAUACUCCAUGACGGGUUUUACUUCCUAUUUGAGUUUGAAAGAGAAGAGUUCAAAAACAAAAUCUUUGGAAAGCUACACAGCAUAAUAUAUAUAUACACAUAUACAUAUACUAGGCCCGAAGGUAUAUAUAUUUAAUUGAUGACUAGAAAUCUCUGGAAAGAACGAGUUCAAAGACAAUCUCUGGAAAACACCCCUGCAUGACAUGAGAAAGAGACACUUCACUAUUUUACUUAUUUAUGAAAUUUCAAAUUAAUUCUAUCCUUCAAAAAGGAUACAGACCUAAAUACAACCUAAAACCGUGAUCACUUUUCCUCUCAAAUUAAGACUGCCAUCUGGUGGCCUUUUAAUUGCAGUGAUCCUACCAAAGAACGCAUGCAUAGGCCCUGUGAGACUGAUAAUUACAAAGGUGGUGUGGUGGUGUACAACUCUAGUCCAUGCAUGGGAUUAGGUCACUCUUUCUUUCUUCACGACAAUGGAAUUGAUUUUAUGGAACUUACCAAGGUUUGGUAAUUGAGAUUUUCGUAUUAAUGGAUGACAAUGACUUAUAGCCUAGAUAUUUCUAUGCAUCUCUCUUGUAUAAGAAAGACAUUUAUGUCUUUCUUGAAAAUGUUUGAUUGUUUAUUUUUGCAAGUAAUUUGGAAAAUCGUUGUUUUAGCUCGUCACAUCUUUGAAAUGAUGUGCAACCAAUAGUUAGGAGCUUCACAAAAGAAAAUUCUUGGCAUAUAUUAAGUCCUUAACUAAAACAACAAACACUAUAAUGUUCUCUAAAUACAUCUUAAUUAAUUUGGAGGGUUUUGGCCUUUCAAAUAUUUUUAAAUUUCUCCUCCAUCAACAAUUUAUCCACAUUAAAUUUACAUUGAAACAGGACUGGCUUGGUGGGAAACAUGUUUUGACACAUGGACGCCCAAUAAAUUGUUGGGUUUGUUGAAAGAAUUAGCAUUUUUCAUGGUUUAACUGUUUGAAUGAUUGGGCACCAUUCCAUAUGUUGUUGUGAUUCGAUUAUUCCUAUGUUAGUACUAUCUUAUUUCUCAAUGGUGGGAAUGUGGUAAACUAGCUAGUUAUUCUCUUAUGAAAAACCAUGACAAAGAAUGAUAAUAGGGAUUUAAAAAUAAGAUAAUGAAAACAUAAAAUAUCUAAGGUAUAUAAUGAUUUACGUGAAUUAGCCUAAAACUUAUUUUCAUAGGUGAAAGUAAAGAAGAAAUUCCAUUAUUAUUAAAAGAUAUUACAACUCUAGAGUUCCUUUAAUCCCAAAGUCUCAAUUAUAUCCAAAAAAGAGACUUUCUCUUGGCCAAAAUUUCUUUCUAUAUAUAUUCCUAAUUUCAUAGCAAUAUUUCAUAUAGAAAACUAAUUAUAUAACUAUCAAAAGUAUUUAUUCCUAAAAGAAUAUAUAACUAUAGGAUAUUUCCUUUAUGACAUAGGAAACUCCCUUACAUGAAUAUAUCCUACAAAGAAAACAUCAAUGACUUACCAAUUGACACAAAUUAGAAUUUGAAACAUUUUUCAACAAUGUUCACAUUGGCUUAUAUUCAUAAGCUUUGAAUAAACUCGGAAGUCUUUUAUGUUACUUCGCUUUCAUGGUACCUCUAAGGGACCUUGAAAUACUACCAACACCAAUUGAGUUUAAGUAAUGCCUGAACUUAAUUAAAUGUAAAAACGAGCAUAUUCAUAUCAUAUUUGAUGGAUUAUCUAUUCACUACAAUAACACCCUUUGCAAUCACAUCUUUGAUAAAAUGCAUUCAAACAUCAAUAUAUUUUGUCUUCUUAUGAAACAUCUAAUUUUUAUUUAAAUGUAUGGCACUUUGGGUAUCACAAUACCCAAUAAAAAACUCUUGUUGUAAGCUUAAAUUGUCAACCAAACCCUUAAGCCAAACAUGAAAAUCAUCACUUCCAAGAAAGAAAAUAUCCUCAUUAUAGAAGGAGAGUCAUUAAAGACUUUCAAAAUAUAAGUUGUGUUAAACAAAAACCUGACUUAUAUAAAUAGAUUUAAAUUGAAUCUUGUCAUACUAAAGGCCCUAAAUUGAUUUGAUGAAAUAAUAAGGUUGAUGAAUUAAGGAUGUCGGGUAGCUAGAGUGUGUUUGUUUUUAACUAUGGAAUGAUCUAUCAAUUGUUAUACAUGUCAUAUUCCUUGCUAACUUAACUGAAUUAAUUUGAUUCACUAUAUAAUAUUGUGAAAACUUUUGACUUUUAUAUGGAACUGGUAUUUUCCUCUCUUAUUUUUUAUAGUAAGCUAGUCGGUAGCCUUAUCAGGCCUACCUUUUUAUAUCGAUUUACAACAUCUCACCGUUAUCCCUUUGGCAACUACAACUUGAUGCAUACACGGAUGUUUCACAUGACGAUGAUUAAAUUUUAAUCAUUACAAAUUACUUAACUCAUGUUAGAUUCUCAUUAAGGAUGAUCACCUUGCACCUGCGUUAAGUUUGGCAAAAAUUUUAAGAAAUGAUAGAAGAAGUAAUAAUAAAUAUUUUAAAAUUAUUUUGUUGUAGAAAUUGAUAUAUGUACAAUAUAAUUUAUCCCAUUUAAUAAUGAUUUAUCUAUAGCAAGGCUUGUGAGUUAUGAUAACAUCAAAGUAAGAAACACGUCUAGCAAUGGGCAAUGACUGAUGCCAAGGACACAAAAGACUUCGCUCCCACAUCACCAAAGUGGUUCCGUCACAAGCCAAAGUGGGAUCUACGCAUAGAGAUCUCUUUAGUAGCAGUCUAUAAAUCCACCACUUCUCCUCAUCCCCUCCACAAACCAUUCCCAUUUUUCCGUUUCUCUCUAUCUCUCUUAGCUGAAAACCAUGCGUGAUGGAGGAGACUUCACUAUAAUUGUGACCAGGAAAGAGGGUUAAUGGAGGUGAUGACUUACCUUUGGGUCCAUGGUUGGGGUUCUGAAGAAAGCCAUGGUCCAAGCACUGGUCCCCUACAAUGCUUUUGCAGGGAAAGUUGUGGGUCUAUGCAAUAACCGAGGGGUAGAUUUCAUGGAGACUUUAGGUUGUAUAACCUUGACAACAAAAUUGAAGGCAAGCUUGUCCCUAAGAAGUAGCAUGGUGUCCUCUAUGUGCAGGUAACACUUCUCUCUCUCUGACACAUCAUGAUAUUGUCGUGCCAUUAUUACUCUAUGUAAUAAAACAAAUGAAGGAAAAUGAUAGGUGUGUUGAUUUUACAAUGAUUCCUAAUAAAGAAAUUAGAGAAAAACAAAACAAAACACACAGAUUUAACAUAAUUCGACAUAUUGCCUGGGAACAUGGAGAAAGACUUUCACUAUAUCCCAAAAUUAAGGUUAUAUAAAAGGGUAUUUAUGUUAACCCUAGGUAUUGAAAUUUCAAAAAUACCUCUGAAUCGUACCACGUACGGGAGCGUUGCCCCCCGCAUGCCCCCAACCUAUCGUUCGCCCUUUUUCUCUAUAUGUCUUUAAUUCAAUAGGAGCCACAUACUAUAACAUGGUGGGUUGUACAUUCAAUCAUGGGAUGGUUAACACAUAUUCUACUAAUAUGUUCCUAGGUCAUGGGCUGAGAUGGCCCAAUGCAAGUCAUUAUCUGUGGUUCCAUCUUUCCAGCGCUCUCUCCUCAACAUCAGAUGUCUAGGCUCCUAUGAUCCCUCCCUGGAUGACAUGUACGUCCCUUUAUCAACCUUACCUCCUCCUAGAGCUCCGCAGCCGGGCGGUGCCCAUACUUCCAUAAGUCGCAUAUACUAUGUCAUGACAAACAGCUCAGUCUACUCCAAACACUAGCUAGCCAGUACCAGAAAUGGCAGCUCCUACAAGAGGACUAAACUAGAGUCUUUCAGUGCAUUUUUGUGGAAGAUGGUGGCGGAAAGUGUUGUCAUGGAAAAUGAUAACAAAAAGAUAUGCAAGAUGGGCAUCGUGGUGGACGAAAAAAGGCAGUUAAGUAGUGGAGAUGAGGAUAAAUAAACAAUGAUGGCCUCUUACAUUGGAAAUGUGCUGUCAAUCCCCUUUGGUGAGAAAAUGAUAACUAAACUGAAAGAGAAACCCUUAAGUUGGGUGGCAGAUGCAGUUCAUGACAACCUGGAAGGGGCAGCGACAAAUGAGCCUUUCUUGGGGCUCAUAGAUUGGGUAGAGGCUCACCGUCCAGAGCUUGCUUUGGAAAAGAUAUACUGCAGUGGCAGCAGCAAAGGAUCACCGUUUGUUGUAUCAUCAAGGCAGAGAUUCCCAAUGUCAAAGGUAGAUUUCGGGUGGGGUAAGCCUUCUAUGGGAUCAUACCAUUGUCCAUGAGGUGGGGGAGUUGAGUAUGUGAUGCCAAUGCCAAGUCCGACCAGAGAUGGUGACUGGGUGGUGUACAUGCACCUCUUGAAAGGGCAGAUGGAGUUGAUUGAGAUUGAGGCCGCCUAUGUCUUUAGACCUUUAACGUCUGAGUAUCUCAACCUGAUCAUCUGAAGUUUGCUUACAUCCAGAUGACUUCUUAUGUAUUCAUCAAUGUCUCUUAGUUUCUUCAUCCCUCUGCCUUAUAGUUUAUUAGGUCCUUUUAAUUUUUCUCUUUAAUAUGGUGAAUCUCUUGGCUAUGAAGAAUGAGUUUUUGGACUUACAUGAUGUACGAAUCCUAAUUAAACUAAGAUUAUGUUUCCUAAGUAUGUUAUACUUAUUAACUUGAGUUUGAUUCUUUUCAGGAUUUGGAAUCCUAACUUUAUUAAGAGUUUUUUUUUUUUAAUUAGAAUUAGGUUUCUAUAAUUGCUCCUAUAUAUAUUCCAUAGUAAUAGAAAGUUAUGUGUGGUAAAUUUUACAUAAAUAUUUAUCACCUCCUUCAUUGUUUUUUUAUCCUUUUUUUGUGUGAAGAAAUUGUUCUUGUGCUGGAAAGAUUAUUUUUUAUUGCUCACAUUUGGUAUCAGAGCAUGGAGUUUAAAGAUGCAAGCAACCAAUAAUAAUACAAUCCAACCCCAGUUUCCAAAGUUUGAUGGGAGAAAUAAUUUUGAAUUUUGGAGAUCAAGAUGUAACUAUUAUUUAAGUAUCAAGAUAUUUGAGGAGUAGUAGAUUAAGGAUUUGUGGUACCGAAAGAUCAAAUUCAACUCACACAAGUGCAAAAGGAUAAUUUGGUGAAUUUGAAGAAGAAAGGUUUGAAGGCUUGCCUUUACAUCUAUCAGUAAGCAAAACUGCCUAUUUUUUAGAAGAUUGUGAAUACAAGUACGACAACAGAUGUAUGGGACAUCCUUAUGAACACCUACAAAAGGGUAAAGAAGGUGAAGAAGGUACGAUUAUAGGCUUUGAGGAGAUAAUUCGAACUUCUUCAAAUGGAGAAAACAAAAAGAGUCUUCGACUACUUUUCAUGAACAUUAGCUCUUGUCAAUUAGAUGAAAUCUAAUGAUGAAAACAUUUUAGAUCUCCAAGUUAUGGAGAAAAUUCUUCAAACCUUAACCAUGCGAUUCGAAUACAAGGUAACAACAAUUGAAGAAUCAAAAGAUCUUAGUACCAUGACGUUGGAUGAAUUGAUGGGUUCCUUGCAAGCCCAUGAACAAUCCUUAGAUGAAAGGUCCCAAAUUGAGGCAAAAGAAGCAUUAGAAAACCAAGUAAGAAAGGUUAGAAUCACUAUAAGAAAGAUGAUUAUUAGCAACACAAUUUUUUGUCACAAAAAGGUUAAUAUCGUUGCAAAAAAGUUUUCACAAUGAAAAUUAUUUUGUUUCAUGAACGUCACCUUAUCCUCAUCACAAAAAGUUUUUGCAACAAAUAAAAUGUUUCAUCUCUAAUAGUUUAUAGAGACAUAAUUUGUUUGUUGUUUCCAAUAAUAUUUUGAUAAAAAUAUUUAUUGUUAAAUGUUUAAAAUUUUGAUGCUAAAAAUGCUCAAUAAUGAAUUAAAUUGUCACCAAAUUAGACACAUACAACAACAACAAAAAUUAUUAUGUCGUUGCCAAAUAGAUUUUGAAACAAAACUUUAUUUUGUUGCUAAAAGUUAAGGUCAAAUUUUAACAAAAAAAAAAUAAUAAAAAAUAGAUGUCUCUAAAUGUAUGAACUUUUGUUACUAUAUAUCUAUAUGUGUAUAGUAAUUUUAUCAUCAUAUCUUAAAAUAUUCAAUUAAUAUAUUUUAGUUUUUAUAUUUAAUUUUAAAUUAUAAAACCUUGUUAAAAAAUUAAAUUUUGUGAUAACUUAACUUUAUUAUGUAAUUAAUAAUUAUAACAUCUAAAUGAAUAAAUAAAUUAUAUGAUAACAUAGUUUUAAUACAUGAUUGAUAAUAUUCCAUCAAAUAUAAAAGAACUUUGUUAUGUCCACAUAUACGAAAAAGAAAAAAAAAAGAAAGUAAACAUUGAUAUCCACAUUUGUAAAAUGUGAUACGUUUUAGAAAUAAAAGAAAAGUAGCAAACUAACAAAUACACAAAAUAUGAUAACAUCUAAAAAAUUGCAAUGAACUAAAUAAAGUACCAUAUAUACAUGCCAAAAGGAGAGUGUCCCCAAAAAAGCCAAAACCAAAUGCUUAGAAAAUAUCGAUCAUCAUCCAUGAGUGACUAGGAAUCUAUGAAUGGUGUAUCAUGUGAGGAAGAUGAACUUUCUGAGCCUGAACCUAGAAUGCACAUGUAUUAACAUUUCACUAACAAAACUAGCUAAUUGAUCCAUCUGGGAUUGUUGGUGCUAGAUUCGAGCCUCUUGACUUUGGAUGAGCUCUUGUGUUGAUCUAAGCUCAGUCUCUAAUUCCAUCUCUCGAUGUGACUUAGCACAUAUAGAUCUCGAUGAGGAUGGGGGUGGUCGAGGGCCAUGACUUAACCCCUUGAUAGAUCUCGAGCCUAGCUAGCACGUGAACACAUAUAUCAACCUUUGCCAAGAUUUUACCAUCUUCCAACACUAGUUACCUUUGCAAUUCCAACAUUCUUUCCUACAAAUAUAAAGAAAAGAUAAAUAAUAUUAAACACAAACCAACCGAAUAAAUAAAAGUUUGAAAAAUAAAGUACAUUAGAAUAAAAUCUUUUUAGCAUAUUGAUUCAUGCCCAAUCGGGUGUUUAUCAAAACAUUUAUAAAACCUACAACACCUUAUACUAGGGUAGCAAAGACAAAGCUACUAUAGCAUAGUGGCUCUAGGAUCGUCCACAUGGAUGGGUUUUCUUUGUACACAUGACAUUAAUGAAAUGAGAAAUGGUGAUUUCCUUUUUUGAAAGUUAGUUUUUUUAAUUGAAAAUAAGAUGGAUUGGAAGGGUUGAUUUUAAGUUAAGCAAACAUAAACAACUAAAAUUACUAUAAAGAGAAAGUCUCUUGGAGCUAUAGGUUACUAGGAUCAGGUUCCUGUUGCAAAGUGGGAAAUUUUGGAUCUUCUCCUCACAUUGAGGAUAAUAACAUAAAGGAUGGUUAUCUCCCGAACCGGAUUUGUAUUUAGAAAAUAAGUUUUGAUCGAAAGGAUUCUUGAAAAAUGGUAGUUGCUUCCCAUUAAUGGCUUCAAACACUAAAGACCCUCACCUUGAACCACCUUCUAAUGGCUCGUACUUGAUAACUAAUGGACAUCCAUGAAUCUAGCAAUAAGCAUCCAUAAAAUCUUAAAAGCUUACCAAGUAUUGGUCAUUCAAGGUGAUUCUAAGGGAUUAAAGCUGAAACUUGAAAUACAAACCAUUAACGAUACACAACUACCUUCAUUUUUAGCAAGGAAAACUCUCACAUUUGCAUCUAGGUCCUUUACCUAGCUUCCAUCACUCCAAGAAAUGUGAAACUUAGCCACUCAUCCUGAGAAAUCAUCCUCAGAGGGUGUUUGGCUAGAGAGAAAGUGAAGAGAAAAUGAGAAGGAAAGGCAGAGAAAAACUCGUCUUUACAAAAUAUCUAAAACAUAAUAUCAAACAUAACAUAAUAUCUGAGAGGUUUUCCAACCCCUAUUUAUAGUUCCUAAACAAACCCUAAUGUCAUUUAUCUAUUACAAAAAGAGUAAAAAGGAAAAAAAUUACAAUUUUGGGGAUUUUUCCCGAAGGUCGGUGCGCACAUAGUGAUUUUCGUACACCCUGCGAAAAUUUGGCACACCCUGCCAAAGUUUGGCAUACCCUGCGAAAUUUGGCACACCUUGCCAAAGUUUGGCACACCCUACGAAAUUUUGGCACACCUUGCCAAAAUUUGGCACACCUUGCGCAUUUUGACACACCUUGCGAAUUUGAUGAUUUUGCCUUUCAAAAUGCUCUGUUUUCCUCCAUCUUACUACUGAUAGUUUUGUCAACCCCUUGCCAAGUUUGGCAAAGGGUUUUGAAGUGCUCCAAAGCUCGGGUUCUUCAUGUGCUCCAAACUCUCCCUCAAUCUUGGCCUGUUUCAGUGAUCAAAAAGCUACCAAAAACACUAAAAUUUACCAAAAAUUGGUUAGUAACAUUUGCUAGGUUCUUAACAUGCCAAAUGGGAUAUAAAGGUCUAACUACUACUCAAAAGUGCUAAGUACAAUUAAGUUUAAGCUUAUAAAAAUGCACUUUUUGAGUAAUAAUCACUCCCCCCAACCGACACAUUGCUAAUCCCUUAGCAAUGAAAGAGAGAAAAAGAAAAACAUCUCUCAUGGAAAAUCAAAGAUAUAAAACCCAACCUUCAACAAGAGUCAUUAAAUCACUUACCUAAUCACAAAAAUACAAAGAGUAGGCAUUACACAAAUUUAAGCAUCAAAAAAAUUUCUACUCCCAGAGAUCCAACUCUUAAUCUUCCACAAGAAUCUAAGUGUUAAGGUGAUUAGUUUCCAAUUAUAGUAUGCUAAACUAUGCUCUCCCCCCAACCUAGUUCUUUCUCAAACCUAGCACUCUGACCAACACCCAAUAGGCUAAGAACGCACCUCUUUUAUUUCACAAUUUUUUUAUUUGCUUAACUUCACCCAUUCACCCUUAUAACGAGCAUUAAGGCCUGUGACUCCUAACCAAUUAAGGUUUAAGGUAGCAGGCUUCAAAGACUUUCUCCAUAUACCCCUAAGACUUUGCUCGGGUUUCAAGGCAAGUGUAACACUUUUUUUUUUUUCUUUUUUUUUUCUGAAGGCUCAUUGGCCUUCUAUAAGGUGUCCCAACACUAUUAAAAUGAGGUCAAAGGUACCAAGUCAAAAUUUUCCUAAGUUCAAGGGGUGAGAUAGUUUUUCAUCUUAUAAUUGGAACCUAAUGUGCACAGUGUGUGGUAAGAUUAAAGUGGAAGAGACAAGAUUGAAUUCAAUAGGAACUUCAAUAAUUCAUCUACCUCAAUAAACAUAAUACAAACUCUAAGACUUAAGCAAAAAAACAAGAACUCAACUUCUCUCAUUUCAUUUUGAGAAUUUUUUCUUGACAACCAUGGAGAGUAGAGUAAAUUUUUAUAAAAAAUUAAACAAAAGGUAACUACGUUAACAAAAUAUCCUAGCAAUAUUUACAAUACUUACUUCCUCAACUCUCCCCCCAACCAAGAUGAACAUUGUCCUCAAUGAUUCAAUCGCAAGUGAAAAUAAAGGAAGGAAGUGAUACCUCCUUAGGGAAAUGCACUCGGAAGUGUAGAGGAGAAACCACAUGGUUCAACAAACAAUUUUUUCACAGUCAUGCAAAAGUUUCGCAAAAGGGAGCGAAAUAGAGUAGAGAAGUGAGAAAUGAAGUUGGGAUGUAUGUUGUAAAAAAAAAAAAAAUUACUUUUUUUUUUUUUUUUUUUUUUUUGAGAAGGAAAGAUGGAGGGGUGGAGAUGGUUCGCAAAGUGGGAAUUUCACAAAAGCACUUUCACUAAGGCACUUUCGCAAAGUGGGAUUUCGCAAAGUGGGUAUGUGAAAAAAUGGUAUGCGAACUUGAUUCGCAGGGUGAACUUUGAGUUCACAAACCCUGUGGAAAUUCAUAAAGGAUGCGAAGUUAAAGACUGAGAGCUAUCGUUUUCAAAAAUGAUCACAAGGGGGUUUCGCAGAGGAUUCGCAUACCCUGUGUUUUUUCGCAUAGGGUGAGAAGUUAAAGACCGAGAGCUUUAAUUUUUCAAAAAUCAUCAGGAAAAUUUCGCAGAGGGUGCGAAAUUUUCGCAUGCUCUGUGAAAUGGUAGUAGCUCACCUAAUGCAAAGAGCACUUUUCGUACACCACGCGAAAAAUUCAUAGGGAGGUAUGCGAAAUGCUCUGCUUCAAUUUUUCCUCAGUUUUUCCUCUGCCAACGAAUCCUUAAGUGCUCUCCCCUGCAAGUGAACAUCAAAAACCUAAAUUACAUCAAACCAAAAGGUAAUUGAAGCAAGAAAUCAAAAUCAAAACAAAUACAAAUGUAAGAAAAACAUGAAAUAAAAAACAAAACCAAAAAAAUGAUGGACUUAAUAGUUUUCAGAAAGACUAAGUCCAUCCAGGAUCUGAUUUUUCAAGCCUAAGGAGGAUCAAUGAGGAUGAAUUCCUCCUUGUCUCGAGAAAAAUGCUCCACAAAUGGCUUGAGAUGAUGGUCAUUUACUUUGAAAUUUCGGUUGUUGUUGGCGUUGAGUAGCUCCACUACUUCAUUCGAAUACACUUGGUGGAUUGUGAAAGGACCUAACCACCUUGAUUUCAACUUGCCCGGAAAGAUAUGGAGCUUAGAGUCAUAGAGCAAGACUCUUUGUCCCUUUGAAAAGUCAUUUCGGGUCACCAACUGAUCAUGCCAUUUCUUCAACCUCUCUUUUACAAAUUUUGAAUUGAGGUAAGCAUCAUUUCGUAGUUCCUCUAACUCAUUGAGGUCUAAGAAUCUCUUCAACCCGACUUUGCUCAAAUCCAUGUUGAGUUUCUUGAUUGCCCACCAAGCCUUGUAUUCCAAUUCCACAUGGAGAUGACACGCUUUGCCAUAGACUAAGCGAUAAGGGGACAUCCCAAGAAUGGUCUUGUAAGCUGUUCUAUAAGCCCAUAGUGAAUCAAGGAGUUUGAUAGACCAAUCUUUUCUGUUCACAUUCACCACCUUCAUCAAUAUGUUCUUGAUCUCCCGGUUUGCCAACUCAACUUGCCCGCUAGUUUGAGGAUGGUAAGGCGUAGCUACCUUAUGCUUCACCCCAUACUUGGCUAAAAGAGUUUCAAAAGGCUUGUUACAAAAAUGAGUACCCCCAUCACUGAUUAUGGCUUUAGGCACUCCAAAUAUUGAGAAAAUGUUCUUCUUCAAGAACUUGAUAACCACCCUAUGGUCAUUAUGUUUACAUGGAACUGCUUCAACCCACUUAGAAACAUAAUCGACUCCCACCAAGAUGUAGGAGUAGCCAAAUGACAUAGGAAAAGGUCCCAUGAAGUCAAUGCCCCAAAUAUAAAAAAGAUCAACUAUCAGAAUGGGGUUCAAAGGCAUCAUAUUCCUUCGGGUCAACUUCCCAAGCCUUUGACAUCGAUCACAACCCUUGCACAUGGCAUGUGCAUCUUUGAAAAGUGAGGGCCAACAGAAAACCGAUUGCAAGACCCUCAUAGUUGUCUUCUGAGAAGCAAAGUGGCUUCCACAAGCAUUCUCAUGGCAAUGAGAGAGAAUCCCCUGUUGCUUUUGUUCAGGAACACACUUUCUUAUUAUUUGAUCUGCACAAUACUUGAAUAGAAACGGUUUUUCCCAAUAGUAGGCAUGGAUCUCUGCAAAGAAAUGCUUCCUAUCUUGUGCUUUCCACUCACUUGGAACUUCUCCUGUAACUAGGUAGUUCGCAAUAUGAGCAUACCACGGAGUUACUUCCACCAACAUGAGAGAUUCCUCUGGGAAGUCAUCAUUAAUGGGCAAACUAUGGGAAUUAUGUGCAAUUGCAAGCCUUGAAAGGUGGUCAGCUACCACAUUUUCUACUCCCUUCUUGUCUUUGAUUUGAAGAUUGAACUCUUGAAGCAAGAGGAUCUACCUAAUCAGUCUUGCCUUGACAUCUUACUUAGUCAACAAGUACUUCAAAGCAGAGUGAUCGGUGAAUACCACUAUGAAAGACCCCACCAAGUAAGCACAAAAUUUGUCUAAGGCAAAAACUACCGCUAACAAUUCCUUCUCGGUGGUUGUGUAGUUUCUUUGUGCCUCAUUGAGUGUCUUACUGGCAUAACAGAUCACAUAGGGUUUUCCAUCUUCUCUUUGGCCCAACACAGCUCCAAUAGAAAAAUCACUAGCAUCGCACAUUACCUCAAAGGGUAAUUGCCAGUUAGGAGCUCACACAAUGGGUGUUGUUGUCAGAAAUGACUUUAAUUGCUCAAAACUUCUUUGGCAUCUUUCAUCCCAAACGAAUUUGGCAUCCUUGACCAAUAGUUCACAAAGAGGCCUUGCAAGCUUUGAAAACUCCUUGAUAAACCUCCUAUAGAACCCAGCAUGUCCAAGGAAUUGUCUUACUCCCUUGACAUUGGUAGGGGAUGGCAACUUGACAAUGAGUUCAACUUUUGCUUUAUCAACUUCAAUUCUCUCCUUAGAGAUGAUAUGCCUGAGAAUAAUCCAUUAUUGUACCAUGAAAUGACACUUCUCCCUAUUAAGCACCAAGUCUUUUUCAAUGCACCGGUUUAGAACAGAUUCUAAGUUUAUCAAGCAAUCCUCAAUUGCACUUCCAUAAACGGUGAUAUCGUCCAUAAAGACUUCCAAAAUUCACUCCACCAUAUCAUUAAAGAUGCUUAGCAUGCAUCUUUGGAAAGUUGCGAGUGCAUUGCAUAAACCGAAGGGCAUUCUCCUAUAUGCAAAUAUACCAAAGGGGUAUGUGAAAGUGGUAUUCUCUUGAUCUUCCAAAUCAAUCUCUAUUUGAAAGUAGCCAGAGUAGUCAUCCAAAAAAUAGUAGAAAUGAUGCCUAGAAACCCUUCCUUGUCACCGCAUUCAAUUUCCUGUAAUCGAUACACACCCUCCAACCGGUAGUAAGGCAUAUGGAGACAUCUUCUCCCUUAUCAUUCUGCACCACCAUGAUCCCAGACUUCUUUGGGACAACCUGGGUUGGACUCACCCAUAAGCUAUCUGAUAUGGGAUAAAUAAUACCGGCUUGAAGUAGCUUCAAAACUUCAGCUCGCACCACCUCUUGCAUGUGAGGGUUCAACCUUCUCUACGGUUGGCAAACUAGCUUUGCUUCCUCCUCCAUAUAGAUAUGAUGGGUGCACACCAAAGGGCUGAUCCUUUUCAUGUCCGAAAUUUUCCACCCAAUGGCCUUCUUACAUUUUCUAAGGACUCCGAUUAGAUAAUCCUCUUGAUGAAUGGAGAGAGCUGAAGAGAUCACCACAGGGCACUGCUUGUCUUCCUCCAAGUAUGCGUAUUUCAACCCAGUAGGAAGAAGCUUAAGAGUAAGCUUUGGGGACUCCUCCUUAGUAGCUCUGUGCGACUUCUCCUCAUUGAACAAAGGUAGAAUAUCUUCCUUCCUUUUCCAAUGAGACAUGGUAGUUAGCAAAUCUGAGGGUUCAGGUAACCCUUCAUCAAGAUCCCCAAGACUCUCAAUCAAAUCUUCCUCCAUGCUCUGUUCAUAGUGCUCCUCCACCAAAGUGUCAAUCAUGCACACUUCCUCUAGCCCUUCCUCUUCUUUCGGAUGGAGAUACUUCUUGCACAAAUGGAAGAUAUUUAGCUCCAAGGUCAUGUUGCCAAACGUGAGUUGCAUAACUUCAUUCCUACAAUUGAUGAUUGCAUUAGAAGUAGCGAGGAAUGGUCUUCCAAGUAUGAUUGGCACAUAGUUUGUCCCCGUGACAACUGGAUCACUAUCAAGAACAACAAAAUCUACUGGAUAGUAGAAUUUGUCAACCUGUACCAAGACAUCUUCAAUUAUCCCCCUUGGGAUCUUCACUAAUCUAUUAACUAGGGAGAGAGUAAUGGAUGUGGCCUUCAACCCCCCAAGUCCUAACUGCUUGUAAACCGAAUAGGGUAGCAAAUUCACACUUGUUCCCAAGUCUAGAAGAGCUUUCUCCACACAUGUCCCUCCAAUAUUUACUGAAAUGGUGGGGCAUCCUGGAUCUUUAUACUUCACUGGAGAUUGGCACUGGAUGAUAGCACUUACUUGUUCAGUCAAGAAGGCUUUCUUGGUCACAUUUAACCCUCUCUUUAUAGUGCACAAGUCCUUCAAGAAUUUAGCAUAAGUUGGAACUUGCUUGAUCAUGUCAAGUAAAGGAAUGUUGACCUUUACUUGCCUCAACACUUCAAAAUUUUUUGAUGUAUUCUUGGUUCCCUUCUUACCAUGUAAAGCUUGAGGGAAAGGUGGAGGCAUGUGCUUCUUCAUCAUAUCUUCCUUGAUGACUAUCCUUGGUUCUUCAUCCACACUUGAAUCAUGGUCACCUUCAUCUGACUUCUUCUCACCCAUGUCUUUCUUUGAUUCACUUCGUUCACCAUGCUUCAGCUUAGGUGCGGGUUGAACAACCUCCUUACCACUCCUAAGAGUGAUAACUAAUUUGACUUCCCUAACCUUUGAAGAUUCUCCCUCUUGAGCUUCUACUUCAUGAAUACCCUUGGGAUUUUGAUGAGGUUGAGAAGGAAACUUUCCUUUUUCUUGCACAGUAUUGAGGUUAGUGAGCCUUGAGAUGAAGUAUUGAACAUUAUCUAUCUUCUGAGAUAGAUCAUUUUGCAUCCCAUCCAUUCUCUUAUUCAAUGUACUCUCCACUUUAUCAAUUUUCUUAUUCAAUUGAGAGUUGAUUGACUUUUGCUCUCCCACAAAGUCUUCCAUAACCUUGCUAAGAUUCACAAUGGCUUAUUCAAGGUUUGAAGCUUGUUAAGGUGCUUGAGCUGGUGGUGUGUACUGAGGUGGCCUUGGCUUCCAUGAGAAAUUUGGAUGGUUCCUCCAAUUAGAAUUGUAGGUGCUUCCAUAAGGAGCAUAGUUGUUGGGCUUGAAUUGGUCAACCACAUUUGCUUGAUCACCAAACAUUUCUCGCACUGUUGGAAUGGUUGGACACUCCUCCACCAAAUGCUCAUAAGACUGACAUAUGGAACAAGACGUAGCUUGCACUCGUGUCUCGAAAAUGGCCUGUACUUCUUGUACUUUCUUCAGUUAUAGCUCUUCCAAUCUCCUUGCCAUAGUUGCAAAUUUUGCUUUCAUGUCCAUGUCUUCACUCAACACAUACAUUCCACCCUUAGCAUUGGGCUGAGACUUCAUCCUCCCCACAUCUCUGGUAUUCAGUUCAUCCCAUCCUCUUGAAACUUCAAAAACAUAGCUCAAGAAGUCCAUAGCUUCCUCUAGAUUCUUACUCAUGAAGUCUCCUCCACACAUGGUCUCUAGGAGUUGCUUCAUAGAGGAAGACAUACCAUCAUAGAAAUAACUCACUAAGAGCCAUGUAUCAAAGCCAUGGUGAGGACAAGCGUUGAAAGCUUCCAUGUACCUCUCCCAACACUCAUAGAAUUUCUCAUUCUCCUUAGCUGAGAAGUUCGAAAUUUGCCUUUUCAAGCCAUUGGUCCUAUGAGUAUGGAAGAACUUCUUGAGAAACUCAGCUUGUAAAUCAGUCCACGUUCUGAUACUCCUCGGCCUUAGAGAAUUAAGCCAAACCUUGGCCUUAUCCUUUAAGGUGAAAGGGAAUAGCUUGAGUCUCAUCAAGUCAAUUGUAGCUCCUCCUUCUUGGAAUGUAUUGCACACGUCUUCAAACUCCUUGAUGUGAGAAUAGGGGUUCUCACUUUCCAUCCCAUGGAAAGUAGGUAGAAGUGGCACUAUAUGAGGUCGGAUUACUAGCUGCUCAGUGGGAGGCACUAUGCAUGAAGGUGCACUCAUUCUAGGUGGAUGCAUGCGAUCCUUCAUGGAUCGGUAUGCAUUGAGAUUCUCCUCUUGCCUAUGUUGGCUAUGUUGAUCUUUGGGUGGACAAUCCAUGAUGUUCAAGCAGACUUCCAACUCAAUUUCUUAAGGAGUUUCAGUUUUCACAAGUCUUCCCUCAAUAUCUCUUAUCCAAUAAGGCAUUGAUUACUACUCAAAAAGUGCAUUUUUAUAAGCUUAAACUUAAUUGUAUUAAGCACUUUUGAGUAGUAGUUAGACCUUUUAUCCCAAUUGGCAUGUUAAGGACCUAGCAAAUGUUACUAACCAAUUUCUAGUAUGUUUUAGUGUUUUUGGUAGCUUUUUUAUCACUGAAACAGGCCAAGAUUGAGGGAGAGUUUGGAGCACAUGAAGAAUCCGAGCUUUGGAGCACUUCAAAACCCUUGCCAAACUUGGAAAGGGGUUGGAAAAGCUAUCAGUAGUAAGAUGGAGGAAAACAGAGCAUUUCGCAAGGCAAGAUCAUCAAUUUUGCAAGGUAUGCCAAAAUUUGGCAAGGUGUGCCAAAAUUUCACAAGGUGUGCCAAAGUUUCGCAGGGUGUGCGAAAAUCACUUUGUGCGCACCGACCUUUGAGAUUUUUCUCCAAAACUGUAAUUUUUCCUUUUUACUCCUUUUGUAAUAGACAAAUGACAUUAGGGUUUGUUUAAGAACUAUAAAUAGGGGUUGGAAAACCUCUCAAAUGAUGUUAUGGUAGAUAUUAUGUUUUAGAUAUUUUGGAAAGACGAGUUUUUCUCUGCCUUUCCUUCUCAUUUUCUUUUCACUUUCUCUCUAGCCAAACACCCUUUGAAGAUGAUUUCUUAGAGGAUGAGUGGCUAAGUUUCACGUUUCUUGGAGUGAUGGAAGCUAAGUAAAGGACCUAGAUGCAAAGGUGAAAGUUUUCCUUGCUUUAAAUGAAUGUAGUUGUGUAUCAUUAAUGGUUUAUAUUUCAAGUUUCAGCUUUAAUCCCUUAUAAUCACCUUGAAUGGCCAAUACUUGGUAAGCUUUUAGGAUUCUAUGGAUGCUUAUUGCUAGAUCCAUGGAUGUCCAUUAGUUAUCAAGUACGAGCCAUUGAAAGGUGGUUCAAGGUGAGGGUCUUUAGUGUUUAAAGCCAUUAAUGGGAAGCAACUACCAUUUUUCAAGAAUCCUUUGGAUCAAAACUUAUUUGCUAAAUACAAAUCCGGUUCGGGAGAUAACCAUCCUUUAUGUUAUUAUCCCCAAUGUAAGGAGAAGAUCCGGAAUUUCCCACUUUGCAACAGGAACCUGAUCCUAGUAACCUAUAGCUCCAAGAGACUUUCUCUUUAUAGUAAUUUCAGUUGUUUAUGUUUACUUAACUUAAAAUCAACCCUUCCACUCAAUCUUAUUUUCAUUAAAAACUAACUUUCAAAAAGGAAAUCACCAUUUCUCAUUUUAUUAAUGUCAUGUGUACAAAGAAAAUCCAUCCCUGUGGACGAUCCUAGAGCCACUAUACUAUAGUAGCUGUCUUUGCUACCCUAGUAUAAGGUGUUGUAGGUUUUAUAAAUGUUUUGAUAAACACCCAAAUGGGCAUGAAUCAGGCAUACACAACUCGAGAUUACUGAAACAAAAACAAAGAAAGCAAAAAAGACUACAAUUCUAGGAAAAGAUUUAAGGUUAGCUAAAAACUAAAUGAAAGAUAAGAUAAAAUAAAAACAAAGAAAAUGAGUUAGUGAAAGAAAAAUCACCAACUUGUGAUGAAGAUCAUGAGUACUCAUAAAAAGUAAUAUUUAUGUACUUAGGAACCAUCCCCGGCAGCGGCGCCAUUUGAUUCAUGCCCAGUCGGGUGUUUAUCAAAACAUUUAUAAAACCUACAACACCUUAUAUUAGGGUAGCAAAGACAAAGCUAUUAUAGCAUAAUGGCUCUAGGAUUGUCCACAAGGAUGAGUUUUCUUUGUACACAUGAUAUUAAUGAAAUGAGAAAUGGUGAUUUCCUUUUUUGAAAGUUAGUUUUUUUAAUUGAAAAUAAGAUUGAUUGGAAGGGUUGAUUUUAAGUUAAGCAAACAUAAACAACUAAAAUUACUAUAAAGAGAAAGUCUCUUGGAGCUAUAGGUUACUAGGAUCAGGUUCUUGUUGCAAAGUGGGAAAUUCUGGAUCUUCUCCUUGCAUUGGGGAUAAUAACAUAAAGGAUGGUUAUCUCCCAAACCGGAUUUGUAUUUAGCAAAUAAGUUUUGAUCGAAAGAAUUCUUGAAAAAUGGUAGUUGCUUCCCAUUAAUGGCUUCAGACGCUAAAGACCCUCACCUUGAACCACCUUCCAAUGGCUCGUACUUGAUAACUAAUGGACAUCCAUGAAUCUAGCAAUAAGCAUCCAUAGAAUCCUAAAAGCUUACCAAGUAUUGGCCAUUCAAGGUGAUUCUAAGAGAUUAAAGCUGAAACUUGAAAUACAAAUCAUUAACAAUACACAACUACCUUCAUUUUUAGCAAGGAAAACUCCCAUCUUUGCAUCUGGGUCCUUUACCUAGCUUCCAUCACUCCAAGAAACGUGAAACUUAGCCACUCAUCCUUUGAAAAAUCAUCCUCAAAGAGUGUUUGGCUAGAGAGAAAGUGAAGAGAAAAUGAGAAGGAAAUGCAGAGAAAAACUCGUCUUUACAAAAUAUCUAAAACAUAAUAUCUAACAUAACAUAAUAUCUGAGAGGUUUUCCAACCCCUAUUUAUAGUUCCUAAAUAAACCCUAAUGUCAUUUAUCUAUUACAAAAGGAGUAAAAAGAAAAAAAAAAUUACAAUUCUGGAGAUUUUUCCCAAAGGUCGGUGCGCACAUAGUGAUUUUCGCACACCCUACGAAAAUUUGGCACACCCUGCGAAAUUUUGGCACACCUUGCCAAAAUUUGGCACACCUUGCGAAUUUUGGCACACCUUGCGAAUUUGAUGAUUUUGCCUUGCGAAAUGCUCUGUUUCCCUCCAUCUUACUACUGAUAGUUUUGGCAACCCCUUGCCAAGUUUGGCAAAGGGUUUUGAUGUGCUCCAAAGCUCGGGUUCUUCAUGUGCUCCAAACUCUCCCUCAAUCUUGGCCUGUUUCAGUGAUCAAAAAGCUACCAAAAACAUUAAAACUUACCAGAAAUUGGUUAGUAACAUUUGCUAGGUUCUUAACAUGCCAAAUGGGAUAUAAAAGUCUAACUACUACUCAAAAGUGCUUAGUACAAUUAAGUUUAAGCUUAUAAAAAUGCACUUUUUGAGUAGUAAUCACAUAUUCAACUAUUAUUAUUUAUGUAUGGAUCUAACUUAGCUAAUUCAACUAUAAUUUAUUGAAAAGAGACAUUAUGUGUAGAUCUAACAAUUUGCUUAUGUUUCAUAGCAUGUUCUUCAUGACUAUGAGAAAAUUUUAAAAGGUUCAUAUUUAUUUUUAUAGAAUUUUCAUAAAUUUUACAAAGAAAAUUCAUUGAUCCAUCCUUCUUCUUCACAAAUAAAAAAGGAGCUCCCCAAGGUGAAACACUAGGUCAAUAAAACCCUUAUCUAACAACUCUUGAAGCUAAGCCUUCAACUCCUUAAGCUUCAUAGGUGCCAUCUUGUAUGGAGUCUUAGAUAUAGGAAUUGUUCUUGGUACCAAAUCAAUGGUAAAUUCCACUACCUUUUCUGGUGGCAAGCCAAGCAAAUUAUCUAGAAAAACAUCAGGAAAUCCCUUACAACGGGUAUGUCCUCCAACUUUAAAUCAUUUUCAUCACUCACCACAUAAGCCAAAAAGCCUUGACAACCCUUCCUAAGCAAAGAACUAGCUUGUAAGGCUAAGAUCAUACGGAGUGGUCUAUCUGCAUGCUUCUCCUCAAAAUUGAACUCAAAUUGACCAAGGAUGCUAAAUAUCACCCUUUUCCCAAAACAAUCAACAAAAACAUGAUAGGAAGCUAACCAAUCCAUUCCCAAAAUUACAUCAAAAUUCUUAAGGUCAAGAAGUACUAAGUCAACUGGCAUUUCCGUAUAACCAAUCAUCACAAGACAAUCUCUAAGCAUUUUACUGGUCACAACAGAAACUCCCAUAGGAGUAGCAAUCAAAUCAAAGUCCAUGUUAGCAAAAGGCAUACCCAACAAACCAACAAAACAUAUUGAAACAAAAGAGUGUGUUGAGCUUGGAUCAAUUAAGGCUCUAGCAAAUAAAGUGUUAAUUCGGAUAGUACCUGUCUCCAUAUCAGAAGUAGCCUGAGCAUCUCGAUGAGUCAUAGCAAACACCUGCCCUUGGGCCCUAGGCUUCUCUUUAUCCUCUUUAUUCUCCUCCUUAGGCUUCCCAAUGAUAAACUUUUUAUUCUCUGGACAAUCUCGAACCAUGUGUCCUUGCUUCCCACAACCAAAGUAAGCUCCAAUCUCCCUAUAGCAUAACUGAUUACUACUCAAAAAGUGCUAUUUGAUAGCCUAUAAUUAAUCCUUUUAAACACUGUUGAGUAGUAGUUUUGGCCUUUUAACUCAAUUGGCAUGUUAAGGACCCUUGAAAGCAAUUUUAAUCACUUUGUGUAAGUUUUGGUGUUUUUGUUAGUAUUUUGAUCACCAAAGCAAGUCAAGACUGAGGAGAGCUAUGAGGAAUCUUGGGCAAAGCUUAGAAGUCAUUUGCCAAGAGUAAAUCCGGAUUGCAAGGAGAAAAAGCAAAGAGAAUCUGCCAUAAAGCAUAUUCUUGAUGACAGUCAUAGCAGCCACUUUUGGAGCACUUUCUGAAGUCCAAAUGAUGCAUGCUAUAUACCAUUUCAAAGAUCAGGAAGUCAACAAUCCAAUGCUUCAAACGGUGUGUAAUUCGGAGUUGAAACGAAGAAGUUGCAGCCAUUACAAACCAAUCACUCCGAGCUGAAGGAAGCAUUUUGCAAAGUGUUGCGAAAUCACCCUUUUGUUGCGAAGUGAUUUCGCAGUCUUUUUGAACAGUGUGAUGUUUCUCCUUCUGAUGAUACCCGAUUUAUGCCGCGAGAAGGAAGCUGGGAACCUCAAGGUGGAAGCCAACUUCGCAGCCCUGUGAAGAUAGCUUGGUGUUGUGAAAUUAUUUCGCAGCCCUCUUGAGUGUCUGCGAAAUCUCGCAGACACCAUUUUUCUCCUGCGAAAUGGUUCCUGAAGCCUCCCGAUAUUUGCUACCGACAUUGGGAGAUAUUUUCCAUUAGAUUUUUGUUGUCUAAAUCCCAAAAUACUCCUUGUAAACCACCAAUUACAAGAUUCCUUAGCUUUUAAGUUAGUAAAAAGACUAAAUAUCUAUGUAAUAAUUAGUUUUAUAUUAUGUUCAUAUAUAUACCUCUCGGGAGCCUGUUCUCAGAGAGAGUUCCUUCUGUAAAAGUUUGGGUAAGCAAGUAAAGUUCAGUUCUUUCUACUGCCUUACCUUCUCACUUUGUAUUUUUAUUUUAUUUCUAAGUUAUGAACUCUCUGAGGAGUUUUCCCCAGAGAAUGAGUAACUAAACUUCUAAUUCCUUGGAGCUAAGGUUGCCGGGGAAGGUUCCAAGUGCAAGAAUGCAAAACUUUGUGGUUUUAGUUAGUAAUGAAGAGGAAGUGAAAUCCUUUAGUGAUUUCUAUGUUUUUAGUUAACUUAAAACACCUUAGAGUCACCUGGGCCAACACUUGGUAAGGCAAGUGAUUUCCAACCAUGGAAAUGCACUAGUUUACCCCUUGCGAGCCUCUGGGAGGUGACUUCAAGGUAGGAUUUUCUAGAAUAGCCAACACUUGGUAAGCUUUUGGACUCCUAGGAGACAUCCAUUAGUUAUCUCUUGUGAGCUUUUGACGGGUAAUCCAAGGUUAAAGAUCACCUUGAAUGGUUAAGGCUUAGUGAGAGGCUUAAACCAUUGCAAGUUGCAUCAGUGAGGGAAUUAAAGUGAAAUCUAAUUGAAGGAGUCUCUGUACAACACCGGUUAGAGAAUUGACUAUAUGUUGAAUCUCUAACACGAGGAAAUGAACCAUCUGACCAGAGCCGUGUCUUUUGCAUGAGGAACCACCCCAGUGAACCUAACUCUCCAAGGAAUGUUUUCUUCCUAAAUUAUUCCAAACUUCUGUUAUGUUAGUUAGUUUAAGUCUAAACCUUUACCAAUCAAAGUUUGUGUUUUACUUCUUAAGCUAACCAUGAAAUGAAACAAGACCAAUUCACUUGGAAUUGGUAUCAUUGAUUGCUUGUUAAUCAUUCCCAGUGAACGAUCCUAGAGCCACUAUACUAUAGUAGCUUUUUCUUUGCUACCCUAGUGUAUGGUGUUAUAGGUAAUAAAUUUUGUUGAUUACUCCCUCAAUCAAGGAGCACCAGCUGGACACAAAUCAGCUGAGACACCAAUUGGGCACGAAUCAAUAGCCUACCCAUGUGCUUCUUACCACAAGUAGGACAAAUCACAUCUGAAUUUUGUGUUAUCUUCCCUUUAUUCUGAUUUCUAGUAGAGGCAGACCUUUUCCAUGCUUAGUUACCAUGAGCACCAUCACUCCUAUUCUUCUUCCUCUGUUGUUCCCUAUACCAAUGAAGCUCUUUAUUAUCCUUUUCUGCAAUAAGGGCUCUGUUCAUAAUCUCUGAAUAGAUGCCAAGUUUUAGAAUAGAUAUCUUGUUCUUCAUGUAGGGCUUUAAUCCACCUUGAAAUUUUAAUGUUUUUUCUUCCUCUGUAGCAAUCAAUUGUGGGGCAAAUCGUGACAACUCUGUAAAUUUGGCCUCAUACUAGGCUACAGUCAUCUCCCCUUGUUCCAAAUGAACAAACUCACCCACCUUUUGUCGCCUAACACUGUCGGGGAAGUACUUCUUGUAGAAAGCCUCCAUAAAAUGUCUCCAAGUUAUAGGUCUCUGAUCGUCCAAAAGCCUUUUGAUCAUAUUCCACCAAUGAUCUGCUUAUUUGUCUAAUAUAAAUGUUGCAUAAGAGGCCUUUUACUCCUUAGAUCAAUCUAUGACAUCAAAGAAUUUCUCCAUCUUAAGAAUCCAAGCCUCUACUUCUAUUGGAUCUAAAGUGCCAGAAAAAUAAGGAGGACCUAGUUUCUUAAAGUCAUCAAAAGAGCUACCCCUAGAAAAUGAGGGUUGUCACUGACCAUUAGUCUCAACGGCUCUAGCUUGAUGCUCAACCAAAUCAGCUAAAGUUCCGGGAUACCUAUAAAGCCCUUCUUCAUUCAAGGGAGGCCAACCCUAAAGUGGAGGAGGUACAUCAUUAUUAGCCUGACUGUUUUGGGAAGAUGUUGUUAUUCUUGGUGCCAUGAUCUCCUAUAAAGCAUAAGGUAUAGCUAAAUUAGUUGCUAAGAAACCAAUUAGAUAAUUUGGAUUUAUAAGGGAAGAAAAAAGAGUUUAUACAAGAUGAAGUCAAAACUUAAACUAAUGUGUUACUCAUCUAUCCCCAAAGUAAACUAAAACAAGUUCUCAACAAGAUCAUAACCUAGUGCUCUGAUACCACUCUGUCACGCCCUAAAACCCAUUCCAAGGGCAUGAUGGUCAUUUCACACCUUAACCCUAAAGGCUCAAAGUGGUAAUGACAUAAACAUUCGUAUUGUAAUUAGAAAUUUACCAAUUACUGAAUUCCUAUUUAGAGUAGUAGAACAAAAGUUCUAAAAUCUCCAGAUAAUAACUUUUGAAACUAAUACAUCAAACCAAGUGUUAUUGUCCAAAUAACUUCAAACUCAAAUAAUUCUAAUGGAAAAUAAAUUUUAACAUCUAAACAAUGCUCAAAAUAAAGAGAGUUUUUGACAAAUGUCUUAACAAGCCAAUUUUCCUUCCUAAACAUCACUCCUUUCCCAAACUAAGGGUACUUGGAAAAUUAUCAACAAAGGGGGAUGAGCUCAAAGCCCAAUAAAGAAUAUUAACACGGUUUCAUAGAUCAAAUAUUUUCAAUUACACUUACAAAUAGGAGAUAUAACAUAUAAUCUAUUUAUAAAACUUUUGUAAUAAACAUGUAAAACAUUUAAACUGUUCAACAAACAUUUUCAUAUAUAUAAAAAUCAUUUCAUAUUCAUUUCAAAUCAAAUACAUUUCAAUUGUUUUCACUUUAAUUAUCAAAUAACAAAUAGUGCUCAUUUAAGUGGGACUUUACAAAUAGGUGGCCAACCUCAAAUGUUCCUUUCUAAGGUGGAUGAAACAAAACACUACUAGUACUAGUAACCUUAACCAAAGCCCUAGAGGCUAGAGUCCAAAUCAAUUACAUUCCCCAUCACAAAAAUGUAAAGGUAAAUUAUUAUAUCUCGUUGACAAGAGUCAAACAAAUCAGAGUCAAAUUCUUUAUUUUAUUUAUUCCAAUUUACUAAAGCAGAAAAUCUCUAAGUGUUUCAAUGUAAACAAAAUAAAUGUUAUAACACAUUUUUCCAUACAAAAAUAUAUUUGAUCCAUACUUAAAAGCAAAAAUAACAAUUACACAUUUCAAACAACAUAUAUAAUUUUUUUUUUUUUUUUUGCAAGAUCUGUAUUAAUUCCCCUUACCUCAAAAUAAGUCUUAAAAAACUUUGGAGAAAAAUAAUUUUGGAAAAUCUACUAUUUACCUAACAAAGCAUAACAAAAAUAACUAUUACUAUUUAUCUAAAAUUAUAAGUUUGACAAUCCUAAAAUUUUUGGUAUUCAAAUUAAUGUUUUUAAUUAUGAAAGAUAAUUUAAUCUAUUCCUAUUUUAGAAAAAUUAAUAAAUUUCUAAUUCAUAUAAAACUUAAAUUUUACUUUCAAUUUAUUUCUUGGGACACAACAUAAUUUAAUUAAAAUACAAAUUUAUUUCACUAAUUAAAUUUUAUGAUACUUAUUAACUUAACAUUUAUCGUUAAUCUAAUUAUAAUACUAUAAAUUUAACUAAUUUGUACUUGACCCCGUUUAUUUAUACAUAGUUUAUUCUACCACUUUCAUCAUUCUUCUAUCUUCCCAUACACAUGCAUUUUUUUUUUUUUUUGGCCACUGUUUAUUAUUAUUAUUAUACACUUUUAGAAAUCAACCAAUACAUUGAAAUCUCAAAUUUUUUCUUCAAAUAUUUUCCAAUUCCUUAAGUCACAUAUAAUCAUAUAUUUAUUUAACCAUUUAAUUUUUGAAAUUUCAUUGCUUAGAUCUAUUCAUCUAAGAAAAUUUGAAUUUCCUAUUUUCAUAAAUGGAACAACCUAUAUUCAUAAUUUAAAUAUUUUGAUCUAAAAUUUUUAAAUUGAUUAACCCUAGCCUAAAUCAAAAUCUUCCAAAUAAUCUGUUUUUUUUUUCAUCUAAAAACUUAAGGUUUCCCAUUUUUCAACAAUAAAUCAUCCCAUAAUUUUAAUAUUAAAACAAAUUAAAAAAUAUAUACUAACCCUAAUCUAAAUUAAAAAUUUUCAAACAAUAUCUAACAUGUUCAGAACUAACUAACAAAUAUAAUAUAUUGAUUUAGAGUUAGAAUCUUACCUGGAAAAAUCUAAACAUCAAACUCUAAACUUUAAACCUUUAACUCUACGAUCUCAAAUUCUCUAAUUUUGGUUAAUAGGGUUUUCUGAAUAAAGAAGACAAGAGGAAAAUCUAAUUUAUAUCUAACAUUAUCAAUUGUAAAAGGACUCUUUCACCUUUAAUGAGUUUAAUUAAUUACAUUUAAAUUUACUAUUUUGCCCCUAGAGUUAAUUUUGGGGUGUUACAAUUUUUUUUGUUUUCCCAAUUUUUUUUUCAAAAAUGUGUACUGAGCAUGUAAGUGACUUAAUUUGAUAUGGUGUUUACAUUUGCCACAAAAUAAAAGUGAAUAGAAGUAAUAAAAUGAUGAUAGAGUGAAUAAAGCCCUAUGGAGCGGGUAAGUGACUUAAACUCACAUAUGAGGUUUAAAUUUGGAACAAAACAAAAGUAAAUAGAUGUAACAAAAUAACGAUAGAGUGAGUAAUGCUCUAACACUAGAGAGUUACAAAUAUUAUAUAUAUUAUUUUUUCACAACUUGAAAGAGUAGACUUAAUUUUCCCAUCAAUUGAAUCUUCUUUAAGGUUACAUUAAUCAAUUAUUAAUUAUUCUAUACUACAUGGAGAUUCAAAGAUAAAUCCUUAUUUUUUGUGUUUUUUGUUAAAAGCAUAUAUUAUGUAAACUUUCCAUAUAAACUUUAUUUCAAUUUAUGAAAAAAGUUAUUUCAUAUCUAAUGUUAUUUCUAUAAUAUUAAUAUUAUUUAAAAUUUUAAUUUUGACUUUAAUUUAAGCUUCUAUUUUAAUAUAACUUUCAAAGAUUAAUCUUGAAUUAUCAUUAUUAUUGUUUUUAAUUUAGUUUGGAUUGAUGUAUUACACUAUUUAUAGAAUGUUAUUAUAUUGGGAUGAAGCCCAUAUCUAAGAAUAUAUAUUUUUGAGUAUUCUAUCUUUUUGUUUAUAUAAAGUAUUCUUAUUAAAAACAAAAAUGGGGCUUACUUUCUAUAAUAAUGAUCAAUUUUUAUUCUUAAACAUACAAAUCCUAAUAGAUGACCAAGAUAAUGAGUUUCUGAUUUUUAUUCUCUUUGUCAAUGUUCCCAACAUCCUCUUAUUGCAAAUAUUUUUCUUAGCAUAAUUCUUAUUCCCCCUAUCAAUGUUCCCAAUAUCCACUUGUUGAAAAUAUUUUUAUAGAAUAAUUAUAUAUUUGCUAAACCAACUUUUUCUUUAGACCAUAUCAUGGACAUAAGAAUAGGAUAGUGAUAAAAAUGAGAAUGAAUUAGCAUGUGAUGUUGACAUAAAUAGAUUUUGACCUUUUUUGAGGAUGAAUUUUUAUCCUUAUUUGAUUUUUUUAAUAAGUUAAUUAUAUAGAGAAAAAUAAAAUAGAUUUUUUUUUUCUUACUCAAAAUGUUAGAUCUUAAUGAAAUUUAGAUAGAAGUUCCUAAAUUAAUAAUUCCUUAGACACAAUUAAAAAAUAAUUAGUCUUUUUUUACGCAUUCACAAAACGUUUGAAUUGAUGUUAUUAGCUAUAACAUCUCAUUUUAUAAUGGAUUAAUAUUUUAUUAAAAAUUACCUAUUAAAAAAUAAUUGAUAUAUUUUAAAAUUUGGAAUAUAACAUUAAUGGGAUAUUCUUUUUUUAUGGAAUAUUAUAUUUUAAAAUCAUUGAUGGAGUAGAACGAUUAACCUACUAUCAUUAUUUUAUAUUUAUAUUAUCAUACAAAAAAUCCAUGGAAAAAACUGGUAUAAAUAUUAAAUAUAAAUAUCAAUAUUUAAUUAAGAGAAAGUUUAAGAAACAAGAAAGGGCCUUUCCACUGAAAGUCCUCGCACCCGGCCAACAACCCUCACAACACCCCCUCAUGCCUUGACAAAUCCAUGGGUUUGACACCCUGCAAACUAAUGCUCUGGACAAACUACUGCCCAUUGGUUUCAAUGUCAGUCAAAGCUCUGGCGCCCUACAAACUACCACCCUAGACAAAAAUUGAAAUCCUUGUUGAUAAGCCAAGAACAGAGGAGAACAAAGGAGUUGGUUACUGAUGUCACGAGAUGAAGCCCACUUGUUGUUAGCUUUAUUGUUAUUGAGUUGUUAUUUUUUUACCAGCUGUUAUUACAACCUGUCUCCAUCUAUUUUGAACACUAUAUAUAUAUAUUAAAUCUCUCUCUCUCUUGUUACUUUAACAAAGAGAGCAGAGUUUUCAGCUUCAGCUUUUCUAUCUUGGUAUCAGAGCUCUCAUUCAAGGUUUGAAUUUUUUCUUCUCUUUCUCACUUUCUCUCUGUUUCUCUCGAUCCAAACAUGGCCUCUACUCCGACACAGUCUUCUUCUUCCUCUGGUUCGAUUGGAUCUGGACAAAGCUCAACAAUGGCGUCCAUUCCUUCCUAUCAGAUGCUUAAUCACACUCUGCCUGUGAAACUUGAUCGGACGAAUUACAUCCUAUGGAGAUCUCAGAUUGAUAAUGUCGUUUUUGCUAAUGGCUUUGAGGAUUUCAUUGAUGGAACCUCUAUCUGUCCGGAGAAAGAUUUGAGUCCAGGAGUGAUGAAUCCAGCUUUUGUUGCUUGGAGGAGACAAGAUCGAACAAUCCUCAGUUGGAUCUACUUGUCGCUCACACCAGGUAUCAUGGCACAGAUCAUAGGCCAUAAUACUUCUCACUCUGCUUGGAAUGCCUUGGAAAGAAUUUUUUCAUCUUCUUCAAGAGCUAGGAUAAUGAAACUCAGACUCGAAUUACAAUCCACAAAGAAAGGAUCAAUGUCGAUGAUAGACUACAUAAUGAAGAUCAAAGGAGUUGCUGAUAAUCUAGGUGCUAUUGGAGAACCUGUCUCAGAACAAGAUCAGGUUAUGAAUCUUCUUGGAGGUCUUGGAUCCGAUUAUAAUGCUGUUGUUACUGCUAUCAACAUUAGAGAUGAUAAGAUCUCUCUUGAAGCUAUACAUAGUAUGCUAUUAGCCUUUGAGCAUCGUCUUGAGCAACAAAGCUCGAUUGAACAAAUGUCUGCCAAUUAUGUCUCUUCCUCUAAUAACAGAGGUGGUGGAAGGAAGUUUAAUGGAGGUCGUGGACAAGGCUACUCUCCAAAUAACAAUAAUUGCACCUAUAGAGGUCGUGGACGUGGAGGUAGAAAUGGACAAGGUGGAAGGCAAAAUUCCAGUCCAAGUGAGAAACCUCAGUGUCAGUUAUGUGGUAAGUUUGGCCACACUGCUCAGAUCUGUUAUCACAGGUUUGAUAUCUCUUUUCAAGGUGGUCAGACUACUAUUUCUCAUUCUUUGAAUAAUGGGAAUCAAAACAAUAUACCUGCUAUGGUUGCUUCUGCUUCUAAUAAUCCUGCAGAUGAGAGUUGGUAUUUGGAUUCUGGAGCAAGUCACCAUCUGACUCAGAAUUUGGGGAAUCUCACCAGUACUUCACCAUACACGGGAACAGAUAGAGUCACUAUUGGUAAUGGUAAGCAUCUCUCCAUCUCCAAUAUUGGCUCUAAACAACUUCAUUCUCAUACACAUUCUUUUCGACUCAAGAAGGUGUUUCAUGUUCCCUUUAUCUCAGCUAAUUUGAUUAGUGUGGCUAAGUUCUGCUCAGAUAAUAAUGCCUUGAUUGAGUUUCAUUCUAAUGCUUUCUUUGUGAAGGAUCUACACACGAAGAUGGUUCUUGCUCAAGGCAAGCUUGAAAAUGGGCUUUACAAGUUUCCUGUGUUCAGCAAUCUAAAACCUUAUAGUAGUAUUAAUAAUGCUUUUGCUUUUCAUAGUACUGUUGAAAAUAAAGCAGAGUUAUGGCAUAAUAGACUAGGCCAUGCUGGAUUUGACAUUGUUUCAAAAGUCAUGAAUACUUGUAAUGUUGCUUCUAGGAAAUAUAAAUCUACUGUUUGUUCUGAUUGUCAGUUAGCUAAAAGUCAUAGACUACCUACUCAGCUCUCAAAUUUUCGUGCAUCUAAACCUUUAGAACUUGUUUAUACUGAUAUUUGGGGACCUGCCUCAAUUAAAUCUACAUCUGGAGCGAAAUAUUUCAUUCUUUUUGUAGAUGAUUAUUCCAGGUAUACUUGGUUUUAUUCAUUACAAACAAAGGAUUAGGCCCUUCCCAUCUUUAAGCGAUUCAAGCUUCAAAUGGAGAAUCAGUUUGACACCAAAAUUAAGUGCUUACAGUCUGAUAAUGGUGGAGAAUUUUGAUCUUUUAUGUCUUUUCUUCAAGCAGUUGGUAUUGCCCAUCGAUUUUCCUGUCCAUAUAACUCAGCUCAAAAUGGUAGAGUUGAGCGGAAGCACAGACACGUAGUUGAAACUGGGUUGGCUUUGUUAUCUCAUGCUUCCUUGCCAAUGAAGUAUUGGCACUACGCUUUUCAGACAGCAACUUUUCUUAUCAAUCGAAUGCCAAGCAAAGUUCUCAAGUAUGACUCCUUACUUCACUCUUUUUAGAAGGCAUCCUGAUUAUAAAUCUCUUUGUGUAUUUGGCUGCCUUUGUUAUCCUUUCAUUCGGCCAUACAACACUCAUAAAUUGCAGUACAGAUCUAUCCAAUGUCUUUUUCUUGGCUAUAGUUUGAAUCACAAGGGGUUUUUAUGUCUUGAUUAUGCAACUGGAAGAGUCUAUAUUACUCCCCACGUGGUCUUUGAUGAAUCAACUUUCCCACUUGCUCAGUCCAAGUCUUCCAGUUCGUCUAAUGACACUUCAGCAGAAAGCUCUACCCCUGCCCUUAUAACUCCUCCUUCUUUUCCAUGUCUUCUCCCAGAUUCAAAAAUCAGUCAUGCUUCCAUAGAUUCUCAUUCUCUAUCCACAAGUGAAAGUCCUAUUCCUACAACCUCUUCUUCACCUCUGGACACAUCUAGUUCUUCUCCUGCUAUAGAUUUGUCACCUAAAUCUGUUCCAGAACCUCAAGUCACUGCUCUUGCUCCACGAAUGACAACAAGGUCCAUGUGUGGUAUAACCAAGAAAAAGACCAUUCUUGAUCUCUCUGCCAUAAAGGUUUCAGAACCAUCUACUCUCAAAUAAGCCUUCAAAGAUCCAAAUUGGACUAAAGCUAUGGAAAUGGAGAUUGCUGCUCUUCAUAGAAACCAUACUUGGGAUCUUGUUGAACAACCACCCAAUGUCAAUGUGAUUGGCUGUAAGUGGGUGUAUAAACUAAAACAUAAGCCAGAUGGGAGUAUAGAGAGGUAUAAAGCUAGGCUUGUGGCAAAAGGAUAUAAUCAGACUCAUGGUCUGGACUAUUUUGAGACUUUUAGUCCAGUAGUUAAGGCUGCCAUUAUUCGCAUCAUACUUACUGUUGCUCUCAGUUUUAAGUGGGAAAUUCGACAGCUUGAUGUUCACAAUGCCUUCCUCAAUGGUGAGCUAGAAGAACAAGUCUAUAUGUCUCAACCUCCUGGAUACUUUGACACUCAAUUCCCGAAUAGAGUGUGUAGAUUGAAGAAGGCUUUAUAUGGCUUAAAACAAGCCCCACGUGCUUGGUUUCAAAGACUCAGCUCUGCUCUUCUUCAGUGGGGAUUCAGCAUGUCUCGGACUAAUAGUUCUAUGUUUCUGCACUUUGGAAAGGCCACUACUUUGAUAGUUCUUGUCUAUGUUGAUGAUAUACUCGUAAUGGGCAGCUCCUCCACACAGAUUUCGUCUCUCAUAGCUAAACUUGAUUCAGUUUUUGCUUUACGAGAUUUGGGUCAACUCUCAUUCUUUCUCGGUAUAGAGGUUUCCUACAAUGAAGGCUCUAUGACUUUGAGCCAAACCAAAUACAUUUCAGAUCUGCUUCAUAGAACUGAAAUGUUUGAUACCAAACCGGCAAAAACACCUGGUGCUGUUGGGAAGAACUUGUCUAAAUUUGAUGGAGAUCCUAUGGCAGAUGUUACUCAUUAUCGAAGUGUAGUAGGGGCACUUCAGUAUGUUACCUUGACAAGACCUGAUAUAGCCUUUGCUGUCAAUAAGGCAUGCCAAUUUAUGCAACAACCAACCACAACUCACUGGCUCUCAGUCAAACGAAUACUUCGGUAUCUAAGAGGAACAAUGCAAGAUGGGCGAGAUGAAGCCCACUUGUUGUUAGCUUUAUUGUUAUUGAGUUGUUAUUUUUUUACCAGCUGUUAUUACAGCCUGUCUCCAUCUAUUUUGAACACUAUAUAUAUAUUAAAUCUCUCUCUCUUGUUACUUUAACAAAGAGAGCAGAGUUUUCGGCUUCAGCUUUUCUAUCUCUUGCAUCCCUAUACAUCACAUAAAUGAUAUCGAGAACAACACCAGAUAGCUGUAAUCACUGCAUUUACUGGUCACCAUCAGAGAGCUCUGAACUCUACCACCGAAAUUGUUUCCUGUUUCCUCACCCUGAAAUCUACCACUAAGAAGCCCUAACCCAACACUUACAGAUGAACUCCACAUGGGCAAACUCUAACAUGUAGGAUGUAAGUCAUUGUUGGAGGCUUCAAGGUCAUUCGGGUGACAUUUUCUCUAUAGACACUUCAUGUUAGCAAGGCUUCAAGGCUUCUGAUCACUAUGAAGUUUGAUUCUACCCUCAUUCUCUUACUAUGAAGUGACAAGAAGUAGAUUUUUUGUACCCUCGUUCAACAAUAUCUUCACACUAUGUUAAAGAAAAAAUAAAAAUCCAUCCUUACUUUUCAGUUCCCUUUGUACUAAAAACAAAGGUGGAUUUUAAGGUUGAUGCAUUAGCAUCUCAAAUGCAGAAAAUUUUAGUGCUUUUUUUCCGUGUUUGGUCACUGGCAAAAUAUAGGAAAUGAAAAUAAAAGGUGGAAAGGAAAUAAUAUUGAAUAAAGAGAAAUGGUUUAGGUUUAAGAUUCUUUUAUCAACCUCUAUUUGGUUUCUCAGAGAACGUGGGAAAGAGAAGUGAAUAUAACUUAAGUUUUCUUUUGUUUUUGUUUUCUUUCUUUCUUUAUUUUUUAUUUUGAUUAGUUAGAAAAAAUGGUGUUAACAGUUGACUUUAUUAAAGAAAAUGUAAGGUCUCAACAAGGCUAUAAAGCAAGCUUUUGGGAAAAAAGAACUUUGAAGUUUAUUGUUUUUUUCUUUAUUAUAUUUGUUUUUAGAAACUAACAUCAAAUGAAAAUGCAAGGUGUACUAUGUUGAUUCUAAGAUUAAAUUUUUUUUAUUAGCCUUUGUUUGGUUGCUAAGAAAAUGUAGGAAAAAAGGAAUGGACACUAGCUGAUUAGGUCUAAAAGUUCUUAAUCAAAUUGUAUCAUUAGCUCUAAAAAAGAAUUUUAAGUCAUAUAUACAUCUAACAAUCCAAGGUAAAAGAAAGGGUUAUAAGCACUACCAUCAUACUGAAAUUGGUUUGAACCAUGAGUUUAAAUUUUUUUUUUUUCUAUUUUUGGUGAAUUCAAGUUAGCUUAGGGAUAAAUAAUAUUACCUUCUGAAAUGAUUUUCAUGUGGUCCUAUAUAAGUUCCUACAAUUACGCAUAAUCUCAUUAAUUGAUAUAUGAAAUCUAGUUUUAGUUUGAUGGUUCUAUUAUAUAGUUUUGCCUACCAUGGUAAAAGAGCCUAGGGAUUUUACUUUGAUGUCAUGUUUUUAGGGAUUCUAGUCAUAGAAUUAGGCUUAGUUUUAAAAUAUAGACUGCAUUUGAAGUUACAUGAAUAAUUAUGAUUUGUAAGUCUAAUUAUUGUUGCCCAUGAUUGGUUUAUGAUUUUUGUUCAUCCUAGUUCACCUGAACUAACCUCCAUAUAAUAGUAAAUAUAGCAUAGGGAUGCCAAUUUAUUUGGAGAGAAGGUUUCAAAGUUGUUAUGACUAGUUGUCUAAAGCAACAUGCAAUUAGAGAGAAUUUGUGUUUUUGGUUAUUUUUCACAUAACAAUUGAAGAGCUUGUACCUUCCAUGAGUUCCUUCAAUUUCUUUUUACUCUUGUGGGAGCACAUUAAUUUGGUUUAAUUUCAUUUUAUGUAGGAGCUUAUUAUGAGAUACAUAUGUGUUGACUACUAUACAAUUCUUAAUUUUUAAACUAAUGCAGUUACAGUCUACUAUUGUUGCUAAAGCAAUAAGACUUUGCAUUCAAUGAAAUAAUAGAAACAGAGAAGAUUUAAUUUAUUGGUGAUUGAAAUGAUUUAUAUUGGAUGUAGUGAGGAAAACCCAUUUCCAUGAGGAUUCAAUUGGUUAUUUCAAUGGUAAAUGAUUUGAAAUUUUUGUCUAAAUGAAUCAUAUUGUAAUGUUGAUGAUUUUUCUAAAUCUAGUAUCCAAAAGCUCCAAGGCACGAGGAAUACCAUGAAUUUUAAUUUGGAGCAUUUUCAGUUAUCCUUUUGGCCUUUUUGAAAUAGUUUGUUACUUAUGCAUGUGCUUGGUGUGCAAUAGAGUUUUACUAUGGGUAGGUGGUCAUGGUUUAACUUUAUGAAAUUUUACUGUUAGUUAAUUUGAACACAGUUGCUUUAUAGAUUUUUUUUUUUUUUAAUGCGUUUCUUCACUUAACUAGUUUGGAACUUAUUUUUCAGUGGUAUGUAUCUUGUAUUUUGAAGUAUAGUUACAACAUAACUAAGGUGGUUUAUGAUAAUCUUGCAUUAACUUAUGAUGAUUUCAGUUACUGUUUCUAUUUCACGAAUCGAUGCAUUUCUUUUCUAUAUUUUGAUGUCAUCUAAGAGUCUUUUCUUACCUUCUUUUUUUUUUUUUUUUAUGCAGGCUUAAACUAAAAACAUGGAGUUAAAACUCAUUGAAGCCAUGAAUUCUAAAGAGACCUGGUUGAUGGUUGGUUCAAAAUUUGAGCCUAGGGUUCUUUUAACUCUCAAAUCAAUUGGGGAUGCCUUCAAUUCGUUAGCAAUUACCAAGGGGCUUGAACUCUUAAAAUAGGAUAUACUUAUUAAGGUAGUAUUCUUUAGAAUUUUAUGUGUUGAGAUAUUAUUUAUCAAAGGGUUUUGUAAUAAUUAUCAAGGGUUAUUGUUGCAUGUCUGAUACAAAUUUUUCUCCUAUUUAGUUUGAAAGUGUAGAAUCAAUUUUUUUUAAUUGUCUUUAUUUUUUAUUAAAUCUUGAACAUCUCAUGUUUCUAGUGUUGAGAUCUUCUAGGAAGGAAGAGCUUAUGAGAUGGUUUUUCUUGACCACACUGAAACUUUUGCAUACGUAAUAUCAUUUAAUUUUUUUUAAUCUUCCUUCUCAAUCCCUUACAAAAACCAAAAGGAUUUUUCUUUAUUAUUUUCAUUUUCAAACCAGACUAUAGUAAAAAACAAUGUGUUGUUCUUGUAGAGGGUACAUAAAGAAAAAGAGAAGGUGCCCUAGAAAUUAACAGAGAAAGUAGCUUUAUUUGGUUAUGGCAUUUUAGUUUCAUCAAAAUCUAAAUUCUCGAUUAGCCUAUCUCAAACCUAUGUGGUAUAUUUAACUCAUGAAUUGAUUUCUUAUCUUUCAUCUAUUACCAGUUGGCAAUGAUCUCUAUGGCAGGUGGUUAUGCACGAGUGCUCAUUGCUUAGCCUCUAUUGCCUUUUUAUCUAGGAUCUUUCCAUUAACACAUAAUUUUCUAUAAUAACUUUUUGUGUUGAGUCAUUUGGCUUGUACUUUAGAUUUUGGCAAUCCUUUGUGAUAUGCUAUCUCUGUUAUAGGGCCUCAUGGUAAAGUUGGUUAUGUUAUGCUCUCCAUUUUGAUUACUUCUAUUAGGUUUUGUAGUAGAAGUCAUUCAACAAGAAGUUAGGAGUGAUAGUCUCACUCUUAUACCUGAAAACCCUAUAGCGUUGUUGAUUUUUUGAUAAAGGGUAAGCAAUAUAAAUGAACAAGGAAGCUUUAUAAAAAAAAAAAAAAGGGAAACUUAUAUACUAAAUCUGCAAUGCCGAACAGUCUCACGAUAAUUUUCGUAAUGCAAAAUUUAAAGAAUGAAAUUAUGUGAUCAUCAAGACCCAAUGCUUUGAAUUCACAUAUUGGUAAUCAAAAGACAAAUAACAUCAGAUAUAGUCUACAAGCUAAUGGAGCAAAGACCACCAUACACACUACUCAUAGAUCCUAAUUGUGAUAUCAACUUUUGAUAUUAUUAUUUCAUUUAAAACAAACUAGGGUACCGUAGGAAGUAUUUUCAUUGGUAAUUUGCUUUCAAACUUCUUGAAACAUUGUUGAAUAUGACACAUUUCACUUUCAUGACUAUUGAGACAUAGUUUGAUUAAGGCAAGGCUAUAGAAACAAAGAGCAUAAACAAUUGAGGACUUUGAGUAAUGACGAUUCAUUGCAUUACUCUUCUUAUUUCAUUAAUGUGAAAUUUUUUUAGGGUUUAGGGCUUUAAGUUUUUCUUUAUAAUUUUACUUUAUACCUAAAAAGUCAACUUCUUUUUCUCUUUUCCAAUCCUUAUUCUAGAUUUCAAACAUAUGUAGAGACAAUUUUUCUUUUUAUUUAGCAUCCAUCAAAAAAAUUAUGGAAUUGAAAAACUUGGUGUAUAUCAUAUAUUUUUGCUAAACCACAUUAGACUACGACAUAGAUUGAUAGAUUUGGUGUAAAUUUUGGUAUCAUGUUACUAGUAUUCUUUCAUAAUGAUUGCUUGAGACUUAGGUGGUGUUUGUUUUUUUGGCUUUUUGCUAAAAACCAUUUAGUUUUAGAAUUUAGGUUGUUUGUUUUUUUACUUUUUCAUGACUUUUUAUAAACUUUUUACUAAAUAGAAAAAGCCAGAAUAUGUGGCUUUUUCUAAAUAAAAAAAAAAUAACACAAUGGUUUUUUUUACUUUUUAAUACUUAAUAGAAAUAAAAUACUACAAAAACAAACAACCUAAUAUUUAAUACUAUUAAGUAUUAAGGUUCUAUUUAGAAUUAAGUAAAAAAACAAACGCCACCUUAGUAAAUGAUAAGUUAUGAUAAUGGUUUUUUGAACUCCUUUAAUGGGUAUAGCAUUAUAUUCAUCUAACAUUAUAUUCAUCUAAUUGUUAGCACAAUGAAAUUGCAGGCAAGUAUGUAGUUGUGCUCUAGUGGAAGAUUUUUAUUUGAUUCUUGCCCCAGCUAUGACCACAAAUCAGAAGAUCCAAUUGAGAAGUGAUAAUGCAUUUUUCAUGAGUUUGUUUGAUUCAAAGUAGUUUAGCAUUCUGUAACAUGUGUUAACACAUGUGGAAUGUUAGCAUGUUAAAUGCUAGACAUUUUAGUAACCUAUGAAUUGAAUGUUAUAUAUGAUGAAAAAGCAAGUGUGAAACAAUUAAAGGAGUAUUUAGUAUGAAUAUGGUUAUUCUUUUGACAGUCAUCUCAAAACAACAAAUCAUUAUAUCAUUUUGGUUUACUUGUAUUUUUUAAUCGGUGAAGGUGAAAUCAAAUAACUCAAUAUAUAGAAAUUGUAAGGUGCAUUUCAUUCACUUCUAAGAUGAGAUUAAUAGGUAAUGUUAUUUUCAUAACAAAAGAAGGGUUUAUAAUUUACAACUCAAUUUAUAUAGCAAAUACUAAAAUAGAAAAUGAAAUAAAAGAAAAAGUAUAUAAGAUAAGAGUGAUUUGAAAAAAUAGUUGAAGAAAAUAGAUAACGAUCUUAUACAAAAAUACUAUAUUGAUUGAUGCAUUAUUAGGUAAUAAGUUACUACAUAUGUAUAAUUUAAAUUUUAUAAUCCAUAUAUUUCUCCAAAUAUGAAUUAUUAUUAUUAUUGUUAUUAUUAUUAUCAUUAUUUUUAAUUAUCAUUAUUUUAUAAUUAUGUUUUCAUUUGAGUCAAAAAUGUGAUCCUUAAAUACUUGGAUUCAAUGACUAUUUAUAUACAUAUCACAUUUUUUAUAUACUUUUGUAUUCAACACAUAUGUUGAUUUAAUAACUUAUUUUGGUAUAAUAUCUUCAUAAAAUUUAACAUCAUAAUAUUUUUUUUAGAUAAUAUAACAUUAAUUUAAAAAAUAUUUAAUGUAAUUAAAUGUUAAGAUUAUAGAGCAAUGCCUAACUAGUCAUACACAAAAUCAAUGGUGCAAAUUUUUUUACACUCAACCAUGCUCACAUUUGUAAGACUAUAAUCCAUGCAAAAGGAUCCUGUAAAUCAAAAUCUAGUAUAAUCAUUCAACCUCUCAUAAAAUCCAACCACUAAAGGUUACAUAUAUGAUUCAAAUCAAUAUAUUAUUAUAAGAAAUACAAAUUUAUAUUUGAAUAAUGUAUGGAUUGAAGAAUCUAAAAAUAAAUAUAUUUGAAUAUUAUAUAACAUCAUCUAAUCUAAAUUAACUAUAUAAUAAAAAAAAAAUUAAUCAUAAUAUUAAGAGACAAAAAUAUUAUGUUGUUGGAAACUAAACAUGAGUGACAAACAAAUUGUCUCUAAAUUUCUAUAAUAUUUUUUAAUAACAAAAAAUUCAAUAACAUAUUUCAUCACUAAAAUGUAUAUUUUGAAACAAAAAUUUUGUCACUAAAUGUCAAAUGUUGUCGCAAAUUAUUUUAUGAAUAAUUUAGUUGCACAAAUUUCUUCCCGAAAAUAUGUUUGGUGACAAAAGUUACAUUUUUGUCUCUAAAACUACUACAUGCAACAAAUAUUGUGAUGAUUUCUAAAUAUAGAAAUAUUUAGUGACAAUUUUUUUUUCUAUAGUAAAAAUUUGUCACUAAUUAUCCUUUUUCUUGUAGUGAAUUGGUAGAAUGAAGGACAAGGGAAUUCUAAAUCAGGCCUAAAAGGAGGAAGAGGUAAUAGUUUAACUCAAAAAAAUAAUAAAUCUCAUAUUCAAUGUUAUAACCAUAAAAAAUAUGAUCAUUAGAAGUCAAGAAUGUAGGGUUAGGAGACAUAAUAAGAGGAGCUUUCAAGCCAAUUGUCACAAGAUGCUUCAAAUGACCCUCCCCAUGGCUUAUAUAGGAGGUGAGAAGCUUCUAGAGACCCUUGGAGACAUCCACACUUAGCCACUAGUGGGAAGAGUGUGGAAGGUUCUAGAAAUGCCUAGAGAAGUCCACACAACUCUACACUAUGGUAGAAGGCAUGAGAAGGGUCCAAAGCUUUCUAGAGAAAUCUAGAAGUCUCUUGAAUAUUCUAGAAUAGUGUAGGACAUUCUAGAAUAUUCAUGAAUUAUAAGGAACCCUCCAAGGUUCUAGAGAGUUCCAUUGGUGCCUAUAAAUAGGUGAGGGCCUCAUUUGGCCAAGGCACCAAGCAAGUGAGCAUCCAAGCACUUGUAAAGGUUUCCUUGAGUUAGUGAAAGCUUCCAUUCUUUCAAAAGUUGCCUACCAAGCUUCUUAAGCUUUUGAGUCGCAAGUGUCUUAGCCAAGCAAGCUAAGCAUUGGGGAGCAAGGCUGACUUAGCAAGAUCAAGCGUCUUGGCUUGUCUAAGUACCGCACGAGCUUAGUGAACGACUAAGUCCGUGACAAGUGGUAUCAGAGCGCGGUUACAAGGUGGGCAUAGCAAAGGAAGCAUGUCGGGCUCUAACGUGGAGGAGAUUAGCAAGCAAACCCGUGGGAGGGAGACCGAGCCUACUGCACGGGGCAGGGGCAAGAAGGAUAAAUCUUGUGAUGUCGUCGCCAACAUGGAGGCAAGGUUAGCCAAGGUGGAGCUAGCCAUGACGGACACUCGGGAGGGGUUGGACUUGAUCGAGCAAGGCAUGGAGAAGGGCUUAGAGGAUCUAAGGGAGCAGAUCCAAGACCUUCGUGAGAGGGUGCUAGUCUCACAGGUUCAACCAGUGUCGCACGAGGAGUUUGUGUCCUUCCAAGGAAAGGUCUUGAGCAUGCUUGCUAGCAUGGAGUCAAGGAUAGAGGCCUUGGCCACUCGAAUGGAGUCCCGAGACCAGGAGGUUAGGCAAGAGUUGGCCAUCUAUAAGGCUGCUGUGUCGGCACGGGUCAUGGCCACACAGGAGGCAUCUAGGGUGGAGGUGCCGAAGCCACAAGGGUUUAGUGGCAAUCGGGAUGCCAAGGAGUUGGAUAACUUCUUAUGGCAUAUGGAGCGAUACUUUGAGGCUAUCGCAUUGACGGAUGAGGCGGCUAAGGUAAGAACUGCAACCCUCUACCUUACUGACACAGCUACUCUAUGGUGGCGUCGAAGGUUUGCCGAUAUGGAGAAAGACAUUUGCACCAUAGAGACGUGGGAAGACUUCAAGAGGGAGAUCAAGAGGCAGUUCUACCCCGAGGACGUGGCUUACCUGGCUAGGAAAAACAUGAGGCGUCUCAAGCACAUAGGUUCGAUACGCGACUAUGUCAAGGAAUUCUCUUUGCUCAUGCUUGAGAUUCCUAACAUAACUGAAGAGGAAUUGCUAUUCAACUUCAUGGAUAACCUGCAAGGGUGGGCCGAGUAGGAAUUAAGACGCCGAGGUGUUCAAGACUUAGCCACUGCCAUGGCAGUAGCAGAGUCUUUAACGGAUUAUAAGAGGGGAGACUCCUCCAAGGAUGAGUCUUUGGAGGAUAGCCACGCCAUGGGUGGGGGAGACGAGGUGCCAAGGGACCACAAUGCUCCUAAAAAUGGAUCAGGCAAGACGCCUAACGUCCGAGAAGGAAGGGGUAAGGCGGAAAGGAAGGAGUUCAUGCCUAAAAUCAAAUGCUUCCUAUGUGACGGUCCACAUUGGGCACGGGAUUGUCCAAAGAGGAAGGCGCUCAGUGCCAUGAUCGAGGAGAGGGAGCAGGAGGACGAAGCACAUAUGGGCUCAAUGCAGCUACUAGGUGCCCUCCAAUUCAACCCGAAGCCUAGUACGCCUAAGACCUCCUUACUAGCAGGGGUGCAAGUAAAGGAGGAAAAAGGGGAGCGAGCUGAGAGAGCCCGCACACACAUGGAAGAGGUCACCGAGGGAAAGGUGAACUCAAUGGGUAAGAGGAAGCAGCACUCUAAGCAUCGAAAGCGCACGGGUCUGCAUCCAUCUGAGGCCUCACGGGAGAAGGAGGUGAAGAAUAUCCUAGCUGAACGGGUCACUAGGAGACAAGGGGUCCCUCCUGUGAUAGAGUAUCUAGUCCGAUGGAAAGGACUACCUAAGAGGCAGGUAAGCUGGGAACAUGCGGAUGCCUUGAGAAGAUUCUGGAAACACAUCGAGAGGUUUCAGAAUGAGGCAACGACGAGGACGUCGACGGCUUAGGUGGGGGAGAGUGUCACAAGAUGCUUCAAAUGACCCUCCCCAUGGCUUAUAUAGGAGGUGAGAAGCUUCUAGAGACCCUUGGAGACAUCCACACUUAGCCACUAGUGGGAAGAGUGUGGAAGGUUCUAGAAAUGCCUAGAGAAGUCCACACAACUCUACACUAUGGUAGAAGGCAUGAGAAGGGUCCAAAGCUUUCUAGAGAAAUCUAGAAGUCUCUUGAAUAUUCUAGAAUAGUGUAGGACAUUCUAGAAGUCUCUUGAAUAUUCUAGAAUAGUGUAGGACAUUCUAGAAGNNNNNNNNNNNNNNNNNNNNNNNNNNNNNNNNNNNNNNNNNNNNNNNNNNNNNNNNNNNNNNNNNNNNNNNNNNNNNNNNNNNNNNNNNNNNNNNNNNNNNNNNNNNNNNNNNNNNNNNNNNNNNNNNNNNNNNNNNNNNNNNNNNNNNNNNNNNNNNNNNNNNNNNNNNNNNNNNNNNNNNNNNNNNNNNNNNNNNNNNNNNNNNNNNNNNNNNNNNNNNNNNNNNNNNNNNNNNNNNNNNNNNNNNNNNNNNNNNNNNNNNNNNNNNNNNNNNNNNNNNNNNNNNNNNNNNNNNNNNNNNNNNNNNNNNNNNNNNNNNNNNNNNNNNNNNNNNNNNNNNNNNNNNNNNNNNNNNNNNNNNNNNNNNNNNNNNNNNNNNNNNNNNNNNNNNNNNNNNNNNNNNNNNNNNNNNNNNNNNNNNNNNNNNNNNNNNNNNNNNNNNNNNNNNNNNNNNNNNNNNNNNNNNNNNNNNNNNNNNNNNNNNNNNNNNNNNNNNNNNNNNNNNNNNNNNNNNNNNNNNNNNNNNNNNNNNNNNNNNNNNNNNNNNNNNNNNNNNNNNNNNNNNNNNNNNNNNNNNNNNNNNNNNNNNNNNNNNNNNNNNNNNNNNNNNNNNNNNNNNNNNNNNNNNNNNNNNNNNNNNNNNNNNNNNNNNNNNNNNNNNNNNNNNNNNNNNNNNNNNNNNNNNNNNNNNNNNNNNNNNNNNNNNNNNNNNNNNNNNNNNNNNNNNNNNNNNNNNNNNNNNNNNNNNNNNNNNNNNNNNNNNNNNNNNNNNNNNNNNNNNNNNNNNNNNNNNNNNNNNNNNNNNNNNNNNNNNNNNNNNNNNNNNNNNNNNNNNNNNNNNNNNNNNNNNNNNNNNNNNNNNNNNNNNNNNNNNNNNNNNNNNNNNNNNNNNNNNNNNNNNNNNNNNNNNNNNNNNNNNNNNNNNNNNNNNNNNNNNNNNNNNNNNNNNNNNNNNNNNNNNNNNNNNNNNNNNNNNNNNNNNNNNNNNNNNNNNNNNNNNNNNNNNNNNNNNNNNNNNNNNNNNNNNNNNNNNNNNNNNNNNNNNNNNNNNNNNNNNNNNNNNNNNNNNNNNNNNNNNNNNNNNNNNNNNNNNNNNNNNNNNNNNNNNNNNNNNNNNNNNNNNNNNNNNNNNNNNNNNNNNNNNNNNNNNNNNNNNNNNNNNNNNNNNNNNNNNNNNNNNNNNNNNNNNNNNNNNNNNNNNNNNNNNNNNNNNNNNNNNNNNNNNNNNNNNNNNNNNNNNNNNNNNNNNNNNNNNNNNNNNNNNNNNNNNNNNNNNNNNNNNNNNNNNNNNNNNNNNNNNNNNNNNNNNNNNNNNNNNNNNNNNNNNNNNNNNNNNNNNNNNNNNNNNNNNNNNNNNNNNNNNNNNNNNNNNNNNNNNNNNNNNNNNNNNNNNNNNNNNNNNUCCAAAAAAUGACAUGAGUGGCAUGAUGGACAUCCAUGGAUCAAUAAAGAUGUGAAGCUCAACCUAUAAUAAGAGUUGUCAAAGCAUUCACUUGAUCAUAGAGUACAAAGAAUGGAUAUUAUGCAAGUUUAAGCAUCAAAAGAAUUUCCACUCUCAAAAGAUCCAAAUCAAAUUCUUCCACUAAAAUCUAAGUGUUAUUUAUUAGUUUCCGGAUAUAGUAUGUCAAACUAAUCUUUCCCCUCAACCUAGUUCUUUUCAAAGCUUAGCAAACUAAUCAACCUCCAAUAGGCUAAGAACGCACCUCUUUUCUUUCACAAUUUUUUCUUGUAGGAGUGCAAAGCUUAAAGGCAUUCUUUUCUAGAUUGUCCAUGUAACGGGGGUCCAUCGAUGACUCCCAACCAAUCAAGGUUUAGGGCAUCAAGCUUUAAGGAUUUUUCAACCACUAACUCCUCGGAUUUCACCCCGGACUUUUGAGAAUGAAUUUUUAAUACCCAAGCACCUACAACAUGUUAAACUCCACCUAUUCACCCUUGUAACGAGCAUUGAGGUCGGUGACUCCCAACCAAUUAAGGCUUAGGGCACCAGGUUUUAAAGAUUUUCACCAUAUACCCCUUAGACCUUGCUCGGGUUUCAAGGCAAGCAAACAUUUUUCUUUCUUUCUUUAUUUUCUUCAAAGACUCAUUUGCCUUUUACAAGGUGUCCCAACACUAUUAAAUGAGGUCAAAGGUACCAAGUCUAAAAUUUUCCUAAGUCAAGAGGGAAAUAGUUUUUCAUCUUAUAAACGGAACCUAGUGUGCACGGUGUGUGAUAAUAGCUUAAGGUGGAAGAGAUAAGUUUGCAUGCAAUGGGAGUUUCAACAAUUCAUCAACUUUUAGAAGAGCAUAAUACAAACUCUAAGACUCAUGUAAUCAAGUUGAAACUCGACUUCUCUCAUUUAAUUUUGAGAGUUAAUCCUUAAUAUCCAUGGAGUUUAAAGCAAAAAUUUUAAAAAUUUUAAAAAGUAGCUAAUUUAACUAAGUAUGAUAAAAAUUUAAACUAAUACUUACUUCCUCAUCUCUCCCCCCAACCGAGAUGAACAUUGUCCUCAAUGUUUGAAUCGAAAAUAAGGAUGAAGGAAGUGGUACCUCAUGUGAUGUGGACUUGGAGUUGGGAAGGUUGAACCACUUGUUUCAAAAUUCAAAAAUUGAAUGAGAGAGGAAUUUAUACUAAAUAUUUACAAAAAUGAUGAGUGGGCCCCACUUUGAGCAGCUGAGGACAAGGCUCAAAGGGUCCAUGCCAUGAUGGUAUACUCAUAUAAGUUGCAAUGACAUUUGAAUGUAGCUUGCAGGGUGUUAAAAUUGGAGAUUUUUGGCUAAAACAGGGGAAAACAAAGGAGGAGUGAACAGUGAGUGCCAAAAUUGGCACAGUCACUGUUCACCUCCUUUGAAGCCCGACUGUGCGUUUUCCAAGUUUUGGGAAAAAAUUCAAAAAUGGUUUUUGAAAAGGUAUGGUUAGGCUCUAAACAAGAUUCCUAAGGUGUUUGGGUAGUUUUUAAAUGAUGAAAAAAAAAAUUAAAUGAUGGAAAAUGAAAAUCAAAGUGGACGACCAUGCAUGGAAUGGUUUUGAAAUUCGAUUUUUAAAAAGUUUUGGAUGGAUGGGAUUUGAAAACAAAAGGUUUGGAAAUGCAUUCAUGAAUUUUUAAACUUGGAAAAACAUGGAAUUCAAGAAAAAGGCCUUCCCGAGAGCUUUGUUUUUAGAAAUUAGCUUGAAAAUCAUUUCGCACCAAGAUAAACAAGGUGCGAAAGUUUUCGCACUGGUAAUUGAGGUGCGAAGAUAGCAUCCUGGGAGGCUUGGCUUUCCAAAAUGUAUAGAAAUUCCUUUUCGCACCAUGCACUAUCACUGUGCGAAAAAUUCGCACUGAGUGUGUUCAUGGUGCGAAAUUCCACUGAGAGCUUUGCUUAUGCAUUUUGGCUCCCCUGUUUCCUCUGUUUCACCUCCAUUUCGAUUUUUGCAAGCAUCGUACCUGCAUGAACACUUCAAAACUCAUCUUAAAACCAUAUUAAAACUAAAUUAAAGCUAAGAAUUCAAACUAAAACAUGCAUAAAUUUAAAGAAAGCAUAGAAUUUAAAUGAAGCUGAUAGCAUGUACCCCAAAAAGAAGAUGAACUAUUUAGCUCAUCCUCACUCACACACCCACUUCAUGCUGAAUUCCCCCUGGAUCCCAAACAAAAUUGGCAUCAUUCCCAUUUGGUCCAAGGGAAUUCAUUUCUCUUCUCUUCCCUGGAGAAGUGGAUGCUUUAAAGGGUUCAGGUAACCCUUUAUCAUCUUGAACCUUAUGAUUUUCAAUGGAAGGUUGGUUCAUAGAGUUGUCAUAGCAAUCCCCCACCAAAGUGUCGAUCUUCAACACUUUCCUUGAUCUUUUUGCAUUGGUUCCUUGAAGGUUAUGGUGGGGUUGAGGAGGAAGCUUCCUUUUCCCCUUUGCUAUGUCGAGAUUGGUGAGCUUCUUAAUGGAGUCUUGAACUUUUUCUAUCCUUAGUGAUAGAUCAUUAUAAACCCCCUCCAUUCUUACAUUUAUUGAACUCUCCAAAUUAUCAAUCUUUUCAUUAAGAUGAGAGUUGAUCUUUUGUUGCUCACCUACAAAGUCCUCCAUGACUUUGCUUAUCUUCAAAAUGGCUUGCUCCAAUGAAGAUGUACUCAUUGAUGGUUGAGGUUGAGGUUGGGUUGCAAGGUUGGGAUGGUUUAUAUACUCAAAUGAAGUUGGCAUGGCUUGUGGUUGUGCUUCAGUAUGCAUAUUCCUCAAUUCAAACUCCUCUAUCCUUCUAGCCAUAGAUGCUAGCUUUGCCUUCAUGCUUAUGUCUUCAUUCAAGACAUACUUACUACCCCAUUGGCUUUGUUGAACUUGCCUUUUCCCUAAUUCAAUCCGAUCCCUCAUGGAUAAGUAUGCAAAUUUGUCCUUCUCAUGAUCAUAAUGAGAGCUUUGAUCUUCAUGUGGAAUUUCCAUUUCUAAAAAAAAAUGAUAUUCAACUAAGGUUCUUUUCUUCAACUUGUACCAGGGUUCCCUCUUGGUCUCGAAUCCAACAAGGAAUGCACAAAUUGAAAUUGAAACAAAAAUAAAAGAAAAGAGAAUGAAAAAUUUAACUAAAUAAAAACUAAACUAAAAAUGAAAGUUAAAAACUAAAAGAAAUUUAUCUAAACUAAGUUAAAAAUGUUCUAAAACUAAAAUAAAAAGUUAGUAAAUGAAAAAUGAGAUAGAAUUCACCUCACUCAUGAGAAGUCUCACAAGUUACCUCCGGCUGAUAUAUUCACAGUGAAGUAGCACCUUCCCCGGCAACGGCGCCAUUUGAUAACCCGACUCUUGGUAGCUUGGCAUGUAAGGGUAUCAACAAAAUUUAUCCCUAAGGUCCUUACACUAAAGUAGCAAAGCUACUAUAGCAUAGUGGCUCUAGGAUCGAACACUGGGAAGGGUUUUUACUUUAACUGGUGAAGUUCGGAGGAUGGAGUGAACUUUUCUUAAUAAAAAUUAGGUUAAGAUGAAAACAUAAAAAGAUGAAGGUGUUGUAAACUUAAACUAACAUGAAAAUAGGUUAAAAGAUGGAAAAAGAAGUUUCUCAAAGCUUUGGAUAGCCAUGCUUAACUCACUGUGUAAAAAUGGAGAUUUUGGGACUUUUCACCUCGAGUUGGGGAAGCAACUAAGGUGAUGCUUACUUCCCGAACCGGUAUGAGUUUAACAACUGAGUUUUAGUCCUUGAAAACUUACAAAAAGGGUAGCUGAACCUCAUAAAUGCCCUUUUAAUGAUAUAGGUCAUCUCCUCGACUUGCAAUACAAUGGCUCGUAGGAGAUAACUAAUGAACGUCAGUGGAUCUAACAAUAAGAAUCCACUGAGACCAAAAGAUUAUCAAGUAUUGGCCAUUCAAAGCAAGUCAGAGGGAUUAAAAGCUUUACUUUGAAUGAAAACAUUUAUGACGCUCAGCUACUUACAUUUAUGGCUUGGAAAUCUCCAUCCUGACACGGGAGCUUCACAUGGCAUCCAUUACUUCAAGAAACUAAAAGGUUUUAGCCUCUCAUCCUUGGGGAUUUCAUCCCCCAAGGAUGUUUGGCUACUAAGAAAAUGAGAAAGAAAAGAGAAAAGAAACGUAUGAACAAAAGUGCUCUUAUAACUUAUAAAGUUACAGGUUACAAGAUUAGAUGAUCUGAGGCUCUUCACCUCUAUUUAAAGACAAUAACAAGCUAAAUUACAAGAGCUAUUACAAAAGCAACCUAUUCAUUGGUUGAUUACAAGGGUAAAAUAGGUAUUUACAAAGCUAAAAAUCAAGCAAAAUAUCUUGGAGAACCGGUAGUGGAAUAACAUCAACAACGUCUCAAAACAGGGGAUUCAAAGGAAUUUCGCAAUGUGCCUAAAUCCUCCUUGCGAAAUUUUCGCAAGGUGUUUCUUCAUGGUGCGAAGUGGCAAAAUUUCGCACCAUGAAGAAAAUCUCCUUGCGAAAUUGGUCAUUUGACAUGAUGCAGUUGCCUUCCAAAGGCUAUAUCUUCCUCAUUUCAGAUCCAAAUCAUACACGGUUUGAAGCGUUGGAUUCUUGACUUCCUAAGCUUUCAAAUGGUAUAUAGCAUGUAAAAAAUGGACUUCGGGAAGUACUCCAAAAGUUCAAAGGAAGACUGCAGCUGUUUUCUUCACUCUGUUUUCCUCUUCUCCAUUGCUUGUGCUCGUGUUUCCACUUGAAAUUCAAGCCUAUAAACGUACAAAAUCCUUGCUUAACUCGCCCAAAUAGCUCCUCCAUCAAUUGGCAUGCUUGAAUUGGUUCUUAAGCUGAUAAAAACAUGUAAACUUGCCACAAAAUGGUUAAAACCAAUUACUAAGGACCUUAAUGAAUUAAUUGGGUUAAAUGAAUAUGAUUACUACUUAAAGGUGCUUAAAACCAUUAUAAUUAGAUCUACAAAAUAGCACUUUUUGGUAGUAAUCACUAAGUGCCGCACGAGCUUAGUGAACGACUAAGUCCGUGACACAAUGCUAUAAAAGGUAGUGGUGAAAAUUCAAAAUCCUUGCUAUUAGCCAAUGAUACUUGAAAGGAUGAAAACAAAAGUUCAUGGUUUCAGAUAUAAGAUGUAGUAAUCAUAUGUGUAGUAGGAAAGAGAUGUUUCAAUAGUACCAAUUAAGGGUAGAGUUAAGAUUUCUAUUAAAUUGAAGAAUGGAUUUCAAAAUUUUAUCUCUAAUGUGUUAUAUGUUCCAAGUCUUCAUCAAAAUCUAUUAAGUAUGCUACAACUUUCAGAAAAGGGGUAUGAUAUGUAGAUCUAUAGGGCAUCUGUACCAUCAAUGAUUAUUAGAAAGGACUAGUCACAAAGGUGAAUAUGACACAAAAUCGUUUAUUUCCAUUAAAUAUUAAUUGUGAAAAUUUACUUGCUUUAGUUUUAUAAUCGAUGAUAAAAAUUGGUUAUGACACUUACGUUUUAAACAUUUAAAUUGUGAAAGUCUAAAAUUACUUGUUGCUAAGAAGAUAGAUUUUUGGUUACCUUUUAUUGAUUCACCAAAUGAAAUUUGUGAAACAUGUGUUUUGGGAAAGAAAUAUGGAGAUCCUUUUCUUAUAGGAAAAUCACGGAGAGCUAGGAAGCCUCUCGAGUUGAUUCAUCUAAAUCUAUUGUCCAGCUGAGGUUCCCUUAAAUGGAAAUCAUAGAUAUUUUAUAACAUUUAUUGAUGAUUUUAGUUAGAAGGCUUAGGUUUAUUUUUUAAAGCAAAAGGGAGGUGCAUGUGAAAUUUUUUUUUUAAAAAUAAAGCUUAUGUGGAAAAACAAAGUGGGCAUAUCAUUAAAAUUUUGAGAACAAAUAGAGGUAUUAAAUAUAUUGUUUGUGAUAUUUUUUAAAAAAAAAUAUGGUAUUGAGCAUUAAUUGAUUGCAAGGCACAUUCCACAGCAAAACGAAAUUGCAGAGAGAAAAAAUAAAACAAUUAUAAGUAUGAUGAGGUGUAUGUUGCACUUAAAACAAUUGCUUAAAAUAUUUUGAGCCGAAACAGUCUCGUAUAUAAUCUAUUUAUUGAAUAGGUGUUCCACUAAAAGUGUUUAUGAAAAAAACCCAUAAGAAGUUUGGAGUCAUAAAAAACCUAACAUUGGUCGUCUAAGGGUGUUUGGUUGUAUAGCAUAUGUUCAUGUUCCUAAUGCAUUACGAAAAAAACUUGAUAAUAAAGGUGAAAAGUGCAUUUUUAUUGGUUAUAGCCAAGUGAUAAUAGACUAUAAAUUAUACAAUCCACAAACCAAAAUUUCAUUGUCAAUUAUGAUGUGGUUUUUUAUGAGCAAGUAGUAUAGGAUUGGUCCUCUAAUGGAAAAAGAAUAUCAAGUGUUCAAAUUCAUCUUGAAGAGUAAAGUGAAGAUUAAAGUAUGCAACCUACUAGUGCACCAAUUAUGACACCAUGUCUUGUAAAGUCAUUAAGGCAUCCACAAUGUCAACACAUUUUACCUACUUGCUUACAUGCUUAUGUGGUUGGUGAUGACAGCGACCCAACAUGUGAGGAAUUAACAAAUUUUCCUUUAUUUACAUAUUGUUAUUCAUUAAGUUGUGAGGAAGCUACUCAAGAUGAUUGUUGGCUUAAAGUUAUGGAUGCAGAAAGUCAUGCAAUUAAGAAAAAUAAUACAUGUGAGCUUACUAAUUUCCCUAAUUCUAAGAAGCCAAUUGGUAUCAAAUAGGUGUAUAAAACCAAGUAUUAGACAAAUGGAGAAGUCAAUCUCUUCAAGGCAAGAUUGGUGGAAAAAGGUUACAAGCAAAAACCAUGUAUUGAUUAUUUUGACGUAUAUGCUCUUGUUGCUAGACUUGACAUUGUUCGCAUGAUUAUCUCUCUUACUACACAAAAUAAUUAGAAACAUUUUCAAAUGGAUGUAAAAUUAAAUUUCUUAAAUGGCGAACUAGAAAAAGAGGUUUAUGUUGAACAACCUCAAGGAUAUAUGAUGAAAGGAAAAGAAGAAAAUGUCUAUAAGUUAAAAAAGAAAAAGCCUUAUAUGGAUUGAAACAGACACUAAGAGCAUGGUACACAGAUAUUGAUACUUAUUUCAAGAAGAAUGGAUUUCAAAGAUGUCCUUAUAAACACACUUUAUAUGUCAAAUCUAAUUUGCAGGGUGACAUUCUUAUUGUGUUUAUGUGUAGAUGAUUUAAUUAUCACUAGUAUUAAUUUCAAGAUGAUUGUGGAAUUCAAAGAGGUGAUGAUUAGUCGGUUUGAGAUGAUAGAUUUGGGAUUGAUGUCUUAGUUUCUUGGGAUUGAAGUAAUUCAAAAUAGAUACAAGUAUUUUUAUUUUUUAAAAGAAGUAUGCAAAUGAUAUUCUUAAAAAAUUCAAUAUGGAAUCUUAUAAUCCUAUUCUAACUCCAAUUAAAGAAAGAUUGAAACUAGGAAAAAGUAAGUAUGGUGAGUUAGUUGAUCCUACUAAUUUUAAAAGAAUAAUUGAAAGUUUUUGGUAUUUGACUUCUAUAAGACCAUAAAUUAUAGUUGGAGUUGGACUUGUAAGCAAAUUUGUAGUCUCCAUGUCAGUUUCACUUGCAAGUAGCAAACCAUUUCCUACAAUACAUUAAAGGUAUGCAAAGUGAUGGUAUUUUUUAUACAUAUUACAACUAAGGGUCUCCAACGGGCCGGGGCGGGCCACUGAGCCCGUUGACUGGUCAACGGGCCGGUCCGGGCCGGGCCCUUGAUAUAUCUAAGGCCCGUGGGCCCUCAAGCUGGGCGGGCUUGGCGGGCUUAGAGGGUCGGGCCUGGCGGGCCGGGGUAAAAAUUAAAAUAAUUUUUAAUUUUGAAGGGAAGGGGAUGGAACCAUAAGGGAGCUAGCCACCAACUGAGCUGACCCUCUUUUGUGUAACUAUUUUGCAUUAAUUAUAUAUAUAUUAGAAAUGUUGUAUGAUUUUUGAAAAAAAAUAAAAGUGAGUUGGUUGUUCAACGGUCACAUGACCGUUGAACAUGCCACUCAUAAUUCAAUUUCAAAUAUAUGACCGUUGAAUGGUGUUGAAAUUAAAAAAAAAAAAAAAAUUAAAUCCUAAUAUUUAAAUCCCUAUAAAUAUUAAAUACCCUCAAUUUUUUUCUAUUCUCUCAACUCUUAAGCUCUCUCUCAUUCCACAAUAUUUCCGAUUAUUGCAUUUUGUUCUCAAAUUAUUCAAUAUUAUUGGUGGUGAAAAACAAGCAUUGGUGGUUCAAAGAGUUCAAAUUUGAAGGAAUUUCUGCUUCGGUUCUCCAAUUUAGUAACAUACUUCACCUUUUCUUUUAUUUAUUUGUUACAUUUUAAUUUUACAUUUAUUAUUUUUAGUAUAAUAUUUUAUCAAUAAUUAUAAUUAUGGCAAGUGGUUCUUGUUCUUCAUCUAAUGCAUGUGAUAGCAAAAAAUUUACUUCAAAUAUAUGGAAUUUUUUUGAUAGAAUAGAAAUAAAUUUAGAAAAUAAUAAAAAAGAAAUAAAAGAAAAAUGUAAAAUUUGUAACAAACUUCUUAGUGGUGGCUCAAAUGCAAGUACAAGUCAUUUAAAAAGGCAUCAUGAAAAUUGUAAAACUAAAAAUAAUGUAGAUAUUAGAAAUUAUAUGCAAUUAGGUAAAGAUGAAAGUGGAAAUUUAAAAACAUUUUCUUAUGAUGAAUCUUAUUGUCGUGAAGAAAUGAUUGGUUAUAUAAUAAGAGCAUAACAACCUUUCAAUUUCACUAGUUCGCCAUCACCGCCAAGAGAUAAUGAUUAAAAUAUUUUACUAAAUGUAUGUCAUAUUUUUAUUUUUAUUUUUAUGGUUGAAAAGUACAAAUGAUUGACAAAUAAGUAGGUGCCAACCUAGUUGGGAUGUAUUUAUUUUGUAGUAAUGUAAAAUUUUCCCACAUUUUCAAAUGUUAUAUAUACAUUCAAUGAAUAAAAUAGUUAACAAUGAAUAUUUUUAUUAAUGUAACAUUUUCUAUUUCUUGAAUAUUUUUUUUAUAUAUAUAUAUUUUUUAAAGUGGCGGGCCUAUGGGCCGGCCCGAGCCUAAUUUGGGGCCCAUGGCCCGGCCCAUCCAGAAAUGGGCUCGGGCCUGCCGGGCUCGGGCCGGGCUUUACAUGUCUAAUAAUGGAACAAAAUGUGACUUACUGACUCCAUGCAAAUCCAUCUCUUAAACUUAACAACAAUCGUACCGUUAGCUCAGCAAGGAACUUGAGUGUUGCAUUUAUGCAGAAACUGUACACUUAAUUUGCGCUUUGUAUGCUUGUAUUUGAUGUUACAUGUGAGAUCUAGUGACUUAUUAGUUGUAAUAUGGAUGCAUAUGCAGGGCUUUAGGACGAUAUCGACCCAUUCUACAAUCUUCCCCUAGGGCCCCGAUUCAUAAUUUUGAGUCGUUACACUUCAUUUCAUAAGUUAUUGGACUUCGAUCAUGAUGCCGCAGACACAAGAAAGCGCUUGGCACAAAUAAUUAAUUUGGUUGAUUAAUACUCACUCUCAAGUGUCAUGAAGAAGUGGCAUAAUCAGGCCUCAGAUUAGGUGAGGGCGAAGGGCAAGGUCAUGUGCCCUUAAGAAAGUGUAUGGCAUAUGCUCUCCGUUAAAGCGAUGUGACGGACCAUGUAUAUGCAUCAACGCUCGGUUCACAUUGAGCGUGUGACCGCUUUUCUCAGGCCACCAUAAGCUUUUCUUUGGCCCGCAUUUACUUCAUGUAGCACCACAAACUUAAUAGGGUCUACUAAGCUUUCACAUUAAAGCAAGAGCAAAAUUCUUUUACCAUAGAACACUUUUUUUAAUCACAAAUUAAUUUACGGCAAAAUCCCAUAUUUGAGUUUCAAUGAUCUAGUUUAGGAAUUCCAUGGAUGUGACUUUCUAACUAAGGAAGUUGAAGCUAUGUAUGGGAAUGAUAAUUGACAAAGAGUACUGCGUACAAUAAAAGUCCACACAAGUGCAAGCUUUAAUCCAUUGUAUCAUUCACCACAUUUUUUUCCUUUCCUUUUGUUUGUCUUUUUGGGUUAUCGAGAAUGCCAUAAUUAGUGGGAAUAAAGGAGAGAAUAUAUGUUUGAAUUUUGUAUUGUCACGAAUGAAUGACUCAAUUCAUUGAAUGAGCUAGCAUCUUUUGGUCAUUCAACCUUUAUAUGUAAUGGUAGUUGUGUGGUAGAGUUGAUAAUUCUAAUUCAUAGGUUUAUGAAUCUAGACGCUUUGUUUGACGUACAAAUUUGGAAUUUGAUUUGACCAAUUUCAUUUAAUUUUUGUAAAAAAAAUAAUCUUCCCUAGGAUGUUAAGUAAUGUACCAAUGAUGCUUUCACAAACAUUUUUCUCAAUGUGCAUUACAUCCAAAUUAUGACGAACAUGCAAAUAUCUCCAAUACUCAAGUUCGAAGAAUAUGGACUUUUUCUUCCAACAAUUGGCAUAAGUCACAUUGGAUUUAUCAUGUCUUCCCCCUUUUUUCCCCCAUGGAUUACAAAUGACAUUCAUUUUCAAUAGUAUUUCCUCUCCACUUAACGGUUAUGGAGGUGAUCGAAACUCCUGCUCACCAUUGAAUGCCUUUUUAUGUUUUCUAAAAGGAUGAUUGCAUGGAAGAAAACGUUUGGCCUGUAAAUGAGUUCUUUCUCCCAUGCUUCAACCUAUGUCAAUAGGUUUCCGGUGUACAUAUUGGACAAGCAAAAUAUCCUUUGACUGUGCAACCAAAUAAGUUUCCAUAUGUAGGAAAGUCAUUUAUUGUCCAUAAUAGAACAACCCUUAAUGUAAAGACCUUUCUUUGAUAUGCAUCAUAAGCUUCUACCCUUAUCUCCCACAAGGUUUUAAGGUCCUCAAUCAAUGAUGCUAAAUAGAUAUCUAUGUCAUUGCCAGGUUUUUGUGGACUUGAUAUUAACAAAGAUAACAUCAUAAAUUUUCUCUUCAUGCACAACCACGGUGGAAGAUUAUAAGUGAUCAUGACAAUUGACCAACAAUUAUACCUGCUGCUCAAGGAACUAUGGGGAUUUAUGCCAUCUACUGAAAUGGCAAGUCUAAGGUUUCUAGGUUAUGCGGCAAAAUCAGGCCAUCUAUGGUUAAUUACCUUCCAUGAUGGCGAGUCAGAUGGAUGAUGCAUUUUUCCAUCAAAUUCUCCACCUUGUGCAUGCCAUAUGAGGUCUUUUGCGAUUUUUGAGGACCGAAACAUUCUUUUAAAUCGUGGGAUAGGUGGAAAAUACCACAUCACUUUAGCAGGAACUCCUUUACUCUUUUUAGUUCCUCUUCUAUUCACCUUCCACCUUGAAACUCCACAUGUAGAACAUGAAGAUGCAUCUUUUAACUUAUUCCUAAAAAGUAUGCAAUCAUUGGGACAUGCAUGUAUUUUUUCAUAUUCCAUUCCCAAUGCAUUCAAUGUUUUUUUUUGCUUCAUACAUAGACAAUGGCAACUCAUUGUUAACAUGCAACAUAUCACCAAGUAAGCUUAAUAGCUCAGAGAAGCUUUUAUCAGACCACCCAUAUCUUCAUUUUAGAUUAUAUAAUUUAACUAAAGCAGAUAAUUUGGUGAAGUUUUUGCAAUCGGGAUACAAAGGUUUUUCAGCAUCUUCAAGCAACCUUUCAAAUAAUUUUGGAUUAGCCUUACAAUCAUCUUGUGCAGCUUCAACCAUUUCUACUGUAUGAUCCUCAUUACCAAUAUGAAUUCUAUCAAAACAUUCAACCCUUAUAGUUGGGGGUCCACUACUUAGAGCUACCUCCCCAUGCCAAAACCAAGUAUGGUAACUUUGGCCAAUUCCAUAAAAGAAUAGGUGUUCUCUAAUCUUUUGAGGAGUAUUGAAUAUCAAAUUUCCACACUGUAGACAUGGGCAUUUGAUGGAGUUUUGAUGUGCAGAAUUUUGAACUGCAAAUGAAAUAAAAUUUUCAACCCUAUCCUCAUAGUCUUUUGAUCUUCUAUCUUUUGAUAUCCAGGAACGAUUCAUUUGCCUAUAAUAGGUGAACUCAAUUCCUAUAUAGCAAACAUGAACAAACAAUGGAAAUGGAAAAGACUUAGAAACGUUACCUUUAGAAAACACUCAAAACUUUUAGUUUGUCAUUUGUGACAUCCAAAAUUUCUUUUUAAUUUUCUAAGGACAAACAAUUAGGAUUCAGAUGCAAUAAAAAAUUUGAAUCCCAUCCUCAAUAAAAAAGGAUUAACAAUAUGACAAUAGAACCUUUUGAUGCAUGUUUUUAUGCCUUUUAACAUGUCCAACAUGUCCAACAUCCAAAAUCGGGUAGUAGUUCCUAUCCCAUGUAGGAAUACAUAAUCCCUAUGUGUUAACUGCCAAUAUACUCAAUUUCAUUUUGAAGAAAUUUCGGUAGCAUUUCCCCAUAGUUCUCCAAGUACACAAAAUGAACAAGGUAUAAUAUGUGACCUUGUUCAAAUAUGCACCCAGAGAACAAGAGGAAAUUAAAGACUACCAAAAUGUCUAAAAAGUGAAUUAAGCACAAACAAUUAACUUCAUAGAUAUUAUGUUUUCCUACACUGUCCAAUCGGACAAUUCAAGCAUCAUUGAAAAAAAAAUAUCUUUAUCACAUUCUAGACAAUUUAAAAGUUGUCAACUUGAAAGUGGCUUGGAUAAAACCUUUUUCACCUUUGACAACUUAAAUGUCUUUAGUAUGUAAUAAGAGAAACUUUUUAUCUUACAAUGAUAGUUGAAUGGGAACUCUAAGGUUUCAUGCAUGCAUGUUUGAUUAAAAUUAAAAUACAAUUACUUAUUGAAUAAUCUAAUAAUUAUAAAACACCUAAAGAUGUUCCAUAAUUAUUGGUAUAUUUCAUGUUAUCCAUUAACCAUUAAACAAGAUUAUUAUAAGAAAGAAUACGUAUGGCCCAUGAUUUGUGAAUCAAGUCACACCAGUCUAUGUCAUAGCCUUGGGUCAAAAUUUGGGCCUUGGUAUCAAAUUAAGCUGGGGAAUAACUUGUAGAAUUCAGGUACUCGAUAAGAUUUAAACAAAAUUUAAAAUAACGUCUCCAUUAUAUUCUUCUAACCACCUAAAGUAAAACUGGCAUUAUAAUUAAAAUAUGUUGGUCUGUAUAAAGAAAAAUAACGUACCUUUCUCAAUCUGUCUUUGUCUCAAGUCUUGCAUCACACACCUCUCGCAGUCCAAUGUAGGUCACUGUCCCUUAAAAUAUGUAUAUGUAAAACAAAUAAUAAAUAAAUAAAUAACAUAAAUCCAUUAGUAGAUAUUAACAAAUAAAUAAAAAAUAAAUUAAAAUAAGAAAAUAAACUAAGAAGAAAAGACAUAUAAGUAAGAAAAAAAUAUUUUCACACGUGCAACAAUGGUUAGAUAUUUUUGAAAAUUUAUAAAAUUAUUAAAAUCAAACUAUUUUAGUUAUUAUUAUUUUUAAAUGGUAAUUAAUACUCCUAUAAAAUAAAAUACAUGCAUGGUGAGAAAGCUAAGAAGAUUAUUCCUUGUGUCUCUUUUCAUUUGAGAUUCUGACUUUUGGUGAUGACUUAAUGGUGGGUGAAGUGUGAACCACACUGUCUGACCCGAGUCAAGUCCUUAGCUUUUGAAAGAUGGCUACAAGAUGGGUAGAACUUAAAUGAAUGAGAUAGAAAAGCCUGGUCUAAAUUAAGGUGGCUUAACAAUACCGUAAUCAUCUUGGCUAGGUUGUAUCAUAUAGUAAAAUAGACGUUACAGGCUAGGUCUUCAGCAUCCAGCAAUUCCACCCUUUGAUUUUUCCAACAAGUUACACCAUCUAAUAAUAAUACCUAUGAUCCUAUACCUUAGUUUUGAUUCCUUAUGUAUACAAAGUAUAUAUAGUUACACUACGUUAAACUUAUUUUUUUUUUCUCUAAAAAGUAAUGAGUGUAAAUUUUUAAAUUAGGCUAAUAUUCAUUUUUUUUCACUUCUUAUUUUUUAUUUUGAAAAUAGAAAAUAGUUACAACUCUUAUACAAAAUAUUUUAGUAUUUUUUGUUUUUAAAAUAGAAAGUUAGAAAUUGUAUUUUAAAAGCAAUAUUCUAUUUCAAUCCACAUAAAUCAUACAAGUUUGGAAAUAUUCCAUUACCAUAUUUUGAGUAAUAUUUUUAAAGGGUUAAUUUUAUUCAUUUCCCCUCAAGAUUUGACUAAAUAUAAUGGCCCUUAUUGGUUUAAAUUUCAUUAAAUACCUAUCUUACUUUGAGUGAGAGUAGAGUUGACCGAAAAAAAGAAAAAAAAAGAAUAGUAAAUAUGUUUGAUAAAAUUUCAAACUAAUGAAGAUUAGAUGUAUUUAGCUAAAAACUUAAAGGUGAAUGAAAUUAAUCUUAUUUUUAAAAGAUACUAUAUUUUUUGAAGUCUAAAAAUAUUCAACUACCAUAUAUUUUUAAAAAAGAUUGUAAUUUGGAGUAUUCUUGAAGCAUUGUAAACUACUUAUUUUCAAUCUAUGGAAAAACCUUAUGUAACUUUUGGUUAUCUCCUCAUCCUUAGUAAGAAAUUGGAAUUUUCAUAAUUUUGUAUUUGAUUUCUCAUAAUUUAGAUAUUUUUCCAUAAUUAUAUAUCAUUUCCUAAUUUUAUAUCAAUUAUUCUAAUUGAAGAUUAGUUUAAUAAGGAAAUUUCUAGAAAUUGAAAAAAAAAAAAUCUAAGAAGCUUUUAUCCAAUAAGGAAGACUUUUAUCAUUCAAGGGUUCUUAUAGAAUAAAUUUAAGGAAAUUAAAAUAAUUUUUCAGACUUAGGAUCCUAUCACAAAUUUUGGUAACCAAAUACUUGCAAUCCAAAAUUCUAAAAUUUACCAAAAUACACCUAUAAUAAAAAUUCUAAGCUAGGCAUUCCUUUUACUUAUUUAAUAAUUAUAAAUGCCCAAGCCAACAAAAACAAGAAUUACGAGACAAAUGCGUUCCUGACAAAUCAGACAUGGAGAACCCGUGAAAUCGUAGGAAUAGGGACAGUAGAAGGUGUACCCUUUCUUCUCAGGUGCCAUUGUCGGAUACCUGUUAAUAUAGUCUCAAGGUUGUCCACGAUUGUACGGUGAACCCAGUGAUACCAUUUCUAGACUAGGUUAUGCAAGUUGGCAAGUGAGAGCAAGGCAUAGAAGGCAUAUAGAAGGGCCCGUAAUGCAUCGGGCAACAAUACUGAUGCCAAUGAAGCCAAGGAGAGGGAACCAAAAAACAUCAUGGCAGUGCGGAGGAGAGCAACACAAGUAGGAGAGAGAUGAGAAGAAUGAAAGGUUAACUCAGUUCCGAAUGUCAAAACAAACGCCAGUAAGCUAGCAAAGAACAUCAUGGUGCUUAUAACAGGUUGACCAAUGAUAAUAGGAGGAACCAAACUCUUGAAAUGGAAAGCAAAGAACUGAUGAUGGUGACAGAGAACUUAAGAAAGCGUAGUCAUCCUGGACAUCUCAAGAAAUUAGAGUCUUAGACUUUGCAUUUUAUACGUACGUGUAGGUGUUUCUUACAAAAUUGAGUUCGAUUCUCUAAGGAUUAGAUGUUCUGUAGGCAAUAUUAUAUCGAUACGUCCAGAUUGUACAAGUCUUGUCUCUCUAGUCAUCAGUCAUCAUUCAUGACCCUGUAGGAGGGAUGAGGUGGACCAAACCAGGCCAGCUCGCAGGCUUGCAUUGAGCCAUAGUUACCUUCAGCCGGAUGGGCCCAAAUCUAGCCAUAUCCAAAAGAACAGACCAAACCCAGUUACUCACAUGUAAGGGCCAAAACAACUUUAAGGUCGGUGCUGGAACAUCACCUUAGCUACUCACAUGCUCCAAAUUACUCGUCCUCUUUUCUGUUAAUCGUGAAUGAGAAGCUACAAUUGACACUAGGAUGGUAAAAAAAAAUGUUAGAAAAACGAAAAUUUGGUUGAGAGGAAAAAGAUUGAUGUCUAUCAUGCUUUCGUUUCUAUGUGUCCGCAGACAAGUUUUGGAUUGGACUCUGACGUGCAGUCACCAAGCCCACACAUCUUUUGGAUCACGCAUGCCAAUUUCCACCCCAUGGGCUAUGAAAAUAAUUUAAAUAUGAUAAAUCUCUCUCUCUCUCUCUCUCUAUAUAUAUAUAUAUAUUGGACCUUCUCAAAGUGAACUAUUUCCAUAUGGACCCAUGGGACACGGGUCAAGAUACGGGGCGAGAUUGUGUGAGCACAGGAUUAGUCUCAGUGAGUGAACUUCUGAAGUAAGCCUCGGAAAUUCUUCAACUCCCCAAUUCACAUCGUAUGGUCCGAGGCCUAGGGUGGAAAAUGCAGAAGCUAAAAUGCCACAUGUUGUUUUUAUAAGUAGAGGAACCGAAGAACCCCUUUUAGAUUCUUUGUUUCCUUUACGCACAAAUGAUGAUUGAUGACAACACUAGUUGGGCCCCUUUCUUCGUUUCCGAUGAAAAAGAUAAGAAUAAAUAAGUAAAAAUUCUUUAAUUUUUUCAUCUCCCAUGUAAAACAACAUAUUUUUUUUCUCCGUUCCUUGGUUGCUUCCGGCUACAAAAACAGCGCCGUGUGGGCAUCGCCAGUGUUUCCUUUUCCCACGGCACCUUUAGGAGUUAAGGCAAUGAAAAAAGUUGAGAUUGGGCUUCAUCCUCUUUUAGUCCCUGUAGUGGCAGUUCGGGCUUUUCCUACCUCCUAAAGUAAAAUUUAAAUUGUGGAAAGUCUGCAGCCUGAUUCCAACCGAGCCAAGCCCAUAUAUUUUGGCCUAGUGCCUCAAACCUUGACUGCCCAACAACUAAGAUUCAAACCUAAGCCCACCAGAGAAAUUUUUAAAACCUGUCUUUUCCAAACAUGUCACUUCUUUGCCAGUUGUUCCCCUUUCAAUACCAUUUAAAAAAUCCCCCAUUUUGCAGCUUUCUCAACUGCUGCUUCUCCUUGGUGUACGAACACGGCACAUCCAUACCUACAGACGGCAGAGGCUGCACCUCCUUUCCCACCCUUGUGCUGCUACGUGAGCACCCACCACAUUAGCCCUAACCUCCAUCCCGAUCACCAUGCUUACUGCUACAUCUCCUUAGCACUACACAAGGCAAAAACAGGGUGACACUUCCCACCACAACUGAAAGGAGAAGUUGGAACAACCUACCACAACUUGCAAUGCACAAGGCAUAUUACUUCUAUAGAUGUUAUUUACACCAACCAUUUGGUUAUUUACACUAUUAUAUAACAACAAGAACAAAAAUGCUCUGUAUUUAUUCGGGAUACCAUUUCCCUGAUUUUGUCCUCCCAAAAUAAUUUCCCUAUCUAUGAAACAAUAAUAUCAGAUAUUUGGAACAAUAAAAACCCUUCCAUUUGUCUUCAUUUGUACUAAUCUAUUCAAGUAUGAGGAAAACAACAUUAGUUGAGAAAGAGAUUUACCUGUAACUAUGAUGCUCUAUAGUAGAUUUUCACAAUGGUAACCUCCCAUGCAUGGAAGUUAGACAUGACCAUUCCAAUGGAUUAGGCCAUUUUAGUGGUGGACUUUGCAAAGGGAAUAGAUUUUGGCAACUGAUGUGGAGUCAAAUGACUUUACAAGGGGAAUGGAUUAGGGCAUUUUAGUGGUGGACUUAGUGAGAGCUAUAGGGUUUCGGGGUUUCUUCAGUUCUAAAAUGGUGGAUGGAAUGUUUGGUGGGCACUUGUAGAAAGGGAAAAGCUUUUAAUGAAUAUAUAUUCAAAACAUAUAUAUAUAUAUACACUAUUAUUUAAUGUCACCUGAUAUAAGCACCAUGAAAUAUCACAACUAUGACAUUGCUAUAAAGUGUCAUGGCAUAACUAGUUAUUCUUAUAAUUAAAGGCCACAUCAAACAAUGAUACUUUAAAUAAGCGCCAUGAAAUAAAAAAAACUACUAUAAAAAAUGACCCUUUUGGAAAAACACCAUUGUAUAUCCCAAUAUAAUGAUACUUUAUGAAAGCACCAAGGAUUAAAGCGUCAUAAUUUUCCAUUUUUGUAGUAGUGAUCAAUCCCAAAAAUAACUUGAUCCAAACCAAAGGAAAUGCAAAAUAAAAUGAUUGUAAUAUGGAUAUUCACAAAUAUACGAAAUAAUUAAAGAAGUGGAACUUGAAAGAUGAGAUGCACCAAGUCAAACAACUAGAAAAUAUAUUUGCUCCCUGAUUUCUAUCGAAAACAUUUUUUGAUGAUCUUUUUUAACAGUCUUUCUCUUCAUCUUCUCAAACUCUCUAACUCUCUCUCAGCAAAGACUAAAAAUCACAACUAGAGAGAAAAAAAAAAAAAAAAAAAAAAACUCUUCUCCUUAUCUCUUUAACUUUCUCUUAACUUAGAUCCAAAAUUCUCUCGUUGAAAAAUCUCUUUCUAACAUUUUGUCAAUAGAGAUCCCUCGAAUGGCCAAAGAACGCUAACCUCCCAAUAGAAUACAUUUCCCAGAUUUUAUACAAUCUCUCAAAGACUCUAGAACCCUCUCUCUUCUCACGUGACCUAACCCUUUCACCCAAACGCAAACAUCUUGUACUUAAAAACCCGUUCCCUCUUUUCUUGGCCAAACAAGCCUUAGUUGAAAACUAAUUUUCCCGUCCCUUUUAUAUCUAAAAAUUUAAAAUACAAGCUUAAUUAUUAAGAGGAUAAAACCAAAAUCAUAAUAAUAAUAAUAAUACAAUCAAAACCAAUAAAAUAAUAAAAUGAAUGAAAUAAAUACAGUGAGCAUAGUGUGCAUGGCCAUGCAUGGCUUGCAAUGUUAAAGAACAACUGAAUGGUAUAGGGAAAAUCAUUAAAAAAUAAAAAAUAAAAUUGCCAUGUCCAAAUUUCUCAGCACACAUCAUUGACAUCUGAAGAGUCCAGCUUUGCCCACCGAAACUUGCUUUUGGACCACCAAUGGAGAGGAGCAUGGAGAAUCCAUCUCUGGCCACCUAAAAAAGCGAGAAUAGGUGAGUGAGAUUUGAGUUGCGUUUUAGGAAGAAGGGUAGGUUCCUAUGAUUUUUUGGGUGUGGUGUUCGGUUUAGAGAGAGAAGCAGCUUUGGUAGAGCAAUUGAUGGUACAUAGAUUGGAGAAGAAAAAAGCUUUGGUGGAGCAGUUGUGUUGCACAAGUUGAAGAACGAUGAAAAUGGGGUUUCGGUGGAGUUGAGGGUUGUGUUUUGUUUGGAAAAGAAACAUAAGCUUGAGUGGAGAUGUUGGUGGUGCGGGUUCUAUUAUAAAAGGAAGAUUGGGUUUUGAUGACCAUCGACAAUGAGGAUGGCUAGUGCACGGUUCUUGACAAAGGCUGGUUGUAAGAGUAAUGUAUCAAGCUAUAAGGCAUGGGUUAUGGCAACUAUGGGAUGAGCUAUCUUAUGACUAGGUUAUGAGUUGGUAGAGGACUCUUUAGGAAUGGCUAGGGACAACUACUAAAGACUAAGGAUAUGACAUGAUGUGAGGGGCUGCCAAGGACACCUUGUAUAGCUGUGGUGAAGUGGUCUUUGGGCAACUAAAAGAUGGGUUGCAGCAAGGGGAUUGGGGGUUGGUGAAGGCAAUAGCAAAGAUGUUAGGUUAUGGUUAAUAAUAAAAAUAAAAAAGAAAAGUUACGGAUGGUUGGUGCAUGAGUUAGUCAAGGUAGAAACGUAUCAUUAUAUUUUUUAAAUAAUCCAAAAGAUAGGCUUUUGAUAUAUCAAAGUGGCCUAAAUGUUAAGUAUAGAAUAAUUUAUGGAAAGAUAUAAGUAUUGUGUUUGUUAAAAAAAAAAUUAUUUUCAUUUUUGAAGUGUGAAUUUUGCUAGCUAUUAUGGACUUAAAUGUCUAUUUUUAUGUAAGGUUCAUGAUAUAUUUGUUUAUUAUAAAAAAUGUUUAUUUUUAUUUUAUAUUUGAAAAUAUGAAUUAGAUAGUCGUAACAAAAUCGAAUUUUAACAUAGCUAUAUUUUAUUUUUAUUUUUAUUUAUUAUUAUUAUUAUUAUUAUUAUUACUUUUUAUUUGGUUAUGAAUUAUUAAAGAAAAUAAAUAAAUAAAUAAAUGAGUAUUUCUGGUAUGUUUAUUAUUUAAGGAGACAACUUAUUUGAAUUUAUUUUAAAACAAUGAUUUAAUAUUAUUUUUUUAGUUUAUGGUUAAUGAUAAGUUCGAAUAAUCAAAAGAUCUUAAGCUACAAAUUCAAAGGUUUAUGUGAUUACAUUAAAGUUUCAUAGUUUAUCCUCUAAGAAGCUCUCGAAGAAGAAUCAGAGACUUUUCUUCGAUAGAGAUCACAAGUAUAAUGAAUGAAUCAUGGAUACAUGAGAAAUAAAUGAAGCAAAGUGAGCUAUGUCGAAGAAUAGAAAAAAUACUGAAAUUUUGCCCUAACACAUGACAUGGUAAAUUGAUAAGCAAAAACAAAGAGUAAGAAUGCGGAGACUAGGUAUGAGACAAUGUUGAAUCUAAAACAUUGGAAAAAAUAUACUAAAUGAAUUUAAAAGACACAAACAAGAGACAAAAGUCAUAGGCAACGAGAUCAUGUAAGUAGUCUAAGACGAUGAAUACUAAGAGGAUGAAUGACUUUGAAGACUGAAACAAAAAUACAAAAAUUCUAGACGUCAAACUAAAAACAUAGCUCUAUCCAUUAAAAGAUAACUCUGGUAGUUGAGCGACUCUGAAUGCUAAACUGAUAAAUGUGGCUCUAAAACCUAAUCUAGAAAACAUCUCUGAAUAAUGACACUGAAUGUCUUUGCUUUGAAAGUUGAUGAAUCGGCUGUAAAGGAGAGUGUAAUAAACAAACCCCUGAUCAAUCACAAGCUGUGAAAGUCCAUACUCUAAAUGAUGACACUGAAUGCCUUUACUCUGAAAGAUGAUAAAUCUGUCGUGAAAUUUGUGAUGCAUAAACCCCUGAUCAAUCACAUGAUUUGUGCUCUGAAUGAUGACAUUGAAUGCCUUUACUCUGAAAGUUGAUAAAUCGAUCAUGAAAGAGAAUGUGAUACACAAACCCUUGAUCAAUCACGUGAUUUGUACUUUGAAUGAUGACACUGAAUGCCUUUACUUUGAAAGCAUAGUUGUGAAAGGCACGCCUAGGCUCAGGGCAGCAUGACACCACCCUCCAAUGCCUCGCCUGAAGGGAGGGGACACCCUUUCACGAAGGCGCCGCUUAGGCGUGCAAGGCGGUCGCCUAAAUCACCUCCGACCAGGUACGCACUGCUUCUCCUUCUCCUUCUCUUUCUCUUUCUCCUUCUUCUUCUUCUACUUAUUCUUCUUCUUCUUCCGUCGGGUUGCAGAGCCCUAAUUUUUUAUUUAUUUUGUGAGUCCAAAACGACGCCGUUUUGGACCUUGUUCUUUUAAAUGAACAGUGUCCAAAAUGUCGUCGUUUUGUUCCUUUAUAAUUUUAAAGGAAUAGGCCAAAACGACGUUGUUGGAGCUUAUUCCUUUUUAAAAAAAAGGCCAAAACGGCGCUGUUUUGGCAUGUUUCUCCCUUCCAGCCUGAUUACUACUCAAAAAGUGCUAUUUGAUAGCCUAUAAUUAAUCCUUUUAAACACUUUUGAGUAGUAGUUUAGGCCUUUUAACUCAAUUGGCAUGUUAAAAAUCCUUUAAAGCAAUUUUAAUCACUUUGUGCAAGUUUUGGUGUUUUUGUUAGUAUUUUGAUCACCAAAGCAAGUCAAAUCUGAGGAGAGAUAUGAGGAAUCUUGGGCAAAGCUUAGAAGUCAUUUGCCAAGAGUGAAUCCGGAUUGCAAGGAGAAAAAAGCAAAGAGAAUCUGCCAUAAAGCAUGUUCUUGAUGACAGUCGUAGCAGCCACUUUUGGAGCACUUUCUGAUGUCCAAAUGAUGCAUGCUAUAUACCAUUUCAAAGCUCAGGAAGUCAACAAUCCAAUGCUUCAAAGGGUGUGCAAUUCGGAGUUGAAACGAAGAAGUUGCAGUCAUUACAAGCCAAUUGCUCCGAGCUGAAGGAAGCAUUUUGCAAAGUGUUGCGAAAUCACCCUUUUGUUGCGAAGUGAUUUCGCAGCAUUUUUGUACAGUAAGGUGUUUCUCCUUUUGACGAUGCACGAUUUAUGCCGCGAGAAGGAAGCUUGGAACCUCAAGGUGGAAGCCAACUUCGCAGCCUUGUGAAGAUAGCUUGGUGUUGCGAAAUUAUUUCGCAGCCCUCUUAGGUGUCUACGAAAUUUCGCAGACACCACUUUUCUCCUGCGAAAUGGUUCCUGAAGGCUCCCGAUUUUUGCUACCGACAUUGGGAGAUAUUUUCCAUUAUAUUUUUGUUGUCUAAAUCCCAAAAUACUCCUUGUAAACCACCAAUUACAUGAUUCCUUAGUUUUUAAGUUAGUAAAAAGACUAAAUAUCUAUGUAAUAAUUAGUUUUAUAUUAUGUUGAUAUAUAUACCUCUCGGGAGCCUGUUCUCGGGGAGGAGUUCCUUCUGUAAACGUUUGGGUAAGCAAGUAAAGGUCUUUUCUUUCUACUGCCUUACCUUCUCACUUUGUAUUUUCAUUUUCUUACUAAGUUAUGAAUUCUCUGAGGAGUUUUCCCCAGAGAAUGAGUAACUAAACCUCUAAUUCCUUGGAGCUAAGGUUGCCGGGGAAGGUUCCAAGUGCAAGAAUGCAAAGCUUUGUGGUUUUAGCUAGUAAUGAAGAGGAAGUGAAAUCCUUUAGUGAUUUCUAUGUUUUUAGUUAACUUAAAACACCUUAGAGUCACCUGGGCCAACACUUGGUAAGGCAAGUGAUUUCCAACCAUGGAAAUGCACUACUUUACCCCUUGCGAGCCUCUGGUAGGUGACUUCAAGGUAGGAUUUUCUAGAAUAGCCAACACUUGGUAAGCUUUUGGACUCCUAGGAGACAUCCAUUAGUUAUCUCUUGCGAGCUUUUGACGGGUAAUCCAAGGUUAAAGAUCACCUUGAAUGGUUAAGGCUUAGUGAGAGGCUUAAACCAUUGCAAAGUGCAUCAGUGAGAGAAUUAAAGUGAAAUCUAAUUGAAGGAGUCUCUAUACAUCACCGGUUAGAGAAUUGACUAUAUGUUGAAUCUCUAAAGCGAGGAAAUGAACCAUCUGACCAGAACCGUGUCUUUUGCAUGAGGAACCACCCCAGUGAACCUAAUUCUCCAAGGAAUGCUUUUCUUCCUAAAUUAUUCCAAACUUCUGUUAUGUUAGUUAGUUUAAGUCUAAACCUUUACCAAUCAAAGUUUGUGUUUUACUUCUUAAGCUAACCUUGAAAUGAAACAAGACCAAUUCACUUGGAAUUGGUAUCAUUGAUUGCUUGUUAGUCAUUCCCAGUGAACGACCCUAGAGCCACUCUACUAUAGUAGCUUUUUCUUUGCUACCCUAGUGUAUGGUGUUAUAGGUAAUAAAUUUUGUUGAUUACUCCCUCAAUCAAGGAGCACCAGCUGAACACAAAUCAGCUGAGACACCAAUUGGGCACGAAUCACAGCCCCCUUUUCUGGUCUUUCUUAACCUGAGACCACUCCCAAUCGUGCCCUAGCCUCAAUCGUGAUGGAGAAGUGAAGAAGAAGAAGAAGAAGAAGAAGAAGAAGAAGAAGAAAAAGAAGAAAAAUAGGGAAAAAUAGGAUUUGGAUAUGUAUUAGGCUAUUAGCAAUAUGGAUUUGGAUUUGUAUAUGUUUUUUGUUUAUUAAAUUGAAGUUUUGGUUGAUAUUUGAUGAUUUAUGUGUUUAGGAUAAAUAAAUGAUUGUUAAAUUUGAUUAUAUUAUAUAAAAAUAUAUAUGUAAAUUAGGGUGCGCCUCACUUCACUAAGGCCCGCGCCUUGUGCCUUAGGCUCCAGGACUACUUUGCGCCUUGGUGUGCCUUGAGCCUUUUAAAACUAUGUCUAAAAGCUGAUAAAUCCGCCAUGAAGAAGAAUGUGAUACACAAACCCUAGAUCAAUCACAUUAUCUAUACUCCGAAGGAUGACAUUAAAUACCUUUGCUUUGAAAGCUAAUAAAUCGGCCCUAAAGGAGAAUAUGAUACACGAACGCAUGAUCAAUCACAUGAUUUGUACUUUAAAUGAUGUCAUUGAAUGUCUCUUCUUUCAAAGCUGAUAAAUCGGCAUGUGAUACACAAACCCCUAAUCAAUCACAUGAUUUGUACCUUGAAUGAUGACACUGAAUGCCUCUGCUCUGAAAGUUGAUAAAUCGAUCAUGAAGCAGAAUGUGAUACACAAACCUGUAAUCAAUCAUAUGAUCUGUACUUCGAAUGAUGACAUUGAAUGCCUCUACUCUGAAAGCUGAACAAGUAAUGAACCCAACAACCUUAAGGUAUAGGAAAUAUACCCUAGUAUGCAAAGUCUAUGUAUUGUUAGUACAGUAAUACCAUAAUAUCUGGAUUGCUCUAAGGAUAGGCCAUCCAAAAAUACUCCAAGAGACCAAAGUGCCACUAGCUCAUCAAUACCUCAUCAAGAAAUCAGUAUGACCAAUCAGUCACUUAGGGAGACAACUCUACUAAGGAUCAUGAAGAAAUCAAAUAGUCAAAAUCAACAACCAUCAUCAUGAAACAAGGUGAAAACUAAUUUGAAACUAGCAAUCUCAAUGGAAAAAGGAUAUGCCUCAGUAUGGCAUUUGAUAUACAUAGCAGAAUGGGAAGUUAGACAACAUCUCUCAUCCAUCAUAAAAUCAAGCAAUCCUCUACAUCCAUCGCGAAUCAACUUUAGGCAUUAGAAAGCAUUCCCCAAAACAAGGAACAUGAUGAUGUCCAUACAUCAACCAAGUCCCAAGCGCUUGCCCAAGUAGAGACUGUCAAAGUUGACAUUUGAUCCUAUGGCCUCAAGGUGGUCUUAAGACAUGGGACGAAAUGUAGGCUAGGGUGAUAGGUAAAAAAAUGAAAGGAAACUAGGCUUAAAUACCCAAUGAUCAAGCCCAUACCCUCAUGUACAAAAUACAAUAUGUAUAGGAGAUCUCGUAAGCCGUGACCUUGAAGAUAUCUGGUGUGAGCAUCCAUGGGACAUAAAAGGUCUCAACAAAAUCAACGAUGAUAGAGAAAAAGUGAUAUAAGAGAGUAUCAAGCUAUAAAGGGAGAUGAUGUGAGAAGAAUAUCGAUCAUGGGAUGAUGAUGGAUAUGAAUGAAGGAUAAUGAAUAUAAGGUGCAUGAUGAUGAAUGUAAAGAAUAGAUAAGAUCCAAAGGAAUCAGAAGAGCUAUGAUCUACUCAAAAUAAGACAUGGAAAGUGAUCAAACCAUCGGUGAUUGAAGAAGGCAAUGAUUUAGAGUCUUUAGGAAAGAGUCACUCAUCUCUCAUACUUGGAACAUAUACAAGAUAAAUUUAAGGAUCACAAACUCUCGUGCACUUUCAUCAACUAAUGAACUCCACAUAAUAAACUCUCAAAUAUCUCAUACAUGAUCAAUUUCGUAAUACAUCUCAUGCACAUAUAUAUAUUUUUUUUCAUUUUUUAUCAUUUUUUUUAUGAUGGUAUGAACAUACUCUCGAACAAUGAUCUAAAAAAAGAUCGAGCUCUUUUUACUGAAUGACCCUCUUAACUAAGAUUCUCUAUAUCAAUGUCUAUGAGAUGAAAUGUAAGUGGUGAUAUGUUCAAUAUCCAUAUAAUGAAAUGUGAAAGAUCAUCACUCAAUAUAUGAGAAGAAACAAGAUGAAUCAAAUAAUAUGAAAAAGGUGAAACAAAGAACAUAAAAAAAGGAAAUGGGAAUGAAAUGGGAUAUCAUGAUAACAACAAAACAAAUGGGAGGAGUACAUCAAUAAUUCUAAGACUCAUGAAAUUCCUAAAUUAAGUAUAUGUACAUCAUAGGGUCCCAAGUAUAGAAACUAAAUAAGUUUAUUAGAAAGAAUAGGCUAUAAUGAUCAUGUAAGGCUCAAAGGGCUAGCAACGGUUUAGAUGUUUGAAAGGUGAUAGAGUAUAAACUAAUCGUAAUGAAGGCCACCCAUCAUAUGACCAUGGUCUCAAACAUAAUACUUCUUCAGUUGAUCUACAUAGGUUGGCUUUAAGAAUUGGUUUCUAUCUAGAUCUAUCAACCAUGCUGCACCCUCUAGAGUCAACUCUCUAAUGACAUAUGACCCACUCCAAGUCGGUCUAAACUUCCCUCUCAAGUCUCCAACCAAGCUUCUAAGACUUCUCAAGACCAAAUCUCCUUUCUAUAGUGGCCUAGGCUUGACCCACUUUCUGAAAGCACGAGCCAUCUUCCUCUAAUAAGCCUAAGUGUGGUUAGCUGCUCUCAAUCUGUUCUCAUCAAGAAGACUAAGCUGAUCAAAACAUGCUUGGGCCUAAUCUACCUAAGAUAUUUGUUGCUUAAGUGCUACUUGCAAAGAUCCCAUCUCUAUCUCAAUUGGUAACACUACCUCCAUUCCAUACACUAGAGAAUAGGGUGUGGCUCUUGUAAAGGUGUGAAAAGAAGUGCGAUAAGCCCAUAAUGCAAAAGAGAGCUUCUCUGACCAGUUUUGAGAAGUCUCAACCAUCCUCUGCAAAAUCAUUUUAAUAUUCUUAUUCGCGACCUCUAUUGCUCCGUUAGUCCGCGGUUUAUAUGCAAACGAACUAUAAUGUCGAAUGCCAUAUCUUUGUAACAAAGCAUCAACCUCUGCCCUAAAGUGUAUUCCUUUAUCAAGGAUAUCAACAAUAGUGUGGAAGGCAAACAACCUCAAUAAUUCCUAGGUGUAGACCCUCAAUUUUGUUCAUUACCACUUGCAUGUAUCUUGGUGGUGUCGUUUGCACUCAAUUCCUAUGUGUCACAACCAUGGAGCCUUUGCUGGGCUUAAUCGGUUCUCGGACCUCAUGUGAGUUCACCUAUGGUUCGAUUUAGUAUGAGCAUUUGGUCCAUUAUGAAGUGUCGUCAUGGUCGAUUCCUUGGUUCGUAUCAUUCUAUGGGAUAGAGGUUGAAGUCUCCGCAACCUUAGUUCAAUUGGAGACCAUGACAGAACACACUGGUUUGUUUUAAUCAUUUCUCCCUCAUCCAAGCUCGGAAUUGCUCACCAUUUUUUUGUUGGAUUCUUUGUUCCUGAAGGAACAUUCUAUUAAAAUUUGAGAAUUUUUCUCAACCAAUCGAUCGGAUGGGCAAUCGGCUUAACUGGUUCGACAAGUUUUUUUUUUUUUUUUUUUUUUUCAGGUGGUUGAUGAUACUGCUUGCAAACGGCUUUGUUUUUGGCAUUUUUGGUGCACUUUUUCUAGUUGGUUCAAGCCUUGGUGCUCUAGACAGGUUUGGAGAGUGGUUUUAGGUCCGAUUUGGGUCAUUUUGCAGGUGGAUUGUAACCCACCUUGAAUCCAUGUGGAUUCUUAGAGGGUAAGGAAUUAUGGAGUUAUGAAGGGCAACUGCCCACCUUGGGAAAGGGGGGAGCUAAAUGAGUUGGGGUUCCGAGGCUGAAGGUGAGGAUAAUCCAGAGCUGAAUGGGAAUGAAAAGUUGAGUUGAGGGAAAUGUGGCAUUUAAUUAAUUGAUUAAUGGAUACUCUGUCAUGGUGCCUUUAUAAUAUAUUUGCACGUUUGAGGGCACAUAAGCAUUGACAUGUUGAUUAUUUUAUAUAUAUGUUGCAUGUGCCUUACUAUAUAUUGACUCUUAUUAUCAUGUGUGUUUGUAUAUAUUGCUUAUGUUUAUAUAUAUAUAUAUAUAUUUUGUAUGAUUAUGUGUUGCAUGAUUACCCAUUUUCUUUAUAAUGCACGUUUUGUUGUUAUAUUCAGUUGCAAUAUUGACAUGUUGAUUACGUUGAUUGAUUCUUUUGUCUGCUUUAACAUAGCAACUCUUCUUGUUAUAUGAUUAUUUUGCUCUCCUUAUUAGGUAUAUUCUUAUUUUUGUAUAUCUAAUUCAUCUUAGCAUGAUUUAUUCUCUUUAUCAUAUAUUAUCUUAUUUGUCUUAACAUAUUGUUUAUUCUUCUUAUGUACUUAUCUUGCUUAUCCUAUUCCUACCUAGCAUGUGUGUAUAUAUGAGUGAUAUGCCUAUUCGUUGUAUGAUUGCUUCUUGCAUGAUUGCUCUUCUUUUGUGUGAUGCAUGUAUUACUUAUUUGUGUGGGACACAUUUAUCCCCUUAUCUCCAAUUCCCUAGUCUUGGUCGACUUUGUUUUCCUUGAUAUUGUAUUUAUGAGGCUUGUUACUUUGUUUGUUCUCCGACUAAGCUAGUGAUUUGAAAUAAGGUUUAGUGAUGUGUUAUAUUUAUGUUUAGGAGCAUUCUGGAGGAGGCCAAUGCAUUGAUGAUGAUUAGAGUCCAAUCUUUGAAGACUUGUAUGGCCUAGAGCUAGAUUUUAGGAUAUUUAUGUGACCUGUGUGUUUUCUUUCCUCUUAGUUUGAUAGGAUUUUCAGAUGCACCCACACCAUUCACUAUACACCUUAGAUUAAUACUAAGUGUUAAGAGAUGUGAGAGCCUUCACAAUCAAGAAACCCCCUAGGAUGCGAGGUAAUGCAUGUGUGGAGGUGACGAUCACCUUGCAUGGAAGCACCCCAUCUCUUGAAGGUGUGUAAGAGUUUGUAUACCUUCGGAGGGUAUGAUCGUUUUUUCUCUGCUAGGGAUCCUUUAAAGAUCACAAUUUUUUGUUUUUAAAGUCGCCUUGGCCUCGUAGGUUGAGCCUUAGAUCUUUUUAUUAGGAUUCUUUUCCUAUACGUGGGUGCAUCUGAGAGCCUUUGGGGAUGCUUUAGUCACAAUUUGGACUUGGUACUCUUUUUUUGGUCUUCUGUUGAGAGCGCUUAGAGAUUAGUGUGAGUUUGAGUAUCAGUUGGACCACCAUUUUUCAUUUAGUGUUGACUUCUUCUUGUUGCUUGUUGAGUCUAGCACACUUUCUCCUUAGGGCUUUAGACAUGUUUCAUUUCUUGAGUUAGAAUUAUUUCGAUUGAUUGUCACUAUGCUUGACAUUUUGGGAUAUGCUCCUUGAUCAUGCUCACCCUUUUACAUUUUUCAUCUAUCAUGGGCUUAAUACUUCAUUCUUUGGUCGAUUCGUCUGAUUCUAUUUUCAACUUGAUAUUUUCAUUACAGAAAGGUGAAAAGCAUGAUUUCACAUUCACACCAUUUUUUCGAGGUUCACCUUUAUCUCCUUAUCAUUUUUCUUUUUAAAGCUCAAGUUGAAAGUAGAGUUGGGAGAUAUUUAUCUAGAGAUGGAGUAGUAAUCUCGUGAUAGUGACGUUCUUCACACCUCCUUCAUUUUUUGGAUUAUUGAUAGAAAUUCUUUAGUUACAUUUGUAGCCAUCUCAUAGUGGACACCUUUAUGACCUUAGUGUUGUUGUCAUAUAUCUAGUUUUAGAUUGCCAUCAUAGGACCAUAUAUCAUAUGAUGUGUUUUUUUUUUUCAUUUGAGGCAUUUAUUCACAUGCACAUUGUGAUCUUGGGACUUGACCCAUCAAGGAGGAUAUUGAGCCUAUUAGCCUAAGAUCAGAGACUUGACUUAGGGAGUUUGAGACUAUGACCCAUCUUCUUUCAAUCAAAGCAAUACCUUACUCGCUCCCACACUUGGUCUUUGUUUCAACCUACAUCUACCUAUUUUGAGCUUUACACAGUAUCAUCCUUGACACCAUUACAUGUCCUUUCCAUCACUUGCUAUUCUACCUUUGCACAUUCCUUCUCCGAUCUGACUAGGUAGAGUGUGAGGAGUUUGAGCUCAGGGUUGAUUUUACAUGGCGAUGGAUGACUUAUGAUCUUUGGCUGGUUUAUGAUGUGAGGAUUGGUUAAUCACCUGAUGGGAUUGUUAUUUAUUUUUCCAUGAGUAUAGAGAUUGAUCUUGCAUGAUGAAAGUUGACUUGUGAUAAGCAGUUGUGCUUGAUGAGAUCAUCAUUUAUUUUGCUUUGAGAUGAUCAUCUUUGAGAAUAUUACAGAGCAUUUGGAGUAGUGUUUGGCGCACGAUUUCAAAGCGUUGACGUGGUUAUAUCAUGUGGACAUUGAUCUUUAGUAUUGAUAAUUUGAGGGUUUGAGAGCAUGAUGUUUGAGAUUGUGGCCAUAGAAUGGGUGGCUAUCAUUUUAGUUAGUUCACAACCUAUUACCUUUAUUGACAUUUGUACAUUUGCUAGCCCUUUGAGCCUCGCAUGAGCAUCAUAACUUUAUUUAUUUAUACAUUUUUUCUUAUAGCCUUGCUCACCUUUUACCCCAAGAUAGGGGCCCUUUUGUGUAUAUAUGCUUUAUUCAAGAGUUUCAUGAUUCAUAGACUUAUUGACUCACCUUCUUCAUUAUUAUUAUUAUUUUUCAUCUUACCAUUAUUCUUCAUUAUACCUCAUUGUUUAUAUCCAUUGUUCCACCAUUUGUCAUUUUCAUCGUUUUAUUUAUUUAUUUUAUUUAUUUUUUAUUUUUUAUUUUUUAUGCCAUGAGUAAUGAUCUUUCACAUUUUAGUGCAUGGAGGAUGGUCAUAUCCCCUUCCACUCCUAUCUUAUGGACAUUGGUUCAGAGAUCCUUAGUUAAGAGGGACAUCUUGUUAGAGAUAGUUCGUCUACAUCAUUGUUUGAGAGUAUAUCCAUUUGAUUAUGUAUUCUUAGUGGAGCUCAUUUGUUGAUAUUCAGAGUAUGCGCAAGUAAAAAGAAAGAAAAAAAAAAAGAAUAAGCACAUGUAUUUAUGCAUGUAUACAAUAUCUUUCUCCAUUGAGUGUGUAGAUUAGCCAUUGAGAGCCAUUUUUUUAGCCAGUUGGCUAUAAGAGUUUGUAUGUGAACUUUCAGAUACCCUCAUCUCCUUGUGCUUAUCUUGUUUAUGUAUUUUAUGUGUGAGAGACAGAUGACCGUUUCCUAGGGACUCUAAAUUAUUGUCUUCUCCAUCAUUAAAAAUAUCGAUGAUUUGACUAUUCUCUAUGAAUUGAUUUGAGAUGAUCAGUGCUCAUUUGUCUUCUUUUGAUCUAUUUGUUUUUCUCAUGGUAUCUCAUUCGUCUUACUUAUAUUGUUAUUUGUUCAUAUAUCAUUACAUUCUAUGUUCGAUAUUUUCCACACAUCACUAUUAUACAUCUUAUCAUCAAUUCGAUAUAUUUUUUUUUUCACUACCGAUAUAUUCAUUUUGGAUUCUUUCUUCCUCAUCGAUACAUUCAUAUCAAACAUCCUCAGUCCAUGAAUUCUAAGAUUUUUUUAACAUAUUACAUUUUAUACAUGAGGAUAUGAGAUUUUAUCAUUGGGAUUAUUGAGCCUAGUUUCCUUUCAUUCUUUACUCUAUUACCUUAUCCUAUGUUACAUCCUAGGUCUUAAGACCACCAUGAGGCCAUGAUAUCACACAUUAUGUUUUGAUUGCUCUCACAUGGGCGAUACUUGAGAUCAAUCAGUGAGCAUUUUGAUUAUGAUUGUUCAGGAGUUGUGGUAUGACACUAUGGACCCCACAUUUUUAAUGAUGCGUUCCCACUCGAUUCGCGAGACUCGCUUUUCGUUUAUUUGGUGAAAAAUAUGAUUUUUAGAAAAGACUUGGAGUCGCCACUUACUUUUAUUUAUUUUUAAAGGGGAAAAAAAGUAAGAAAAAAACCCCUAAAUAGACUCCUGAUUUUUUUGGAAAAGCUAUCUACGAAAAACCUGAGUCUGGGUCUAGGGAUCAGGUUACUUAUUGGGAAGGUAUGAUAAAGACCGUAUCACCCCUCUAAGCCCCUAAAAAAUGGGCCUCUACUAAAUAAGGUGAAGCAGACAUGACAAUUAAUUAGGAGAUUAAUGGAUACCAAAAUGAUCAUAGUUAAAAAAUAAGUCAUGAUAACAAAAUAAUAAACAAAAUGAGAGUGAGAGUGUACCUUAGUAGCAGGUAAUAAAGAGUUGUAAUGAAAACAAGGUUAGUGUAUAAUGAUAAGUGUAAAAAAUCUCAUACAAAACCAAAUCAAAAUCAAACAAAAUCGAGCGCACAACUUGAAUUAUUUUCGAAAGAAAUGUUAUGAAUGUUGGGCCCCCACCAAAAGUCAAUUUAUUUUUGCUAUAGAUUAAUUCUCAUAAAUUCCAUCAUUUUGGAAUUAUGAAAACUUAUUCAUUUUUAUAUUUAAAAAAAAUGAAAAUGGGAGUUUUGAAAAUUAAAUUUGAAAUUUUGGAAAUGGAUUUUUUUAAAAAAAUUAAAUUUGGAAUUUUGGAAAUUUUAGAAGUGGAAUUUUAAAAAUAAGUUUGGAAAAUUUGGAAAUCUAUCUGAGAAUGGUAUUUCAAAAAAAAAAAAAAAAGAGUAAAUAAAUACAUAAACAAAAAUAAAAUAAAAUAAUAAAUAAAUAAAUAAAUUUUGAAUUUUGGAAAAUGGGAAUUUUGAGUAGAAUUUUGGAAAAUUAAAUUAAAAAAAUUGGAAUUUUGGAAAAAUUAUUUUGAAAAUAGAAUUUCGGAAAAUUAACUUUUAAAAAAUGAAAUUGUGGAAAAUUGGAAUUUCGAGAAGGAAGUGUUGGAAAAUUAAAUUUAAGAAAAAAAAAUUGAAAUUUUGGAAAAUUAAGUUUUGAUAUCAAAGAUGAAGACUAAAAAAUAGGAUGAAAUGUGGUCUUUGAGUGGUUCAUUGGAGGGUGACCAUGCAUGGCCAUGCAAAAGUGGGGCACAGGGUGUUGGUGGUGAGUUGACCUGGCACUAUUCAUAUUAAAAAAAAUUCCAAGAUUCCACUUAACUUAUAAUUUUCACAAUGCAUCUUUCCACCACUAUGAAACAUACUGACAUUCAAGAAAGGUUAUUAUCAGGAAGCUAAAUAUUUGACAUUCUAGAAAACUUAUUUAACAUAAAAUCAACCUAAAACCAAACUACUAACAAUAAAUCUUAAGAAUCAUGGAAUAGCAAGAUUAAUGGCAUCGAAGCCUAGAGAUGUUAGGAACAUGCACUUACAAUCAAAUAUUGAAAACUAGUAACUAGGAAAUAUUGAAACAUGAGAUAUUAAAUCAGUGAAAACUAGUCCUUAAAAUAUUAAGAACAAGUACUAACAUGAAAUGUUGAAAAUCUGACAUCUAGAAUAUCAAAACGUGAGAAAAUAAAUUAAUGGAAACUAAACCUAAAAUCAUUAAGAACAUAUAUUAACAUGAAACAUUUAAAAAAAAAUCGACAACUAGGGAUAUUAAAAACCUAAAUUAAUGAGGAACAACCAAACUAAUGUUAGAGAUGAUAAAAACAUGAACUAAUUUAGGUUCAAUAAGAAGGAAUAAUUGGAAAAUAAUAAAAACUAACAUCUAAGGAUAUUUAAAUCCCAAACUAAUAAGAGGUAAAUAAAAACUAAAACCUUAAGAUUUAAAGAAAACUAUUGAACAACAUGGAUCAAACAAAAUACUAAUUAAUUAGUCAAAGAGCAAUAUAAAUCAACAUGUAUCAACCAAAAUAAAAAACGAAAAAUUCAAGAAGCAAUAUAUACUAACAUAGGUUAUUAAAAUCAACAAUUAAAAACUCCCAGGUAUUUACAAAUUAUCAUAGGUCAUCAAAUUAAAAACUAAAAAUUCAAAGGACCACAAAGAAUUAACAUGGAUCAUCCAAAAUAACAAUUAAUAAUUUUAAUGACAAAGCAAAUUAACGUGGAUCGACCAAAAAUAAAAAUAAAAAUUUAAGGAGCAAUAUAAAUUAACAUAGAUAUUUAAAAUUAACAACAAAUGAUUUUAUGAAAAUGAAGAAAAAAAUAAACAAACAAAAUUUCAUGAAUAUUAUAAAGCUACAUGGAUAUUAGUUUUCAUUUCUUUCAUUUUAAAUUUAUAACAAUGUAAACCAGUAACACCAUGAUCCACCACAUUCACUUUAAUUUUUAAUUCAAUGAAACAAACCACUAACAUACUUGAGACAUCUCAUGGCCGGCCAUAUGUAUAUACAUCAAUCUCACUUUGAAUUUUAUUUUAACAAUGUAAACCAAUGACACCAUGACCCACCACAUUCAUUUUAAUUUUUGAUUCAAUGAAACAAACCACUAACAUACUUGAAACAUCUCAUGGUUGGCCAUUAGCAUCCAUACAUUCAUGACUCUAUAUUAUAUUAAAAAAAACAAAACUCACCUAUGUGUGUUCCCAUGAAGCGGUGCAUGCCGAAGCUCCUUUGUGAUGGAGAGAUGCCAACAAUGGUUUCAAAGUGGCAGCCCCUCAAUGUGGCAGCCUUAUUUUAUGUGAAGAUGACAACUGAUUCUGUUGGUUUUCCGGUAGAGAGUGCGUCCCAAUGACCAAGUGAUCAACCCAUGCAUGAAGAUGGAGAGAGGUUGUCGAUGGUGUGUUGGUUCUACAAUUCUGGUGGUGCGCGCUAGGAUGAUGGCUCUUUUGCUGUAUCUUCAUUUCCAAAAAAUUCUGAUUGUUGUCUCGUAAAAAAAAAUUAUGAACAUCCACCACUCUAGAAAUUCUGAUUGUCAUUCUAAAAAAUGGAGAGAGGACCACCCUCUGUGUGUGCGAUCUAUUUUCUAAAAAAUCCUCCCAGCACUUUGAAUUUCUAAUCCAUGUGUACCCCUCUUUAGAUUAGGGAAGUGUUGUAACCAAAUAGUAAAAGACACAAGCUGUUGUAUGCGUGCAAUAGAGUUCAACAACAAUAAGUUUCACAAUCUUGGUAAGCAUAUAUAUAAUUGAUUCGUGUGUUCUUUUCCAUCUUUUAGAAAAAAUCUGUGACUUUCCGCACCCUAAUCAACCUAAUCCAUAAGAGGUACCUCACUUUUUCCUUUCUCCCACAAGCCUUGUAAAUAAUAUCCCAAGACAAACAAUAAAUUAAAUCAAUGACAAAACUAGAUUUCAAAUACCUAAGUGCAAUAGAUGUGCACUUGCAGACCAUGUGGUAAGCGUGGGUAUCUCUAUAAGUGAGGAAAAAUUGGAUCACAAUGUCGAUAAGAAAAACAAUCUGGCUAGCAAUGUCCAGGAAAACCAGGUCCUUUGGCAAUCCUCUAAAGAAUCAAAAUUCCAUGGGUGUGAAAAAUAAAGAGUACACUGCCCAUAACAAUAUGAACUUCGUCCAUGUUCUAUACCACCUCCAUCAUAUUUCUUAGCAAUUUUGAGAGCUCGAGAUGAAGCAAUUUCGGGUGCCUGGGCAGUAGGUACAAUAACCGGAAAAAUGGCAUCAUUGUGCUGAGCAUAGUCACUCACCAAUGUCUCAUCCAUUGAUCCAAUCCAAGCAAAUCAACCAGUUUCAGAGGAGGUGUUGUACUAGUCUGUAGCUUCAAAUAUAUUUCAUCUCGGCUCUUGCCUGAGACACUACCCAACCUGUCAUAGAGAGAAUGUCGAAGAGCACUUGCAGAAACUUGUUGAGAUUUGUCGUCAAUUUGUAAGAUGAUCGACUUGCUGCUUAGGGAACCAUCUUUUUGUAAAUCAAUACAUAUUGGAGCCUAAGUAGCACCAUUUUCUUCAAUAGGCAAAAUAGGAUGUCCAAUCAAAUUGUUCAAAACUGCAGAUUUACCAGCACUGACAUUUCCAAGAGCAACAACGUUAAGAAAAGUCAAACCCUUGCGAGAAGAACUGGAACUCGAAUUCUCGUCCACAUCUUCAUCUGCCGGCAGCUUCGUGACCUGACACAUAGACCCUGAUAGCUGAACGAGCUUUCCUAGGAAUCGGAACACCGAUCAUUUCCCCAGUAAUUUUCCAAGCUGGAGUUUGCCUAUCGACUUUUGCCUCUGGGGGGAAACUCCUCCAGUUGUUAUGACUUGACGUCAACGAUGAUGAUGUAGUGAGCGAAGGAAUCACCCCAAGCCGCUAUAUCAUCUUCUUCUCUUCCUUUCCUCUAUGAAACGCUCUCUCUGAGAAUCCCUUCUCUCAAAACCUCUGUCUUUCUUAUUUUUUCCAACGACCCUCUCUUUGUUUUUUCUUCUUCUCCCUUCUUCUUCUCUCUCUCUCUACUCUGACCUCCACUUCUCACGAGUUUAAGCUUUAGUUUCACCACCACCCAACAGUAGCAACAAGAUCAGACAACCUCACUAGAAUCUUCAUUCAUUAGUACCUCAAGGGCCUCAAGCUCUUCUACCCAAAAGUUGGUUUUUCUUCAUCGAAACCUCACCACUCUUCACAUCCCCUCCAAUCCCACUUUGAAUAUGCGUUCCCGUCUCCAUCUCUUCUUCAUGCCGAGAAAACCCCUCGGGAACCUUUCUUUUUCAAUCGAUCUUUUUCUUCUUCCUUUAAGACUCCCCCACAUGGCUCCAUUUUCCCACAACCCCUUUUUCCUUUGGAAAACCCCCCAGCCUUUAUUCUCUUCAAAGCUCCCUUUUUCCAUGCAGUCCUGGUUCCCAUGAUGCCACUCAAAUUCCCACAAAAACCCUUUAAUUCUAAAAAAAAUAAAAUCUAGACUCUCUCCUGGUGUAAUCACAACAUCCCUACAAAGAACAGGGGAAUCUAAUGGUCCAGAAAAAAAUCCCACUUCCUCUGCCUAAAGCCUGCCCAUACCUCUACCUUUUAUCAUUUUUAAGAAAGGCGUCUGAGCCCACUAAAGUUCCUUGAGCCCACUUGUUGAAAAAAUCUCAUAUAAAAAAAUCUAAGAAAUACGAGGUAGAAACUUGUAACAUAAUAAAAUAAAAUAAAAUAAAUGGAAAUCAUGAAAAUUUUUAAAAAAGAAAAUAUUUCAUUGUAAAUUAAAAAUAAAGUCACCAAUCUCAUAUAAUUUUCUAAAAAUAAAAAAGUAGAUGAAUAAAUAAAUAAAACAAGAAAAUAAAUGAAUAUUAAAUGCAUAUAAUCAAGAAUAUAAAUAUUAAACUAAAACACAAUAAAGAAAAUGAAAAAAAAAAACAAAACAUCAAACUGACACAAUUAAAUAUAAAAAAUUCAUCUCAAGUAAUCAAAAAAUCAAAAUCAAGCCAAAUACUCACCUAAUCCCAAAAAAUCAAGCAAUCAAGAAAUCAAUCUAAGGGAAUUAAGCCUAAACAAAACAUCUAAGUGACCUAGGUGAAAAAGUGCCUAAGUGGAAAGUGUCAAGGUGAACUAGGAGUGUACCUAAUGGGCCGAGUGCAUCUAAAUGAGCCUAAGGUGCCAAAGUGGGCCUAAGGUGGUGCUUAAUGGGUCACCAAGGAAUUAUUGUAAAGUAUCAAACAAACAAGUAAUAGGACAUGUGCUAGUAGGACAAAAAGAAGGGUUUACAAACCCCACACUAGGGCAUAGCCAUCUCAAAGAGUUUGUUGGAUAUGCAAACUUGGGCAUACCCUUUUCAACUAGUUAUGGAUUCUUGAGAUGACAGUUUACACCGAGACAUGCUCAUUCUUUAGAGGAGAUUAGACACCCCCUUCAUAUUAGUGUGUGGGAUGACUAGGUAAUUUCAUUUGAUAUCACUAUGUCGGGACAUACCUCCUCAUUGAUGUUGAUUGGUUCUUGAUGAUUAUACAGGGGCAUACCUCUCUCAAUCAAUGAUGGUUUUUGAGGCAUAGUUGUUCAUUGGAGGUGAUUAGAUUCUUUUUACAUUGGAGUGUGAGGCAUGGAUAAGAUAUUUCAUUUGAUGUUCAUACAUAGGGGCAUACCUAUCUCAAAUGAUGAUAGAUUUUUUUUUUUUUUUUUUGGGAGCAUGGCCCUCUCAUUGGUAUUGAUGAAGUUUUUAAAUGAUUGGAUUAGGACACAAAUAUUCUUGAGAGCUUAUUGUGGAUUUUAGUCAUUUCAUAGAUUGCUUUACAUUGGGUCAUAACCAUUUCAUUGGCUAAUGACCUUGGAGAUACCGACUUACAUUGGGACAUGACCAUGUCAUAGUGCAUUUAUUUGAUGCAUACCACUUUGCUUGAUAUUUUCACAUUGGGACAUGCUUUUCUUUAGAGGAAGUUAAAUAUUCUCUUCACAUUACCAUGAUGACUUUGAGGAGUGGAGAUUCAUUUUGAUCAUAUGAUGUAUGAUUGGUUGUAUUCCUCUUAUCCAUGUUUGAUUUUGAGAUGCUUACACUGGGGCAUAACCCACUCAUUGGUGAUAGAUUUUGUGAGAUGACAGUUUAUGCUAGACACAUACUUUUUAGAGAUUAUUUUGCAUUAAGGGCUUACCCAUUCCGAGAGGAUGCAUUCAUAUUAGGGUAUAACCAUUGACAUUGAGACUGAACCUUCUAUUCAUGAUUGUUAUUUUCAAUGGAUCAUAGAGUUAUUGACACCCUAGGUUUAGUCUUCUCAACAUACUUGGCUCAACUUGGAUACCCACUUUCCUUUGUUGAACAUCUAGACAUCCUACAUUUGACACCAUUAUACUUGCAUCCGUCUUGUCAGAGCCUGAUCGAUAUUAAACCUACCUAUUUUUUCAUCCUACAUGACCUUAUCCCAUUCUUUUGAUUAGAGAAGGAUAAAGAUUAGUCUUGAGCUUUCUGGUGAAGUUUUCACAUGCCUUUGGACAUUAGGUUCAACAUCAUCCAUGAUGGAAGGGCCUAGUAGAUUGUUGAUGUAUUUGUGAUGAUAUUUUGACAUUAAUAGUUGACAUAUUGUGUCUUGACUUACUUACAUUUUAGACUUAGAGUCUUAGUCAACAUUUGUUUGGUGCAUUAAUUUAGUUUUGCUUGUCAACAUAGUUUUGAUUAUGCAUGAUAUUGUUUAAGUAUUUGGUUGUUAAGGUUAUAUAUAUGUCUUUAUUGCAUUGUCAUUGAGCAUAUCCUAGAGUGCCUUGUAUGGUGACAUUCUAUGUCUUAUGUUGGUCAUUAUCUUACACUAAGGCAUAUCCCUCUUCAAGUUCAUCAAAUCUUCUGUUGACUUCAUAGCUGCUCGACCCAUUUGCUAAUACUUGUGAGUCAUUACACUGAGGCAUACCCUUCUCUAGGUUCUUGAUCCUUAUAAGUUAUCCUUUGGGACAUCCCCCCUUCUAGAGCUCUUUUACUAGGGCUUAUCCCCUUUUCAUUGAGUUCAUUAUCUUAGUUGCUCAUUCUCUUGAGUCCUUUAGGCAUUUAGAGCUACCUCUUUUAGUGUAGGCAUUCAAAGUUGUAGUUUAGACAUUCAAAGCCACAAUUUUAGGUGUUCAAAGCCACCUUUUUCAAUUUAGACAUUCAAAUCCACAAGUUUAGGAAUUCAGAGAAACCCUAUUUUAGUUUUAGGCAUUCAAAGCCAAUUUUUUUCAGUUUAGGCAUUCAGAGCCACAACUUUAGGCAUUCAGAGACACCUCUUUUAGUUUAGGUGUUCAGAGCCACCUUACUCAUUUUAGGCGUUCAAAGCUACCUUGCUCAAUUUAAACAUUCAUAGCCACAUUCCUUAAUUAGGCUUUCAUAGUCACCUUUAUUAGUUUAGGUGUUCAGAGUCCUAGUUUUAGGCAUGUAGAGCUUUCUUUUAUAGCCAUUAGCGUUUAGAGCCACUUAUUUCAGUUCAGGUAUUUAGAGCCACCCUUUUUUAGUUUUAGGCGUUCAGAGCCAUCUUUUUCAGUUCAAGAGUUUAGAGCCACCAUUUUUCAGUUUUAGGCAUUCAGAGCCAUCUUUUUCAGUUAAGCCAUUUAGAGCUGUAGUUUUAUGCCUUCAAUACCACUUUCUUUUAGUUUAGGCAUUCAAAACCACUUAUUUUUAUUUUUAUUUAUUUUUAAUUUUUAGUUUUAGGAGUUCACAGUUAUCUUUUUUUAGUUUAGCCAUUUAAAGUCGUAGUUUUAAGCAUUCAGAGCCACUAUUUUAGGUGUUCAAAGCCACUAUCUUUCAUUUUUAGGCAUUUGAAGUCGUAGGUUUAGGUGUUUAGAGCCACCUCUUUCAAUUCAAGCAUUCAAAGCCAUCCAAUUUCAGUUUUAGGCAUUCAGAGCCAUCUUUUUCAAUUUAGGCGUUUAGAGCCACAAUUUUAGGCAUUCAGAUCCACCUUUCUUAGUUUAGGCAUUUAGAGCCACCUUGUUUAGUUUAGGUGUUUAGAGCCACCUUCAUCAGUUAGGCAUUCAGAGCUAGCUUAUGUAGUUCAGGCGUUCAAAGCCACCUUCUUUAGUUUAGAUGUUCAGAGCCAUCUUGUUCAGUUUAGGCAUUCAAAGCCAUCUUUUUCAAUUAGGCAUUCAAAGCCACCUUUCUUAGUUUAGGCAUUUAGAGCCACCUUACUUAGUUUAGGCAUUCAGAGCCACCUUGCUCAGUUUAGGUGUUUAGAGCCACCUCUUGCUCAGUUUAGGUGUUCAGAGCCACCUUCCUUUAGCUUAGGCUUUCAGAGUCACCUUCCUUUAGCUUAGGCUUUCAAAGCCACUUUCCUUAGCUUAGGUGUUUAGAGUCAUUGAUGACAAACAAUGUUAAUACUAUAUCAAGUGAUAAAAACCUAAUUAAAGUCUCCAAAAGAGCUUAUACUAUGUCACUAGUAGUAUUUAAUUCUAUGUGAAUGUCACUUUAUACUAUGCUAGAUCUAGGAGAAUCUUGUAAGACCAACUUAGUCCCCCGGAAUAAAAGAUAAUGUAUUAAUUUUUGUAAAGUCGUAUGGACGUACAUUAUAAAACUAGAAGUUUUUAUCUAGUGACUAGUCUACCUAUACACUUGAAAGGUAUAAUGGCAUGUUGUGCAAAUUAUCAUUUUAAUGAGAUAAUUUUCCCACCGUUAGGGGGAGAAGAGCCAAUUCCAGAAGAAUGAUGUGAAAUUAUUUGGAAUGCAUUGACUUUGACUCAUCUUGAUCCUUGUACUAAUCAAUGUGGACUGAAAGUUCAAAAGAUUAUUCUUUUGCAAGGACUUGUAAAUCAACUACCAAAUGCUUUCAUUGAUUCAAAGAAAGUGAUGAAUCGUUGAUGCGACUCAUGGUAGCUUAGCUUUAAAGGCGUAUCAACAAAAUUUAUACCUUAAAUACUAUUACUAAAGUAGCCAAGCUACUAUAGCAUAGUGGUUCUAGGAUCGUUCACUGGGAAGGGUUUUCGCAAACACUAGUGAUAUUCAAAUUAGGAAAAUAGGUGAUUUUCUUAUGGAUGCUAGCUUUAAAAGAAGAUGUAAAUGUUUUAGAAAGAUUUAAAUUAGCUAACAUUAAAGACUAAAAUGAAAGGGUGUAAAAACAAGUUUCUCAAAGAUAGGAUAGCUAUGCUCUGGCUCUUAUGCAAAUUGGAAAUCUCAGGAUAGGCUCCUCGCGUUGGGGUUGCAACUAUGGUGAUGCUUGCUUCCCGAACCGGUAUGGAUUUAACAAAUCAAGUUUUAAUCCUUUAAAAUGGCAAAACAGAUGGUAGAGAAUUUCAUCAAUGGUUAUUCACCUUAGACUUCCUUUCAAUGGCUCGUAAGAGAUAACUAAUGGUCUAAAGCCAAAAGCUUACCGAAACUCAAAGUCAUUCCAGGUGAUAAACUCACCUUUCAAUGGCCAUUGAAAUUGGUUCUAACGGAUUAAUGCAAAACUUGGAAUUGAAAACCUCACCUUCUAAUAGCUCGUAGGAGAUAACUAAUGGAUAGAAAUCCAAAAGCUUAUCAAGUAUUGGCCGUUGGAAGUUGUCCAAAGGAAAUAAAAACCAAACUUUGCAUUAAUGAACCGUUAAUGAAAAACGACUACCUUACCUUCCAGUUGCGAGAAAUUUCCAUGGGAUUGCAUCCAAGCCAUCACAUAACAUCCAUACUUUGAGAAACUAAAAGUUUUAGCCAAUCAUCCUCUGAGGAAAAGCCCUCAGAGGCUGUUUGGCUACUAAGAAAAUAGAAAUGGGAAAGAACAGGAGAAGAGAGAAAAACAGAGCUUUAUAUAUAUUCCUAAGUUAAUGUAUAGAGGAUCGAUCCCCCAAUCAUCCCAUAUCUUUUGGAGGUGUUGUGCACCUCUAUAUAUAGCAAAAUUACAAGAUAAAGCUUUAUGUCGGUUGAAUACAAGGUUACAAAAGGAAUUUACACGAGAAAAUAUCAAGCUAAAAAUAUUUGGGAAGUCGGUGGUGCGUGCGUGGAGAAACAGAGGAUUCAAAGGAAUUUCACAAUGUGCCUAAAUCCACCUUGCGAAAUUUUCGCAAGGGGGUUCUUCAUGGUGCGAAGUGGCCAAAUUUCGCACCAUGAAGAAAAUCUCCUUGCGAAAUUUUCGCAAGGAGAAAUUCACCUUGCGAAAUUGGUCAUUUGACAUGAUGCAGGUGUCUUCCGAAGGCCAUAUCUUCCUCAUUUCAGCUCCAAAUCAUACACGGUUUGAAGCGUUGGAUUCUUGACUUCCUAAGCUUUCAAAUGGUAUAUAGUAUGAAAUGGACUUCAGGAAGUGCUUCAAAAGUGCGAAAGAAGACUGCAGUUGUUUUCUUCACUCUGUUUUCCUCUUCUCCAUUGCUUGUGCUCGUGUUUCCACUUGAAAUUCAAGCCUGUAAUCAUCCAAAAUCCUUGCUUAACUCGCCCAAAUAGCUCCUCCAUCAAUUAGCAUGCUUGAAUUGGUUCAUAAGUUGAUAAAAACAUGUAAACUUGCCACAAAAUGGUUAAAACCAAUUACUAAGGACCUUAAUGAAUUAAUUGGGUUAAAUGAAUAUGAUUACUACUCAAAGGUGCUUAAAACCAUUAUUAUUAGGUCUAAAAAAUAGCACUUUUUGGUAGUAAUCACAAUGGCGUCGUUGCCGGGGAAGGUGCCAGAGAUGAGGAAGUAAGUAUUAGUUUAAAUUUUUAUCAUACUUAGUUAAAUUAGCUACUUUUUGUUUAAAUUUUAAAAUUUUUGCUUUAAACUCCAUGGAUAUUAAGGAUUAACUCUCAAAAUUAAAUGAGAGAAGUCGAGUUUCAACUUGAUUACAUGAGUCUUAGAGUUUGUAUUAUGCUCUUCUAAAAGUUGAUGAAUAGUUGAAACUCCCAUUGCAUGCAAACUUAUCUCUUCCACCUUAAGCUAUUCGCACACACAUACAUUAGAUUCCGGUUAUAAGAUGUGAAACUAUCUCACCCUCUAAGCUUGAGAAAUCAUAAUUUGACACCUUUAACCUCUCUUUAAUAGUGUUGGGACACCUCAUAAAGACCAAUGAGUCUUUGAAAAAAUAGAAAAAAGAAAACGAAAAAGAAAAAGAAAAAGAAAAUAUAAAAUAAACUUCUUUACUUGCCUUGAAACCUGAGCAUGGUCCGAAGGGGUGGCGAAAGCCUUUAAAGCCUGGUGCCCUAAGCCUUUAUUGGUUGGGAGUCACCGAUCCUCUGCUUGUUACAUGGGUGAAUUGGUUAAGUUUAGUAAGUGAAAAGAAUUGUGAAUAAGAGGUGCGUUCCUAGCCUAUCAAGAGAUGGUUAAUUUUGCUAAAGCUUAAAGAAAGACUUAGGUUGGGGGGAGAUGAUAGUUAUCCAUACUAUACUCGAAAGCUAAUCACAUUAACACUUAGCUUUUAGUGGAAGAAUUUGAUUUGGAUCUUUUGAGAGUGGAAAUUCUUUUUAUGCUUAAAACUUGCAUAAUAUCCAUUCUUUGUACUCUAUGAUCAAGUGAAUGCUUUGACAACUCUUAUUAUAGGUUGAGUUUCACAUCUUUAUUGAUCCAUGGAUGUCCAUCAUGCCACUCAUAUCAUUUUUUGGAGUGAUUUGCAUGAUCCCUUUUAUGUAUAUUAUUAUAGUUUACUUAGUUUUUAUCUCCUCCAUUGCUAAGGGACUAGCAAUGAGUCGGUUGGGGGGUGUGAUUACUACUCAAAGGUGCUUAAAACCAUUAUUAUUAGGUCUACAAAAAGGGUGUAAAAACAAGUUUCUCAAAGAUAGGAUAGCUAUGCUCUGGCUCUUAUGCAAAUUGGAAAUCUCAGGAUAGGCUCCUCGCGUUGGGGUUGCAACUAUGGUGAUGCUUGCUUCCCGAACCGGUAUGGAUUUAGCAAAUCAAGUUUUAAUCCUUUAAAAUGGCAAAACAGAUGGUAGUGAAUUUCAUCAAUGGUUAUUCACCUUAGACUUCCUUUGAAUGGCUCGUAAGAGAUAACUAAUGGUCUAAAGCCAAAAGCUUACCAAAUAUUGGCAACUCAAAGUCAUUCUAGGUGAUAAACUCACCUUUCAAUGGCCAUUGAAAUUGGUUCUAACGGAUUAAUGCAAAACUUGGAAUUGAAAACCUCACCUUCCAAUAGCUCGUAGGAGAUAACUAAUGGAUAGAAAUCCAAAAGCUUAUCAAGUAUUGGCCGUUGGAAGUUGUCCAAAGGAAAUAAAAACCAAACUUUGCAUUAAUGAACCAUUAAUGAAAAACGACUACCUUACCUUCCAGCUGCGAGAAAUUUCCAUGGGAUUGCAUCCAAGCCAUCACAUAACAUCCAUACUUUGAGAAACUAAAAGUUUUAGCCAAUCAUCCUCUGAGGAAAAGCCCUCAGAGGCUGUUUGGCUACUAAGAAAAUAGAAAUGGGGAAGAACAGGAGAAGAGAGAAAAACAAAGCUUUAUAUAUAUUCCUAAGUUAAUGUAUAGAGGAUCGAUCCCCCAAUCAUCCCAUAUCUUUUGGAGGUGUUGUGCACCUCUAUAUAUAGCAAAAUUACAAGAUAAAGCUUUAUGUCGGCUGAAUACAAGGUUACAAAAGGAAUUUACACGAGAAAAUAUCAAGCUAAAAAUAUUUGGGAAGUCUGGUGCGUGCGUGGAGAAACAGAGGAUUCAAAGGAAUUUUGCAAUGUGCCUAAAUCCACCUUGCAAAAUUUUCGCAAGGGGGUUCUUCAUGGUGCGAAGUGGCCAAAUUUCGCACCAUGAAGAAAAUCUCCUUGCGAAAUUGGUCAUUUGACAUGAUGCAGUUGUCUUCCAAAGGUCAUAUCUUCCUCAUUUCAGCUCCAAAUCAUACACGGUUUGAAGCGUUGGAUUCUUGACUUCCUAAGCUUUCAAAUGGUAUAUAGUAUGCAAAAAAUGGACUUCAGAAAGUGCUUCAAAAUUGCGAAAGAAGACUGCAGCUGUUUUCUUCACUCUGUUUUCCUCUUCUCCAUUGCUUGUGCUCGUGUUUCCACUUGAAAUUCAAGCCUGUAAUCAUCCAAAAUCCUUGCUUAACUCGCCCAAAUAGCUCUUCCAUCAAUUGGCAUGCUUGAAUUGGUUCAUAAGUUGAUAAAAACAUGUAAACUUGCCACAAAAUGGUUAAAACCAAUUACUAAGGACCUUAAUGAAUUAAUUGGGUUAAAUGAAUAUGAUUACUACUCAAAGGUGCUUAAAACCAUUAUUAUUAGGUCUACAAAAUAGCACUUUUUGGUAGUAAUCAAUCGUUUUCAUUAAUCAAGAAUAUUCUAGUAUGAAUUGAUCUUCUUGAAGGACAAUUAAAUAAUGAGUCUAAGGCAUGCUUGAAGUGUGGUAGACCCUAAAGAGGCAAACACAUUCCCUAGAAGAGGAAAACACAAUGAAAGAUAUAUGAAAUGUGACACUCUUGAAGAAGUUGCAUAUAAAAUGAGUUAUUGAAAUGACUGAUCAAUCUCAAGUAGCGCCAGAAGAGGCAUAUUUUAUACAGUUAGCUCUUAAAGAGGUACAAGUACCUGAUAAUGAUGAGAUCUCAAUUAUUUACUUACAUAUGGAAAAAAAUGGGAUUGAAAUACUCUUGUUAUUGACAUAAUAAGAAAUGAUAAUGACCAUGAAUCAUAGAGUGUGGAAGAAUGCCAACAUAGAAAACAUUAGCCAAAAUGGAAAGAAUAUAUCUCAAAAAAAUUAGACUCAUUAGAAAAAUGAGAAGUAUUUGGGCAUGUAGUCCAGAUGCCUAAAUUUGUUAAGAUUGUUGGAUAUAAAUGAGUAUUUAUAAGAAAAUGCAAUGAGAGAAAUGAAAUCACGAGAUAUAAAGCGUAUGUGACUCAUAACUCAAGGUUUCUUAUAGAGACCGGUAUUGAUUGCAAGGAAACAUAUUCUCCUAUGAUGUUCACAACCACUUUUAGAUAUCUAAUUUGUUUAACAACCUCAGAAGGACUAGAUAUGCAUCUCAUGGAUGUCCUUAGUGCAUGUUUAUACGGAUUUUUAGAUAAUGACAUAUAUAUGACGUUAAUGCAUGUCCCUGAAGGAUUUCAAAUGCUUGAAGCAACUAAUUCAAAACAUUGUAACAUAUACUCAAUUAAGCUACAAAGAUCCUUGUAUCAAUUAAGCAAUCCAAAGGCAUAUGUCCUUAGAGAAUAUUUGAAAUGAUAAGUAUAUGUGCAUUACCUUAUUUGCUUAUGCUUAUUCAUUAUGCGGAAUAUUUGCAAUUGUUAUAGUAUAUGUGAAAUAUUUGAAUUUUGUUGAAACUCUUGAAGAGCUUACAAGAAUAGUUGACUAUUUGAAAAGUAAAUUUGAAAUGAAAAAUCAUGGAAAAUAAAAUUUUUUCCUUGACCUGCAGAUCAAGAACUUUUCAAACGAAAUAUUAGUUUAUUAGUCAACAUAUACAAUGAAAGUCUUGAAUCACUUUCAUAUAGGUAAAUUACAUCCAUUAAGUUUUCUAAUGAUAAUUUGUUCACUUAAAGUGAAAAAAAAAUCAUUUCCCUCUUAAAGAAGAUAAUAAAAAACUACUUGGUCCGGAGUACCAUAUUAUAGUGUUAUUGGUGCACUGAUGUAUCUUGCAAAUUAUACACGACUAGAUAUUGCAUUCCUUGUUAACUUGCUUGCAAGAUAUCGCUCUACACUAACUUAGAGACAUUGGAAUAGAGUUAAACAUGUAUUAUAAUGGCAUAAAUCUAUUUUAUUUGGAAGGAUCAAAAUCUCAAUUGUUUAAAUAUGUAGAUGCUAACUAUCUUUGAAACUCCCACAAAGCUCGAUCUCAAAUGAGGUAUAUAUUUACUUAUGAUGGUAUGACAAUAUCAUGAAGAUCAAUCAAACAAAUAAUGGAAACAUGUGGACUGCCCUCCAUUAGAGGUAAUGCUACCAAUUUAUAAGAAGAUAAUGUUGCAUGCAUUGCACAAAUUAAAGAAGGACGCAUUAAGUGUGAUAAAAUUAAGCAUAUAUCACCCAAGUUCUUUUACAUUUAUCAACUCUAGAAAAGUGAUGAAAUUGUUGUUCAAUGAGUAAGAUCAAGUGACAAUUUAGCAUAUCUAUUCACAAAGGUAUUGUCAAUUGCAAUACUCAAGAAGCUCAUUAGAAUAUGUUGACUAAAAAAUCUCCAUGAUAAACUACUAAAAAAAUUAUAAUCAUAUGAACAUGAAAGAGAGCUAACUAAUAAAAUUAUCACUACACAGUACUCUUUUUCCAUUUGUCCAAGUUUUGUUCCAUUGAGUUUUAUUGGCAAGAUUUUUAAUGAGACAAUUGUAGUAGUCCAAAAGAAUAUUUUACUCUUUUUUCUUCAAUAGGGUUUUUCCUACUAAGGUUUUAAUGAACCCUUUUUUUAUAAUCAUUCAAGGGGGAGUGCUAUAAAAUAUGAGAUUUUAUAGCAUUAUGGUACCUUGUGGAUGAUCAUUCGUAAUAAUAUAUAUUUCUUUGUGACUCUAUAUAAAAGGGGAGACCUCUAAUGAAAAUUCAUUCAUUUUUUUUCUACUAUACUUUUCUUUGAGGAUUUCUGUUUAUUAUCUCUCUUCUUUUUUUCUCAUUGUUUUAUUUUACAAUAUAUAUAUAUAAUUAAAAAAUUUUAUGGUAAAAAAUAAUUCACAAAAAUUUCAUGUAUUUAAAACAAGAAUAUCAAAUUUUCACAAGCCCCAAUUACCUUCUAAAAGUGAAUAAUCUUUACUUAAUUCCUUGGCUUGGUUUUCCAAUGCAGUAGUAAUUAUUAAUAAAAAAAUGAUAUUUUAAAAUUUAUAUUUAAAAAGCAAAAAAGACACUGAUACAAAGCAAUAUGAUACAAAUUAAUAUUAAAUAUGAAAAAUUAAUAAUUAAAAUUAAUUUUGAAAGAUUAAAUUAUUGAUAUUCUAUAAAUGAUUAUUAUUAAAGAAUGAGGAUUGAGUGGAUCAUUAAAUAGAGGAUGAUUUAUAAUUGAUUCAAUCAAUGAAUUGAGGCAUUGAGACGCUAUGAAGAUGCCAUGGAAGAUUACAAAUGGGAAGGAUGCUGGACCAUGGGUGUGUGGUUAGAAAUUUUUAAUUAAGAAGUUCAAAAUUUUUUAACUUGCCUUUGUUUUUUUGAGAAGGAACACUAAAUUGGGGCUAUUAACUUAACUACAUAAUAAUACGUCCGUUGUAUCAUUGUAUGAUUGGAGAAGGAGUUUCACACCAUUCUAACCACCACUUACUUUCUAAAAAGUCGUUAUUUCCUUACUGUUAGCAAUUUUUAUUUUAAAAAGGUGGCCCAAAAUGAGUCGUAGUAUUUUCUAAACCCUGCCAGCUUAAAGGAGUAUGAACACCCUACGCUUAUGCCAAAGGCCAAAGUCCUCUGUUAUUUUGACCACCAGUUCUCCUCCAAUUCACAUAUGGCCUGCCUGUUCUCCAGUUCAGGGGGUUUAUCACCAGUCUCUGUCAAGUGGGUUCAUGUAUAAACAUGGUAGCUUUGAGAGAGAAAACUCAUGAAAGGAUAGCCGAAAAGUAUGCUGAGGUUGUAUAACCAAAAAGUAAUGUUACAUAUGUUUCUAAAGAAGCCACAACUUAGCAAAUACAGCGCCUUCUUUUUUCCAAAUGAUAAUAGUAUAUUUUCAGUCCAAAGAAAAUGUGCACUUUGUGCCCUUUGUUUUCUUAAUCCAGCUUUAACUUUCUUAAAUAAUCAUAAUGAAUUAAGCUAAUUUAAGAUACUCCGGUGUUAAGGGCCUGAAGACGUGAGCAGCCUCCGUCUCAAUCAACUCUAUUUGGCCUUUCAAGAGAUGUACGUACACCACCCAGUCACCAUCUCUCACCGGGCUUGGCAUCGGCAUCACAUACCCAGCUUCCCCACCCCAUGGAAAAUGGUAUGACCCCAGAGCCGGCCUUCCCCACCCGAAAUUCACCUUUGAUACUGGGAAUCUCUGUCCUGAUGACACCACGAAUGCCGGUCCAUCAUUGCUUCCACUGCAAUAUAUCUUUGCUACAGCUGGCUCUGGACGGUGAGCCUCCACCCAGUCUAUGAGCCCCAAGAAAUGCUCCCUCGUCACUGCCCCUUCCAGAUACUCAUGAACGGCAUCUCCCACCCAACUCAAUGGUUUCUCUUUCAGCUCAUCUAUUAUCUUCUCGCCAAAGGGAACGGACAGCACAUUACCAAAGUAAUUGGCCAUCGCAGCAGCUUUAUCCUCAUCCCCACUGCUUAAUCGCCUUCUUCCAUCUACCACGAUCCCCAUCUUGCAUAUCUUUUUGUUAUCAUCGUCCAAGUCUGCACUUUUGGCAACCAUCUUCCACAAGAAAGCACUGAGAGACUCUAGUUUAGUCCUCUUGCAGGAGCUACUCUUGCUGGUGGCUAGCAUUUGGAGUAGACUGAGCUGUUCGGCCGUGACAUAGUAAAGCCUGCUCAUAAGAGGAUCAGCACUGGGCUGUGGAGCUUUGGAAGGAGGUAAGGCUGAGAUGGGGACGUACAUGUUGUCAAAGGAUGGAUCGUAGGAGCCUGGACGUCGAGUGUUGAGGAGAGAGCGCCGGAAGGCUGGUGUUACAGAUAGUGGCUUGGACUGAGCCAUCUCAGCCCACGAAACUAGGAACAUAUUGGCAGAAUAUGCAUCUGCUAUCCGAUGAUCAAAUGUACAGGCCACCACAACCCCACUACAUUUGAGCUCCGUCACCUGUCAUUGUCUCAAUGUUAGUUAAUUUGUCACAAUUAGCCUAUUAGAAUUACAAUUAAUUAGGAUUAACACAUGCAGAGAGAGAGAGAGUGAGAGAUAACUACCUGUACUGAGAGGACGCCAUUCUCCUUCUUAGGGACAAGCUUGCCUUCAAUGCUGACAUCAGGGUUAUACAAGUUGAGGUUUUCCAGUCGUACAUCCGCAUGAGCCUCCAUGAAAUCUACCCCACGGUUGUUGCAUAGAAGCUCAGGCUCACCCGCUGAGUUACUCACAACUUCCCCAGAAAAUGCGUAAUAGGACACCAGUGCUUGGGACAUGGCUAUUUUCAGAGCCCCAACCAUGGACCCAAAACUGAAGCCAUGACGUCCAUUAACACUCUGAUCAUGUGGAUUCUUAUAACAGAAAAACACACUCACAUCUACUGGAGGCAAAAGCAAGUCGAGGUUGGACAGUGGCAGCCAAUGCUCCUGCAUCGGUAGCAUUGCUUCCACUACUUCUUUCUUGGUCAGAGUCACAGUGAAGUCUCCUCCACCACCCGUGAUUUCUAGAUAUGAAUUGUAUUUGUGUAUAUGUGUGAGUAGGAAACAGAGAUGGAGGGAGAAAAGGAAGAAUAGUGAAUGACUGUUUGUAGAGGAGAUGAGUAGUGGAUUUAUAGGCAAUGUUUCGUUAAUCUGUGAAACAGAGAUGGAGGGAGAAAAGGAAGAAUAGGGCAUUCUUUCUAGGAAACAACAAGAAAAGAAGUAAACGAGUGGUCCACUAGAGUCAACAUUAUCACAACGUGAAACAUGUGGCUUCCCACUCUUGGAAAGAAUAAGCAGGCAAUGCUCCUGCAUCGGUAGCAUUGCUUCCACUACUUCUUUCUUGGUCAGAGUCACAGUGAAGUCUCCUCCACCACCCAUGAUUUCUAGAUAUGAAUUGUAUUUGUGUAUAUGUGAGUAGGAAACAGAGAUGGAGGGAGAAAAGGAAGAAUAGGGAAUGGCUGUUUGUAGAGGAGAUGAGUAGUGGAUUUAUAGGCAAUGUUUCGUUAAUCUAUGUAACAGAGAUGGAGGGAGAAAAGGAAGAAUAGGGCAUUCUUUCUAGGAAACAACAAGAAAAGAAGUAAACGAGUGGUCCACUAGAGUCAACAUUAUCACAACGUGAAACAUGUGGCUUCCCACAAUAGUUAAGAAUCCUCAGGCCAUAACUUCAAACAUAGUGUUCUCAGCUAAACCACAAUAGUUUUCUUUGAAAACAAGUCUCACCUAAAUCCGUUAAUUGUAUUAAGACUCUCAAACCACCCUCUUAAUUAUAUGAAAAUCCAUCCAAAACCCUGGGCAAGGAACAAAGAUUUGACACUCAUUGCACUCAAACAUCUCAAAAAAUCUCCAUGGAAUCUAAGUCACCACUCAUGUNNNNNNNNNNNNNNNNNNNNNNNNNNNNNNNNNNNNNNNNNNNNNNNNNNNNNNNNNNNNNNNNNNNNNNNNNNNNNNNNNNNNNNNNNNNNNNNNNNNNUAGGAAACAGAGAUGGAGGGAGAAAAGGAAGAAUAGGGAAUGGCUGUUUGUAGAGGAGAUGAGUAGUGGAUUUAUAGGCAAUGUUUCGUUAAUCUAUGUAACAGAGAUGGAGGGAGAAAAGGAAGAAUAGGGCAUUCUUUCUAGGAAACAACAAGAAAAGAAGUAAACGAGUGGUCCACUAGAGUCAACAUUAUCACAACGUGAAACAUGUGGCUUCCCACUCUUGGAAAGAAUAAGCAGGCAAUGCUCCUGCAUCGGUAGCAUUGCUUCCACUACUUCUUUCUUGGUCAGAGUCACAGUGACGUCUCCUCCACCACCCAUGAUUUCUAGAUAUGAAUUGUAUUUGUGUAUAUGUCUGAGUAGGGAACAGAGAUGAAGUGAGAAAAUGAAGAAUAGGGAAUGACUGUUUGUAGAGGAGAUGAGUAGUGGAUUUAUAGGCAAUGUUUCGUUAAUCUAUGUAACAGAGAUGGAGGGAGAAAAGGAAGAAUAGGGCAUUCUUUCUAGGAAACAACAAGAAAAGAAGUAAACAAGUGGUCCACUAGAGUCAACAUUAUCACAACGUGAAACAUGUGGCUUCCCACUCUUGGAAAGAAUAAGCAGGCAAUGCUCCUGCAUCGGUAGCAUUGCUUCGACUACUUCUUUCUUGGUCAGAGUCACAGUGAAGUCUACUCCACCACCCAUGAUUUCUAGAUAUGAAUUGUAUUUGUGUAUAUGUGUGAGUAGGAAACAGAGAUGGAGGGAGAAUAGGGAAUGGCUGUUUGUAGAGGAGAUGAGUAGUGGAUUUAUAGGCAAUGUUUCGUUAAUCUAUGUAACAGAGAUGGAGGGAGAAAAGGAAGAAUAGGGCAUUCUUUCUAGGAAACAACAAGAAAAGAAGUAAACGAGUGGUCCACUAGAGUCAACUGAAAAGGUGAAUCUCAAUAAUGGACUAAACCACAAUAGUUUAGUCCUCUGACCAUAACUUCAAACAUAGUGUUCUCAGCUAAACCACAAUAGUUUUCUUUGAAAACAAGUCUCACCUAAAUCCGUUAAUUGUAUUAAGACUCUCAAACCACCCUCUUAAUUAUAUGAAAAUCCAUCCAAAACCCUUUGCAAGGAACAAAGAUUUGACACUCAUUGCACUCAAACAUCUCAAAAAAUCUCCAUGGAAUCUAAGUCACCACUCAUGUUAUAGGCAUUACGUUGGGUUCAAUCUUCUCAAUCCAACUUGACCAGACUAACAAGUUAGGGAGUACUAUACAUAGCUCAAAUAAAUAGAUUUUAGGGCUAUAAAUGGACAAUUACUAUAAGGCUCAAAUGGAUAAUAUGUAGGACUGUGUAACAACAACAAGGUAGGUGGUAUUGUACUAAAUAGGCCAAAAUACUGAAACAACAAUUUAGAAUCAUAAUAGGUAGAUAGGUUAUAGGGCUACAAAGUCAAGGAAGAAUCAUGAUAGAUGGGUAAAACUUUACUUUUUUAUCAUGAGACAAUGAAGUCAUAGUCGUGAGCUAUAUAAGUUGUUCCUUUGAUCCUAGGUCGAUGAGUUCAAUUGUUUCCCUGAUGAUAAGUCUAAUUGGAUGGUAGAUGAUAACAUUAACAACUUGAUGCUUUGAAAUUACUAACCGUUUUCUAUAAAAAAAAAAAAAAAAAAAACCCUAAAACUGUUGUGAAUUUAUAUUGUUACUUCAUUUAGCUUCCAAGGUUGAUUUAUGACAUUAAACAUACUAGAGAUAUAGCAUGUGAUAAUUCACAACUACUAGUUUAGUAAAAAAAAGUUCAAAAAAAAAAAAAAUCUAAAUUAGGUCUUAUUAUAAUGAAUCAUAAUGUGAAAAUAAUAUUUGUAUUGUAAGUGUAGUGAAUCUAUGUCAUACUUAAAUUUUUUUAGGAAAAAAAUAGUCUUAGAAAUGUCUAUUUAUACAUCUAGUCCUUUGUAUUAACACAUUAAUCCUGUGCAUUAACACAUGAAUUCUAUUAUUAUAAGAAAUGCAUGAUAGUCAUCUAUUGCUAUAAAAAGUAUUUGUUGUACAUAAGGCAUGCUAGAGAGUAUAACAAGAUAACCCACGACUAUUAAUUCAUAAAAAAGUUAGAAAUUUUCUAAAUUAAGUUAUAUCUUAAUAUAUCAUAAUGUUAGUAUAUUUAUUUUAAGUAUAGUGCAUUUGUAUUGUACCAAUAUUUUUAGAGAUGUUUAUUAACAUCAUAUUGGCAUUUGGUAUUAACACAAUAUAUCAGUAAGUUAGCGUUGUCCUCUCAAUGCUUUUGAAAUUGUUUAAUGAUUUAUAUUGUAAGUGUAGUAAAUUUGCAUUUGAGAAAAUAAAGGCUAUGCUUAGUUAAGAAAAACACCCAAAAGAAGGGGGGGGGGGGGUGAAUUGGGUUUUUAAAAUCUUUUCAAUCACAAAAAAUUCAAACACAAUAUAAGCAAAGUAAAGAGAGAGUUUAGAGAAUUCAAACUCGGGUUUAUAGUGGUUCGGCACUUCCUUGCCUACGUCCACUCUCCUCAACCUCCUAACCGAGUGAGGGUUCCACUAACUUGAAGCUUCAACCAAGCUUCCAAUCUUCUUACACUUAGAUUCUGGCUCCAAUGUGCUCUUAUACAACCUCUUCAAGAUUCAACCCUCUUGAAGGUUUUAACACUCAGAUUGUUACAAGAUAUAAUCACUCAACCUAGCUUAAGGAUGGCUCAAAUACAAGACAAAGCUAGGAUGACACACAAGAGUGCACUAAAGGAUAUGCAAGUAGUGAUUUAAUGCACUAUGAAGGAAAUGAGAGCUUUUUGAUCAAGAACAGGUAGGUAGGCUAUUGAAUACAAGUGUUCUCUUGUCAAUAAAUGAAGUGGAGCUCUCAAUUUAUAGGGUUCUAAGCUCGGGAGUCAAAAACAGCAAAAGGUAACCUCGUCCGGUCGAGCUAGGGGUCGACUAGUUCACUAGCCGUUGGAGCAUUUAAUGCAUGACAGGUUACCGUUGCCUCAACCAGACCUCGACCGGUAAGAGAAACACCUCAACUAGGAAAAGAAGGCUACUGGGAGAGAGAAAAGGUUUUUGACCUUCCUCGAUGGGACGACCACAACCAGUCGACCGGUUCCUCAAUCGGUUGAGCCGGUUGGGCCUAGCCUCAACCGGUUAAACCUUUUUGGACCCAAAAACCUAUUUUUUGAUUCCUUUCUUUUCUAACACUUAGGCAAGGACUUUAGGUAAAUUAUUAAGCCAAUUUUGAAACAUUUUGCCUAAGGUACAUUAGUUAAAAACUCGGGUUUUAAUGAAAUCGACGUUUUAAAGAAUAAACCGAGUUUUCAAAGAUGCAUGAAACGUGUGAAAAUCCUAAGUGCACUCAUGCAUUCAUCUUACAUUAGUUUCCUAUUAUCACAAGUCUUCUAAGCAUCUCAAUCUUUUAUCCAUUUGGUCCUUUGAUGAAGUUUCAAGUUUAUACCUGAGAUUCUUAAACAUUUAAACCAGUUAGUCACUUAACCAGGGUUUGUUAUCAUCAAAACCCGAUUAGGAGAACCCUUGGGAUAACAACAUUGUACCUAUAUUUUAUGCUAAAAGUAAUAGCUUUAGCGAUGCCUAUUAAGCUUUUGAAAUUGUUUAAUGAUUUUUAUAAAAAAAUCCUUCAAACUUUGUGAAUUGAAAUUAAUAUUUUAUUUGGUUUUUAAGGUUGGUUUAUGACAAAAGGCAUGCUAUGAUAUAUAUGACAAUCACAUAAACCAUUAGUCUUGUCAAACAAUUCCAAAUUUUUGGUAUUAGGUGUUAUUGUAAUAUAUUGUAAUGUUAGUAUAUUUAUGUUGUAAAUUUAUGUAGUACAAUUGUGUCAUUCUUAUAAUUUAAACAAAACUAAUUGUCAAAGAUGCCUUUUGCCAACACAUUAUAUCAAUGUAUUAGCAUUGUCCACUUGAUGUAUCAAAAUAUGAAAAAUAGGGGAAAAAAAAAUCAAUGUCAAGCAAAAUACAUGUCAUACAAAUGAAAAAAAAAUCAAAUAUGAAAAUAAAAAAUUAUACAAAUUUUGAAUUAUUUCAUUAUAAAAAAAUAAUUAUUUGAAAAUACAUUUUCCUUAAAUUGUUGUUUUUUUUUCUUUUUUUUCUUUUUGUUUUCCUUUAUUUUUCAAAAACUAAGAUUGUUGUAAAAAAAAAAAAAAAAAACCUGAUUUCCAAUCUCUAAAAUAAAAACCAAACCCAAGAUCAUUGGAUGUGUUUAUUUAAAAUACACCAACACCACAUUCCUUACAAUAGAAAAACAUUUUUAUUUAAAUUUCAAACAACACAUCCAAAAAAAAAAAAAAAAAGGAAAAAUAUGAACAAAAUAACCCUAUUCUAACUUUGUUGGGUUUAUUCAAGCAUAAGCAAAGGGCUUUAGUCAUGUUCAAUAAAUCCAACAAGAAAUCAAUUUAUCUAAUGCUUCAAUCACCAUGGAUGUGUGAGGAAGACUCCUCACUUACCUCUAAGUUUCAAAUGAGAUGAUAAUAAUUUAUCUAAUGCUUCAAGAAAAGUAUCAUAAGAUCGGAACAAUAUGAAAUUGUUUUAAUGCAAACUUAGAUGAAGGGUUUCAAUAAUGUUUUAUUAGCUUCCAUAUCACCAAUAUAUAUUUUUAUGAAGCUUUUUAACACUUUGGACCAUUAUUUUCUUCAUGGCCUAUAGAGUAAUUUUUGCAAUUUUUUCUUAUCCUCCACAACUUAUCAAAAUGAGUGACCCUUCCCUUAGUAUCACCUCCUAUUGGCCCUAUUUGAUAUUUUUUUUCAAUGAUUAAUAUUCCACUAUGAAUAGGCUGUAGGAACUGAUAGUGACCUACCUCUAUGUAUGAUUAAAGUUUAAAUGUUCAAAGGAGAGCCCCGACACAUGCACAACAUGGAUCUCAAUCCACCACCAUAAAAGUGGGUAAGCCAACAUAAUGUACUAAAGGGGUUGCUGCCACCUUAAUGCCAUAUGCUUGGUUUAUUGGUUCCAAAUCAUCAUAGGUGGCCUUCAAGAGGACAAGUACCCACACAAGGGAAAAAACAACCGUAAGUAUGCUCAACUUCUUGUAUUGACCUGCUUCCAACUAUGUAGAUAUUAUUUGCUUUGAACCUAAGGGGUCCUCACCUCUUUAAAAUGUGUUUACAUGGUUAAAAAGAGUCCAUACUUAUAUAACACUAGGAACUUCCUCCCAUAUUUGAUGUGAGAUAUCAGUCACCCCCUACGUCCUUAUAGUGCCCUAUGAGAUUGUAGAGCCAAAUAGACAAACACUCCUCGCCAAACAAACUCCCAGACUGGGGUUAGGAAUCAACUCUGAUGCUAUUUUAACUAAUCACUCCAAAUUGUGUAGAUAUUAUCUGCUCUGAGCCCAAAGGACCCUCAUGGCUUUAAAACACAUAUACUUAGUUAAGAAGAGUUCAUACUUACAUAGUUCGAAGAACUUUUUUCCUUGUCUGAUGUGGGGCAUCACAAUAACUAACCCCCCAUACAAACAUAACGUUCUUAUUAUGUCCCAUGGGAUUAUAGGGCCAAAUAGACAAACAAAACUCAAGGGGUUAAACAAAGCUCUCACAUCUGGGUCAAGGAUCAACUUUGAUACCAUUUGUAACAAUCUGUUCACAACCGUAUAGAUAUUAUCCACUUUGGACCCAAAGGGUCUCAUGACUUUAAAACGUAUCUAUGUUUUGAUUUGGGAAUAUCAUAUGAUUUGUUUGAUUGUUACGAAAGGCAAUUUUACUUUUCUUAAUUAAUUAAAUGAUUUUGGAAACUCUAGAUAUCAAUGGCCCUAAUUAAUAGAGGCUAAGUUGUUGACCUUCAUUGCCCUUGGUAGGGAGAGUGAUACAGUGCAAUCCUGGCCAAUAAUGGUGUUAUUAGCCUUUGGUAUACCAUUGAUUGGAAAUUGAUAUGUCCACUAGUAAAAGGAACAUUUUAAGGUUAACCACCUAGUGCAAGUCCCAAUAUUUAGUCAUAGUAUUAGUGGACCAAAGUAAAAUGUUUGUUUGUGAAAUUCUUUUGAAUAUGAAUUGAUUAUGUGUAGACCCCUCUUUUAGAUCGGAGAGUAAAGAUAUUCUCUAUGGAGAGGAAUGAUAGACCAACAAUUGGACGGAUAUUCUACAAAAGGUGGUUUUUCUCUUUUUGGGUUGGUUAGGGAGAGAGAAAAGGUAAGCCAUAAAGAGGGUGACAUGUGGAAAGGGGAUUUUCCAGGCCAUUAGGGCUUAGGAAGAGAGAAAUGUUUUUGGGAAGUUUCAUAGAGAGAGAAGGAAGGACUGUAGGUGAGGAGAGUAGCUUGAGGAGAAAGAAAAAGGAUUUUAGGGAGAACUAUGAAUGAGGGUUGGAGAUGAGAGAGAGAGAAAAAAAAAGAGGAGUUGAGUAUGGUAGAUGUGUUUUAUGAGAUUCAGGGGUUUGAGUGAGAGAUGGGAAUAGGGAAGAGAGAAGGUGAGCCUACUAUUUUUGUUGGGUUUUAGAGAGUGAGUUAGAGUGGUGGAUUUGGAGCUGAGCAGUAGAGAGAGAAAAGAGAGCUGAUGGAUUGGAGCAAAAGGUAGAGAGAGAUGGCUUGAACAGGGAACUGCAGAGGAUGGUGAGCUGGGCAAUGUCCUUAGCAAGAAGAGGUCGAAGGAGAGAGUAAAGAAGGGGGGGGGGAUUCAUUAGCUUGCAUGCUCUGGGAGGUAAGUUCUUCAUUGUAAAAUAUCUGCUCCUUUAUGCAUUUCUUUCAUUUGCAAUUGUUAAGGCUUGUUGGAUACUUUGACAUGGCCAUCAAAGGCCUAUAUGCUUGCUAUUAAUUUUAGGUAUGGGUGUCAUGUUAUGCAUUUGAUCAUUUUAUUGAUCUUUAGACUGUUUGGGUCGAGCUAUAGGGUGUUCAUGUUUCAUUUUCAUUUGGAUUUGUUGAGAUUGAUUAAAGCUUUGUUCUAGUUUUACAAUAAGAUGCUUGCAACCAUGUUUUCAUUUAUCUAUUCAUUCAUCCAACUAUUUAUAUUUAAAGUCCAUUUUGGUCUUUCCCACCAGUUAUCUAGCUCAUUGAUGACCCAUGAAAAGGGGCUUCAUUUGGUGUUUUCUUUAUUUGUUUUUUUGCUUUGUUUCCAUGGUUUCCUUCCUACUUUUGUCUUCCCCUAUUAUUGGUAAUUUUUAUGGCAUGCAUGAAUAUGUGCCUCAACGAUUGAUGAUGUCGGAGUGACUUCUGGGUGGAUUUGGGAUUCUGAUUUGUUAUAUGAGACUAGUGAUUAAAAUAUCGGGAUAUUUCGCCGAAAUAUCAGUGUGUUGGUACAUAUGGAUAUGAUAUUUUCAACCGAAAUAUCGUUGGUCAACGUAGAGUGUUGACUAAGUCAAAGCAGCUAAAAAAUGAGAGAAUUUUGCUGUUCCCAGGACUCGAUCCCUCAACCAAAAGGUUGGGGCCAACAUCCAUCAACCAUUAGGGCAAAUUUGCCCUUUGUUAAUUACCAUGCACCACACACACACACACACACACACAUAUAUAUAUUAAAAGUGUUCAUAUACACAAAAUAUUAAAACAAUCCUUUAAACAAUGAAUUAAUUAUAAUUAUUUUAUAAGUAAAUAUUUUUUUUUUCAUUUAAUUAAGUAGCAAAAAGUUUUUUAUAUCAUUAAUAUAUUAAUUAAAUAUUAAAAAUUAUACAUUUAUUAUCAUUUAAUACAAUUAAAUUAAAUAUAUCAUAAUUUUAAUAUUAAAUAUAUUUUAAAAUUAAACAUAUUAUAAUCAAAUAUCAUAAUAUUAUUAUUGAAUAAUAUUUGAUGUAAUUUAAUAAUCAAUGUAGACUUAUAUAUAUAUAUAUAUAUAUUCAACAAAACAACUUUAAAAUGACUAUUAUACUUCUAAUUUCAUUUAUAAGAGCUUUGUUUUAUAUUUUCAUAAGUUUUGAUCAAUUUUAGGCUAAUCGAUAUUUUGUGUCAAAUAUCCGUCGAUAUAUCCAUAAAAUCGAACUACCGAUAUAUUUGUGAUUACCGAUAUUUUUAUUCUUGUCUGAGACUUCACCUUUUGAAACAAGGAGAUUGUUGAAUGCUCUCCCUUAGUUUAAUGGUUCUUGUGAAAUUCGUGAUUCUGUAUCAAAUAAAUGGGUGGAAAUAUAGUCAAUGCUAUAGAUGGAGGGCAUGAAAUGAGUGGUCAUAUUUUUUUUAUUUUUUUUUUGUCGGCCAAAGCUGAGAUUGAUUCAUUUCAUUGUGGGAUUGAGCUCCAUAAAACGGGGUCCAAAAGGAGAUUGUAUAGAUAUCUCUCAGAUGGGAUUCACGAAGGUCAAGGCUCAUGGAAUAUAAAAUACCUGUGUUUAUGUCAUCAAGAAGCACAAUGCAAGCUUCUGAUUGAAGUUCACAAAUUAGAGAAGCUAUGUCACGACCCAAAUUCCAAGCAACCCAGAAUUUGGCCCAUGACCCCAGGUUAAAGGUUUGACCCUAAGGGUUCCUCCUAAUCUAUGUUGGCAGUCAACCAAAAUACUCUGAUUUUUUUUUUCUACACAUAAAUAACACUAGAGCUCCCUCCAACUAACAAUCCAAUUUAUCAAUAUACCAACCACUACUUAAGAGCAACAAGAUAUAAUAAUUAUCAUUAAAGUUUAGAAAUAGGAGUUCACAGUUGAGCCAAUUAAUUAGAAUAAAGUCUCUAUAUAUAUAGUUUCAAAGUUUGCUAAUAUAAAUUCCAAAAUAAACCAACAUAACAAAUACACUACAAUCUACUAUGUUGCUCCAAAAUCUCCUAAGGCAUCUUGAAGCCCUCCCUGCCCCAUCUGUGGAUCCUUAGGUGUCACAUUUGCAUCUAAAAAAAUAUAAGAAGAAAGGGGUGAGCAUUCCAUAUUGCUCAGUAGGGUGCCUUACACCCAAAGGGUUGAUUGGGAUUAUUAAGUUUCAAGUGAACACAAAAGAAACAUUCCAUUAGCAUUAAUCAACAAACAUAUUUUAAUUUUAUGAUUAUAACAAUUUAAUAAUUUUCCACAAUUAAAUAAAAUACAUGUGGAUAUGUGACACACAAUCAUACAAUGCACCGUCAUUCUCGGGGUCCGUACCUAAAUACACUCCCCAUUCGGAGUCUUCCUGAGGUAGAUUUUUGGGUCUUUUACCCUAGGGAUCUUACUCCCUUCUUAAUUUGUCUCACACGGGCCUUUACUUUUCAUUACAAUUUUUUUUUUCUUUUUCCAUUUCAUGAACUUUUCACAGUUUUUAUUUUUCUUUCACUCAACCAUGAUGUAAAUGAAAUGCAAUAAGGUUAAUUAUACUUUUUCACAAAUAUCACAAAUAUCAAAUAAAAUUCCAACUAGUUCAAAUAUCAUUGAAAUUACAAUUAUACUAAAAUUCCAUAAUUUUCCCACAACCCCUAUAAUUCCAAUAACCAAAUGUAAUUAUUUUCUUCACAAUAAAAUUACCCAAAAUAAUCAAAUAAAUUUCCAAUAAUUCAAAUCUCAAUUAAACAUAAUCUCUACCAAAAUUUCAUAAUUUUUCCACAAACCCAAUAAUUCCAAUAGUUAAAUAUAAUUAUUUUCUCUACAAUAAAAUUACAAAAAACAACCAAAUAAAUUUUCAAUAAUUCAUAUCUCAAUUAAGCAUAAUUUCCACCAACAUUCCAUUAUUUCUCAACAAUCCCAAUAAUUCCAAAAGUCAAACACAAUUAUUUUCCAUAAUUAAACACUUCCAUUAUCACACCAAAAAUCCCAAGGAAAAUUCCUAAAUCACCCAAUAAAAUUUCUUACAUCAUAAAUAUUACUUAUUUACCUUCCAAUAACAAGAUUUAUAAUUUUUUUUAAAAAGAAAAGUGCAUUAAAUAAAAGUUUUAAGGUUAAGUUUUCCUACCACAUAUCUAACAAUCUAACAGUUGAAAAUGAAAUCAGCCAUCGUAGAAAUGUUCCUUGCGUCGAGUAGAACUUUUCCUCAAAAUUUCACUCAAAAAGGACGACAUUCGGUAGUCCAAACAGACGGCCAAAGGUAGCAAUACUGUGACUCUGCCCUUGCACCUCGAUAGCCACUACAAAGCCCUUUCUUUUUAUUCUUCUUUUUUCUUUUCUAUUUCUUAUUUUUUUUGCUUUUAAACCUCGCAACCACCAAGUGGCCCACGACCCAACACCAUUCAAAAGCCUUAAUAUUAUUUGAUUUCUUUUGUUUUUUUUUUUUCAAUUCAUUUCACUUUCUUUUCUUAAUUCAUUUUUCAUUUCAUUUCAUUUUCAUUUUUUAAAACAACACAAAAAAUAAAUUAUUAAACACCAACCCAAAAAUUUAUUUUUCUCAAAUUUAUUAUUAAGCAAUUUAAUUUAAUUUUUACUUAAUUAGUUCUAGUUAAUUUUAAUUAUUUAAUUUUUCGUUUUUGCUUUUUGUUUUCAGAAAUUUUCAAUUUCUACAAUCCUAAGAAAUUUUCUACCCUAAAGCUGACAUGAAACAAAAAAUUCAACUCAAUUAAUUGACUAAAAAAAUAUUUCGAAUUCCAGCAAUUCAAAUUUGACACGUGUUCUCCAAUCAUUUUUUUUUUUUUUACUUUUCAACCAUUGUUCAAUAGAAGACUUUUCAAACUAGAAAUUCUAACGUGGCCUAAAAUAUAUGGUCAUUACAUCCUAUCUCCCUUAAAGAAUUUUUAUCCCAAAAUUAAAACGAGCUUACCUAAAAAAUUAUAGAAGAGUUGUGGAUAGUGUCAUCUCAUUUCUUCCUUAGGUUCCUCAGUGUUUUCUUCCAUCCCAUGGUUUUGCCACCACAUUUUGAUUGUGGGAAUCACCUUGUUUCUGAAUCUAUGCUCUCCAACUUCCAGAAUUUGCAAAGGUUCCUCCACAUAAGAAGUAUCUUCGCAAAUUCGAACAUUUUGCAUGUCAACUACCCAAGUUGGAUCUGGAGUACACUUUCUUAGCAUCGACACAUGGAAGACAUCAUGUAGGUGGGAUAACUAUUGAGGCAAGAUUAACUUGUAUGCCACUGGGCCAACUCUCUUAUCGAUUUAAAACGGUCCCACAAAUCUAGAGGCUAACUUCCCAUUUUUUCCUAAAUCGAAAUAUGCCUCUUCAAGGAUACACUUUUACAAACACCCAAUCCCUUUCCUCAAACUCCAAGGGCCUUCUCCUUUGGUCUACAUAGCUUUUCUAUCUAUCUUGAGUAGUCUUAAGCUUUUCCUUGAUGAGUUGUAUCUUUUCUGUAAUAUCUUGGACAAUCUCAGGUCUUAACAAACGACUCUCACCCAAAUCUAUCCAACACAAGGGCGAUCUACAAGGUCUCCCAUAGAGUGCUUCAUAUGGUGCCAUUCCAAUACUAGAUUGGUAACUAUUGUUAUAAGCAAACUCUGCCAAAGGUUAGUAGUCUGCCCAAUUCCCUCCAAAGUCCAAAACACAAACCCUUAACAUGUCUUCUAAGAUUUGGAUCACUCUUUCUGAUUGACCAUCUAUUUGAGGGUGAAAAACAGUGCUAAAAUUCAAUUAGGUGCCCAAAGCCCUUUGUAAACUUUGCCAAAACUGAGAAAUAAACUUAGGGUCUCUGUCAGACACUAUAGACAAAGGUAUCCCAUGCAAUCUCACAACCUCCUGUAUAUACAACUUAGCCAGAGAGUUCAUGGAGUCAGUAGUCUUCAUGGCUAGAAAAUGAGUUGACUUAGUAAGAUGGUCCACAAUCACCCUAACUCCAUUUUUCUUGCUUCUAGUUCUUGGCAACCCUAUCACAAAGUCCAUAGUGAUAUGAUCCCACUUCCACUCAGGUAUAGGUAAAGGUUGCAACAACCUUGCAGGCCUCUGGUGUUUAGCCUUCACUUGUUGACAAGUUUGAUAGUUGGCUACAUACUGAGCAAUGUCUCUCUUCAUCCCACUCCACCAGAAUUGUCUCUUUAAGUCUUGAUACAUUUUGGUACUCCCAGGGUGGAUGGUAUACUUUGCCCUAUGAGCAUUUUCUAGAAGUUCAUUCCUCAACUCCACAUCCCUUAGCACACAUAAUCUUCCUUUAAAUCUCACUCUCCCAUUUACAUACAUAGACCAAUUUUCAUCUACUUCACCUUCUACCAACUAGGCUUUAACUUUUUCUAAAAACUCAUCAUGAACUUGGGUCUCCACUAUUCUUUGGAUAAUUAUUGGUCUAGCCGAUAUACUGUACAAGCAUGGACUAUAUCAUUCCUAACCAAGACAUAGCUUAAAAUCCUCAAUAACUGUAUGCAUCUCAAACUCUCUCAACCAUAAGCUAGGUAACUGACCAUAACUUUUCCUAUUCAAGGCAUCUGCUACAACAUUCGCCUUUCUAAUAUGGUAUGAGGAGCAAAAUCAUAAUCUUCCAAUGUCUCCACCCAUUUUCUUUGCCUAGAGUUUUGAUCAUUUUGAGUGAAAAUGUAUUUCAAACUCUUGUAAUCAAAGUACAUCUCAAACUUCUCUCCAUACAAAUAGUGUCUACAAGUCUUAAGGGCAAACACCAUUGCUACAAGCUCCAAAUCAUAUGUUGGAUAGUUCCGCUCAUGCGAUUUUAAUUGCCUUGAGGCAUAAGCUAUCACCUUGUCUUGCUGCAUUAGCACACACCCUAGCCCCACUGUAGAAGCAUCACAAUAAACCGUAAACAACUUUCCACUAAUAGGAGUAGUUAACACUGGAGUAGUGGUUAAUUUCGCUUCAACUCCUAAAAAGCAUUCUCAUACUCCUUAUAUUAUUCAAACUUCACUCAUUUUCUAGUCAAUUGAGUCAUCGGUGCUGCAAUUCUAGAGAAGUCUUCCACAAACCUCCUAUAAUAUCUAGCCAGCCCCAAGAAACUUCUAACCUCAAAUACAUUAGAAGACAUUUGCCACUCCUGCACAGCUUCCACUUUGGAAUGGUCCUCUACUAUUCCUACCUCAGAAACCACAUGGCCUAAGAAAUUCACUUCAGUAAGCCAAAACUCACUUUUAUCCAACUUUACAUACAAUUGAUGUCCUCUUAAAGUUCUAAGGGUGGUCACCAUAUAUUGCUUAUGCUUCUCUAAACUCCUUGAGUAAAUCAAGAUGUCAUCCACAAAGACAAUCACAAACUGAUCCAAGUAAGCACAAAAUAUUCUAUUCUUUAAAUCCAUAAAAGCAACAGGGGCAUUAGUUAACCUAAAAGGCAUGACUAAGAAUUCAUAAUGCCCUUAUCACGUUCUAAAAGAGGUUUUAGGGGCAUCUUCUCUAACCCUCAAUUGAUGAUACCUAGUUCUCAAGUCAAUCUUACUAAAUACUUCGCACCCUUCAACUGAUCAAACAAGUCAUCUAUCCUUAGAAGAGGAUACUUAUUCUUCACAUUAACUCUAUGUAACUUCCUAUAGUUAAUACACAAUAUUAAUGUGCCAUCUUUCUUCUUCACAAACAACACUUGGGCUCCCCAUGGCAAUGUACUUGGACGAAUAAAACCGUUACUCAACAAUUCCUCAAACUGAGUUUUCAAUUCCUUCAACUCAAGAGGGGCCAUCCUAUAGGGGGAUACUGAAAUAAGAUCCGUUCCUGGAUAUACUUCAAUAGAGAAAUCAAACUCUCCAUGUGGUGGUAAACUUGGUAGCUCAUCUAGAAAUACAUCCUGAAACUUUUUUACCACUCGAAUUUCUAUAAUGUCCUUUUGGGCUUUCUCCUUACCACGAAGGCAAGCUAAGAAAUUUAUUAAUCCAUUCCUCAACACAUAUUGAUAGCACAUAUCAAAUUGCGAAAAAGGCAAACUAACAUACUUCCCCUCAACGAAUCAAACCUCAAAUCCAUCUAGCAGACAAAAUAUUAUCCUACGGCAAUGACAAUCAAUAAGCGCUCUAUACACUAUCAGCCAAUCCAUUCCCAAGAUAACAUCAUAUCCAAUCAUAUCCAAAAUCCUCAAAUCCACCUUAAGUGCUCUAUCUACCAAGGUAAUAACGCACCCCUUACAUAUUCUAUCAACUCUAGAAUUUGUACCCAUAGGGGACUCGAUAAGUAAUAGAUUUUCUACACUUUCCGUUUUCAACCCCAAUGCAUUAGCACAAGAUGCAGAAAUGAAAGAAUAAGUUGUACCAGUAUCAAACAAAACACACACCCAAGUACUAUAGACCAAAAUCAUACCUUCCACCAAAAGGGCGUCAUCAUCUAGCUCUGUUGGGGUUAAAGCAAAAACUCUACCUAUCGCCUGCCUUCUCCUACCUCUAGCACUCGACCUCUAAGAAGAUUGAGUCUGACUACUCAUAGUGGUUGUCCGGGCUCCUUGCACUGUUGGGGGUAACUACGACAUCUAGUAGUAAGGUAUGUGAACCUGAGGGGGCUAGAAAGGCACUGCUAAUUGCUAUUGAAGGCCUCAUUGAGGCUGAAAUUGAGUCGGUUGUGUGCCCAUUAAUGGGCAAGCCCUCCAUAAGUGAUCUUUCACCCCACAACCAUAACAUACUCUAGUAGUAGCUGCCCUCUAAGCACUCUGCUCACCUUCUACAUAGAAUGAAGAAUGUCCCUCAAAUUGUUGACAUUUCUGCCUCUAAUGCUGGCUCUAGGAUCUCCUCUAGGAACUUUCUGCCAUUUUUUGUUUUCCUUUUCUGUCUCCCAUUUGUUCCCAAAUUUGAUUGGUUUCCUCUAUGUCUUGUUCCACCAAUAAAGCUCUCUUGACCAAUUCAGAAUAGUCCCUUAUAGCCAAUGAGACCAAUCUCUUUCUAAUAGUAGGCCUCAACCCCUACUAGAAUCUCUUGGCCUUCUCUCCUUCCUCACUAAUCAUCCCCAAGGCAAAUUUAGACAACUCUGAAAAGCGAGAUUCAUAUUCCAACACUGACAUAGUUCAUUGGAUAAAGUGCUCAAAUUCCAUCCUCUUGGCAUGCUUAGCCACCUCUCCUAAAUAUUUGCCCAUAAAGAUUCUUUCAAAUUCCUCCCAAGUCAUCACCUCAAUGUCGUAUACUCUCUUCAUUGAUUCCCACCAAAAAAUCUACUUUGUCUACUAGCAUAUAUGCCGCUUAACUUACCCUCAUUUCCUCAGGUAUGUCCAAUCCCACUAGCAUUCUCUUCAUUCUCCUCAACCAAUGUUCCGCUGCUUCAGCAUUGGGCUCUCCAUUAAAAGAUGGAGGUUGCAUCACCAUAAACCUCUUCAUUGCCUCCAUUUGGCUCAUUACUGGCCUUAUAAAGUGACUCAUGCUUUGGGAGUGGUCUGAAUCCUCCUGGCCUUGUGUACCUCAUGACUUUUUGGAUCCUUGGCCUCUCAUUAACUGAGCGGUCUUCCAUAAUUCCCUUCUUACUUUCCAAAGUUCUUCCCUUACCAACUCUAACUCCUCAUCUCUUUUAGUUCUUCCUUUUCUUGGCCUUCCUGCCAUUUCAAUCCCAAUGAGCCCUAAUCUAACCACACUUCCAAGGUGAGCAAAAUAAAUUCACAUAUAACCAAUUAACAACUUUAACAACUACUAAAAACUUCACUUUCAUACAAUUAUAAUAAAUUUUUCAACAUAAUUAAAACCAUAACACUUCUUACUAUCAUCAACAAACACCACAACAAGUUUUUUCAAACAUCAGGAAUAAGCAAUUAAAUAAUUUAAUUAAUAAUCAACUCAUUAACUAAAUACAUAUAGAAAAUAAAAAACAUAGCAAUACACAUGAACAUACACAAACACUGACCCCAAUGUAUUAUUGCAACCUUGGCUUUGAUACCACGUUGUCACAACCCAAAUUCUGGGUGACCAAAAAUUUAGCCAAUGACCCUAAGUCAAAAGUUUAACCCUAAGGGUUCCUCCUAAUCCACGUUGGCAGUCAACCAAAAUGCUUUGAAUUUUUUUUUUCUACACAUAAAUCACACUAGAGCUCCCUCCAACUAACAAUCCAAUUUAUCAAUAUACCAACCAGUACUCAAGAGCAACAAAAUAUAAUAUUAUCAUUAAAGUCUAGAAAUAGGAGUUCAUAGUUGAGCAAAUUAAUCAGAAUAAAGUCUUAUUACAAAUAUAUAUAGUUUCAAAGUUUGCUAAUAUAAAUUUCAAAAUAAACUAGCAUAACAAAUACACUACAAUCUACUAUGUUGCUCCAAAAUCUCCUAGGGCAUCCUGAAGCCCUCCCUGCCCCAUUUAUGGACCCUCAGUUGUCACAUCUACAUUUAAACAAAUAUAAGAAAGAAGGGGUGAGCAUUCCACAUUGCUUAGUAGGGUGCUUUACACCUAAGGGGUUAAUUGGGAUUAAGUUUCAAGUGAACACAAAGUUAGACUUGGGUACUACCUGUGUGAAGCCUCGAAACUUUAGUUGUGGAAAUUACUUACUUGAUUUGUGAACAUUAGAGCAUGACAUUAUGUGCACCUUUGAUAUAGCUGUGGUUGUACCUUAUGUACUACCUUAAUCUACCUUAGGUACUACCAUGGAUUGAAAUAUCGGUAAACACGAAUAUAUCGGUACUUGGAUUUUAUGGAUAUAUUAGAAAUAUUAGAGAAAUAUCGGUGGAUAUUUUUACACAAAUAUUGGUGAGACAAAAAUUAUCCAAAAUUGAUGGGAGUGCUUAGAAAAAUCCAAAGAAUGAUAAAAUAAGCAAGAAUAUACAUGUUAAAGUUAUUUAUAAGUGUAAUUGACAUAAAUAUGGUCAAAAGAAAAAAAUACUGGUAAAUAGUUUAUGAUACUUGAAUUUUAAGAAUAUAAAAUAUGAAUUUUGGAAUUGUACACUAAGAAAGUUAGAAUUGAGUUAAGAAAUAUUUGAUUUUAUUAAAUGAAAACAAUUUACACAUAAACAUAAUACAUAUAACAUUUAAAUAGUCCUUAAUACUAAAAUGAAGAUCGAUGUGGUUCCAUCAUAUUGUUAGAUGAAGAGAGCCCAUCUUGUUGAAGACAAUAUUCAUACUAGGAUAUGGAGUUUUGAUAAUAUUGAUUGUAAGUACGAACAUGCCAUGUAUAAAUGAGAUAAAUAUAAAAAGUGUUAAAAAAUAAAAUGAUAAUAUAGAUUUAAAAUAAAAAAUAAAAUAAAAAUGAAUAAUGAAAAAAUAACAAAAGAUAAAUAUUUUUUUUUUUAAAAGAAAGCUUUCAAAAAAAUCUUCGAUAUUUCCCCGAUAUAUCCGAUAUUUUCAUUGAUAUAUCCGAUAUAUUUGCCGAUAUAUCCAAUAUAUCAUCGAUAUAUCUCCGAUAUUUUGACAGGCUUCCUCCGCUACUUCGUGUGUCACUUCAUGCUUGAUUUUUUUCGUCGAUUUAUCGGUUCCAAAUCGAUAUAUCGUCAAUAUUUUGCCGAUUUUGUCGAUUUUGCUGAUUUUUUGUUGAUAUUCCUCCCAUUCGAUAAUCAGUGUUGAAUUUCAUUUCGAGGCUGCCUGAUAUCCGAUAUAUUGGCGAAAUAUUGCCGAUAAAAUCCAUUUUUUCAAUCCAUGGGUACUACUUUAACCGACCUUAGGUACUACCUUAGCUAGACUUGGAUACUACCUGUGUGAAGCCUUGAAACUUCAUUUGUGGACAUUACUUGAUUUGUGAACAUUAGAGCAUGACAUUAUGUGCACCUUUGAUAUAGUCGUAACUGUACCUUAGGUACUACCUUAGUAGCCCUUAGGAACUAUCUUAAUCUACCUUAGGUACUACCUUACCCAACCUUAGGUACUACCUUAGUUAGACUUGGGUACUACUUGUGUGAAGCCUUGAAACUUCAUUUGUGGACAUUACUUACUUGAUUUUUAAACAUUAGAGCAUGAUAUUAUGUGCACCUUUGAUAUAAUUGUGACUGUACCUUAGGUACUACCUUAACUGAAUUUAGCACUACCUUAGUUAGACUUGGGUACUACCUGUGUAAAGCCUCAAAACUUCAUUUGUGGACCUACUUUGUUUGUGAACAUUAGGAAGUUUCUUUAUCAACAUUAGGUACUAUCUUUGUCAACCAUAGGAUUGACAAGUUGUAUUCAAUCAAGAUGGAACUUACAACGUCUUUAAUUGCACAUAGAAUUUAGUAUGACAUUAUGUUUUAUUAGGGUGGUUAGUUGGUUCACCUUAGGUAUAGUGGUUACUGAACCUUGCGUACUACCUUAAUCAACCUUAGGUACUACCUUAGUGAACCUUAUGUACUACCUUAGUGAAUCUUCAAAACUUCAUUUGUGAACCUUAGUUACUUCAUUUGUGAACAUUAGGAAGUUCCUUUGUCAACCUUAUUGAACCUUGUUUUUUUGUUGUAAACUGGCUACUAUGCUUGAUUUCUACUCGCUUAUAAUUUAUCAUUUGCUUAGUUUUUAAUUAUCUUAAAGAUAUUGUUCUUCACUGCCCUCUAGCAUUAUGUUUAUGGUCUUGUUUACCACAUGAUGUCAUUCAAAUGUUUAUAGUCUUGUUUGCAUUCAUGUUGAAGUAGAUGAUGUUUUUUCUUGGAGUCAAUAGAAAAUUUUAUAAAAAUUUCAUUUUCAUACCCUGUAGUUGCAUGUUAGUCAUUGAAAUGGUCAUAUUAUUGGGAAAAAACUUCUAGAAUGUUUGGUCAUGGUGGUAUGCAAACUUAUGUCUUCCCCUUAAAGUAGGAACUAAUGAAAUGUUCAAAAAUGUUUAUUUCCCUAUAUCACUUACAUCUAUGGUGCAUUCCUCUAUGACACAAUAUUGUUAGCCAUAAGGAGUAUGUCAUUUACUCUAUAGUCAUCCUGAUCCACACUUCCUGAAUUAGACUAUUUUAUUUUGUGAUGAUUGAUAGAUAACAUUUUUUUUUUUUGUUCAUUUUUUACCUUUUAGCUGCUUUUUGACGUAAAGGUCCAUGAGCACUUACAUGAAGAGAUGUGCUGGCAAAAAUUCAAAGACAGAAGAUUUGUGGAGUGUUCUUUUAGAAGAACUUAGUGUUCAAGUGAACUUAAUGAUUAACACCUAGACAAAGCAAAAAUGAUAUCAUAUUAUUUUUGCAAAAUUCAAACAUGCUUCUGUUAUAGGUUUUUCCAUUAUAUAUACUUAUAAAUUGCUAAAUUUGAUGUAUUGCUUAGGUUGUGUUGUCCUAGGUUUUUUCAUCUAGUUCGUUUGUUGAGGGACAAUGGAUUGUUCCGAUAAGCUUAUGUAUUGGUUCACACAACAGAAACAAAAAUUUCAUAACAAGUUAGAAUAGUGGAUAUAUCUUAAUUGCUUUAUUCUUAUUAUCGUAAUUCGAGUUCAUCAAAGGGAAAUGAUUAGUGCAAAUGCAAGAAACACUCAUGGGUUAAAAUUAAUGUGUAGCAGAUUGGUUUCUAUAACACACACUCUAAAAGAAUUAUUUUUUUUUAUAACCCCACUUGGCAUAUGUCAAGAAUUCCUAACCCACUCUUGGAUUAGACACAUUGAUAGCUGAAUAACCCGUCCAAAUUGCAAGUAUAGUAAGAUUCAAUCGGUUUGCAAGGGAAUCCAUGCAAUAGCACCAAUAGUUUACUUCAAACUUUUUUAUUAGUUUCUAGAAUUAUAUGCUUUUUAGUUUUCAUCCUAUGUAUGUGUCAAAGACGGCAGUAGGUAGCAUAUUAUGUCCAAAAAGUUACAGAACAUGAUUGAAUAAGAAAAAAUAGAUUGUCUUGAUAGUUGGUGAACCUUACCAUGGAUGAUGGACAAAGAACAAGUCUAAACCAAAAGAAAAAAAUCUUCAAGAAAUCUUGUUUGUUUUGCAAGAAAUGAAAUCUCAUUCCUCAUAAAAUGGGGUUAUUUGUUCCCAAAAAGAUGGAACAAAAUCUUUAAAUUUUCUUUCCUUCAACCAAACAAAACAUAACAGAAAAAAUAGCUAUCUUCUCAAAACUAUGAACAAAUACUAAGACUUUUUUUAAAAAAUUAUUCCAACACACACCUAAUGAAUAAACCAAAAACACAAGCAAAACAAACAAGCUCCUGUGUAUCAAUACAUUUAUUCGAUCGCAGACAUCUAAGACGAUGACUUCAUCUCUGAUUUGAUAACAACAACCAACUAAUCAUAAGCUUCUGCCCAUGCAUUCUUCAUUUUUGGUGAUCACAUUUCAGGAACUGCUUCCUUUAUUAUUUCUAACAAUGCAAACUUUGUAGCCUAUAUGAUCAGAAUAAUUAAUUUUUCAGGUUCAAAAAUUGUGUGUACAUCAUUAGAUUGAAAGAGUUGCAGCAUCUUGAAAAUUUCAUACACUUUAUGUUACCUGAUAGUGUUCAUCAAGGACACCAGAUUUGUAGUGAACAACACCUAAUUUCUUCAAGGUUGAGUCUCUCGCUGUCACUUUGUUGGCUUUUCAAAGUUGACAUAUUCUAUCUUGGUGGGGUUUGGUUGAAAAGUCCACCUAUAUUAUGAGCUAUAAAGAGGUAGAAUUCACAUCUAUAGAUGAUUGGAAUAAGGGUUUUUUUUUUUUCUUUCUAAUUAUUGUAAUGUUCAUAAUCCUCAAAUUUUGUAUAUGGUCAUCUUUAAUAACCCAUUUGAGGGUGGGGGGGAAGAGUAACCUACCAUAACAAAAAUAGCCAUGGCAUGGGACUUGAGCUUUGGGUUCUUCUCUAGAGGAACCUUUGAGUUUUUCAGGAAUGAGAACCAUUUCUGAUAUGAUGGAGCAAUCUCAAAUAUUCUAUAAAAAUUGAAUCCAACACUUCCCAAUCAGAAACCAAAGCUUUAUUCAAUUUUUAUAUAUCAUCAAGAAAUUAGGUAAUUAUCAACAUGUAGAGAAGAAUAAAGAAAAUUUGAUUUACUUCAUGAUUCAUGCCCGAUUGGUGUUCCAAUUGAUUCAACUCAAUUGAUGUGCUUUGAUCUCAAUCCUCAGACGGGAGUAAUCAACAAAAUUUAUAAACCUAUUUCACCAUAUACCAGGGUAGCAUUUAGCUAGCAUAGUAUAGUGGCUCUAGGAUCGUCCACAAAGAUGGGUUUUCACUUCGCAAUUGAUAUUAGUUCAAAAACUGAAUUGGUGCUUUUUCUUUUCUUUGUUAGCUUUAAAAGAAGACAUAAGUUUGAAUGAAAACGGAUGGUAUUAAGCUAACCUAACAUAAAGUAACUAAAAUUAACUAGAAAGAAAUUAGAAAGAAAGGUGUUUCUUGGGAUUUCAGAUUACUAGGAUCAGGUGCCAACUACAAAGAGGGAGAUUCCGGUCACUUGAAUCUUUUCCUCGCAUUCAGAAUUUAACCUAUAGUUAUUUCCCGAACCGGUGUGAUACAGAUGCUUGCCAUUAAUGGUUUCAAUGCUAAAUCCCUCUCACUGAUACACCUUGCAAUGGCUUGUACCUCUCACCUAGUAUUUGCCAUUCAAGGUGAUCCUUACCAUCGGAUCAUCCUUCACAAGCGAACAAGAGAUAACAAUUAGACCUCCAUGGAGCAAGAUUGCAAGCAAUAAGAAUCCAUGGAAUCCGAAAGCUUACCAAGUAUUGGCUAUUCAUGGUAAUCCUAGUUAACUAAAAAUAUAAAAACCAAAAACGGAUCACACUUUCUCUUCAUUAAAAAAGGAAACAACAAAAUCUCACACUUAUGUAGUCGGAACCUUACUUAGCUUCUUUCACCCAAGAAACAAAAAGCCUAGCCACUCAUCCUCUGAGAAAACAUCUCAGAGAAUGUUUGGUUAGCAAGAAAAUGAAAAUGAAAGAGAAGGAAAAAUAGAGCAAGGCUCUGUAUAUUCUAUAUAUUGAUCGAUUCUACAUACUUAUAUAUCUAUAUUUUUUACAAUGGAUGCAAGAGAAUAUAUAUAGAGAAGUUUUUCCAACCUUCCUAACUAAGAAAUCUUAUGGUUGGUGGAUUACAAGGAGAAGAAUGGAAAUUUAUACACAAAUAUCUAAAGAAAAGAUCUAAAAGAGUUGGUGCACAAAUAUCCCAGUUCGCAUGUAGAUUUCGCACGUUGCAUGGUGACUUGCGAAAAUCUCGCAAGUUGAUUUCGCAACUUGGAAUCUAUUUUCGCACGUUGAGCUCCAAGUUCGCAAGUUGCAAAAUCACUUUUGCAAGUUGGGCUUCUCUGUGACUGUGCGGCUGUAUUCCAUUUCCAUUUCGCAAGGUAGGCUUUAAUUUCGUACGUUGGAGUUCCAAAUUCGCAAGAUGCGAAUUUGUCCUUCAGCUGGAUGCAGUUGUCUUGCGAAGGCCAUAUCUUCCUCAUUUCAAAUCCAAUUCAUACACCGUUUGAAGCGUUAGAUUCUUGACUUCCUGAGCUUUGAAAUGGUAUAUAGCAUGUAGAAAAUGGACUUUGGGAAGUGCUCCAAAAGUGUGAAAGAAGACUGCAGCUGUUGUCCUCUAUUUUCUUCACUCUGUUUUUCCUCUCUCCGUUGUUCUUUCCUUGCAUACUUUGAACGACUUUGGCAAAGUGCUAUGGAGCUCCAAAGCUUGGUUCUUCAUGAAUUUGAGCUUCCAAAAGCUUUGUCAUGAACUAUAUACAGCUCUCCCUCAUUCUUGGAUUGCUUUGGUGUAGCUAAAAGCUAUUAAAAACACCAAAACUUAACACANNNNNNNNNNNNNNNNNNNNNNNNNNNNNNNNNNNNNNNNNNNNNNNNNNNNNNNNNNNNNNNNNNNNNNNNNNNNNNNNNNNNNNNNNNNNNNNNNNNNAUUUGAGCUUCCAAAAGCUUUGUCAUGAACUAUAUACAGCUCUCCCUCAUUCUUGGAUUGCUUUGGUGUAGCUAAAAGCUAUUAAAAACACCAAAACUUAACACAAUUUGAUUAGAAACGAUUGCAAGGGUCUUUAACAUGUCAAUUGAGUUAAAAGGUAAUAAUUACUACUCAAGAGUGUUUAAAAGAGUUAAUUACAAGCUAUAAAAUAGCACUUUUUGAGUAGUAAUCACUUCAAGAAGAAUUUAAGACCCAACUCUCCAACAUUCUUCUUCAUUGAAUUCCAAGACUUCAUCACAAGAGCUUCUUACUCCUCUAUGAAACCUAUUAUAUUGCAGAGGAGUUUGUCUGUGGAAGAAAGAUAGGAAUUUUGAAAACGAAAAAGAAAAAAAUAAAACAAUCUAAAAAAAAAUUCUUAUUUUUCUAAGAAUUAUCAAUUUUUGAAGGUUGGCAUCUUUGAAAAUGUAAAAAGUAAUAUUUGAAUUUUUUUUUCUUAAAAAUAAGUUCUAUUUUCAUAGGAAAAAAAAGGUUAAGCCAUAGUUUGCAAGAUUACUCCAUUUAAAUAUAUCUAUUUUGUGAUUUCUAUUUUUAAAGCAAAAAUCAGUUCCUUUUUUGAGACCCAAAACCACAUAAUGAAAUAAAUAGAUAUACAAUCAAACUAUAAGCCUCUAAACAAAAGUAAAAAAGAGAAAUAGUAAUAAUAAUACAUAACACUUACAAAUGAGUUAAGAAUUCACCUCAUAAACAAAAACAACAAAAUUUUAGGCCAUGAGAGCAUUCAAAAAGGUUAGUGAAUUCUAUAUUAUAGUAUUUACAGUGUGUGCAGAAUGGUCAUCUUUAAUAAUCCAUUUAGGGGUGAGGGGAAGAGUAAUCAACCAUAACAAAAACAGCCAUGGCACGGGACUUGAGUUUUGAGUUCUUUUCCAGAGGAACCUUUUAGUGUUUUAAGAAUGACAACAGUUUCUGAGCUAAUGGGCCCUAUAUACUAGGGCCUUCCCACCAGUCUCACCAAACUCAUAGCAAAGCUAGAGGGACUAAAUGGUAAACAUUAUAAAUAGAUUUCACAAACUAAACUUAGUAAGAGCAUUCAACUUUAAACAUGUGUAGUAACGGAUACCAUAACUAUAUGCCCCAACAAAAUAAAUAAAGAGUAACAUACUAAGCCAAAAACUAAGAUGAUAUGUAAUUAUUUACACUAUUAACAAAAAGCAAUUAAAUUAUAUUAAAACUAUAUACCUUGGUAUAAGCAUUGAGGUUUAUAAAGAUCUGUAUCUUGUCUUCAUUGAUCAGUUUGGCAAUCAUAUCAGAUGACAUGGCAAAAACAUCUAAAAGUGCUCAACUUCUGACUGAAUACGAUGUCUCUAUUCAGUUGAAUCAUUUGGACUGAAGGCAUAAUAGAACACCUAGCACACAAAAAUGACAGGAAAAAAAGAAGUUUUUACAUUCUAAUGCAUAUGGCAAGUGAGAUAAGGUUCUUAGAUUGGGAAUGUCGAAUUGUUCACUAGCAACAAACCUUAACAUUUUCUUUGUUGUGCACGCCAAAUACAAAGGCCAUGAGGUAUGAUAGGGGGUGAUUACUAAAGUCACCGCUUAAGUAUCUGCAAAGGUAGAAAAAUAAUUAUAAGAUAUAGAAACAAUGAAAUGAAAUAAUUCAUUUAUAACAUCAAUAGGUACCAAAUCCUUAGUCUCUCAUUUCUACCUUCACUCUUUACAGGAGCAGGAUUUGGAUGGUUGAAGGGAGGAAGAGCAUAUCAAGAUGCAAUUAAGAAGCAGUAUGUUGCAUAUUUUCGCCUUAAAACCAAAAGAAGACCUUGAGUUAGAAACUAUAGCAAUAUGUUGUUAUAAACAUUGUAUUAAGAUAAAGAAUUGACCUUAUUUAUAUAAAUAUUAGCAAAGGGAUUCAUGCAACUAGGCUCCAAACUAAUAAUUUUUUACUUUUUUCUUGUUGCCCUCUUUCAACAUUAGCAUUAGUACUAUCAACAUGAACAAGAAUUAGUGAAUUAGUUCAACAUUAGUGCUAUUAUUUGUGAUAAAGAAAUAAAUAAAAGUUACAAACCAAUAUAACUGACCAGCAUCAUAGUAACCUCUUCCAAUAUGUGCUAUCAUUUAUAAGAAGUUAUGACUACAAUAUGAACCCGUAAAGUCAUUCACAUAAAAAGGAAAAAAAAAAUGAAUGGAAAAUUCAUAAGGAAUAGAAACACUACAAGAUUGUGAGAUCAAGAACAUAAGAGUUUUUCACUAACCUGAUACCCAUGUCAAAAAGUAUAGAUAUGAGGACAAAUUGAGCCUCUGUUUCUGAGUUGACCUUCCAGAACAUUACAAAUGUGUCUUCCAUCUUCAAUAACCCCAUCAGUAAUGACGAAAAUGAGAGGCAUUAGAUAGUAACAAAGGAAAAAAAAAAUCUAAAUUUAUUCUUAAAAUGAAAAUAUUAUUAGUUUCAGUUUCACUAUCAAAGAUUUCACCAAAGAGGUUUAGGCUCUAAACGUUGAGAGAGGUAAUAGAGAAAGGUGGAAGCGUUGGAUCUAAAGAUGGCAAUGGAAAUGUGGUGAAGUAGGGCAAAAUGAGAGGAAGACAAAAAUCUUGUUUCAGAAGUAGGGAAAUUUCAAAUGACAUUCUGUUCGAGUGAUGAAGAAGUCAAAGAAAGAGAGAAAUGUUGUUUGGGAAAUUUCAAACUGCAAUAAUGCAACAUGGAUGCUGAUAUGGAGAUUGGGUAAGGGCAAAGUGGGUAGAAAAAGACCACUCAGCACAGGGUGCAUAAAAAUCAUAUAUUUUUCCAUAUUAAUAGGGGAAUCAUUCCCAAUUUUUGGGUUUUGAAAACCCUAUUAUCUCCGAAUGGGCGGCCCAAAAUACAAGUUUCCCAACCUUUUAUCACACAUCAACUAGAAUGCAGCAAUUGCAAAAACCUACACUCAUUUUGCAAUCUAAAAAAUGAAAAAUUUUCCCAAUUGAAUACUCCCAUUCUCAUUUUUUUUUUAUUUUAAAUUUUCACAUUGUUUAAAAAUUUUUGUUUAAUUUUUUUUUAAAUAGUACUUUAUUAGGUUCAUAUUUGUCUCAUUUUCUAAGCAUAUAAAAAAGACUUGUUACAUGGAAAUAGUUAUAUUCUUUAAAGAUUUAGUAAAUUUUUUAUUAAUAACAAUUUUUUUUAAAAAAAAAAUUAAGAUAUUAUUAAAAUGUUUUUUGUAAAGUAUUUUAAGAAAUAAUUAAAAAUAUGAAUAAUAUUGGUAUUAGAAAUUUGAUGAUAAGUUGUUCAUUAUGAAUCUUAGAAGUUUAAAAAGUGUCAUUGUCUUUAAAAAUUCCGCUUAAUUGGGUUACACCUUUUUCAUUAGUCAGACCCAACUCCAUAAAUUUCAACUACUUCCUAUUUGUCAAAACUAAUCCCACAAUUAAUGUAUGAUUUAAGUUCAUAGAGAAUUUUGUACAAAGGAGGAAAACUGGAAUAGACAAGGCACAAAAAAUCGGGGCUUCUAAAUCAGGCGGGCUUCUUCUUAAACGGAUAUUUAACAUUAAGCCGAUGACAAUCAGCAAAUAGAGAUGGAAAUAGAGAUUGAGACAAUAACAAAUAUUGUGGGAGACAGUGAACAAAUAGGAAGUGAUGAAUGUAAGCUAAUCUGAGUUGCUCAAGUUGAGAUAUUCAGAAUUUAAAGGUCUAAAGAUGUGAGCAGCCUGAGUCUCAAUCCACUCUAUCUGCCCCACGGAGAGGUGCAUGUACACCACCCAGUCUCCAUCUCUGACAGGACUCGGCAUUGGCAUCACGUACCCAGCUUCCCCACCCCAUGGAAAAUGGUAUGACCCCAGAGCCGGCAUACCCCACCCGAAAUCCACCCUUGACACUGGGAAUCUCUGCCCUGAUGACACCACGAAUGCUGGUCCAUCGCGACUGCCACUGUUGUAUAUCUUCGCUAAAGCUGGCUCCGGACGGUGAGCCUCCACCCAAUCUAUCAGCCCCAGGAAAUGCUCCUUUGUUACUGCUCCUUCCAGGUACUCACGAAUUGCAUCUGCCACCCAGCUCAAUGGUUUCUCUUUCAGUUCAUUUAUUGUCUUCUUACCAAAGGGUAUGGACAGUACAUUUCCGAAGUAAGAGGCCAACAUUGCUGCUUUAACCUCGUCUCCACUGCUCAGUCUCUUUCUUCCAUCCACCACGGUGCCCAUCCUGCAUACUUUUUGGUUUGCGUUUUCCGUGACUGCACUUUUGGCCACCAUCUUCCACAGAAAAGCACUGAGAGACUCUAGUUUGGUCCUCUUGCAGGAGUUACUCUUGCUGGUGGCUAGUGAUUGGAGUAGACUGAGCUGCUCGCCUGUGACAUAGUAAAGGCGGUUUAUGAGAAGAUCAUCACCAGGCUGUGGAGCUUUGGGAGGAGGUAAGGCUGACAUGGGGACGUACAUGUUGUCAAGGGAAGGAUCAUAGGAGCCCGGACGUCGAGGGUUGAGGAGAGAGCGCCGGAAAGAUGGUAGUACGGAUAAUGGCUUGGACUGAGCCAUUUCAGCCCAUGAAACUAGAAACAUAUUGGCAGAAUAUGCGUCUGCUAUCCUAUGAUCGAAUGUACAGGCCACCACAACUCCGCCACAUUUGAGCUCAGUCACCUGUCAUUAGUUCAUUUACAUAACAAUAAGCAUGUCACGAUUACAACUAAUUAGGAUUAGCAUAUCACAGAGAGAGAGAGUUACCUGGACUGACAGAACGCCAUGUUUCUUCUUAGGGACAAGCUUGCUUUCAAUGCUUUCAUCAGGGUUAUACAAGUUGAGGUUUUGUAGUUGUACAUCCGCAUAAGCUUCCAUGAAAUCAACCCCACGGUUGUUGCAAAGGAGCUCGGGCUCACCCGCUGAGUUACUCAAAACUUCCCCUGCAAAUGGAUAAUAGGACACCAGUGCUUGGGCCAGGGCCUCCUUCAGAACGCCAAUCAUGGACCCAAAUGUUAAAUCAUGUGGCUUCUUGUAACAGAAAAACACGCCCACAUCUACUGGAGGCAAAAGCAAGUCCAGGUUAGACGUUGGCAGCCAGUACUCCUGCACAGGCAGUACAGCUGCCACUACUUCCUUUCUGCUCACUGUUACUGUGAAAUCUCCACCACCCAUGAAUCCUAAUUAAUUCUAAGUGUCUUUGUAUGCCAGAGUGAGGGAUGGAAGAGAAGCAGACUUGUAAGCGUGCGUCUGAGUGAAAAAUAGCAGCAAGAAACAUGGAUUUUAUAGCACAGGGCAGUACUUGUCCCAAGUCCCCACUGACAUUUUUUCAGAUAUUGAUAAGAAAGUUCGAAAGUUUGAAUGAUGGAUAUGAGAAUGACUACAAAGACCAAGAGUGGUACGAAGGAAUGAAAAUAUUUGUCUUAAUUCUGUUGUGGAUGAGAAAUAAUGAAUUGAUACAGGUUGUAUAUACUGUUACAUAAACCCCAAGGGGGACUCCUUGAAAUGGAAAAAUAAAUAAAUAGAAGGCUGCAGAAAAGAUCUGAUAUACAUUAAUUUCCAUACCUAGGGUAUCCUUGGAAAAGUAGCUAAUAAAUUUGUGGCUUCUCUUUGGUCAUGAGAGGUUAGAUGUCUUCUAAUUGUGGUACAUAUUUUGGUUGGAUAGCUCAUCAAUUCAGUGACGACAAACUGAAUGAAAGUGAAAUUUCAAAGCGAUGCCAUUUUUCAUUUGUCUUAAUUUCCUGAAAAUGAUCGAUGGGGUUAUUUUAGAAGUUGGGAAUUUUCUUGGAAAUAUCUGUAGAUAAUUCUUUGAUCAAUCAAAUGAUUGAUAACUUCAACACCAUUACAUACUCCAUGACGGGUUUCACUUCCUAUUUGUGGUUGAAAGAGAAGAGUUCAAAGACAGAAAAUCUCUGCAAAAUUACACAGCAUAAUAUAUAUACCUAUACUAGACAUGAGGGUAUAUAUAUUUAAUUGAUCUCUGGAAAUCUCUGGAAAGAGACGAGUUCGAAGACAGAAAAUCCCUGGAAAACACCCCUGCAUGACAUGAGAAAGAGACACUUCACCAUUUUACUUAUUUAAUUGAUCGAUUGAAUUUUGGGCCCCCUUGUACCUAAAUACAAGGGUACAGACCUAAAUACAACCUAAAACCGUGAUCACUUUUCCUCUCAAAUUAAGACUCGCAUCUGCUGGCCUUUUAAUUGCAGUGAUCCUACCAAAGAACGCAUGCAUGGGCCAUGUGAGACUGAUAAUUACAAAGGUGGUGUGGUGGUGUACAACUCUAGUCCAUGCAUGGGAUUAGGUCACUCUUUCUUCCUUCACGACAAUGGAAUUGAUUUUAUGGCACUUACCAAGGUUUGGUAAUUGAGAUUUUCGUAUUAUUGGAAGUAUGACAAUGACUUAUAGCGUAGAUAUUUCUAUGCAUCUCUCUUGUAUAAGAAAGGCAUCCAUGCCUUUCUUGAAAAUGUUGGAUUGUUUAUUUUUAAAAGUAAUUUGGAAAAUCGUUUGUUUUAGCUCUUGUCACAUCUUUGAAAUGAUGGGCAACCAAUAGUUAGGAGCUUCACAAAAGAAAAUCCUUGGCAUAUCUUAAGUUCUUAAAUGAAACAACAAACACUACAAUGUUCUCUAAACACAUCUUAAUUAAUUUGAAGGGUUUUGGCCUUUCAAAUAUUAUUUAAUUUCUCCCCCAACAAUUUAUCCACAUUAAAUUUACAUUCAAACAGGACUGGCUUGGUGGGAAACAUUUUUUUGACACAUGAACGCCCAAUAAAUUGCUGAGUUUGUUGAAAGAAUUAGCAUUUUUCAUGGUUUAACUGUUUGAAUGACUGGGCACUAUUCCACAUGUUGUUGUGAUUCGGUUAUUCCUAUGUUCGUACUAUCUUAUUUCUCUAUGGUGGGAAUGUGGUAAACCAGCUAGUUAUUCUCUUGUGAAAAACAAGAAUGAUAAUAGGGAUAUAAAAAUAAGAUGAUGAAAACAGAAAAUAUCAAUGAUUUACAUGAUUUAGCCUAAAACUUAUAUUUAUAGGUGAAAGGAAAGAAGAACUUCCAUUAUUAUUAAAAGAUAUGACAACUCUUGAGUUCCUCUAAUCCCAAAAAAGAGACUUUCUCUCGGCCAAAAUUUCUUUCUAUAUAUAUUCCUAAUUUCAUAGUAAUAUUUCAUAUAGAAAACUAAUUAUAUAACUAUCAAAAGUAUUUAUUUCUAAAAGAAUAUAUCACUAUAUGAUAUUUCCUUUAUGACAAUAGGAAACUCCCUUACAUGAAUGUAUCCUAUAAAGAAAAUAUCGAAAACUUAUCAAUUGACUCAAAUUAGAAUUUGAGACAUUUUUCUAUAUUGUUCACAUUGCCUCAAAUUCGUAAGCUUUGAAUAAACUCGGAAGUCUUACGUUACUUCACUUUCACAGUACCCCUAAGGGACCUUGAAAUCUAUCAACACCCAUUGAGUUUAAGCAAUGUCUGAACUUAAUUAAAUGUAGAAAGGAGUAUAGUCAUAUCAUAUUUGAUGGAUUAUCCAUUGUAAGAAUCUUUUUCACUAUAGUAACACCCUAUGCAAUCCCAUCCUUGAUAAAAUGCAAUCUAACAUCAAUAUAUUUGGUCUUCUUAUGAAACAUCUAAUUUUUAGUUCAAUAUACGACAUUUUGGGUAUCACAACACCCAAUAGAAAACUCUUGUUGUAAGUCUAAAUUGUCAACUAAACCCUUGAGCCAAACAUGAAAUCAUCACUUCCAAGAAGGAAAAUAUCCCCAUUAUAGAAGGAGAGUCAUUAAAAGACUUUCAAAACAUAAGUCAUGUUAAACAAAAUCCUGGCUUACAUAAAUGGAUUUAAAUUGAAUCUUGUCAUACUAAAGACUCUAAAUUGAUUUGAUGAAAUAAUAAGGUUGAUGAAUUAAGGAUGCCAGGUACCUAAGGUGUGUGGUUGUUUUUAACUAUGGAAUUGAUCUAUCAGUUAUUUUACGUGUCAUAUUCCUUGCUAACUUAACUAAAUUAAUUUGAUUCAUUAUAUAAUAUUAUGAAAACAAUUUACUAUUAUAUGGAAUUGAUAUUUUCCUCUCUUAUUUUCCAUAAUAAGCUAGCUAGUAGCCUUAUCAGGCCUACCCUUUUAUAUCGAUUUACAACACCUUACCGCUAUCCCAUUGGCAACUACAACUUGAUGCAUAUGUGUGCAGAUGUUACAUGAUGAUGAUUAAAUUUUAAUCAUUACAAAUUAAUUAACUCAUGUAGAUUCUCAUUAAGGAUGAUCAUCUCCAUUGCACUAGAGUUGAGUUUGGCAAAAAUUCUAAGAAAUGAUAAAAGUAAUAAUAGAUAUUUUGAAAUUAUUUUAUCGAAGAAAAUAAUAAUCUGUAGACAACACAAUCUUUCCACAAGGCUUGCAAGUUAUGACAACAUCAAAAUAGGAAACACGUCUAGCAAUGGGCAAUGACUGAUGCCAAGGACACAGAAGACUUCGCUCUCAGUCACCAAAGUCUUUCCAUCACAAGCCAAAGUGGGAUCUACGCAUAGAGAUCUCUUUGGUAGCUGCCUAGUCACCUAUAAAUCCACCACUCCUUCUCAUCCCCUCUACAAUCCAUCCCCAUUUUUCCGUUUCACUCUAUCUCUCUUAGCUGAAAACCAUGGGUGGUGGAGGAGACUUCACUGUAAUUAUGACCAGGAAAGAGGUUAUGGAAGCCCCUAUGUAACCUUGAUUUGAUUUUUCCUCCUGUAGAUGUGAGUGUGUUUUUCUGUUACAAAAAACCCCAUCAGAGUGUUAACGGAGGUGAUGACUUACCUUUGAGUCCAUGGUUGGGGUUAUGAAGAAAGCCAUGGUCUAAGCACUGGUCCCCUACCAUGGUUUUGCAGGGGAAGUUGUGCGUAACUCAGUGGGUGAGCCUGAACUUCUAUGCAAUAACCCAGGGGUAGAUUUCAUGGAGGCUUAUGCAAAUGCAAAACUACAAGACCUCAGCUUGUAUAACCCUAACAACAGCAUUGAAGGCAAGCUUGUCCCUAAGAAGCAGUGUGGUGCCCUCUGUGUGCAGGUUGUUCUCUCUCUCUCUCUCUCUCUCUCUCUGACACAUCAUAUAUUGUCGUGGCAUUAUUACUCUAUGUGAUAAAACAAAUGAAGGAAAAUGACAGGUGAUUGAGCUCAAAUGUGGUGGAGUCGUGGUGGGCUAUACAUUCCAUCAUCAGAUAGCGGACGCAUAUUCUGCUAGUAUGUUCCUAGUUAAUUUCAUGGGCUGAGAUGACCCAGUGCAAGCCAUUAUCUGUGGUUCCAUCUUUCCGGCGCUCUCUCCUCAACAUCAGACGUCCGGGCUCCUAUGAUCCCCCCUUGAUGACAUGUACGUCCCUAUAUCAGCCUUUUUUGUGUGGAGAAAUUGUUCUUGUGCUAGAAAGAUGAAUUUUUGUUGCUAACACAUAAUAAAGUUUAAAGGAUUGUGUAUGAUAAUGGUAAAGCCCUAAGCUAUAUUUGCUUCCUAGAAAAUUUGAUAGAAAAUGCAAAGUAAAUAAAAUAGAAAGAAAUUAAAAAAAAUAAAAAAUAAAAUAAACAACAUAUUUAAAGUUAAAAAUAAGUAAAUAAAACAAAAGUCGAUUAAUUUCAUGUUUCAAAUUCAAUAAAUUUAAAAUUUGCCUUAAUUGGGUGAAGCUCUAGAAGACAUGAUAACCUUAACGAAGAACUGACAAGAAGAGUUUGUGAGGCUAUGCCAGCUUUAAGGGUCAUCAUUGUCCUGACAAGGAAAUGACCAAAGACUGAAAAAAUCUGAAUCAGGAUUACACUAAUCAUUCAGACAGCAACAAGGGUCCAAGAAUAAUGCCAUCUUACCUCCGAAAAGGGAAAGGUGUUGAAAUUAUGGGUUGUUCAUAUAAUUCUAAAUAACCAUUUAAACAUCGAUCAGUAUUAAAUUGGUUGUUUCUGUUUCUGUUUUUCCUAUGAUAUGCUAAUAUCUGAGUUGGAAAUUUGUUAUAAGCUAGUUACAAGUUACAACCCAUCACCAUGCUCCUGAUAUAUAGCUUUCUUGUUUUUAAAAAUUUGAGAAAGUUCUUCUUGCAGUCCUUUUUAUUUAUAUAUAUAUAUAAGAGUUAUUCUCUACUCCGCUAUCUUUGUUUCUUCCCUUUUUUCUCUUUUCUCUUAUCUAAUGGCUUGAGGAGGCAACCAAAAUGUCAACAAUGACAGUUGUCAGUUUGUGCAUUCAUCAAAUAUGUCAUUAAUGGAAGAUUAUGGAAGUCCUUUUUAUCUACACAAUUGUGACUAUCUAGGUCUAGUUUUGGUUUCAUACCAUUUAAUUGGAUCUAAUUACAACACUUGGAGUCGUUCGAUGUUCAUGGCUCUUACUAUAAAGAACAAAGUCGGUUUCGUUGAUGGAAGUAUCACUCGACCAAUCUAUGAACAUCUUCUCUUCAACGUUUGGACUCGUUGCAAUAGCAUGGUAAUUUCAUGAAUUCUUAAUGUUAUGUCUAGAGAAAUAAGAGAUAGUCUAUUAUACAUAGACAAUGUGCUUUUGAAACCUGGAUGUUUAUCUUUGUGAUCAUUUUCACCAAAGCAAUGGUCCUCAAAUUUUCCAAAUCAAAAAGCAGCUUAUUGCCCUUAACCAAGGAUCUCUUGAUGUCAUAGCUACUUCACCAAAUUGAAAAUUCUUUGGGAUGAAUUCAAAGAAUGUCAACCUGUGCCUAUUUUCUAUUGUGGAAGAAUAAAAUUGUGGAUAGAUUUUCAAUAAUAGAAGUAUGCUUUGAAAUUCCUCAUGGGGUUCACUGAGUCCUAUGCUCAAACCUGUGCUCAAAUUUUGAUGAUGACUCCUUUGCCUUUUGUGUCAAAAGUCUUUUCUUUGGUUAUUCAAGAAGAAACAAGCAGCUAAUCAUGUGUUUCAUGAACAUACUAAAUACAUUAAGAUUGACAGUCAUGCAUCUAGUGAGAGAGAAAGUACAAGUUGUUCACCUGAAGAUCCUACAUGUCUCUUCACAAUAUCAGAUUGCAACCUUGCUAACUAAACCUCUCCAUCUAAAUCAUUUGGCUUAUCUUCUUAACAAGAUGAGAAUUCAUAACAUUCAUUCUCCAUCUUAAGGGAGAGUAUUAAACUAAUUGUUUAUGUUUAUGUUUUUAUCUAUCCCUCAUUUUUUUGUACCAAUUUUUUAUGUAGUAGAUUUUCUUCUCCUCUAUCGGUGGUUUUUCCAAUCUAAGGUUUUCCACUUAAAUUUGUGUGUUCUCAUUCUUUUUUUUUUUUCUUAUUGCCUAUCCCUGUUAUUUUGUAACACUCGAUGAAUAAGUAUGUGUGUAUUAUUUUAUGAUGCCAAUUCUUCUAUUGAAUUGACUGAUGCAUGUGCUCAUUUGUUAUUUACAAAAGAAUUAAUUCUGCCACAAGAAAAAUUUAAUAUAGAAAAUAAUUGGUAAAGGAGAAACUAGAUUAUUUCGAAGGCCAAGACCCUCCAAAAAUAUUUAGACAAAACUCCAAUCAUAUAAAAAUGAAUUCACAUGGACCAUCAAGACCCACCAAAUUGAUUCCCUGUGAGAUUAUAUAUUGGCAUUGGAACAUGGGUUUGAUAAGUUUUUACCUAACCUUUGCCUUUUGAACUUUUAAAAUCCUCACUCAACAAAUCUUUUUCUUGAUAAGUUUCAACUACUUUUCCUUUGUCAAAAGUAGUGGUCAACCAAUUUAAAAAAAUUCUCUCUGUUGGAGCAUGAGUUCUAUAAUAUUCAAACCAUGCACCUUUUAAUUAUUUUAAAAAGUUGUGCAUUGUUUUUUCUUUAAAUUAAUCCCACAAUUAAUCAUUAUUUAUGUUGUUGGAGUAUUCCAUAUAAGGACUUGAGAGAAAAUGACGAGCUAUGAGAUUAAAAUCGGCGACCCACCAAAAACUAGGGCUUUUAAAUUGGACUUCUUUCUAAAGAAAUAUUUGACAUUAAGAUGUUUUUAUCCAUAUAAAACAUUUUGAAUUAAUCAAAUAAUAAAAAAAGACAAACAAUUUGUUUUCAUAGAAAGGCUAAAACAAAGCAUGUUGUGGCUAAAAAUAACAAUAAGACGGUUUUUUUUUUUUUUUUUUUUUUUCAGAUACUUGUUCCUAAUAGGAUGGGUUUGAGAAAUAUGUCAAUGGUUUUAGCAUAUGUUUAUAAAAAAUAAAAAAAAAUUAGAACUCAGGACGUGUUUAGGAUGGAUUUGGAUUUGACUUUAUCCCAUCCAAUCACAUCCCGAUUAUAUAUAAUAUUAAAUAAAAAUUAAUUUUAAUUGAUUUUUUCUUCAUUUUUCAUUUUUUAACAUAUGUAAAAUAUUGCUUUUAUAAAAAUAAAUUAUAAUAUUUAUUAAUUUAUAAAUUAUAUUUAUUUUUAAUAUUAUUUAAAAUUUUAUAAGUAAAAAAAAAACACUAAAAAAAAUUGAACAAAAGUAAAAAAGUUAAAUAAGACGAAGUGAGAUGGAUAUGAGAAUUUCCUAUACUGGUCCCACCCUACUUCAUCACAUUUUAAUUUGUUUUUUAAGUGGGGAUAGGAAUGGAUAUAAAUAAACGUGUUGAUGAUGGAAUGGAGAUGACUCGUGUCAAACCCACCCAAUUAUGAUCCCUAAUUGUAACAAAAGGGCAAAAGAUGGGUAGUAGUUGUAAUUUAUAGAGUUUUACAUUUAAAUAAAAAGAAAAUUGUAUGUAUCCUCAAUUUAAAUUCUAUAUUCAACUCAAGUCUAUGUGUAUUAUGGGAAUACGGGAAUGGUUUCUAUAAUAUAUAUAUAUAUAUAAGCAUUAGUUUUGCCACUAGAAAAUUUGAAUAUCAAUAAUAAUUGGGGAAGGAGAAAUUAGAAUAUUUCAAAAGCCAAAACCCUCCAAAGCAUUUUGGCAAAACUCUAAACAUAUAAACAUGAAUGCACAUGGGGGAAAAGAGUGAAAAGACUCAUGCAAUUGACUUUUUGUACUGCUCAGUGCUCAUUAUAGCUGUAUUGACUAGUAAGUGAGAUUAUUGGCCUUGGCACAUGGGUUUGAUAAGUUUUUUUACCUACCCUUUGUAAAUAACUGUUUGGAUCUACAACAAAGGGUAUCAUCCCUUCCUAGGGUGGCUGAAUGGUUUGUGGACAAACCUUUUAGAAAAACUUGUGUUUUGGGCCGCCCAUUUGGUGAUAAUAAGGUUUUCAGAACCUAAAAAUUAGAAAUCCAAGAUUCCCCCAUUAAUAUGGAAAAAUAUAUGAUUUUUGUGAACUCGAUGCUAAGUGGUCUUUUUAUACCCACUUUGCCCUUACAUAAUCUCCAUAUCAGCAUCCACGUUGCAUUAUUGCAAUCUGAAAUUUCCCAAACAACAUUUCUCUCUUUUUUUUAUUCCCUCAUCACCCGAACAAAGUGUCAUUUGAAAUUUUCCUAUUUUUGAAACAAGAUUUCUCGUCUUCCUCUCAUUUUGCCCUAACCCCAACCUAAGAUAGUCAAUUCAAUGAAAGAAACUCGAGCAUUCCCCUCAAAUCGUCUAUUUCCUACUCACUAUCACACCUACCAUAGGCAACACCUCUUCCUCACUAUCGUUGCCACAUUUUCCCUUGCCGCCUCCAAAUCCAAUGUUUCCACCUCUCUAUGUUACCUCUCUUAAUGUUCAAAGCCUGAACCUCUUUGGUGAAAUCUUUCCUAGUGAAACUUAAACUAAUAAUAUUUUCAUUUUGAGGUUAAUUAAAUUUAGAGAUUUUUUUUUUUUUUUUACUUCGUUACUUUCUAAUGCCUCUCAUUUUUUUUUUUCAUUACUGAUGAGGUUGUUGAAGAUAGAAGACACAUUUGUAAUGUUCUGGAAGGUCAACUCAAAAACACAGGCACAAUUUGUCCUCGUAUCUAUACUUUUGGCAUGGGUAUCAGGUCAGUGAAAAAUGUUAGAUUUCAUAUUCUAUUCAAUGAUCAUACAGGAUCGUAUGUUGAAUCACGUGAAGAAAUUAUGUCAUAAUUACUAUUAAAAAUUGUACCAACCUGAAUCCAUGUGUGAAUUUGAAGACGGUACGGAUCUUCUAAGGCUGAUGGAGGGCACCACCUUUCUCUGGAUUCUCUCAGGCAAUGGGAGCGGAAGAGAGAGCGGUUCUGUUCUUUCAAAAGGAUGUGAUAGAUCCAAAAGACACAAGCCUAAGCCUUUUAUACCCUCCUAUCUUAGGGACCAUACCCAUUGGUUAUUGGGCCUCAUGGGCCUUAGGCCCAUCAUCUAAAGCCCGUGAUGGCAUUGGGCUUUACACUUUAGGUGGUCCAUACUCAAGAUUAAAUCAGAAAUUGCAUGUUAAAAGAUAGCUUAAUCCUGGACAAUGUUUAAUAUAUUGUCGGUCCACAUUUAUUCUAUCAAUCUCCCACUUGGACCACAUAUAUAUUACAAACAAUGUUCAUGAUAGUACUUUAUUGAGCUCAUCUUUGCUAUCUUAUUCAAAAUAUCCUUAAACAAUCCGGUCUACUAAUUAUGCUAACAUAGGAUUAAAGCGGCCUUCGUUAAUCAUAAUUAUAACUUGACCUAUCAUCAAUCACAACAUUAACAAAAUUAGCAACAUGGAUCAAGUAUGGAUGUGUAGUAUGGAAAUUAUAUAGAAUAUGAUCUUCAAUAUGUCUAUUUCCAAUUGGUCCUACUUUAUGACUAAAAGAUAGCCAAAUACCACUUUCAACACUUGAUGCUAAACUGCUUUUGAAAGUCAUCAUUUCAAUUUAGAGUGUUCAAAUACAAUAGUCUUUAAAAUCAAGAUCUGUACAGAUAACACAACAUAAUAUCACAUCAAGAGAAUAAACACAAAAUCUAGAUACAAACUCCCACUAUUCUGACACAUCAUCAAUGUGUACAACACCCAUAUGUGUGACGUGCUCAUGAUAUACUUUGGGUGGCAAACCCUUAGUGAGCAGAUCCGCAAUCAUGGAGUUUGUACUUAUGUAUUCAAUUGAUACUUGAAGACUCUGAACUCUCUCUUUCACAACCAAGAACUUGAUGUCAAUGUGUUUGGACUUUGACGAACUUCGGUUGUUCUUAGAAUAUAAUUCUGCGGCCUUAUUAUCACAGUUAAUUCUCAACGGUUUCUCAAUCUCAUCAACUAUUCGUAACUGAGUGACAAAAUUCCGCAGCCAUAUCCCAUGGUUUGAUGCUUUGUAGCAAGCUAUGAAUUCUGCCUCCAUGGUGGAAGAAGCAAUAAGUGUUUGUUUAACACUUUUCCAUGAAACUGCUCCUCCAGCCAACAUGAAGAUGUAGCCUGAAGUGGAUCUCCUACUGUCAAGACAUCCCGCGAAAUCGGAGUCCGAAUAUCCCACGAUUUCUAAACGACUUGAUCUACGGUAUGUGAGCAUGUAAUCUUUAGUUCUUUGUAAAUACCGCAUAACUCGUUUUACCUUUUUCCAAUGAUCCAUACCUGGGUUACUUAAAUAUCUGCCUAACAUUCCAACAAUGUACGCAAUAUCCGGACGCGUACAAACUUGUGCAUACAUGAGACUUCCUACUACCGAGGCAUAGGGAAAUCUCUUCAUAUCUUUCUUUUCAAGUUCAUUUUUCAGACAUUGGUGCAAACUAAACUUAUCGCCUUUUGCUAUAAGCGUGUCUCCUGGUGCACAAUUGCUCAUGCCAAAUCUACUCAACACCUUAUCGAUGUAGGCCUUUUGUGAUAACCCAAGUAUACCUCUUGAACGAUCCCUAUGGAUCUGUAUACCCAGCACAAAAGAUGCAUUACCAAGAUCCUUCAUGUCAAAUUUACUAGACAGAAAUUGCUUGGUUUCAUGCAAAAGUCCCACAUCACUACUUGCAAGUAGAAUAUCAUCAACAUAUAACACCAAGAUAAUAAAUUUGCUCCCACUGAACUUGAGGUAUAUGCAUUGAUCAACGGUGUUCUUCUUAAAACCAAAUGAAGUAAUCACUUUAUUAAACUUUCGGUACCAUUGUCGGGAUGCUUGCUUUAAGCCAUAUAUGGACCUUUUUAAUCUGCAUACAAGUUGCUUUGAAUCAUUAGACUCAAAGUUCUCCAGUUGCACCAUGUAUAUUGUCUCAUCAAUGUUGCCAUUAAGAAACGCAGUUUUAACGUCCAUUUGUACUUGAGGUUCUUGAGGUUGUUGAGUUACCUCUUGAUGAACUUCAAUCGGUUCCAUAACUUGAGCAGGAGGAAUCUCAGGUGUUUCUUGAAUCCCUAUUAUCGAUUGUACAUUUUGAAUAGUGUCAUCAAACAUAAUAUAACCAUGUCCAGUCGUAAUAAUAUGAAUAUUAAUAAUAGGAAUAUUAACAGAUUUUUCUUCAAAGACCACCUUUCUUAAUGGCUCUCUCCCACUUAACUCAACAUCCUUAAUGAACUUAGCAUUGCCCGUUUCAAAGAAAGAUCUAGUUGAGAGAUCAUAAAAUUUGAAACCUCUCGACCUUUUAGAAUACCCUACAAAGUAGCAGCUUACUGUUCUGGAGUCCAAUUUCUUUUCAUUUGGCUUGUAAGGCCUAGCUUCAACUGGACAACCCCAGACAUGCAAGUGCCUAUGUAGACCCUCAAUUUUGUCCCUUUAGCACAUGUCUUUAAAAUUCAUUUUCAAUGCUCUGACUCAUGCCCAAUUGGUGUCUCAGCUGAUUUGUGUUCAGCUGGUGCUCCUUGAUUGAGGAAGUGAUCAACAAAAUUUAUACCUAUAACACCAUACACUAGGGUAGCAAAUACAAAGCUACUAUAGUAUAGUGGCUCUAAGGAUCGUUCACUGGGAAUGAUUUGCAAGCAAUCAAGGAUACCAAUUCCAAGUGAAUUGGUCUUGUUUCAUUUCACGGUUAGCUUAAGAAGUAAAACACAAAGUUUGAUUGGUAAAGGUUGAGACUUAAACUAACUAACUUAAUAGAAGUUUGGAAUAAUUUAGGAAGAAAAGCAUUCCUUGGAGAUUUAGGUUCACUGGGGUGGUUCCUCAUGCAAAAGACAUAGCUCCGGUCAGAUGGUUCAUUUCCUCGCAUUAGAGAUUCAACUUAUAGUCAAUUCUCUAACCGGUGAUGUACAGAGACUCCUUCAAUUAGAUUUCACUUUAAUUCUCUCACUGAUACAACUUGCAAUGGUUCAUGCCUCUCACGAGCACUUACCAUUCAAGGUGAUCUUUAACCUUGGACUUCCCUUCACAAACUCGCAAGAGAUAACUAAUGGAUGUCUCCUAGGAGUCCAAAAGCUUACCAAGUGUUGGUAAUUCCAGAAAAUCCUACCUUGAAGUCACCUAACAGAGGCUCGCAAGGGGUAAACUAGUGCAUUUCCACGGUUGGAAAUCACUUGCCUUACCAAGUGUUGGCCUAGGUGACUCCAAGGAGUUUUAAGUUAACUAAAAACAUUGAAAUCACUAAAGGAUUUCACUUCCUCUUCAUUACUAGCUAAAACCACAGAGCUUUGCAUUCUUGCACUUGGAACCUUCCCUGGCAACCUUAGCUCCAAGGAAUUGGAGGUUUAGUUACUCAUUCUCUGGGGAAAACUCCUUAGAGAAUUCAUAACUUAGAAAUAAAAUGAAAAUACAAAGUGAGAAGGUAAGGCAGUAGAAAGAAAAGAGACUUUACUUGCUUACCAAAUGGUUACAGAAGGAACUCCUCUUUGAGAACAUGCUCCCGAGAGGUAUUUAUAUCAAAGCAAUAAAAAACUAAUUCUUACACUGAUAUUUGGUCUUUUUACUAACUUAAAAACUAAGGAAUCAUGUAAUUGGUGGUUUACAAGGAGUAUUUUGGGAUUUAGACAACAAAAAUCUAAUGGAAAAUAUCUCCCAAUGUCGGUAGCAAGCUUCGGGAGGCUUCCGGAGCCAUUUCGCAGGAGAAAAGUGGUGCCUGCGAAAUUUCGCAGACACCCAAGAGGGCUGCGAAAUUAUUUCGCAAGACUGAGCUAUCUUCACCAGGCUGCAAAGUUGGCUUCCAUCUUGAAGUUUCUAGCUUCCCUCUCGCGGCAUGGUUCGUGCAUCGUUAGAAAGAGAAACACCUUACUGUACAAAAGUGUUGCGAAAUUCUCGUAACAAAAGGCUGAUUCCGCAACACUUUAGAGUGACUGGCUUGUAAUGGCUGCAACUUCUUCGUUUCAACUCCAAAUUGCACACCGUUUGAAGCAUUGGAUUGUUGACUUCCUGAGCUUUGAAAUGGUAUAUAGCUUGCAUCAUUUGGACUUCAGAAAGUGCUCCAAAAGUGGCUGCUACGACUGUCAUCAAGAAUAGGCUUUAUGGCAGAUUCUCUUUGCUUUUUCUCCUUGCAAUCCGGAUUCACUUUUGGUAAUUGAAUUCUAAGCUUUGCCCAUGAUUCCUCAUAGCUCUCCUCAUUCUUGACUUGCUUUGGUGAUCAAAAUACUAACAAAAACACCAAAACUUACACAAAGUGAUCAAAAUUGCUUUAAAGGAUCCUUAACAUGCCAAUUGAGUUAAAAGGCCUAAACUACUACUCAAANNNNNNNNNNNNNNNNNNNNNNNNNNNNNNNNNNNNNNNNNNNNNNNNNNNNNNNNNNNNNNNNNNNNNNNNNNNNNNNNNNNNNNNNNNNNNNNNNNNNNNNNNNNNNNNNNNNNNNNNNNNNNNNNNNNNNNNNNNNNNNNNNNNNNNNNNNNNNNNNNNNNNNNNNNNNNNNNNNNNNNNNNNNNNNNNNNNNNNNNNNNNNNNNNNNNNNNNNNNNNNNNNNNNNNNNNNNNNNNNNNNNNNNNNNNNNNNNNNNNNNNNNNNNNNNNNNNNNNNNNNNNNNNNNNNNNNNNNNNNNNNNNNNNNNNNNNNNNNNNNNNNNNNNNNNNNNNNNNNNNNNNNNNNNNNNNNNNNNNNNNNNNNNNNNNNNNNNNNNNNNNNNNNNNNNNNNNNNNNNNNNNNNNNNNNNNNNNNNNNNNNNNNNNNNNNNNNNNNNNNNNNNNNNNNNNNNNNNNNNNNNNNNNNNNNNNNNNNNNNNNNNNNNNNNNNNNNNNNNNNNNNNNNNNNNNNNNNNNNNNNNNNNNNNNNNNNNNNNNNNNNNNNNNNNNNNNNNNNNNNNNNNNNNNNNNNNNNNNNNNNNNNNNNNNNNNNNNNNNNNNNNNNNNNNNNNNNNNNNNNNNNNNNNNNNNNNNNNNNNNNNNNNNNNNNNNNNNNNNNNNNNNNNNNNNNNNNNNNNNNNNNNNNNNNNNNNNNNNNNNNNNNNNNNNNNNNNNNNNNNNNNNNNNNNNNNNNNNNNNNNNNNNNNNNNNNNNNNNNNNNNNNNNNNNNNNNNNNNNNNNNNNNNNNNNNNNNNNNNNNNNNNNNNNNNNNNNNNNNNNNNNNNNNNNNNNNNNNNNNNNNNNNNNNNNNNNNNNNNNNNNNNNNNNNNNNNNNNNNNNNNNNNNNNNNNNNNNNNNNNNNNNNNNNNNNNNNNNNNNNNNNNNNNNNNNNNNNNNNNNNNNNNNNNNNNNNNNNNNNNNNNNNNNNNNNNNNNNNNNNNNNNNNNNNNNNNNNNNNNNNNNNNNNNNNNNNNNNNNNNNNNNNNNNNNNNNNNNNNNNNNNNNNNNNNNNNNNNNNNNNNNNNNNNNNNNNNNNNNNNNNNNNNNNNNNNNNNNNNNNNNNNNNNNNNNNNNNNNNNNNNNNNNNNNNNNNNNNNNNNNNNNNNNNNNNNNNNNNNNNNNNNNNNNNNNNNNNNNNUUUUUUUUUUUUUUUUUGGAAAUUUUAGUUUUUGAUUAAUUCUUUGUGUUAAAGUUUAUAUUUUUUCUUUUUAAAUCCCCAAUUAGUUUAAUUCUAAUCUAUCUUUUAGUUUAAGUUUGUUAAUGAUUUUAAUUCUUAAGUUUAAAUAAUCAUAUUGAAUAAAGUUUGUAUUUUUAAUCCCAAUUAGUUUGAUUUCAAUUCGUUUUUAAUUUAAAUGCAUUAGUUGAUCUUAAUUCUUUGUUUUAAAUAAUCACGUUAAAUAAAGUUUGUAUUUUUAAUCCCAAUUAAUUCGAUUUCAAUUCGUUUUUUAGUUUAAAUGUAUUUUGUUGAUCUUAAUUCUUUAGUUUAAAUAAUCAUAUCGAAUAAAGUUUGUAUUUUUAAUCCCAAUUAGUUUGAUUUUAAUUUGUUUUUUUUAGUUUAAAUGUAUUUUGUUGAUCUUAAUUAUUGACUUUAAAUAAUCACGUUAAAUAAAGUUUAUGUUUUUAAUCUCAAUUAGUUUGAUUCCAAUUCGUUUUUAGUUUAAAUGUAUUUUAUUGAUCUUAAUUCUUAAGUUUAAAUAAUCAUAUCGAAUAAAGUUUGUAUUUUUAAUCCCAAUUAGUUUGAUUUUAACUUGUUUUUUAGUUUAAAUGUAUUUUAUUGAUCUUAAUUCUUAAGUUUAAAUAAUCAUAUCGAAUAAAGUUUGUAUUUUUAAUCCCAAUUAGUUUGAUUUUAACUUGUUUUUUAGUUUAAAUGUAUUUUGUUGAUUUUAAUUCUUAAGUUUAAAUAAUUGUAUUGAAUAAAGUUUGUAUUUUUAAUCCCAAUUAGUUUGAUUUCAAUUCAUUUUUAAUCUAAAUGCAUUAGUUGAUUUUAAUUCNNNNNNNNNNNNNNNNNNNNNNNNNNNNNNNNNNNNNNNNNNNNNNNNNNNNNNNNNNNNNNNNNNNNNNNNNNNNNNNNNNNNNNNNNNNNNNNNNNNNNNNNNNNNNNNNNNNNNNNNNNNNNNNNNNNNNNNNNNNNNNNNNNNNNNNNNNNNNNNNNNNNNNNNNNNNNNNNNNNNNNNNNNNNNNNNNNNNNNNNNNNNNNNNNNNNNNNNNNNNNNNNNNNNNNNNNNNNNNNNNNNNNNNNNNNNNNNNNNNNNNNNNNNNNNNNNNNNNNNNNNNNNNNNNNNNNNNNNNNNNNNNNNNNNNNNNNNNNNNNNNNNNNNNNNNNNNNNNNNNNNNNNNNNNNNNNNNNNNNNNNNNNNNNNNNNNNNNNNNNNNNNNNNNNNNNNNNNNNNNNNNNNNNNNNNNNNNNNNNNNNNNNNNNNNNNNNNNNNNNNNNNNNNNNNNNNNNNNNNNNNNNNNNNNNNNNNNNNNNNNNNNNNNNNNNNNNNNNNNNNNNNNNNNNNNNNNNNNNNNNNNNNNNNNNNNNNNNNNNNNNNNNNNNNNNNNNNNNNNNNNNNNNNNNNNNNNNNGUAGAGACCUCUUUAGGGCUUAGAGGGGUGCUACCUCCUAGAGGUACCUUCCCAAUAAGUAACCUGAUCCCCGGACCAAGACUUGGGUUUUCAAAGACACGCUUUUCCAAAAAUUAUGGAGUCAUUUUUUUAGGGUUUUAUUUCUUGUUUUAUUUUCCCUUCAAAAAUAAAAAUAAAAUAAGUGGCGACUCCAACUUUUUUUCAAAAAAUCAAAUUUUCACAAAUAAAUAAAAAGCGAGUCUCGCCGAUCGAAUGGGGACGCACGUGAAAAAUGCGGGUCCACAGCCUAAUACUAGGUUUCUUGCUAGUCCAUAACUCAUAUGGGGUUUUGGCUACUGCUUUGCUUGGUACUCUAUUCAAAAUAUAAACUGCAGUUUUAAUGGCUUCGCCCCAAAGUGAUUCUGGUAAGGUGGAAUGAUUGAUCAUACUUCUUACCAUAUCCUUAAGAGUACGGUUUCGCCUCUCUGCUACACCAUUUUGGCUCGAUACCACACUUCAUCAAAUAUUUGGCGAAUGGCCCUGGACGUUGUUCUCCGGAUCCGUCAUAUCUACCAUAAUAUUCACCUCCACGGUCAUAUCUGACAGCUUUUAUUUUCUUGCUUAGUUGGUUCUCAACUUCAGCUUUGAAAUUCUUUAACACAUCCAAUGACUGAGACUUUUCAUGAAUCAAAUAAAGAUAGCUAUAAUGCGAGUAAUCGUCAAUGAAAGUGAUAAAAUAUUGUUGUCCAUUCCAUGAAGGGGUAGGAAAUGGACCACAAAUGUCUGUAUGUAUCAAUUCCAAGACGUCACUGCACCUAUUGGCAUUCUUUUUCUUCAUAUUUGUUUGUUUUCCUUUAAUGCACUCUAUACAGACUUGAAAGUCUGAGAAAUCAAGUGGAUCGAGAAUUCCAUCUGACACAAGUCUUUGUAUUCGUUGAUUUGAAAUAUGACCCAAACGCUUGUGCCAUAACAUUGAUGAAUUCUCAUUCAUUAAUUUUCGCUUAAUGCAUAAUUACUUGAAUGCAAGGUUUCAUUUCCAUUAGUGGCCUUUAUGUUCAAUUUAUAUAGUUUGUUUGUUAGACUACCUGUACCAAUAAUAUUUGAAUUUAGAUAAAGACUAACCAUUCCAUUUCCAAAUGAACAACAAUAUCCAAAUUUGUCCAAACAUGAAACAUAAAUUAAAUUCCGUCUAAACGACGGUACUACAAAAAUCUCUUCCAAAUCCAAUGUACAUCUAGAGUCUAACUGUAAUCUGAAAAGACCAAUAGCCUUGACUGCAGCCUUGUUGCCAUUUCCCACAUAGAUGUAUCUUUCACCAUCAGUUGGCAUUCGGCUCCUUAGGCAACCCUGCAUAGUGACACUAAUGUGAGUAGUUGUACCCGUAUCUAUCAACCAAGUGUCAGUAGGCACUACAGCUAAAUUAAUUUUUGAACAAACAAAAUUGAGAAGUGUACCUUUCUUUUCAUGCCACUCAGCGUAUUUGGUACAUGUCUUCUUCAUAUGAUCAGCCUUCUUACAAAAGAAACAAGUGAUCUCCUUAUCUUGUUUCUUUUGCUCCUUUUGCUUUGAUGUCCCAAAAACUACAGUUUGUUUUCCUUUAUUGUCCCUCUUUCUUUUCUUGUUGGUACCAAAUCCCUGAGAUGUGGAAGCCAAGUGAGCACUUUCUAUCUUUUCUUGCUUCAAUCUCUCUUCCUCUUGCACACAUUAAGCAAUAAGUUCAUUCAAAGUCCAUUUUUCCUUUUAUGUAUUGUAACUGAUUUUGAAUGGACUGAAUUAUGUAGGCAUAGAGAUCAAGACCAAGUGCACGAGUAUGUCUUUCGACAACUCUAACUUUAGUGCCUUGAGUCUCGUCACAAGAUUAGACAUUUCCAUAAUGUACUCUCUGAUAUUCUUUUUCCCUUUAUACCGCAUAGAGACAAGCUUACUAAGAAUAGUGCUUGUCUCAACCUUUUCGUUUGCAGCGAAUCAGUUUGCUAUCUGGUCCAAGAAUGCCUUAGCUUGGGUUUCCUCAGGUAUUGCACCCCUUAUUGCUUCUGGAAUUGAGUGCUUCAUAAUCAUUAGACUCAUGCGAUUGGAUCGCUCCCAUUUUUCCAUAGUAGACCUUUGCUCAACAGUGUUGGCACUAGUAAGAUCUGAAGGGCGAUCCUCCCUUAAUGCAAAGUCUAAAUCCAUGCACCCGAGCACAAUUAUAACGUGCUCUUUCCAUUUCUUGAAGUUUGUGCCAUUAAGCACAAGAAUGUUAUUAACAUUUGCAGAUAUAGAAGAUGCUGAAUUCAUAAUAAUAAAGCUCACAAUCAGUCACAUAAGCAUCAUACAUACAUGAAUAAAUAUACAUCAUGCAAGAUACCAGCACAAACAUUAAUAUUCAGUCUUUGGACAAAAAUAUUAACUUGUAAUUGGUAUCCUUAUACAAAAUUAAUUCAUAAAUAUUGACAAUAAAAUCAAACACAAUAUGUCUGUCUUUGGACUAACAUAUCAAUGCAAGAUAAACAUUAUAUGUCACAUAUUUAUGACUACUUUAUCUAUUAAAAUAAUCUUCCUUUGGGCCGAUUAUUUUAAAUAAUAAUAAUAACAUGUUUCAUACUUCAAAAUGAAUAAAAUUAUAUAAUAUAAGUCACUUUGGCAACAAAUAUAUAGAUAACCUAUUCAUUUUGAAACGUUAAACAUAAACGUAAUAAGAAAUAAUAAAUUCUAUAAAAAAAAAGAAUACAGAAAUUCAUCAAAACCAUAAAUUUAUUAUAGUACAAAAUUCAUAAAUAAACAUAAGAGUCUCAUAGCCUAGUUGGUCAAGCACAAGGUUGAAAACCUUGUGGUUGUGGGUUCGAGCCCCAUUGGUGGCCUUACUCAUUUUUCCAUUUUCUUUUUUUCUUUUUUUUUUAUAUAUCAAAAACGCCAUUCAUGGCGUUGGAGGCCGCCCCUGAAGCGCGCACCAGCCGCACCUGAAUUGGCGCUGCAAAAGUUGUCUGCAGCGGCCCAAGAUAAAUGGCGCUCGAAGUGCGCCAAAACGGCGUUGGAGAUGGCACUUUGACGGCGCCUGGACGUUGCCUGAGACGGCAUUUGGACAACGCUUCCCAGGGCGCCUGAACGGCGUCACCGUUGGUGCCUUAACGGCGUCAGAAACAACGCCUAAAGCAGCACCCUAAACCGCGCCUGAAGGCGCUGGAAUGACGCGCCUGAAACGCGCCAGUAGUGUUCUUGAAACGCACCUAAACCGCGGCCUUAAACCUCACCUGCAAUGGCCUGCCUAAUCUGCACCCAAAUGGCUCCUGAAGGCGCUGGAAUGGUGCGCCUGCAAUGGCGCCUGCAUCGUGCCUCCAAGGCACGUGAACAACGCCUCCAAAAGGCGCCUGAAUUGUGCCUUGACUGGCACCUUAACGCCAUCGGAGAGACGCCCUGAAGGGCGCUGCAUAACAACGCCUUUACGGCGCUGAAGAGGCACUUUAAUGGCAUCUGAGUGGCGCCUGCACUGACGCCUUCUCUGGUGCCUCCAAAUGCGCGUGAAACGCACUUCCAAUGGUGCUGAAUCCAAUCAAAAGGAAAAACAAAGGCAGUACAAUUUUUAUUGCCCUAAUAUACCAUUUCUAAGUGAUUCAACAUUGGGCUCUGAUACUAAUUUGUAAGAUUUCAUAUUCUAUUCAAUGAUCAUACAGGAUCGUAUGUUGAAUCACAUGAAGAAAUUAUGUCAUAAUUACUAUUAAAAAUUGUACCAACCUGAAUCCAUGUGUGAAUUUGAAGACGGUACGGAUCUUCUAAGACUAAUGGAGGGCACCACCUUUCUCUGGAUUCUCUCAGGCAAUGGGAGCGGAAGAGAGAGCGGUUCUGUUCUUUCAAAAGGAUGUAAUAGAUCCAAAAGACACAAGCCUAAGCCUUUUAUACCCUCCUGCCUUAGGGACCAUACCCAUUGGUUAUUGGGCCUCACGGGCCUUAGGCCCAUCAUCUAAAGCCCGUGAUGGCAUUGGGCUCUACACAUUAGGUGGUCCAUACUCAAGAUUAAAUCAGAAAUUGCAUGUUAAAAGAUAGCUUAAUCCUGGACAAUGUUUAAUAUAUUGUCGGUCCACAUUUAUUCUAUCAAAAAACUCUUAUGUUCUUGAUCUCACAAUCUUAUAGUGCUUCUAUUCCUUAUGAAUUUUCCAUUCAAUUUUUUGUCUUUUUUAUGUGAAUGACUUUACAGAUUCAUACCAUAGUCAUAACUUCUUACAAUGUUAGCAUAGAUUGGAAGACGUUACUAUGAUGUUGGUCAGUUUAUUGGGUUGUAACUUUAUUUAUUUCUUCAUCACAAAUAAUAACACUGAUGUUGAACUAAUUUACUAAUUGUUGUUCAUGUUGAUAUUACUAAUGCUAAUGUUAAAAGAGGGUAACAAGGAAAAAGUAAAAAAUUAUUAGUUUGGAGCCUAGUUGCAAUAAAUAAAAAUUAAUUACUUUUAAAUUUCAGGUAGGGGUUAGGGAAAAAUGCAACAGAAUGACAGGAAGACGAUAUAUUUUUUUUAAGGAAACCAAUAUUUUGGAUUUCAACUUUUCGUUCAGUUACACUUUGCUAUAGCAAAAUCAGAAUCACAGUUGUGCCUAUUGAAGUUGUCUUUUAAUUGGGUGUUCUUAGGAUGAAGUGCUACAUUUGGUUGCUAAGAAAGUAGACAAGAAAGAAAAAUGUAGGUUGGAGUUUUGGAACCUUUAGUAACCUUUAGGUACUACCUUAGUAACCUUUAAGUACUACCUUAGUGAGAAAAUAAAAGCUAAUCUUAAAUGAGAAAAACACCCAAGAGAGGGGUGAAUUAGGUUUUUCAAAAACUUUUUCAACACAACAAAUUCAAGCACAAUAGAAAUAAAUAUAAAGAGAUAGAGUGAAUUCAAACUCAUAUUUUAUAGUGGUUCGACACUUCCUUGUCUACGUCCACUCUCCUCAAUCUCUUAACCGAGUGAGGGUUUCACUAACUUGGAGCUUCAAACAAGCUUCUAAUCUCCUUUACACUUGGAUUCUGACGCCAAUGAGCUCUUAUACAAUCUCUUCAAGAUUCAACUCACUUGAAGGCUCUAACACUCAAUUUACAAGAAUGAUCUCCUCUCAACCUAGCUCAAUAAUGGCUCAAAUACAAAUCAAAGCUAAGAUAACUCACAAUGGUGCACUAAAAGAUAUGCAAGUGAAGAUUUAAUGCACUAAUAAAGAAAUGAGAGCUUUUAAGAUAAGAACAAGUGGGUAGACAAUUAAAUGCAAGUUUUCUCUAUUUCAUGAAUGAAGUGGAGCUCUCAAUUUAUAGGUUUCUAACAUCGGGAACCAAGAAAAACAAAAAGUAGUCUCAACCAAUCGAGCUGGGGUCGACUGGUUCACUAGUCGUUUGAGCAUUUAAUGCUUUGGCAGGUUACCGUUUCUCUAUGUCAUUAAUGCUUUGUCAUUUCCUAGAACACUCACUUGUUUCAUGGCAUAGUAAGAAGCAAAAUUCGGUAGCUUUGUCUACGGCAGAAGCCGAAUAUAUAGCAGCCGGUUUAUGUUGUGCACAAAUCCUUUGGAUGAAACAAACACUUAGUGAUUUCAAUUUGAUUUUUGAGCAUGUUCCUAUUAAAUGUGAUAACACUAGUGCCAUAAACAUUUCAAAAAAUCCAGUGCAACACUCUAGGACUAAGCAUAUAGAGAUUAGACACCAUUUUCUUAGAGACCAUGCACAAAAGGAUGACAUUACACUUGAAUUUGUAAGCACAAAAGAUCAACUUGCCGAUAUUUUUACAAAACCCCUAAGUGAAGAGCAAUUUAUUGAUAUUAGAAGACAACUAGGGGUGAUUUCUUUAUGAUCAAAUGAUUGCUUAAUGAAUUCUUGAUUGAAUAUACCUUAUGAUUGCGUGAAUUUCAUAUCAUAAGCAUCAUAUAGAAAUAAUCUUAGGAAAGAGGUCAAAUUUUGACCAAAAAUCAAAAUUCCCGUGACAUUGGACAUAAAAAAUUGGAGAUUUCAACUGAAAAGGGCAGUGGGAGGAUCAUGAGACAAGAAAAUGCAAAAAAUUGGACCGUUGACCGUUGACCGUUGACCGUUGACCGAUGAUCUUUGACCAAGCGAUAGACCGGUUGAGGAAUCGGUCGACCAGUUCGUCGGGGCUGGGAAUUUAAAAAGACCCCCGCGUGUUAUUUCUCUCACUAUUCUCCUUCACUCCUUGAAAACCCUUCACAUACCUGCUUCUAAAGACCAUUUUGGGUUGGAUUUUGGACUGAUUGAAGGCUUUGGAGUUGAUCUUGGAACGCUUUAGGCUAGGGUUUCAUUUUGAAAGGAUUUUCAGAUUUGGGUGCUUCUUCUCUCUGACCGCACACCUCAAGCUUGGAUUCAGCCUCAUUUCCGUGCAUUUAGGGCUUCAGGUUGGACUUCAUUCCCUCUCAUUUGGUUUCAGCCUCAUCUCCGUUCAUUUUCUCCCUUUUUCGUUCCUUUGAUGGCUCCUAGGCGAGAGACGGGCACCUCCAGGGCUCAGGGCAAGCACCCUACUGAGCCAUCUCAGCCUGAGCAGACGGAGGCUCGCCGAAAGGUGAGGUAUGACACGACCCUCUUCAGUUCUGUCAAAAAUUAUUAGCGAUACAAGCAAAAGUUCGCCUAAAGGAAAGUCAUCCUGGGGAGAAGUAUCAAUUUCUCCCAACUUUAGCACUUCGGGUUUGAGGGACUCUUCAAUAGGAUGGGAUGGCUACCAGUUGUGACGAUUUUUGAGCAGAUCUUCCCGACUCUAGUGCAGGCUUUUUAUUCACGGGUGACCUAUGGGCUUGGAGGACCGGUAUUGUCCACAGUUAAAGGAAUUGAGAUCAGAUUGAGCCCAUAGAGUAUUUGCCGCAUUCUCGAUAUUCCUUCAGUUGGACUUCGAGUUUAUGAGGCAAAAGCGUGGCCCACUAUGCCGGGAUUCGAGCCUAAAGAGGUUGUUCAGAGGUUGUGCGGACUCACAAAUGCCCAAGGGAUGGGCAAACCAUCGGCACACAGCCUGACCGUGCCCAAUCAGGUCCUUCAUCACAUGAUCUGCUCCAUCUUAUUGCCACGAGGAGGAGAUCGAGACGAGGUCUCCUACCUUGAGGCCUUCAUUGUGGACUCGAUUCUGAUUGGGAGACGGAUUCACGUAGGGUAUCUGAUGAUGAUGCAUAUGAUAUCCUGCAUUGAGAGCACGACUUGAGUACUCCCCUACGACUGUUUCCUUACCCGUGUAUUCAAGGAUACCGGGGUUGACUUGAGCAGAGAGACGGUCUUCGAGGCCCCUACUAGCUAUGACACUUAUGAUGAGCAAUCCUUGGAGCAAAUGAAGUUCGAGAAGGCACCUGAUGGCUCCUAGGUUAGGAGAGUUAAGUGAUAGGCCUGAGGACAGGGACAAAUGCAUCCCGGAGCAGAUGAAAAGGCCGAGAUCAGAGAGAUGGAGGAUGGGUUAGACCCUUAGAGGGAUUUUGAGCAGAGAGGGCUCGAGCUUGACAUUCCGCCUCCACCUCAGUCAGAAGGUAUUCAUGUUGAGGCCACUUUCUCAGAGCCUAUGAUGACUGAGUCGUCUUACACAACAGGACCAUCAUCUCAGCCAUCAUUUGUUGAGCUUCCUCACACAAAGCUACCAUCUCAGGCACCUCACACCGAUUACUACCAAAAAAUGCUAUUUUGUAGAUCUAAUUAUAAUGGUUUCAAGCACCUUUAAGUAGUAAUCAUAUUCAUUUAACCCAAUUAAUUCAUUAAGGUCCUUAGUAAUUGGUUUUAACCAUUUUGUGGCAAGUUUACAUAUUUUUAUUAGCUUAUGAACCAAUUCAAGCAUGCCAAUUGAUGGAAGAGAUAUUUGGGCGAGUUAAGCAAGGAUUUUGGACAAUUACAUGCUUGAAUUUCAAGUGGAAACACGAGCACAAGCAAUGGAGAAGAGGAAAACAGAGUGAAGAAAACAACUGCAGUCUUCUUUUGCACUUUUGAAGCACUUUCUGAAGUCCAUUUUUUUGUAUUCUAUAUACCAUUUGAAAUCUUAGGAAGUCAAGAAUCCAACGCUUCAAACCGUGUAUGAUUUGGAGCUGAAAUGAGGAAGAUAUGGCCUUCGGAAGGCAACUGGAUCAUGUCAAAUGACCAAUUUCGCAAGGAGAUUUUCUUCAUGGUGCGAAAUUUUGCCACUUCGCACCAUGAAGAAACACCUUGUGAAAUUUCGCAAGGUGGAUUUAGGCACAUUGCGAAAUUCCUUUGAAUCCCCUGUUUUGAGACGUUGUUGAUGUUAUUCCACUGCCGGUUCUCCAAGAUAUUUUGCUUGAUUUUUAGCUUUGUAAAUACCUAUUUUACCCUUGUAAUCAACCAAUGAAUAGGUUGCUUUUGUAAUAGCUCUUGUAAUUUAGCUUGUUAUUGUCUUUAAAUAGAGGUGAAGAGCCUCAGAUCAUCGAAUCUUGUAACCUGUAACUUUAUAAGUUAUAAGAGCACUUUUGUUCAUACGUUUCUUUUCUCUUUUCUUUCUCAUUUUCUUAGUAGCCAAACAUCCUUGGAGGAUGAAAUCCCCAAGGAUGAGAGGCUAAAACCUUUUAGUUUCUUGAAGUAAUGGAUGCCAUGUGAAGCUCCCGUGUCAGGAUGGAGAUUUCCAAGCCAUGAAUGUAAGUAGCUGAGCGUCAUAAAUGUUUUCAUUCAAAGUAAAGCUUUUAAUCCCUCUGACUUGCUUUGAAUGGCCAAUACUUGAUAACCUUUUGGUCUCAGUGGAUUCUUAUUGUUAGAUCCACUGAUGUUCAUUAGUUAUCUCCUACGAGCCAUUGUAUUGCAAGUCGAGGAGAUGACCUAUAUCAUUAAAAGGGCAUUUAUGAGGUUCAGCUACCCUUUUUGUAAGUUUUCAAGGACUAAAACUCAGUUGUUAAACUCAUACCGGUUCGGGAAGUAAGCAUCACCUUAGUUGCUUCCCCAACUCGAGGUGAAAAGUCCCAAAAUCUCCAUUUUUACACAGUGAGUUAAGCAUGGCUAUCCAAAGCUUUGAGAAACCUCCUUUUCCAUCUUUUAACCUAUUUUCAUGUUUGUUUAGUUUACAACACCUUCAUCUUUUUAUGUUUUCAUCUUAACCUAAUUUUUAUUAAGAAAAGUUCACUCCAUCCUCCGAACUUCAGCAGUUAAAGUAAAAACCCUUCCUAGUGUUCGAUCCUAGAGCCACUAUGCUAUAGUAGCUUUGCUACUUUAGUGUAAGGACCUUAGGUAUAAAUUUUGUUGAUACCCUUACAUGCCAAGCUACCAAGAGUCGGGUUGUCACACACUCUUGAUCAUGCGCCUUGGAUGGAUGUCUCAGCUCAGAUCAACUCCCUUGGGACACGUAUGGAAGAGCUUACUCUAGUCCAUGACACUCGCUUCUAUUCUAUGGAGGAGCACAUAGGUCAGUAUCAAACUGGCUUCACUUCUCGAUUUGAGCACUUCUAACAGAGAUUUGAGCGCAUAGAAGAGCGUAUGGAUCAACAGCAGGCUACAUUCGAGCAUCUCCAGUAGAGUAUUGAUCACAUUGAGAGUCGCCAGGCGAGUUAGCAUGAGGAGAUGAUGGCUUACCUUCGCUCUGUAUUUCCUCCUCCACCCCCUCAGCCUUGAGAUUAGCUAGAGUUCCCCCUCAAUUUCUUUUUUAUGUUGCCAAAAAGGGAGAAAUAUAUAGGAUCUAGGAGACCCUCAUGCAUAUCAUUGUCAUCAUUGUCAUAUUUAUCUUGUUUAACAUAUGUUUUCAUGUACAUGUGAAGUUACCAUAUAUAUAUGAUAUGAUAUUUUUAUGAUCCAUUGUUUCCUAUUCAAAUUUUCGUGUUUUACAUUGUUUCCUAUUAAAAAUUGUUUGAUUGAUCCAUGAUUGGUUUGAGGGGGAGAUUUUUUUCUCUCUUAGAUAACCAAGGUUUGUCAUCAUCAAAAAGGGAGAGAUUGUUAGCCCAAGGGUUCUCCUAAUCAGGUUUUGAUGAUAACAAACCAUGGUUAAGUGACUAAUUGGUUUAAUGAUUAAGAAUCUCAGGCAUAAACUCGAAAAUUCAUAAAAUGACCAAAUGGAUACAAGAUCGAGAUGCUUGGAAGACUUGUGAUCAUAGGAAACUAAUGUAAAAUGAAUGCAUGAAUGCACUUAGGAUUUUCACACAUUUCAUGCAACAUAGAAAACUCGGUUUAUUCUUUAAAACUUUGAUUUCAUUAAAACCCGAGUUUUUAACUAAUGUACCUUAGGCAAAAUAUUUUAUAAUUGGCUUAAUAAUUCACCUAAAGACCUUACCUAAGUGUUAGAAAAGAAAGGAAUUAAAAAAAAAAAAGGUUUUCGGGGUCAAAAAGGCUCAAUCGGUCGAGGCUAUGGCCAACCGGCUCAACCGAUUGAGGAACCGGUCAACCGGUUGUUCUUGUCCGGUAGAGGACCGGUCGAUGGAUGCCAAAAACUUUCUCUCUCUCCUAGUGGCCUUCUCUUCCUGAUCGAGGUGAUUCUUUUCCUGGUCGAGGACCGGUUGAGGCAACGAUAACCUGUCAUGCAUUAAAUGCUCCAACAGCUAGUGAACCGGUCAACCCCUAACUCGAUCGGACGAGGUUACCUUUUGCUGUUUUUUACUCCCGAGCUUAGAAACCUAUAAAUUGAGAGCUCCACUUCAUUUUUUUAUAAGAGAACGCUUGCAUUCAAUAGUCUACCUACCUAUUUUUGAUCAAAAAGCUCUCAUUUCUUUCAUAGUGCAUUAAAUCACCACUUGCAUAUCCUUUAGUGCACUCUUGUGUGUCAUCCUAGCUUUGUCUUGUAUUUGAGCUAUCCUUAAGCUAGGUUGAGGGAUUAUUUCUUGUAAAAAUCUUAGUGUUAAAGCCUUCAAGAGGUUUGAAUCUUGAAGAGAUUGUGUAAGAGCCCAUUGGAGCCGGAAUCCAAGUGUAAGAAGAUUAGAAGCUUAGUUGAAACUUCAAGUUAGUGGAACCCUCACUCGGUUAGGAGAUUGAGGAAAGUGGACGUAGGUAAGGAAGUGUCGAACCACUAUAAACUCGAGUUUGAAUUCUCUAACUCUAUUUUUUUAUUUUGCUUAUAUUGUGUUUGAAUUUGUUGUGAUUGAAAAGAUUUUAAAAACCCAAUUCACCCCCCCCCCCCUUUUGGGUGUUUUUCUUAAUUAAGCAUAGCCUUUGUUUUCUCAACAUUCUUAUUGUGUGUUUAUGUGUAGAUGAUUUAAUUAUCACUAGUAAUAAUUUGAAGAUGAUUGUGGAAUUCAAAGAGGUGAUGAUUAGUCGGUUUGAGAUGACAAAUUUGGGAUUGAUGCCUUAUUUUCUUGGGAUUGAAGUAAUUCAAAGUAGAUACAAGUAUCUUCCUUUUUUUAAAUAAGUAUGCAAAUGAUAUUCUUAAAAAAUUCAAGAUGGAAUCUUAUAAUCUUAUUCUAACUCAAAUUAAAGAAAGACUUAAAUCAGGAAAAAGUAAGUAUGGUGAGUUAGUUGAUCCUACUAAUUUUAGAAGAAUGAUUGAAAGUUUGUGGUAUUUGACUUCUAUAAGACCAGAUAUUAUAGUUAGAGUUGGACUUGUAAGCAUAUUUAUAGUCUCCAUGUCAGUUUCACUUGCAAGUAGUAAACCACAUAUCCUACAAUACAUUAAAAUUAUGCAAAGUGAUGGCAUUUUUUAUACAUAUUACAACAAGAUUGAGCCUAUUGGAUACACAGAUAGUGAUUGGGCAGUUUAUAUAGAAAAACAAAAAAGACCUCCGAGCUAUAUGUUUAAUCUUAGCUUAGGAGUUUUUUUCAUUUAUUUAUUUAUUUAUUUUUGUCAUCAAAUAAAUAACAAGUAGUUGUUUUUUCAGUAGUAGAAGCAUAGUAUAUUACAACCACUAGUGGUGCUACUCAAGCAAUAUCGUUCCAUCAAAUGCUUUUUGACAUAAAGCAUACUCAAGAAGUUCCCACAAAGAUUUUUGUGAUAAUAAAUCAACAAUCACAUUGACCAAAAUCUGAUUUUUUUAUGGAAGACGCAAACUUAUUAACAUCAAGGCCUAGUUUCCAUGGCCUACUUACAAAUGUAUACUAUUCCGAAUGCCUUGGUUUUCAUAUCAAAAAAAUAAUAAUUUCUUUUAAUAUUGUCCUAUCUGUGAUCUUAUCCUCCUGCUUCUAUUUUGCCAUGCUUUUUUUUUUAAUCUAUAAAAAUCUUAUAUAAUAUUUUAUAUGUAUUUGUUACAUGCAUGUCUUCCUAAUCAUUUUCAAAAGAUUACUUUUUUUAUAUAAUAUAGAAAUAUUUGGUUAAAAGGGAUGAAAUAAUUUGUAAAUUGUGAAUCUAACCCUUUUCAUGUUUUUUUCUUGAAAAGUAACCCAAUUUUAACAUAAAUGUCAUUUAUCAUUUGAAAUAUUUACAUGUAGGUUUUUAAAGAGAUGGUUAUUUUUACAAGAAAAAUAAUGAAGGCAUUUGUCCAAAUGAGGCCAAAAGAUGAUGGAAGGUCAAACUUAAAAAAUUGGGUAUUCAAAAAUCCUUUUAAUCAAAUAACCCUAUAAUAUAUUACCAAAGACUAAUAAAACACUUUUUUCUUGUUAAUUUCAAUCCAUUAAUUGACUUUUUUUUUUAAUGAAAGCGUUGCUAACAAAAGUGCUAUAAAUAAAGACAUUUUAUGGUAUUUGUUUGACAACAAAUUUUAUGAGAAUAAUUUUUUUGUAGUAAAAUAUAUUUGACCAAAAAUUUUAUUUUAUUGUAAAAGGGGGAGCUUCCACCAUAAAUUUUAUUUUGGCAAAAAGUUAUUUUUUGAUAUGUCGCCAUAAAUUGUAUUUUGUGGUGAAAAGUGACUUGUUGUCACAAAUUUUAUUUUGUAGAGAAAUUAUUUAUUUUAUUAUGAAAUUAAAUUUCAUGGUUAAAAAUAAUUGUUUAUGAACUUACAAUAAUAAAUUUGCACCAAAAUAAUUUUUUGUGGAAAAAAAUCUUUUACUAUAGAACACUUUUUUUUUUAAUUACAAAUUAAUUUACGGCAAAAUCCCAUAUUUGAGUUUCAAUGAUCUAGUUUAGGAAUUCCAUGGAUAUGACUUUCUAACUAAGGAAGUUGAAGCAUGUCCUAUUGAACAUGCAAGCUUUCUUCCAUUGCAUCAUUCGCCACAUUUUUUUUCCUUUUCCUUUUGUUUGUCUUUUUGGGUUACCGAGAAUGCCAUAAUUAGUGGGAAUAAAAGAGAGAAUAUAUGUUUGAAUUUUGUAUUGUCACAAAUGAAUGACUCAAUUCAUUGAAGGAGCUAGCAUCUUUUGGUCAUUCAACCUUUAUAUGUAACGGUGGAUGCGUGGUAAAGUUGAUAAUUCUAUUUGAUAGGUUUCUGAAUCUAGACGCUUUGUUUAACGUACAAAUUUGGAAUUUGAUUUGACCAAUUUCAUUUAAUUUUUGUAAAAAAAAUCAUAAUGAUUUAAUGCAGAGGAUGGAAGUCAGCAUGGGAAUAGUGUACUAUCUCAAAAAAGUUAUAUAUAUAUAUAUAUAUAUAUUUUGAAACUUUUACUUUUGACUCUUUAAUAUUUAAAUUUUUCUUUUGUUUUUUUCUUUUUAAAGUUCAUACAUUUUGAGGAUCGUAUUAUUCACUUUAAUAGUUAAAAAUCAUUAGCAUGCCAAAAGGCACCAACUUUUACUUUUUUUUUUUUUUUUUUUGAAGUUUAUACAUUUUUAGUAUGGAAUUAUUCACUUCAUUAGUCAAAAAGCUUAUCAUCCAUCAUGAUUAAUUUUAUUUUAUUUUUUAAAUAUGCACUUUUUUGUUUUUUGUUUUUUUUUUAUAUGUUGGCUUCAUAAAAUUUUUUAAUUUCAUUUUUUGCCACAAAUUUUCAUAUUUAUUGAUUUUAAUUAUUUAUGAACAUUUUAAACAUAAAAUAAUAAUAUAUAAUAAAUCAUUAAUGGGAACAAAUUUAAUAUAAAAAUAAAUACAUAACAACACAUUUAGAGAUUUAAGACAUAAGAUUUUUUAUAUUCCUAAAAAAAUUAUUUAUUUUAUAAAUCUUAUUACAUUGUCAUAUUAUUUUAUUGUUUGUAUUUUUUAAUAUUUUAAAAUUUUUUUAUGAAAAUCUGAAUCGAUGAUUAUGAUUUUAAUAUUUUACUUGUAAAUUUAACUUGACUACGGUUUUAACUUAUAUAUAUUAAAAUGUUUAAUAUUUUUAAUUAAAAAUGAUAAAAACCUGGUUGUGAUUUUAACUUUUAACAUUUUGCUUUGCCAAAAUUUAAAAUUAUUUAUUUAUAUAAAAUAAAAAUAAAAUAAAAUAUAUUUUUAAUUAAAAAGAUGUAUUUAAUCUUGGUGGACACCGAUUCAAUUGAAAUUACUCAUAACAGUGAUAAAAACAAUCCUCUGAGGAUUGCUUUUUCCAAAUGUCAAAUUCUCAUAGUCAUGACCAUUGCUAAUUGGAAUAAAAAACCCUUCACUUGCAAGGCUUUUAGUCAACCUUUUCAUCCCAUGAGCUACGAUUACAUAGAUUAUAUGGAUGCUUGGUAUAAUAUGUUUCAUUUACAAAGCUAUCAACAUUCUUGGUUCAUCCAAUUUUCAAGAAAUUGCAAUACCAAAUUUCCUACUUGGUUUCAAAAAUGGUGGACUUUCUUUGGUCUACUAGACUCCUUAUUUCCUCCCGAAAUUCAAGAAAAAUUCAACUUCUAUAAGAGUAAGACUUCAUCUCAGUCUAUCACUCAGCCUAGACUCCUGACUUUCUGUUCAAGAUUAAGAAUUCCAUGAAUUCUCUCAUGGAAUAUUAUCAAGAAGCAAGAGCAACCUCCUCCAUUUCCAUUAUCUCUUUCUAGAGAAUUCAGCAUCAAAUGGUGGGACAAAUUCAAUCAUGAUUUUGUAUGUCAACAGAAGAUUUUGCAAUUAAUUUCAAUAAGGCCAGGAUCAUCAAAUUCAAAAGAUUCAACUAGUUCCUCUCAAGGGUCGACUCAAGAAGAAUUCCUAACUUUGAAAAGCAAAUGUCAAGCUUCAGUAGCAGCCGCUAUUGAUUUAGAGCAAUAUCGUCAAUGACUCAUUCAAACCCUCAAACAGUUUGGAGAUCAAGAAAAUGAAGAAAUUGAAGGUACAGUUUUAUCAGAUUUUCAAUAAAUAAAAAAAUAGGUUAAAAGUCUUGAAUAGUAGAAUUUGUCUACUUUUGUCUACUACUUUACUUUGCAAGCAACGUGGAGAAUGGGAAAGCAAAGAGAAUUUUUUCUAUUGCUUUUCUUGAAGUUAAUGUUGCAAUUCUUUUAAGGGGUUUCCUAUAUUUGAAAAACCAAAGGAAAAAAGGAAUAGUUAUCCUAACUUGUUGCAUAUAUUUUUCAUAUUGUUUUCUUAAAGCAUUUCUAACUUGAGGAGGAAGUUGUUGAAAAUAAUUUCUUUUUGUAGUAUUUUCAGGAGAAAAAUAAUUUGCUUUGAUCAAUUCUACUUCAAGAGCAAAAGGAUUUCUUUUAAUAUUUCUUUUUCUAAUGAUAUUUAUGUUUAAAGGAGGUUCAUCAUGAGAGAGAACAAUUGACUCGGACUCUUCUUUAAAAAGAGGAAUUUCUGGAACAAAGUUUGACAUAUUUUUUAGUUGAUUUUCUAUUUGACUCAUUUCUUCAUCUAAUUUUGAAAAAUUAAAUUUUAUGUGGUGACUAUAAAAUGAUGCAGAUGAUGAUGCAGCUAAUGAUGCAGGUGAUGAUGCAAUAAAGCUGAUUAUCUUAUAUGAAGACCUUUCUAAAUCAUAUGUAGAAUUAUUUAAUGCAGAUGUAGAACUAUCAUGGGACUUAAGAGAUCUGGAAGAAUUAGUUCUACUUAAUUCCCUAAUAAAUUACUCAUUGUCACAGAAAAUAAUCAUAAUUUUAUUCUUAAUCAAUUCAAAUAAUUUCCUGAACAGGGACCACCACAAGCCGAUCAACAUGGGACUUACGCUCCUUCUGCCCUUAAACACCGCUACCACAGGCUAACCAAUCUGUUCACAGGAAAUUCAACCCGAACUAAGUCAGGACUAAAUCUGUGAUUAAUUACUAUUCCAACUCGUAACACCACUCGGUUCUCAAGUAGAACGUGUCUCUGAUACCAUUUGUACUCAGGACAUACAACAGUUCAUUCACGCAAUAAUUAAUUCUGUCUAAUGAACUCCAAGCAUAAAAAUAGAAAUAUUUAAUGUCUAGUUCUGUCUAAUUUAUUGCAGAAAUUUAAACAUAAAAAAAAAUUGUUAGAGUAACAAAACUCAAAUCCAGAUGAGUCAAGUAAAAAAUCAAAAAAAGAGUCAAGUAAAACAAAAUUUAAUCAAAUUUUGUUUUCUUCUGCCCCGGGAGAGGUGGAAGAAUCAAAUAUAGAAGAAAAAACAAUAAAAGAAAUUAAUGAAAUACAAAAAAUAGAAAAUAAAGAAAAAACAAAAACAAUAAAUGUAAUAUCUUCAAAAGUAGAUAAGCAAAUUUUUUUUAUGUUGUAGAUAUGAAGAAACACAAAGAAACUAUUUUAAAAAAAUUUUAAAUUUAAUUCUCAAUGAAGAUUCAAAUUAAACCUACCCAAUAUUCAAUGGAUGAAAUUUAUAAUAGAUUCAAAAAGACUCAAAGGCCUACAACCAUUAGAGACUUGGAAGAAGAAAUAAAAGAAAUAAAAAUUCAAAUAAAUCAAUUAAAAUUAGAAAAUGAACAAAUAAAACUAUAAAACAAAAUAAUAAAAAUAAGAAAAUGAACAAAUAAAACAAGAUUUUGCUGAAACAUCUAAUAAUCAAAAUAAUACCUAAUAAACAAACUCCUAUACCAUCAUUUAUAAAUAAAAUAACAAAAAUAGAUUUUCAAAUAUGGUAUACAAAUAUAAAACUCAUAGUAGAUGAUUUUGAAAUGGAAAUAGUAGCAUUAAUAGACUUAGGAGCUAAUAUGAAUUAUAUUCAAGAAGGAUUAAUUCCUAUUAAAUAUUAUGAACAAACUAGACAAUAACUUUUUGCUGCAAAUAAAGGAAAAUUAGAAAUAGAAUUUAAACUUCAAAAUGUUCAUUUAUGUCAAAAUAAUUAUUGUUUUAGAACUUAAUUUAUAUUAGUACAAAAUAUGACUGAACCUUUAAUCUUAGGAACCCCUUUUAUUACAUUACUUUACCCUUUUCAAGUAAAUGAUGAAGGUGUAAAAACUACAAUAUUAGGAAACACUAUAUUUUUCCCUUUUAUAUAUCCAUUAACUAAAAAGAAAUACAUCAAGUCCAAAGUGAUUCAAUAAAUAAAAUAAUAAAUUUAAUUCAAAGAAAACAAGCUCAUAUAAAUUAUCUAUUAAAAGAAAUUCAAUAUAAAAAGAUAGAAGAACAACUUAUAGAAGAAAAGAUUCAACAGAGAAUAAAAAAAAUCUGUUCUGAUCUUCCAAAUGUUUUUUGGUUCAGAAAGAAACAUGAGAUAAGUUUGUCUUACAUUCAAAGUUUUGAUGAAUCUAAAAUUCCUACUAAGGCUAGACCUAUUCAAAUGAAUGAAAAACUUUUAGAAUAUUGUAAACAAGAAAUUGAUUCAUUAUUAAAAAAGAAAUUAUUCAGACCCUCAAAAUCUCCUUGGAGUUGUACCGCUUUUUAUGUACAAAAUGUUGCUAAGAUAGAAAGAGGAGCACCAAGAUUAGUCAUUAAUUAUAAACCUUUAAAUAAAGUAUUACAAUGGAUAAGAUACCCUAUUCCUAAUAAGCAAGAUCUACUCAAAAGUCUACAUAGUUCUGUAAUUUAUUCAAAAUUUGAUAUGAAAUAUAGAUUCUGACAAAUUCAAAUUAAAAAAGAAGAUAGAUAUAAAACUGCUUUUACUAUCCCUUUUGGUCAUUAUGAAUGGAACAUCAUGCCUUUUGGUCUCAAAAAUGCCCCUUCUGAAUUUGAAAAUAUUAUGAAUGAUAUUUUCAAUCCUCAUUUUCAAUUUAUAAUUGCAUACAUUGAUGAUGUUUUAGUAUUUUCUAAUUCAUUAGAAAAACAUUUUAUUCAUCUAAAGAAAUUUUUUAAUGUCAUUAAAGCAAAUGGAAUGGCUUGUUAUGCUCCAAAUAUGAAAUUAUUUCAAACAAAAAUUAGAUUUUUAGGACAUGAAAUUUUUCAAGGAAAAACAAAACCGAUUCAAAGGUCAAUAGAAUUUUUUGACAAAUUUCCCAAUGAAAUAAAAGAUAAAAAACAAUUGUAAAGAUUUCUAUGUUGUUUAAAUUAUGUUUCUGAUUACUUCAAAAAUUUGAAAAUUAUUUAUGAACCCUUAUACAAAAGACUUAGAAAAAAUGCACCUGCAUGGACUGAACAUCAUACUAGUUUAGUCAAAGAAAUUAAACAAAUGGUAUGUAUCACUCUUUUAUAAAUAAAAAAUAACAUUAAAAUAUAUUAAUAGUACUACUUGAUAUAAAUGAUGUACUAUUUUUCUUUUUCUUUUUUAUAGAAAAAAAUGAUAUCACUCUUUUAUGAAAUAAGUAAUACUAAAAUGUAUUAAAAGUACCAUUAUUAGUGGGAAUGAUAUAUAAUUUUUCUUUAGUUUAUGGUAAGAUAUGCAAAAAAUUUAUUUUUUAAUAAAAUUAAGAGAAAAUUAAUAUAAAUGACUAAAUACAAAUUCUUUAUGAAAAAUAUAUUUUUAAUUUUUAUUUUAUAUAAUAAAAAAUUGAACCACAAUCAAGUUUUUAUCUUUUUUAAUUAAAAAUAUUAAACAUUUGAACAAAAAAAAGUUAAAACCAUAACAAAUUUGCUUAUCUUUAAAUAAAAAGUUAAAUAUGUUUAUUAUGUAUUUAUUUUUAUAUUCAUUUUUUUCAUUAAUUAUUUAUUAUAUGUUAUUAUUAUUAUUUUAUACAUUAAAGUGUUCAUAAAUAAUUAAAAUAAAAAAAUAAAAGACUAAAAAAAUGAAAUUAAAAAUAUUUUAUAAGAAUGUGUAACUAGAAUAUUAUAAAAAGUCAAAAGGUAAAAAUAAAGAAAGAUGACAAAAAAAAAAACAAAAAUAAUAUUACAUGUUGAUAGGUCAUAUAUGAAAUUAAAAAAAAAAAAAAAUUGAUAAACAUGAUUGAAAAAAAAAAAAAAGACAAAAAAAUUCUGUGGCGAUUGUCAUAUGUUAAUUUUUUUUAAAAAUUGAAAAUUUAAAAAAAAAUAUAUAUAUGAAAAAAGAAAGAGGAAUGGUAGUUCACGGCUAGUUUCGGAAGAGAGAAAAGGUCAAAAAGGAUGUUGAAAUUUUUUUCAUGUUACGCAUGUUUACCAAAUUAUUUAAUUGCAAGCUAAGUCACUAUCAGCAUUCUGUUGUCAUUUUCUUGUCACUGUAUAUCCUUCGUUGGUUCGAGGAGUGGCUUGCGAUACAUCUACAUAUACCUUUUAUUAAAUUUUUAUGUUAAAAAUAAUAUCUGAGGAGUGAGGACAAUGAUUUUAGAUUAAAAUCAAAAUUUGACAAAAUGUCAGUGGGGACUUGGGAAAAACAGUGCCCUGUGCUAUAAAAUCCAAGUUUCUUGCUGCUAUUUUUCACUCAGACGCACGCUUACAAGGCUGCUUCUCUUCCAUUCCUCACUCUGGCAUACAAAGAGACAUAGAAUUAGUUAGCAUUCAUGGGUGGUGGAGAUUUCACAGUAACAGUGAGCAGGAAGGAAGUAGUGGCAGCUGUACUGCCUGUGCAGGAGUAUUGGCUGCCACUAUCUAACCUGGACUUGCUUUUGCCUCCAGUAGAUGUGGGGGUGUUUUUCUGUUACAAGAAGCCACAUGAUUUAACAUUUGGGUCCAUGAUUGGCGUUCUGAAGGAGGCGUUGGCCCAAGCACUGGUGUCCUAUUAUCCAUUUGGAGGAGAAGUUUUGAGUAACUCAGCGGGUGAGCCCGAGCUCCUUUGCAACAAUCGUGGGGUUGAUUUCAUGGAAGCUUAUGCGGAUGUACAACUACAAAACCUCAACUUGUAUAACCCUGAUGAAAGCAUUGAGAGCAAGCUUGUCCCUAAGAAGAAACAUGGCGUUCUGUCAGUCCAGGUAACUCUCUCUCUUUCUCUAUGAUAUGCUAAUCCUAAUUAGUUGUAAUCAUGACAUGCUUAUUGUUUUGUAAAUCAACUAAUGACAGGUGACUGAGCUCAAAUGUGGCGGAGUUGUGGUGGCCUGUACAUUCGAUCAUAGGAUAGCAGACGCAUAUUCUGCCAAUAUGUUUCUAGUUUCAUGGGCUGAAAUGGCUCAGUCCAAACCAUUAUCAGUACUACCAUCUUUCCGGCGCUCUCUCCUCAACGCUCGACGUCCGGGCUCCUAUGAUCCUUCCCUUGACGACAUGUACGUCCCCAUGUCAGCCUUACCUCCUCCCAAAGCUCCACAGUCUGGUGAUGAUCUUCUCAUAAACCGCCUUUACUAUGUCACAGCCGAACAGCUCAGUCUACUCCAAUCACUAGCUACCAGCAAGAGUAGCUCCUGCA
rnacentral:lncRNA from 1 species